UGCAUUUCGACAUCAAACCCCAUAAUGUUUUGCUAGACCAAAACUUCACUCCAAAAAUUUCUGAUUUUGGUUUGGCCAAGUUAUGUUCCAAGGAUCAAAGCUUGGUGUCCAUGACUACAGCAAGGGGGACCAUGGGCUACAUUGCACCUGAAGUGUUCUCCAGGAAUUUCGGAAAUGUGUCGUACAAGGCAGAUGUUUAUAGCUUUGGAAUGCUACUGCUUGAGAUGGUAGGAGGAAGGAAGAAUAUUGGUUCAAUUACGGAUAACACUACAAAUGAAAUUUACUAUCCACAGUGGAUUUAUAAUCUUCUAGAGGAAGGGGAUGACCUACGAAUCCACAUUGGGGAAGAAGGAGAUGGUAAAAUUCCAAAGAAACUUGCAAUUAUAGGGCUAUGGUGUAUCCAGUGGCACCCGUCGGAUCGUCCUUCCAUGAAAAUAGUGGUUCAGAUGUUAGAAGGAGGAGGAGAAAGCUUGAGUAUGCCGCCUAAUCCCUUUGUGCCUACUGGUUCUACAACUAGGAAUGCAAGACACCUAGAGCUAGAAGCUAUUGCUGAAUUAGAGUAAAAUGUAUAUGCAGAUAUGUAGACGUAUAGAUAUAGUAAUAUUUAUAUUGAAUAAGAGGCCGUUUGAUAACCAUUUCGUUUUCAGCUUUUAAUUUUUAUUUUUCACUUUUUUGAAAACUAAAAACUAAAAUCUUGUUUGGUAAAUACUUUUAGUUAAAAAAAAAUGAAGACUGAGAACUAAAAUGUGAAAGCUCAAAGGAAGUAGAUUAAAAGUAGUUACCAAACAAACCGGAAUCUCAAUAAAUAAAAAAGAUUGAAUUGCACAAUGCAAUCCAAACCAAUCAAAACAUUUAAAAUAGCAAAAAAAAAUUAAAAUUCUAGUUGAUUAGAUUCUAAACAUAGUAAAAAUGAACAGAUCCGAUGAAAAAAACAAAAAAUUCUCAGAUAAAAAUAGGGAUAAAGUAAAAUAUUUAUAAAUAGCUCUUUGUCUCUUAUGCCAUCAAUUAUUUCUAUAGUAUAUACACGUUUUUGGAAAAAUUAGGUUCCCAUCCCUUAUUUUCAUAUUACAUUGAUUGAAAUCUUAUUAUUUUUCUAUUUUAGAUCAAGGUCCCUUGACUUAUUCUAUGUCAUCAUUUUAGUAUUUAAAAUAUUACACGUUAUCAUAAACGAAAUCUCAUCCCUUUCUGCAUUUAAGGCAAAAUAAACUAUAUGAGUAAGUUUAAAACAAGGAAAAUCCAUUUGAACUCCUCCAUUCUUCUUCUUCUCUUAUAAACAUCUGGAAUCUACAACACCCCAAACCCAAUUUUCUCCAUUUUUUCUCCUUUCCUGAAUUGAUCCAAUGCAUAUAUGUUGAAUAAACCUAUUGUGAUUAAAAUACAAAUUAGCAUCAAUGGUUUUAUUGGCUUGUGAGAUUUGUGUGGCAUAGGCAAGGCAAUGCAGGCAUCGUUUUCUCAAGGAAUCUGGUUGAUUCAAACAUGCAGAGACUGUAGAGUGAGUGGGCUAUGUGAAAACUGUACCAUUCUGAAGUCAUUUUCUUUUGUUCUUUAUAUUUUUUUUUCUUUUUCUUUUAUUAUUAUAUAUUAGUCUUGGUUAUUCAAUGCCUGGUUGGCUACACUUAUAUCCAUGGGUACAUUUUUAAUCUACAUGUUUCGUUCUAAUAUAUCUAUUGCUAUAAUAUGUUUUGGUUGGUUCAAAUUUGUUUUACAUAAAUAUAUGGGUACAAAGUUUUUGGAGAAUAUUAUGUAAAUGGUUUUUAAGGUUGCUGCAUUUUACGUACCCACAUAUGCAUGUCUAUAAAACAAUGUGGUAUGAUGUACAUUCUUUUCUUUGAGUUUUUAAAUGUACCCAUGAGUUUUUUUGUAAAUUCGGUAUGUACCCAUAUGCUAUUUAUGUUAUGGGUACAUACAUUAUUUUUGGUCUAAGUUCAGGGUACAUUGCUUUUGUAUGUAUGAAUUCAAGGGGUACAUUAUUUCCCUUAAUACUACUCAAUAAAAUUCACAAAAUAUGUGUAGUGUGCAUGAUUUUUUAUUGUAGAAAUUGUUUUUUUUUAAGUCUCAUAAUUCAUGAAAUUUGUACAUAUAUGAUCCCAUAAAUUUUUUAAUUUUAUUAAAUUUCUUUUAGACUUGAUCGAUUGAUUGAAUCUCAUCAUACUAGGAUUUUGAAUUACAUAAAUUCUUGGAUUUAAAUCCCUUAAAUGUUGGACUGCAAUCAAUAUUUUAAAUUAUAGUUUUUUAUUUAAGAUAUCAAAAAGAUGACAUGGAAAUAUAGUAAUACUAAAAUGCUGAGGUGUACAAAGUCAAAGGACUUUGAUCAAAAAAUAAAAAACAAUAAGAUUUCAAUCUAACAAUUAAAUUGACUAGGGACCGGAACCAAAAUGACCCUAGAUUUUUAUUGAGUUUAAUCUUAAUCAAAAAAAGACUUCUUGUAUCACAGAAAAUACAAGAACCAUUAUUUGAAUGAAAUAAAAGCUAUGGGAUGGAGAUAUAAAUGGAUCAUUUUAUUCACAAUCGGAUUAUAUUUAUUUGAUACACUAUUGUCAAUAUGAAUGUUGAGAAAAAGACUACAAAAGAAAAAACAAUUUAUAAAUAUAACUAACAAUUCCAAUUUCAAUCAAUUAGACAAUUAGAUAAUACAUCAGUAAACGCGGGGUGACUCAGUGGUUAGAAACGAAUUUUAGGCUCGUAUUCUAUACAAUACGUCUUGGGUUCGAUUCCUGACAAUGGUGAAUCACGCGACGGUAGAUAUAGGGGUGUUGUUGGAAGUUUUGAGACUCAAGUCCUUUAUAUAGAUUUAGUGCUUUAGUUUAGUAAUUAGAAUAUGGGUCAUUUGGAAAUGGAUUGAAGGUUUGGGCCUUAUGGUUGUGUGGAUUAGGCUUGUAUAAUAUAGCCUAAAUACAAUUAAUAUUAAUUAAUCAAGACAAGGGCCUUGGGCCUUACUUGGGGCCUUGGAAUUUAAAAUUAAUCUGAUUCAUUAAUUUUAAUUUUCGGAUUAAGUUUUUAAUUAAUUUAUUAUUAAUUAAAAACGUUUUGAUUAAAAGACACAGCUCUUAGAAAAGAGUUAUGAACCUUCAAAUACACUGAACUGGUAUUUGAAAGGGUGUGAAACAACCUAUAUAUCUGCAAUCCAUGGUAUCCAAAUAAAUCAUCUUUUCUUCUUCCUUUUCUUCCGUACAAACUUUCCAGAGAGAGUAAACACACAAAGCAAUUCGCUAGAAUUCUAUAAUUUAGUGCGGGUUAUAGGAUUAGGUAGUUGUAUCCUGGUCGAGCAGACGUUAUAGAACCACAAGCACAAGAGUGGGACGGAAUUACUGUUCGAAUGACAUAGCUUUUACGUUAGCCUCUACCUUCUGUAAUCAAGUUAGUACCGUUGACAUUCUUAUAUUAAUUUCUGUAUUUAUUGUAUACUUUUCAUUUUGUAUAGCAAGUACCUUUUGUUAAAUAAAAAUUGUGAAUUUCAAGUUCUGUUUAUUUCUGUUAUUCUGUUUAUUUCUGAAUUGUUCUCCAACACCCCUAUAUCUACCGUCGCGUGAUUCACCAUUGUCAGGAAUCGAACCCAAGACGUGUUGUAUAGAAUACGAGCCUAAAAUUUAUUUCUAACCACUGAGUCACCCCGCGUUUGAUUAUAUUUCACUUAGACUUAUCUUGCGGUAUAGCAUGUCAUCCCCGCCCAAGUUUUUCUGUUGGCAUUGAGUUUGGGAUACCAAAACUUGCCAAACAAAGUAGAUUGAUUAGUAAGCGAAGCUAAUUAUUCGACUAAACAUUGUUUAGAAUUUUAAUUAAAAGAAACAAUAUGAAUCUGUUUAUUUUUUUUUUUGACAAACUAUAACGUUAAGGAGUUAAAUUGUUAGUUAUUAAGAGUACAAUGAUAGGUGAGGAUCGAACCUCCACCAGAGUGCAUAGACAUUAUUGGUUCUACAACUGCGGUAAAUCACAUAAAACAAAACGUAAUACUUUGAGGAUGGAAGACACUUCGUGGAUAGCGGGCAAUCAACACUAUCAGUUGCUAUCCAAAACUUGGAAUUAUGUUUAUUGUCCGAAGGAUUUUUCUUCCAUUAAAUUGCUAAGGAAGAUGAGGAUGGGUGGAGUGUCUAAAUGUCAAGGUUGACAAGAACGUGUAUGGUGUUCAGCUUGCGAUUGAGAUUUGUUAGAGUGGCACAACAAACCACAUAAAAUUUUCUAAAUGAUAAGCUUGAGUAUAAUUUUUUAUCACGUAUUUAUCUUUAAAAUCAUUAUAAUUAGAUUUUCUCUUAAUUAAUAUAGACCGUUAGAUUCAUCUAAUGACCCAAGUUUUUUUCCUCUUUUCUUUCCACUCUUUUCCAUUCACCGUGUAGCAGUCGUUCUUCCCCAACUACGUUUCUUAUUUUUCUUCACAAAAAAUUUGUAGAAAAUAUUAAGAAAAGAAAAGUCAUCAAUAUCAGACUCGACCAGGUAAUCGUUCCAACCUUCCCAGCAACUCUCAGUCUUAACUAGGCACCAAAUUUUCUCCGCCACCUAACUCGUCAUUCAUUCAUGGGUGUUUCAAGCUUGGUGAAAAUUGAUAGAGUUCCAUGUGUGUACACGGAUGUGAACAUAUUGGCCACUCUCUAAGAAUGAGUCAUUGGAAAAGUUGAAGGAAAGAUGUAACCGAUGAAAUUAAUGGAUUGGAAUUACAAUGAAGUCUGUGUUGGUUUAUCACAAAGAACCCAGAUACAAAAUUUUAAAAGCAAACAAUUUCAACUUCUCAAAUAUUAUCUAACAAACUUUCAAUGAAAUGUUGCUCAUAAUUGAAAAAAGGUUGACGAAGGACGGAGUUGGGGUUAUUUUAGAUGAGGAAGAGUUAAAAGAAGGAAGCACCAUUUAAUUAAUAAAAGUGAUUGGAGAAAUGGUAAUUCAAUGGUGGGCGUUUUUAAGGUGUGGACCUUGUAUCACACCCUGAUCCCAACAUACAUUGAGGAUCGACACGUGACAUGGGGACAUAGGGGACAAAAAUCUUACAUAAGAUACAGAAUGAAAUACUAUAUAAUAUCCCAAAAUGAAUAUGAUAGUGGGUUCACCCCUAUAAAAUACAUACGAGUUUGUACAUUCACAAAAAAAUAAAAAAAAUAAAAAUAAAUAAAAAUAAAAAACACACACACAACUCUCGCUAGGCCAAGACUUGCCCAUGGUGCUCAAAGGAAAGUCCCAAAAGAAAUAGUACAAUGAAGGAUAAAGGGGUAACCUAAACACUCCAAGUCUCUGAUCUCUGCACUGCUACCCCCACCGGCUCCUCGUAAUCUACUCAGACCUGUCACAUGUACAAACAGUGCCUACAUUGUGGGAAUGGUGCACCAGGCAAACAAAAACCCGGAUAAGCUGCAAAACUCGUGUGAGUGACAAUAAUGCAACGUAUGUGAUAAUCAAGAAAAACAGACCAUCGAUCACAGUUUAUAAAUCUCAAAUAUAACUUCAUACUUAUGAAAUCAUAAUCAAGUCACUGAAAACUUCGAAUGAGUCACCCAGACAUCUAACGACUUUUCUAAAUCAAAUCUCAGAGAUUCCCAAAACUAUCGUUCACAAAUACACUAAAAACUAGGGCUAGAGUGACACAGUUCAGCCAAAGCCUACAUAAGUAACCAAAUAAGAAGUGGCCCCCCAUAGCGGAUUAACCAAGCAGAGCCACUCCUGAGAAAGUAACCAAGUAGGUAGUGACCCCCAUCACGGAUUAACCAAGCAGAGUCACUCCUACGAAACUGUUAGGUAGUGAUCACCCAUUACGGAUUAACCAAGCAUGAUCACCCCUAAGCACGUAUGGCCAUACCUAAGAAAUAAGGAUCGCCCAUCGCGGAUUAACCAAGCACGAUCCAAAAAUAUUAUGGGUCCCCUAUCGCCGAUUAACCAAGCAUGACCAUCCAUGUACCACUGCUACAUGGUGUAAAUUCGGUGUCACCUAACCUCGUGACACUAGGGUAACGGUCCUCUAGUAGCCCUCACGUUUUUCAAACAUUUCAAAUAUAUAAUUUAAAACACAAUUCAUAAACAUUUCGAAUAGGGAAGUCACAUAGUGUUUAAUAAUGUAGGUCAAUGGCAAACUUUAAAAACAAUUAUUUAGCAUAAAACAUAUUUUAGAAAUCCAUGCUGUAUCCACAAAGUAUACUAGCACGGGAGAUUUUCAGGGUAAUAACUCUAUCACAUAUAUUAAAGUCACUCACCUGGAGUCCGCACUAACGCACCCUGGCACGAAUAUCAAGACGUCGCGUACUAUCAUCUGCAACAUCCCACAUCGACCAACGAAGAGGGGGUGAUGUGCCUUCUAUGUACAUGCCCACCUCCAUAGCAUGAGGCAUUUUGGGAGCUCACUGGCUUCAUAUUCCAUCGGAACUCCAAAGUUAAGCAAGUUUGGGCGAGAGUAGUCCCAGGAUAGGUGACCCAUUGGAAAGUUAUUGUGUGAGUCCUAGAAACAAAACCGUGAAGGCGUGGCCCGAGGGGGCCCAAAACGGACAAUAUUGUGCUACGACGGAAUCGAGACUGAGAUGUGACAGAAUGGUAUCAGAGCCACUCUGCCGUGUGGUGCGAGUGUGCCGACGAGGACGUCGGGCCCCUAAGGGGGGUGGAUUGUAACAUCCCACAUCGACCAACGAAGAAGAGGUGAUGUGCCUUAUAUGUACAUGCCCACCUCCAUUUAGCACGAGGUCUUUUGGGAGCUUAUUGGCUUCGGGUUCCAUCGGAAAUCUGAAGUUAAGCGAGUUCAAGCAAGAGCAUUCCCAGGAUGGGUAACCUACUGGGAAGUUCUCGUGUGAGUUCCCAGAAACAAAACUGUGAGAGCGUGGCCAGGGCCCAAAGUGGACAAUAUCGUGUUAUGGCGGAGCCGAGAUUGGGAUGUGACAUUGUCACCUAAGACAAAGUACAGAUCCACAUUUAGAGUUCUUCAAGUAUUCACAUAAUAAAAAAUUUCCAUACGCCCCCUACAACUAAUGAACAGAAAUCGAGACACGUUGACAAAAAGUCAACCGUCGAUCAACGGUAGGGUCCACAACCCUACAUAACUCGAUCCGCAAUAUCCAACCACUGUAUUUGUGAUUCAUAAGUUCAUAAGGUCUUCAAAUCCUACCUACAAUAACAUACUAAACUUUGGUGAUGAUCUAAUGGUCGAAUCAUCAUUUGCUAUAAUGUUCAAAUGACGCAAAUUCAUCAAUCAGAUGUCAAAUAUGGAAUCAGACAUCGAAUUUAGCUUAGGAAUGUCAAGUGGUGUCUCGAGCACGCACCGCCGUGCGCAACAGCUGGCAACCUAGAUUCGUCGGAAAAAUCACCUAAUUCCAAAAUGAAUGUUGUGAGACGUGGAGUAAAUUGUAUACCUGUGAAGAAGCCCAAUUUGGCCGGGAAGUGGCCUGAAAUCACUUUAGACCGUCGGAAACCCUAAAAUAGGUGAAUCUCGAUUCGUCAUCCCCGGUAUUCCACCGUUCUCAAACUUGUUUAGGGUUUGCUCAUGGUCUCAAAAGAAUGCUAAUGAUGGUGGUGAUUGAAAGAGAACGUUUCAGAAAUAGUGAAUCACCAAUGAGGGUUUCACGAAACCGACAUGGGUGUUCCUCGUGGAACCAAGACCAAAUCUCAACGGUUUUGGCUAGAAAUGGAUGCUGGGAUGUCAUGGUGAAGUUUGGUAGUGAUGGGAGGUUGAAGAAAGACAAAAAAAAUCGACAAAAAAAUCGUCGUCGGAGUCGCAAGAAACGAGUUAGAAAAAUGAGUCGUCGGGUCUGAAACGUCGAAGGCUUUUGAGACAACUACUUACUCUCUCUUCUCUGAUUAGUCACUCCACUCACUCUCUCAUUUGAUUGGUCCAGCCUUCCCACAUGGUGGGAGUUCCCUCAUAUAGUAACCCAAAAUUUACUAUUUAAAUCUGGUAUUGAACGUCCGUAACUUUUUCGUUAUGGUUUCGAUUCGCAAACGGUUUUCACCUAUGCGCUCGUAUGAUCGAAUUAUACUCAAAAACAUUAAUUAUGACCUCGAAAAGGUCUACGAGUUUUAAAAGAUUAAUUACAAAAAUUCACACCUUGUAACUAUACGAUUCAAAUCCUAAAAUUAACGGAAUUAAAAUAAACUAAAAAUAAUGUAAACACGAAAUACAGACUUUAAUAAUGAAAUACGUAAUUAAUAGUGGAAUUCCGGGGAUGGGAUUUCACAACUUGCGUCCGGACCUUCAAUGCGGAUCAAAAUCCAAAGGUCGUGAUCUGACGAGCUCAUGCAUAGAACAGAGUUGUUGUGACCCAAUGCAAUUCAAAACUUUUAUGUUUUUUUAUUUACUGGGUACGUUUUUUAUUUACUGGGUACAUUUUUGCAAGACGUUAAAGAAAGCGCUUCUUGGGAGGCAACCCAUGUAUUCAAAAAAGGAAGAUCUAUGAAUCGCUCUACAAUUAGUUUUGCGUUUCUAAAAACCUUCCCUUUUCUGCAUUUCUAUUUUGCCAUGAUUGUCAUUUUUUAUUUUUGUUGUUUAUUUAAUUAUUUUUGGGUGUGGGUUUAUUUUUGAAACAUUGACAGAUAUGCAAGAUAUUCUUACAUUCAUUUUCAUGAAAAAAAGAAAAGGGAACAUUAAGCAGGAAAUUACAAGAGGGAGCCUUCACAAAGGCUGCUUAGGAGAAGUCUCAGUAGUCGGCGGAGCCCCAGAAGAAGGAGGCAGCGGAGGUUGAUCAUUUGGAGCUUCAGUACGCGGUGCAGCCCCAGAAGACGAAUGCAAAUGUUGUUGGAACAAACCCACAAACCGCUGAUGAUCAAGUAAAAUCUGACAAUCAGAUUCCUGCAUCUGGUCAAUCUUCCUCUUCAUGUUUGUAGCAUAAUUAUGUGCGAGCCUGUGCAACUGUUUAUUCUCAUGCUUAAGCCCUCUAAUCUCCUGCUUAAGACUCAUCACUUCAGCCGCCAAUGAUUCAACUUGACGGGUUCGGGCAAAUAGGCGUUGGGCCAUAUUAGACACGGAACGUGCGCACUGCACACUGAGAGCUAGAGAAUCCUUUACAUCCAACUCAUCAGACCGUUUGGCAAGUAGUCUAUUAUCUUUGGGAGUGACAGGGUUCCUGACCACCACCGCAGCUGUCAUAUCAUUCUUCAUCACCGAAUCCCCAACGAUAAGGGGACCAGUAGGGGAUAUGAAGGAUGGGCGCCAUAUGUUGUCUGGAGAAGGCGGGACUGCCUCUUCACCAAGGUUCAAGUCAAAACGACGAUCGGAUGGGCCAAACAUUUUCACAGGUGUUAAAGAAAGAAGAGGUCGGACAAGUCAAGAUCGUAGAAGUGCAAGAUGAGAGUUUUUACAGGCAGAAAUUCAAGUGUGCUUUGAACGUCCUACGUACUUCUAUAAAAAUCAGCACUCGAUGGGAUUUCAGAGAUCGAAGAGGCAAGCUCAGAAAUCGAAGAGGCCAACUAAAAAAAUUAAAGAGGCGCUAGCUUUCUCAAAAGCUGAGCUUGCUCAGAAACCACGGCCAAUCUUCUUUUCCAGAUUUGUCCGCACUUGUCACAUGCAACUCGACGGGAUUUCAGAGAUCGAAGAGGCAAUUCCAGAUAUCGGAUAGGCAUCUGCUUUUGCAGACGUGUCAACAUCUGUCACAUGCAGAGUAAGCUUUGCGAAAAUCACGGGCAGUUUGUGAAGCGCCGAUUCCAACCAUCUGCUUUUGCAGACGUGUCAACAUCUGUCACAUGCAUAGUAAGCUUUGCGGAAAUCACGGGCAGUUUGUCGAAGCACCGAUUCCAACCAUCUGCUUUUCCCGACGUGUCAACAUCUGUCACUUGCAGAGUCAGCUUUACGAAAAUUACGGGCAAUCUGUCGAAGAUCUCUUGUGAAGUUUACUAUUAAAUCAUCCAACGGUUGCUGACAAGAGUGAAAGAAUAGUACCGACUAUUAAUUCCUAUAAAUGUCAUCCUUCACCCUCAAUUGCAAGGCAGACAUACAUAACCCCCUUCUUCUCAGAAAAUGCCUUUCCAACACACCCUCUCGAGUCACUCAGUGUUCCUAAUUCCUUGGGGUACCUCUGCAAACAACUCAUCCAAAGCAAAAGUAUUUCAUAUCAUGAAGGUUGAAAGCAAGAGUAUCUCAUAUCAUGCUUUCUCCCUGUCCUUCUCCUUGUCUUUGUUUUAGGACAAGGAGAAAGAGAGCAAUCAGCCAGCACUUGGUAUCAAUCUUCCGAUCUGGAACCGACUGCCUGGAACCCCUUCCUGAUUGCUUACCUAGCCUUGCUCUCGAGAACUCAUCUUCAUCAUCUUAUGCUUCCUCUUCGUCUACCACAUCUGCCUGGGGAACAGAUAAGGGAAGUGAAAAUGAUACCUCGAAGCAUGUGGAAACAAUUUACCAAUUCAUCCUUAGCUAGGGACAAGGAGAAAAAAAGCAAGAGGUGGGCACUUGGAAAGAUUGAAGAAAGAAACAGACCAACACCUCUACCUCAUGCCUGCCCGCCGUGCAGAAGAAUCAAGCAGAGAAGAAUACAGACUGCACAAUCAAAUCAGGGAACUCUCAUAUUUCUCGCUCAGAAUUCCAAACCAGUUCAAGAUCAACGCUGUGGAAAGUCAACAAGAUCAUCUAUCUCCAAAACCAGAUUUGCGUUCUUAAACUCUACUCUGUCUGGUUUUUACUUUGCUAUACUUGUCAUGUUUAUUCGUUGUUUGUUUGUUUGCUUGUUGUUGUGUGAGUUUAUGUUUAAAACAUUGAGGACAAUGUUUGAUUUAAGUGUGGAGGGAUAACCAUUGUUUUGCAUGAAAUUCGUAGGAGUUUAUCACCCAUUACUUCUAGUGUUGUUCCUUGCUGUUUUAAGUGUUUUAAGCUGUUUUGGAGUGUUUCAGUGUGUUUUGACAUAAAAAUCCGAAAAUCUCAUAAAAAUUUGAAAAAUUGUUUUGAAAAACCAAAAAAGAGUUGUUUUUGUAUGUUUAUUUGUGUUUUAGGGUACCUUCCAACACAAUGAUGAGGAUUUGGUUUUUAAUUACAUGACUGUUAAAGAGAAUUAUAAACAUGGAUGAAAAUUUGAUUUACUCUUUGGUGUAUGCUUGGUUGUGGUUAUAAUUUAUGAAUUCACAUGCAAUCAUAAAGGAAAAAUCAAUUUUGUAACAUGCUUGAAAGAAGGAACUCAAAUGUACGCUACAACCUUGUGAGACUUGAGCCUAGACGUUUAUUUGGAGAGUUAAUAAUGUGCAUUUUUGUUUUCUAAAGUCGUUGUAUGAUCUCAUUAUUCUUUGCUUGGUUGCUACCUAGAAUGCGUUCAUCAUUAUAGAUCCACAUACUAGAACUCAUGCCCGUUCCAUUCAAAGCAUGACAUUAAUUUGCAUAACACAUAUCCAAGAUGAAGUUGUUUAGUGAACCAAAGCCAAAAUAGCCGAACCCACCUUUGUCAUUUGUUUUGUAGGUUUAAACCCCGUUGAGCCUUGUUUAGCCUAUUUUCUUUGUUAAACCACAUCAUCUCUACCUAACCUAGAAUAGGACUAUCCAUACCCUUGUUCUUGAAGUAUAGUGGAGCAUAACUUAGAAAGAAUUCAUUUUGAAACUUAUUGGGGGAAUUUAGAUUUCAAAUUUUUUGUGUGCCAAAGAAAACGGCAAGAGAAAAAAUUCGUGAAAAAAAAGAAAAAAGAAAAGAAAAAUUUGCAAAUUUUCCUGUGUUUAAAAGUAGAUGCCUAAAUUAACCCUUACAUUAAUUUUCCUUGAAUAAUUUCUCAUUCCAUCUAAUUUAGAUCCAUCUUGCUCACUAUUCUUUUUAAAUUUGUGGAUUUUGAAAUUUCAAAUGAGAAUGAAAUUGGAUGAGUUCAAUUUUCGUUUAAUUCUUACAAUUAAUAAGAAAUUCCGUCGAAAACAUUUUGAGUAUUGUUUAAUUUUUCAAUAUUACCGUAUUGUGUCAUUGAAAUAAUUAUCAGAGGAAUUAGGGAAUUCUCUUAAGGAACAACUCAAAAUGUAGUACAUGAUUAAAUAAUUCCUUUGAAUGGUCAACUAUGAUCAACAUAUCUUGUAUCAGAUCUUAGUCAAAUACCUGUUAAGAGUGUAAAUUUCUUGUGUGAAAAUGAGUGUAUCUAGUAAUUUUGGCAUUAGGAUGUUACUACAUUCUCAAAAUGCUGUUUUUUGAUUAAAUGAGCUGUGAGGUACUAAUCAAAUAUGCUCGAGGGUAAGAAUGGCUUAAAUUAUGUGAGUGGUGAUCUGGUUCAUGUUUCAUUAAAAAUCCCUGAGGCAAAUGUUGGAAGAUUUAGGUUAUGUUUUGUUUGUUUCGUUUGUUUUGUUUUGCUCGAGGACUAGCAAAAGCUAAGUGUGGGGAAUUUGAAUUUGAUAGGAGCAUUAUUAUGCGACUGAGUUAGCUUGUUCUCAUGCAUUUAUGUUGUUAUUUCUUAGUUAAUUAUGUAUUUUAAGCUAUUUUCGUGUGUUUGUAGGUCCAUAGGCCUUAUAAAGCAAUAAGGUGCAUUUUGGAGCAGUUUUGGGCUUGGAAUGGAUAGCACAUGCAUGGAGUAAGGUGAUGGACGAAAUUGAAGACUAAAGAGGCUUGGAAUGUGUUAAAAAGAAAGAAUAAUUAAUGACAAAGAGCUCAGCAACCAAACAGGGAACAUGAGUCAAGAUUACCUUAUUUUGAUUUAAUCUUUCCUAAUCUUCAAUGUCCCUAAGUUCCAACAACAUUCCUUGUCUAUUUCAUUCACUCAUUGCCUAGCACCACCCUUGUUCCCUCCAUCAUUCCAAAUUUCUUGCAUCAAUCAUCACUCCACCUUAACCCUUGACUCAUUUCUACACCAUUCCACCUCCCUUUCCUUUCUCUACCAUGUGCACAAUCAUUCAUGUUCCCUACUUGCAUUCAUUGUUGCAACACCACUCCAUUUUACCCCUCAUGCUUUGCAUCAUUACUUCACUUUCACCUUUGAAUCAUUUCAACACCACUUCAUUUUACCCAUGGUUUGCAUCAUUACUUCACUUUCACUUUCACCUUUGCAUCAUUACUUCACUUUCACCUUUGAAUCAUUUCAACACCACUCCAUGUCCCCCUCCAUUGCCUUGCCCUUCCUCUAUAAAAGGAAGUGUGUGUAACAUAAAUUUAGUUCAUAUAUUUUUUUAGAUCAUUCACUCCCAUUUCAAUACAACCUUCAUCCAAACACAUUCAUUCAUCUUCACAUCCAUUCCUCCAUACAAACAAACCUUCAAACACUCACCAACACCUUGUGCCAUAGCAAAGGAAGGAAAGGAAAAUGCUUGGACGUGCGUGCUGUCAACUUGGAUCGUUGGAGCGUUUAGGUGUUUUCUUUCUUUUGUUUCCAAUGUUAAAUUCAUUUUCUGAUUUUGUUGCAAUUAUGAGUGGCUAAAACCCUAUUUAGUUAGGGGGAAGUUUGAAGCCAUGAACAUGCUUGAGAUAUGAAUUGAUUUCUUCCAAUUGUGAUUUGAUAAGUUGUGAUUGCAAUUCAAUUAUCUAUUUUAUUCAUAACUGAUUCUUGUAUGUUUAUUAAGGAUGCAUACUUAAUUUUCAUGCAUGAAUUAGAUGCUAGAAUAUAAAUGAGUUUCACCUAAUCGUUACAAGUUUAUAUUCAUGAGUAGUGAAGGUUGUUUAUCACAAUCUGACACACCCCGUCCCGAAGGAGGGCGUGCUGGCCGUCACGUGAGAGUGACGUAACCAUUUACACAGUUCGGAAGCUUUAAAAAAAAAUUCCAAUUACUAAUAUAACACACCCGAGGGUGAGUCCUACUUUUGUGAAUUCUGUCAGAACACCGUUGGAUUCCUCGUGGCCACCAAAGCUCUGCUAACUUGAACCUGGGGCGCAAAACAAAAGCUUGAACUUGAACCUUUCAGGCGCAAAACAAAAGUUUUUUCGAAAACUUUUCAUUUAAAACAUUUCUAACCCCUCACUGUAAAACCUGUAUACUUUCCCAGAAAAUAGUGUAUAUAUAAACAUAUAUAUAAGCAAAAAUCUCGAAUCUCAAACCUUUAACACUUUUCAGAAAUAUAUAUAUAUAUAUAUAUAUAUAUAUAUAACCAUUUGAAAUCUCAAGACUUGAAUCCCAAAUCUUUAACAUUUUUCAAGAAAAGCAUGCCAUGCCAUAAAUCAAAAAUAUAAAUCAGGUGAAAUAAGGAAUCAAUCGGAGACCCUGCAGUUGGUCCUAUACGAUUAAUUCAAUAGCUCAUUAUCUCACUAAGCCGGAGUCACCACAGUAACCUAUACGGCCCUACUCUGCACAUCACUCAGAACUACGUAAGGUAGUCUAUACGAUGAAAGGUGUAAAAAUACGCUCUAGUGCUUCUCUCAUCAUAUCAUCAGCGCGCAUAACUAAGAUCACCCACUAGUCGGAAUCACGCCUAGUGAUCUAUACGACUAGCAUGUCGGAACCCUCACAUGGUCUGUACGACAUCCACCUACUUGGAUCCAAGGCGAGCGUGCGGUGUGGUGAAUAAAAUAAGCACUAACACCUAGGGUGCAGGUUAUGAGCUUAAAACAUCUUAUCAACAAUCAAUUAAAUGAAUAAAUGAACUCACCUGACUUACCUGUGCCUCCACCGCACCAUGCAACAUGUAUGCAUCAAAUAUCAAUUCGUAUAACUCAUACGCAAUUCACAUUUUUCAAUUAAUUCUAUGCAUGGCAUUUUUAAAACAUAUUUUCAUAUAAAUUCAUUUUAUGGGAAAAAUCAAUAGUAUAAAGGUAAUACAAAAACAAAACUGCCCACUCACCUGGAGUUCGCCCAACAACUCCCUAGCACCACACAUCAAGGCGUCAUGAAGAUUAGUGCCUAGAACAAUAAUCAAACCCAACCUCAGAAAUCAUGCCGAUAGAAUACAUAACUUAUAUAAGACGCGUCCCUACGUAGUUCGAUCCGGAUGAUCUGCAACUCGGAUUUCAAAUCCGUAACUUCCAGAGGUCCACAAUAUACCUCUAGGACAACAUCCUAAAAUUUCAUUACCAUCCAACGGUCGGAUCUCCGUCAAUUUCCAAAACUAAGUGCCGGUUAACAUUCUAUUUUAUGAACUUACAACUCCAAUUCCGGAAGAUCCGUAAAUCGGAUUCCCAAUCCGUAAGUUCCUAUAAUCCUCAAAUAUUACGUAUUACAACGUAUCAACGUUUGGUGACGAUCCAACGGUCGGAUCGUCAAUUCACAUUUUCACCUAACUACGAAUCGUAACCAACUUAGGUUCAAUUACUCAAUUUACGUCCAUCAAUUAUCAAAACUGAACCUAGAGCCUUAAUCACAUGCUAAUAAUGACAUUGGCGGGCCAUUGGCCAUGCGCCGCCGCGCGGGCCGCCGCGGGUGGCGGUUGGCCGCCCCCGGCUCGCCGGAAAAUUCAACUAUUUCCAAAAAUUACCAAAAUUUGCAGAUUUGAAGAUAUCAAUGAGUAGAACAACUUUCAUACCUGUGGCCAAGGCCAAUUUGGCCUGGAAGUGCUUCAAUUUCACCAAAACCGUGAAGAACCCUAGAAUUAGGUGUUUCCAAUUCGACCUUCAAACUUGUUCCAACGCCUCAAUUACCUCUUAGUAUUUGUUCUAGGUCCUAAAGGAAUGCUAAUGGUGUUAGUAAUUGAAAGAAAACAUUUCAAAAUUUCAAGAAUUUAAACAAAAGGGUCGCGGCACCCGUGUGGGUGUUCUUCGCGAAAUCACCAUGAAAUUUAAUGAUUCUUGGGGUGAAACGUGAAGAGGGAAGGCCUAGAUGUUGAUUAGGAGUGGUACCUUGACUCAAUUCGUCGGAAAUUUGGACGAAAAUGGUGAGAACCCGCCGAUUGGAAGUCGCGGGUCGCACGGGUAUACGGGUUGGGAAAACCCAUUUCUUCCUUCUCUCCUCCGCUUCUCGCCCUCUCUCCUUUCCUCCUUUCCUUCCUCUGGUUGGUCAGCUUCUCCCUCUCUCUUCUUCUGAUUCGCCUCUCCUCCUUCUUCUCCGAUUGGGCAGUUUUUGCCCAAUCUCUCUUCUUCUUUCUGUUUUCUGGUUCUUCUCACGCGCACACACACACACAACUUCCUUUUUCUCAUCCCAGCCAUCUAUUUCAUUCAUCAUUAAAUCUGGGUCGUCCAUUUUCAUAAAAGAAUUUCUAUUUUACUAAAAUUAUAAUUCCUUAAAAUCCCAAAUUUCAAACGUUAAUAACUUCUUCGAUAUAACUCCAAAUCACGAACCGUCUACGCCCACGCGUCCGUAACGACGAGUACUACGAGGAUAUGUCAAGAAAACAAAUCUUAGAUGGCACGACACAACGAUUAACCUCGAAUGAUGUGCGUGCCUCAAAGGGCAUUUUUGUAAAAUCCUUUAUGAAAACUUUAAAAAUUCUUAAAAUUAGGGACGGGCUGUCACACAAUCGCGUUAAUUGAAUUCUUGGCAAUUGUAUCAUGCAUUCAUAGUUAUAAUUGUCUCGUCAACACUUAUGAUUUUCAUUGAACGUAAUGAUCUCUGAUUGUAUCUCUAUUAUGCAUUAAUAUAGGGGACUUUUAGAGGAUGAUUUGGGUUGUCGCAUGCAUUCAUCCAAUUCAAUGAGUAAAGGAAAAUCUGAGGGUUAAUUUGUGCAUCACGGUUAAUCUGGGUGUUGAGCAUAAUAGUUUAUUGAAAAGCAAUUGGAAAUCGAUUCAUGUACAAGUGUGUCAUGUGUGAAGAACGGACCUCUAACUAAUCCAUCCAUCAUUUUAUUUCUCAAAUUCAUUUUAUAAUCUGCCUAGUUUUAUAACUUGCUUGUUUAUUUCAAAUUCAUCCAAACCAAAAUCCCCUUUUUACUUUCUUGUUUCAAAGUGUUAAAUUUCUGUUUUGUUUGUGUUUUUGAGUGUUUUGAUUCAAGCCAAAACACUAAAUUCAUCCAAAGUUGAUUUAAAGUCCAAAUCUGACUAGUUUGUGUUUUUAGGCAGUUUUGAGUGUUUUUAAGUUGUUUUGAAUCUUUAGAAUCUGUUUUGAGUCCCUUGAGUCUAUUCAAACAUUUUUAAUUUUGUUUUUAUGUUUUUGAGUCAGUUUAAAGGUUUUAGCAAGCCCUCCUAAUCCCCGGUUUAGAACGAUCCCUACUUGCAUUUAUACUACAAUUUGACAACAAGAGGGUUUAAUUUGAGUGCUUAACUUUCAUCGCAUCAUGUGAGUUCCCAGAAACAAAACUGUGAGGGCGUGGCCAGGGCCCAAAGCGGACAAUAUCGUGUUAUGGCGGAGCCGAGAUUGGGAUGUGACAUUGUCACCUAAGACAAAGUACAUGUCCACAUUUAGAGUUCUUCAAGUAUUCACAUAAUAAAAAAUUUCCAUACGCCCCCUACAACGAAUGAAGAGAAAUCGAGACACGUUGACAAAAAAUCAACCGUCGAUCAACGGUAGGGUCCACAACCCUACAUAACUCGAUCCGCAAGAUCCAACCACUGUAUUUGUGAUUCAUAAGUUCCUAAGGUCCUCAAAUCUUACAUACAAUAACAUACUAAACUUUGGUGACGAUCUAAUGGUCGAAUCAUCAUUUGCUAUAAUGUUCAAAUUACGCAAAUUCGUCAAUCAGAUGUCAAAUAUGGAAUCAGACAUCAAAUUUAGCUUAGAAAGGUCAAGUGGUGUCUCGAGCACGCGCCGCCGUGCGCAACAGCUGGCAACCUAGAUUCGUCGGAAAAAUCACCUAAUUCCAAAUGAAUGUCGUGAGACGUGGAGUAAAUUGUAUACCUGUGAAGAAGCCCAAUUUGGCCGGGAAGUGGCCUGAAAUCACUUUAGACCGUCGGAAACCCUAAAAUAGGUGAAUCUCGAUUCGUCAUCUCCGGUAUUCCACCGUCCUCAAACUUGUUUAGGGUUUGCUCAUGGUCUCAAAAGAAUGCUAAUGAUGGUGGUGAUUGAAAGAGAACGUUUCAGAAAUAGUGAAUCGCCAAUGAGGGUUUCACGAAACCGACAUGGGUGUUCCUCGUGGAACCAAGACCAAAUCUCAAUGGUUUUGGCUAGAAAUGGAUGCUGGGAUGUCGUGGUGAAGUUUGGUAGUGAUGGGAGGUUGAAGAAAGACAAAAAAAUCGACAAAACAACCGUCGUCGGAGUCGCAGGAAACGGGUUAGAAAAAUGAGUCGCCAGGUCUGAAACGUCGAAGGCUUUUGGGACAGCUACUUACUCUCUCUUCUCUGAUUAGUCACUCCACUCACUCUCUCAUUUGAUUGGUCCAGCCUUCCCACAUGGUGGGAGUUCCCUCAUAUAGUAACCCAAAAUUUACUAUUUAAAUCUGGUAUUGAACGUCCGUAACUUUUUCGUUAUGGUUUCGAUUCGCAAACGGUUUUCACCUACGCGCUCAUAUGAUCGAAUUAUACUCGAAAACAUUAAUUAUGACCUCGAAAAGGUCUACGAGUUUUAAAAGAUUAAUUACAAAAAUUCACACCUUGUAACUAUACGAUUCAAAUUCUAAAAUUAACGGAAUUAAAAUAAACUAAAAAUAAUGUAAACACGAAAUACAGACUUUAAUAAUGAAAUACGUAAUUAAUAGUGGAAUUCCGGGGACGGGAUUUCACACCUUGCAUCCGGACCUUCAAUGCGGAUCAAAAUCCAAAGGUCGCGAUCUGACGAGCUCAUGCAUAGAACAGAGUUGUUGUGACCCAAUGCAAUUCAAAACUUUUAUGUUUUUUUAUUUACUGGGUACGUUUUUGUAGGAGGAAAAGGGGAAGUCGAGAGAUUCUUUGCGCAUUAAAGAGGGAAAGAGAGAAAGGGGGAGCUAAGAGGUUCUUCGCGCGUUAAAUUUUUGCUUCUGAUUUUGCAACCUAGAAAUAAAGUAUUUUCUUUAUGGUUUAUGGUUCAAGAAUAUAAUGGAUACAGCCUAAAAAUGUUUCUUUUUUUAUUUUUUACUUUUUUUUUCUUAUGUUGGCUUUUGGUUUAUUUUUAUAAUGCACUAUAUAUUAACUAAAUUUAUAAACAUUUUGUAUCUUUGUUGCAGUCAAAUUAAUCAUAUGGGUCGGCAUGACGAAGUUCGACUGAGACAUACAGAUGUUUUGCAAUCUUAAGUCUAACCUGACACACCCCGACCUCAAUAUCUAGUGGACACCAAAAUUGAGGUGUGAUGGCCAUCAUCCGGAUGGGUGAUGAAACCAUAAUAUGCAUGAAACAUAACUAAAUUAUCAACCAAUAAAAUCUAUUGAAAAAUUUGGCAGAACAUCCCUUAAAAUAGGGAUAUGCCCAAAUUAAAAACACUUGCACAUGAUCAAAAUUAUUCAACACUUCCCCGAAGGGCCACACUUAAUGGGACUUCGACCAUCUAUUACAUGCAUGAGAAUAUGUUCAGAGCAUAAUUACCCAAACACGUCUUAUUAAAAUAUUGAGUAAAUACCAUACAAGAUAGAAUACGUCAGAGCUGUUGCAAAAUACCUCAAUGUCCGAUGUAAUCACUGAUAGAAUUACUGAAUCAUGUAUAGAUGGAAAGCUGAUAAAUACAUGUAAUUUGAGUGGAUACUUACCAGCAGCAUGGAUACAAUAUCAUCCACCGGUCGUAACUAAUGACAAGCUGAGAGUAUAACUGUAGUACCUCUUAUUAGUGCAAUGCAUGAUAUGAAUUCCAUCUCACAUAUAUAUGCAAGCCAUAAUCAAACCAAUAAACAUCCAACAAAAGCCACAAUCCUUUUAACAUUCGACCACAAGAUCAAUUUUCAUAUUUCCCAAACCUAGGUUCCAAAGCAUUGUUUCGAAUUAUUAAUACAAGAAACCACCACCACCUCAAUCAACUCCUAUUCCCAAGUGUAAGCAAUUACUAAAUGCAUCACUUUCGACUCUAGUCUUAAUUAGAUUACUUGGGAUACUCAUUCACACCAUCAGAUCCAAGUACUAUUUUGAUAAACUUUAAAUAGCAUGGUUAAAAUAAAUGAAACACUUUUAGAAAAUAAGUGAAGAUGUUGUUUACAAAUAUAGAUGCAUCUGUAUAUAAAAGCUUUGGCGGUUGAUCCGUAUACACUUCCAAAGAUAUAAGCAAGUUCAUUGGAAUAUACAUGCAUAGUUAAUGUAUUACAGUAUAAUUAAUAAGAAAACAAUUGCAUCCCUUUAAGAAUAUAUAUAUAUAUAUAUAGACACACACACAUACAUACACACAGGCCCUUUAUGCAAAGGAAUUUCCAUUUUUUUUCAAAAAAUGGGGAUUAGUUGUGGGGCCCACGUUGCAUUGAACUUUAACGAUCCGAACAGUCUAUUUUGUAAGUCUCGAUUCAUAUAUCAUCCUUGUAAAAAUUCAAUUCAAUCCGAACCCAUUUGCCUAUUUAAUUAUCAAGAUAAAAUUUUAUUGUUUCUUAUAUAACAAAGUAUUCGUUAAUUUCUUUGAACUCAAUUAGAUAUCUUAAACAUUUCCGAUUUGGUUAAUAUUUUGUAAGGAUGAUCUAUGUGGUGCAACUUGAAAAAUAGACGAUUACGAUCGUUAAAGUUCGAUGUGGUGUAAACCCUACAAUUAAUCUUCAUUUUUAUAAAAGAAUGGGAACCCCUUCCCUUAAAGGUUUCCUAUGUAUAUAUUUGUUCUCCAGACAUAUGCAGAAGGUAAUGUAAAACUAAUGAGAACUUAAAUGGAUAUUCCAUACAUAGGACAAUUCCAUAUAUGCUUUUUCAACAUUUAUAUCGAAAAGCCAAAUUGUUUUGAGGAAAUUAAUUGUAGCAAUGAUCCCUUAACUUUUAUCUUAUUGGAACAAUGGUCUCUCAACUAAAAAUUCAUGACCAUUGGUUCCUUAACACCACACAACGUGUAGUUAUGGUCAUUUUCAUUAACUCCGUCAGAACUUUUGUUAAAACAAGUAAUGUUAGAAGAAUCAUUGCUACAAUUAGGUUAAAGUUGGGGACCAUUGCUCUAAUUAAAUUAAAAUUGAGGGAUCAUUUCUCCAAAUUGCUUAAAGUUCAAGGACCAUUUCUACAAUUUUCUCAUCUAGUUUCCCAUAUUUACCCCAUGAUUCAGCUUCACAUGCAUUGCACAUGACUCAUUUUGACAAAAAAUUUAACAAAAUUGACGAAAAUGACCAUAAAUGCACGUUUUGAAGAGUUAAGAGACCAAUGGUCGUGGAUUUUAGUUGAGGGAUCAUUGCUCCAAUUUGGUUAAAGUUGAGGGAUCAUUGCUACAGUUUUCUCAAAUGUUUCGUAUGCGAAAAUAGGCAUUUGUAAAGUUUGGCUUGUUUAUGGCAUUAUUACUUUAGUCUAAAGUAAGGCUGGGAAUGGCACUGUAGAAAUGAAUAGUGUUCCAAUCCGAAUUUCAGUUUAAUUACAACAAUGCCAUUGCUCUUUGUGUUGCCUUUAGGUGAGCAGCCCGGCUUGCAGUCAGGCCCAAAUGUAUUGGUUUUAGCUGAGAAGCCCGGCCCUUGGUCAGGCCCAAAAUUUUAAAUUACAGUUUUGCCCAUACAAAAUAACAAUCCGAUUGUAUCGGGAAGGACAAUUUUGUCCUUUCAGUUUUGGGUGAGAUAAGGGGUAACAGGGUAAGUUUCAUUUGCUGUCGUUUAAUGAGGGUUUCGGGGAUGAGGGCUCUGUGUGUGUGUGGAUGAGAGAGAGAGAGAGAGAGAGAGAGAGGGAGAUGGCGAUGGAAGGAGAGCGAGGGGGAAGGGAAGGGUUCUCGGCACUGUUGCUGCAUGUGGAUUUCACAUGUGGGAGAGUGGGUAUGGUCAGAGAAAACCAUAUAGGUCAUUGGGAUUUCAGGGAAACGGGGUAGGGGUCAUGAAUGAACUCUGCUGAGAGUGUGGGUACCGGAUCUUGCGCUGCAUGCCUCAAAUCAAAGAUAAGUUCGUUUUUUUAUUGUAUUUUUUGUGGUAGCUUAGCUUUUGGAAUUGUUUAGUAUGUUAGGUCCGAUUUUGGGGGAUUUAUCUUUUUAGAGAGAGAGAUGGACAGGGAGAUAGAGAGAGAGAGAGAGAGAGAGAGGAGGAGGAAGCAUGACUGUGUGCAAUUUUUGGUGUUAAUUAAUGGGUUGGUGCGUAGGGUGAGUGACAGAGUGACAGAGUGAAGGAGGGACGUGUGGGAGGGUAUGAGUUUUCAGUUCUUUCUUUUGAUUCAACAGGUUAUACAUUGUUUGAAAAACCUUUUUUUAUUAUUUUUUUCUCGUUUGCUUUGUUAAAACCAUCAUUUGAAUUUUUGGGUUUCACUGUGUUCAUUUCUCUGCUUCUUCAUAAUUUGCUGGUGUUUGCUUUUCAUCCCUCUAUUGGUAGAUCUUUUUCUCAUUUCUUGGUUCCUUAUGUAUUCUUUGGUACAAAUCUAUUUACUUUUUGGCUGUGUGAUAAUCUUAGCAGGUGAACUAUAUGAACGUUUUUUUUGAAACGAGUUAAGAAGAUCCAGCUGAAAAGAGCAUGCAAGAUAGAGAACUGGUAUGCUGCUCGCCAGGGAAAGGCUGCUGGAGAGGCUGAGACGGAUGCCUCCUUCAAAAACCAGGUCAGUUUCCUGCUACUCGGCGUCUUAAUGUAUCCAAAUUGUUUAUCUUUUGAUGAAAUUAGCUGGCUUUAUUUUCUAUUUUAUUUAUCUGCAUAUUAUUUUGGUUUGUUGAAAUUUUGACUAUAGUCAUUGUGUCACAUGGGCGCCCAGCCCAACCCAAAUUAGUUGAGGAUAUUUAAAUCUUCACCAUGGUAUUAUAGUACUCACUCACAGUUGUGAAUACUAAGGUGCAGGCAUGGCAUGAAGAAGUGGACCGUGCACGCCAAGGUCAGAGGGAUGCAGAGGGCAAACUUUUUUCUUUGGAGGUAAGUAUCCUUUGUUUAUUGCCCAACAGUGUUGUUAUUAUCAAUUUGUAGCUUUGCGUUCUGAAUUUUUUGCUUUGUCAAACAACCUUUUUGAAAUGCUCGAUUUCAAGCCGAAGUCCAAAAAAUGAGAGUUGAGAUGGCUUCCAUGAAGAGGGAUGUAGAGCAUUACUCGCGCCAGGUGAAAUCUGCUUCCUCUCUUUUCGUAUAUCUUCAUAUGAAGAGUUUUACUAAGUUAUAUUGAGAACUAUGUUAUUUAUAGGUUAUAUUUUCCAUUUUGCAAGAACACAUGGAGCUAAGGAAGAGCUAUCGUGAACUCACUGAUCUACUGGUAAUGUCACUCAAACUGCUUUAUUUGUGCAUGCUGCUACUAUGCGCUUGAAUGCAUUUUAUUACUGGCGGGAUGCGAAGAAUGCUAGAUAUAUGUGCUGGAUCGCUUGAUUAGUGUUAGGGUUUUAACAACUAAUUGUUAGCAGCUAGAAGCUCUGGUUAGAUGAAUGCUAAUUUGAUUUUCCUUACAGUACUUGAGUGCCAGUUUCAUAUUGUUUGUUCCCUGCUGGAUACAUGCUGUACAGUUUCAUUUCUGUUUCUUCAUAACUUUCUUGGCCCUGCGAUAUAUGCAUAUUGAGUACAAUGAAUAUCCAUUGUUCUCUAACUGUUGGGCUUUACUAUCUUUGUAGCAGCCUGCCUAACAUUUUUUAGGCUCUACACUCUACCAUCCAAUUUAUGAAAAAUUCAAAGAUUGGACGGUAUUGAUUGCAUAAAUGAAAAAAAUACUAUGAUAUUAGAAAGGUGAAUGUAAUUGUGUUAGAAGAAGCGUCUAGCAUGAUGGGUAAUAUUUUAAGUUUGUAUUUCUAAAAUUUUUUCGUUCUGGAGUAUGAUUUACCUCAAUUGUUUUGUACUUUAAUCUUUACUAAUUUUCAUUGUGGAGUAUGAUUUGCCUCAACUAACAACUUUUCAUUGUUUAACUUUUUCCUCCCUUAGAUAGUUGCAUAUGUUUGAUUUGUUAAUCUGCUUCUUACACAUGUUGUUUCCUAAUGGUGUAGGUGGAUUGCCGGAUGCAUGUGCAGAUUACUUGAAUAGACGAAGCUAAGAAUGACUUAGUAUUAAGUGAGAAAGAAGCUUGGGUCAGUUGGAUUUUGACAUUUGAUUUAUUCAUGUUUUUUUGUUGCUUGCAAUGUUCUCUCAUUGUUUGUUCUGAGAUUCUGUGAUCUUAUUUUUCAUAGGAACUGACAUUGGUUUGCCAUAUAAUGUUUCAGGAACUAAUACAACAACUAAUCACCUUGCUUAGGUCUCAAGACACAUACUUAACAGGUUAACAAACGCUAACCUAUAAACUUAUCUACUAAGCUGGACCAUUAACCUCUGUUUAUAUCCCUGCCACUCAUCUUUUGGCACUUAUCAAUAGCAAAAUCUAGAGUUGUUGAAACCCCAAUUUUAAUGAAUAUUAUUUUUAGUUGAUAAUUAAAAUUAAUUGAUGAUUAAUCUAUUCCAUUGUGCAUUAUUUUAUCGCCAAAUACUUUGAAUAUUCAUUAGCAAAAGAUAUAGGGUUCACUAUUUAAUGAAUAGAAUUUUGAUGGUGGAUUGCAUUUCCUGAGUUAUAAAUGUGGUGAAUCCAUUAUUUACUAGCUGAAUAAUCAUAAUGUUUUGGCCACUUACCUUGAAUUUUGUUCAAAUUGAAGAAGUCACAUGUUUCUUUCUGUUGUUGAGGUAAUCUCUCUGUUGAAAGCUUCUAUUUCUUUUUUCUUUUUCUUUUUUUCAUUUGGGUAGAUUUUUUUUUUAUGGAUUUAUGUAUUUUUUUUCUUCAGAGAAUUCGAAAUGAAAUAAGAAUAGCGGAUUGAGCAUAAACAAAUUGAUGAAAUUUUUAUUUGAGUGUUUGUGUUGGUCCUUUUUUGAUUUGUUGAGGUUUGGAAUUAUUUGAGUUUUUUUGCUGUUAGUACUGUGAAGGAUGCUUGGCAAUCGCGAAAUGGGGGCUACCUCUUUGGAAAGAGAAGUCUCGCUAUCCAACCUCUCAUGAAUUACAAACAGGGUGCUUUCUUGCUGAAAAACCACUGAAUCAGUAGAACUUUCCUCGGUUCUUCAAUUCGAUUCGAAUAAUUUUUUUACCCAGAAAAGCCAGCGUUUCCUGGUGAGUUUUACAGCUUUCUCAAUGUUUUUUUUAUUUUGGAUUUGCAAAUUUGUUUUCUGUUCAAAUUUCCUUUUGUGAUUUUGGAGGUUUUGUUUAUCGAUUCUCUCACUCAUCUCUCAGCUCUCUCCCACUUUUGAGGUACAUGUCGUUGGAUUCCGUUUGCUGCUGUUGAUCUGCAGGUAAAGCUUCAAUUACCAUACAAAGUUUACAUUUUUCAUGAUUUCUUGAAUUUGGGUUUUAAACAAAGGAAAUAUUGCUAGAUUCUUAUCUUAUGUGCAAAUUACUGGCUAUUUGGAUUGGUGCUUGAGAUUUAGAGAAUGUCUCGCAGCUUUAAUUUCUUUUUCCUUCAUUAUUACUGUUUUCAAAAUUUUUAUUGCUGGGUAUUGAUAAUUUGUAGUAUGUGAGGGCUUCAAUAUGUUGGAAUUUUGAAUGGUUAUUGCUUCAUCGGAAUUUGGGUGGUCCAAAUUUUGAAUUAGAAGAAACCCAUUUGAUUAAUAUUUUUGGUGGAUUGGUUCUCUGUGUUUUCUUUGCUAUUUCUCCCCCAGUUGGAAAUUGGAAGCCCCAACUUUGAGCUCAGAGCUUGAAUUUCUCAAUCGUUCGUUUCUCUACACUCUCAUCAGUCACUCUUGAUCCUCUAUCUAAAGAACUGGGUAAUUUUCCAGCUCUAUCAAGUAAUACUCAAUUUAAUUGCUUAAUUGAGGUUUUUUGUUUCUCUUUUUCGCUCUUUCAUCAGUUCAUUGGCUUUGAUGUUGAGCUUAAGUAAAUGGGAGAUCAUUAAUUGGCAUUGUUCAAAAUAUAAUUAUGUGUUUUUGGAUUUGUGAAACGAUUUGCCUAAUGAUGAUAGUGGUUAAAAUAAAUUUUUCGUUAUGAAAGAGAACAUUGUUCUUCAUUUGCCUACGGUUUUAACUACAAAGUUAAACUACUAUGCUUUUGUUCAAUUGAUUGCAACUCAUGCCGCAGUUUGCUUCACAAACCUCUAUGGUUAGCUUCCAUACAGUAUGUUGCAAGUUUGAGGAUAUCUUUACAUCUUAAUUUUUGCUCUCUCUGGUUGCUUCAAGUUUGUAAUUUUACGUGUUACAUUGCUACUUGAUUUGAUUAUAAAAAUGCAAAAGAAAAUCCAUUUUGCUUUUAUUCAACUUAAAUGUAUCCUUUUGUUUGUUCAUAAUUGUGUUGAAUUUAUUCAACUUAAAUGUGUUUUAUUCAUCUGUUUACGCUUAAAACAACUGGUUCCCCUAGCAAUGCGCGGACCUAAUUUCUAGUACAUAUACUAAAAGCCAGCAGAAAAUUACUGUUCAUCAUGGGAGAUAGAGCACUGUUCAUUAACAGUGAAAGGGAAAAAAUGCCCUCGGUUUCUUCUUUACUUCACGUACUGUUUACGAAUUGCUACAGUAUAAAGUCCGUUUUGUCAUUCCUGUCCACGCAUCUUUCAUCGUCCGUUUCUCUUGCUUCGACCGCAUCUUUUUCGCUUUACCUUUCCUCUUCGUUUUUCGCCUUCGCUAGGCUGCAAUUUUCGGAGGUGGAUUGUUUGCCCUUCUAUUUCCAUGCUCUCCCCAUGCCCUCCAUUGAUGUGUGGUCACGGUUAAACUAUGUCAACAUUUUAUAUUAAUUUUUUUAUAGAAAUAAUAAAAUAAAAAGUAAUAGGUAUCCAGGAAAUUUUCGUCAAAAUAUCCAGGAAAUAGGUAUCCAGGAAAUUUGCUUUACCGAUAUUUUAAUAGGUAUCCAGGAAAUUUGCUUUACCGAUAUUUCGCCGAUAUUAUCGGUUUUUUGCUUUACCGAUAUUUUAAUAGGUAUCCAGGAAAUUUUCGUCAAAAUAUCGCGAUAUUAUCGAUAUUAUCGAUAAUAUCGCGAUAUUUUAGAUAAUAUCGAGACAUUUUGGUUUCUCGACAGUCAGUCACAAUCUCGCCGGAGAAUCAGAAUAACUCCGAGCAAGAACAAAACCUGCAACCAAACGGAACAAAAUCAUCACUAUCUUUCAACAAAAAUCACCACUUUAUACCAAAAUCAGUGACAAAAUUACACUAAUCCGAGAAGCAAGGGCUUGAAUUCGAGCAAGAUCUGGAAGAAAACAGUAGAAGCUGAGAAAUCGAGUACCUCACCGGCAGUUACAGUGCUAAAGAUCAUCAUCUUUGGAAGGCCGCGGAUCAGACGGAGCUGAGAGAUCAAUGAGUAAGCAUUUCAUAGAUCGUAUUCGAUGAGCAGCUGAAAGAGAGGAGAGAGAAAGCAGAGAGAGACGCGGACGAGGAGGAUCUCGCUGAUGGGGACGACGAAGGAGAGGUAGAGGUCGCGGCCCGCGGGACAUGGUGACGGGCUCGACGAGGAGGAAGGCGAAGGAGGAGCAGAGGAGAUGGGUGCGUGCGUGCUGCGGUGCAGAGAAGAGAGAUGAGGGAGAUAUGAGAGAGAGAGAGCCGAGAGGGAGACAGAAGAAAAAGAAAAGAAAACAGAAAGAAGAAGAAAAGAAGAAGGGAGUCGCGGGGGAACAAAGAGAGAAAAGAGAAAAGUGGAGGGGCUGCCACGUGGCCACUUCAGAAAGAAAGGGAUCCAAUGUUUUGGAUCCUGAUUGGGUAGUCAAAGAGGACCAAUUUGAUAUAUUAAAAUGUUUAGGGGAUAAUUACACAAAUAUAUCUUUAUAAAUGGGGGUGGGUGUUACAUAUUGCCCUAAAAAACUCCAAGUAAUUACAACAUCGUAUUAGAAUUGUAAUUGAUCCUUGUUAGAUUUGGUUUAGAAAUUCUAUGUAAUUUAGUGAUUGUUUCAUAUUAGAUUUAGAUUUGAAUUUUUUACUCCAUUCAGAUUUUAAAUGAUUAUAAUAGAUUUAAAAAUUUACGAACUUUGAUGAAGUUUAAUAAUUUUUAAAACUUUUAUGUAAAAUUUUAAGUGAAUUCCCUCAAAUUUUCAGGUAGCGAUUUGAGAAUGUUUAAAAUAUUAUGUGAAAUAUUUCUAAUUUUUUCGAGUUUCCCAGCUUUUUAAAAAUCUCUUUGAAUCAAUUUCUAAAUUAAUACAUUUGGAAUGUAUGAAUUUCUUAAAAAUCAUGAUCGAAUACCCCUUAAACUUUAAAGAAUCACUUAAAAUCCUAAUUAAAUGCCCUUAGAUUUUUAAGGAGAAUUAAAAUGUUUAUAAGCCCCAAUUGGAUGUACCGCUUAAUUUAACUAAUUGACACAACACAACAUAACCAGUUAAGAUUACAAAUUAACACAAAAGACGACUUGAUGCGAGGUCAUAUCUACAAAACUUGCCGCAAUAAGCCCCAAUUGGUGUGUUUAAACUUCUUUCAUUAAUUACUACAUAUUUUCUACACUCAUAAUGUUUGUCAGCUCGCUAUAUAAUCAACUUGAUAAUGUUAAAUCCAUCAUGCAAUGCAUUUCCUUCCAAUUUUUUGUGAUAAACUAAUAGAUAAUUGACUAAAUAAACAUCCUGCAAAGUUUCAAUAAAAAUUUUCAAGUUUUUUUUACAAUUUCCGUGAUUUUCAUGUAAUUUUUAUCGGUAUCGAUAUUAUGCCGAUAUUUUUAUCAAUAUUUCCGUGUUUUCGAGUACAUAUUUCCGAUAUUACCGAUUCAUCCGCGAUUUUCUCCCUUUUCGCCAGCCCCUCUUUUGCUCUCAAAUCCUUGCUCUUUCUUUUUCAAACUAGUCUCAGAAGAGAUCCUGGGUUUAUCUAAUCCUUUGUUGUUCGGCGUUUUGUUCUCAUCUUGCGAUCGUCGGGGCAGCAGCUUUAAGGUAAGUUUGUUUUUAAUGAUUUAUCCUCAAUUUACGAUGUCUGGGCUAACAAAUUUAAGAUCUUUAUUUUUCUUUUUGCUGUGGAUCUGCAGGUUUUGACAAGUUUUUUGUGAAAUUGGUGCUGUCAGUGGGUGUUAAUAUCAGGUACCCAUGUUCAGUUUUUCGUUUUGAUUUGAAGGAAUUUCUUGCGCAGAAGAGCUAGGUUUCUUGGUGAGUUCUUCGGGUUGUGCAUAUGGGUAAUUUUCUUUUAGGUAUAACCCUCUGCUUCUGCUGCUCUCUCUCUCUCUCAUCCCUGCCUGCUCCUCUCCAAUUGUUUGCUGUUCUUAAAUAUUGUGUUCAUUGCCUGAUACAAGGAGCUGCAGCAAUCUGUUUUAUCCUACACGGGACAACGAGGCAAUGGCGUGACAACAAGUGAGCUUGGAUAUCCAAAGAAAAAGAACAGUUGGUUCAUCUGCUGGAGUCUGAAGCUCAGAGAAGUGGAGGAAAAUUGCAGGUGUGCGAGAAAUUUUAUUUUGCUGAUAGGACUCCUUAUUUACCGAUGCAUUUUGAAUUAAUUGAAAAGUUGGAUUUGAGUUAACAGCUAUAAAAAUGUAGACAUGAUUGCUGAGAUUAUGCUAUGAAAGUGGAAUAAAAAAAUGGUAGUUUAUAAUAUUGCGUACCAAUUUUUUUCUCUCUUUUUUACCAAAUGAUAAGGGUGGUGGCUCAGGCCGCCCCCCUACGCGUCCCCACUCUUCGACAAGUUGAAAUCAUGGUGAUAGUUUAUGGGUUGCGGUCUUGGGAUUCUGCAAAUAGAAUAAAAAACAGACACUUAACUAUCUUGUUAUUAAGCAUUUCUGCAUCAUUCAGUUGCUCUUGAUUUUCGUCUUUUAAGCGCUCUUAUUUCUGCGAUCUGACUUGAGGAGGGGUUUUAGACCUAUGGUUGUGGGUGUUUUGUCUGACCCCAUUAAAUUGGUUUCCGAGAUUUGUAGACUUGCGAUCGGCGGUCAAACAUUUCGUGAUUCUUGCUUUUUUUCCGACUGGGAUUGACGAAUUUUGGCCGAAUCUGUUUCCUGUUUUCUUCUCUGUUUGAGCGGCCGCUGCCUUUCGGUCGUUGAGCGCCGGCAGUCUUUAGAUCUUUGGCAAAUCAAUUUAAUACAACCGAGGUAUGUUUUAUAACUGCUGUCUUUCAAUUUUUGUUCUGUAUUUUUGUUAAUUUGGAUGAAGCUCUAAUAAUUUUGUUUUGGAUCAGUUGUGGUCCUCUGUUAGGAUUUUCCUGGCUAAGAGGGUAUUUGCAUUUUUGUUGCUUGGUUGGUCGAUCCAGUGUAUUAAAAGCGUGAGGCGUGGGCGAGGCGUCCGAGGGAAGCUCGGCCUAGGCGUGAGGCGUGAGGCGAAGCCUCAUGGGACCUAAAUUUUUUAAUAUAUAUACAUUGAGCGUACACAUAUAUUAUAUUAAAAAUAAGAAGAUUAUUAAUCAAUAAUCACCUUGAGCACACACAUAUAUUAUAAAUAUAUACACACACACAUAUAUAUACAUAUAUUAUAUUAUAUAUGCAUAAAAUAGAGGAUGAAAAACACAAUGAGCACACAUAUAACAAUGCACGCAAACAACACACACAUCCAUUAUAUAAAAAUAAAAAUCAGAAAAAAGGCAUAGAGACAAAAGUGCAAGGAAGAUGUAUGAGACAGUUAAAAUCCUACCCAAAAUUUGGGUUUGGGAGUAAAGAAAAAAAAAAAAAAAAAAAAACUCACUGAGGCGCGCCUAGGCGGCUCCGGCGACGCCUAGGCGGCCUUUCGCCCACUCCAGCAAAACUGAGGCGUUAGCCAUGGAGCCAAGCCUCAAGGGCGCCCUAGGCGCGCCUCGAGGCGAGUUUUUUAAAACAUUGGGUCGAUCACAAAUUUACGAACAGCUGUGGUGGUCCUGUUAGAGCCAAGCCUCAAGGGCGCCCUAGGCGCGCCUCGAGGCGAGUUUUUUAAAACAUUGGGUCGAUCACAGAUUUACGAACAGCUGUGGUGGUCCUGUUAUUUUUUUGGUAUGUUUUUUCUCCUUUUUGGUUUUUUCCCGGUUUGAGCACCCAUUCAUGAAGAAUUAAAAUGUGUUUAUAGUUUUUCAGGAGAGAUUAGAAAAGUGAUUUCAAUUUGGGAAAAUUUAAUGUUGGUUAAAAUUUGUUUAUAAUUUUUGGGAAGGAAUGAGAGGACCCAUUGAAGUAUGUGUUGUGAUUAUUUUUUAUUCAUAUUUUUAACAAAUUGGGCAUGAAUUGGUAGGUUAACUGUGUGUGUUUAUUAUUUGAAUCGGCCAUGUUUGUCUUUCUAUGGUUCUAAAAAAUUUGUAAAGGCUGUUAACUUGGAAGAAAAUGGGAUCGAGGGUGAGGGGAAAACAGCAGAGAAAGCAUGGAAGAGAGAUUUGGGAUUAGGGGUAGGAAAACAGAUGAAAAGAAUAUGAUAGAGGAAUGGGUUCAGUUCAUUUUCACUAUUUUUUUUAACUGAUUUGGAUUUUGUUUGGGUUUGAGGCCAUCAUUGGCGUUAAGACGUUUAUUAUCAGAUCGUGUGUGUUUUUUGCUAACUUUUAUUGGUAAUUUUUAUGUUGUUCUUAUGAUUUUGUGUGGUAGGGUUUCUGAAUUUUAUCGUUGUUCAUUUGGUUUUUUCUGAAUUUUAUCUGAUUUUGUGUGGUGAGUUUACAAAAUAAUACUAAAUAAAUUUAUUUGUAAUUUCGGAUGAUUGUGAUUCAAUCCUACUACAAUUGAAAUUCACAGAAAGAAUGAAAAACCAGAACAAAACUGCAGCACCUAAAAAGUUGUCAUACAAAAAAACAUGGAAUGUAAAAAUAUGUUAAGAAAUCUAGUUCGUUAAUUUCCAGCUGGUAAGCGGCAUUAUGUAACUUUAGUAGUAUAACUAAUUAACUACUUAUCUAGUGGGUUGCACUUCUAUCCUUGAUCUCAGUUGUGGCUGCAAAGUGCAGGCCACCACCAAGUCUCAGUGUUUGUGUAUUAGCAAAACACUUAAAUAAAUUAAAUUCUGAAAUGUAAAUUAUAUUCCUAUAACUUUAAGAUGCACAUAUAGUAUUGUUGAAGUCGAACUGAAAGCACUGACAAUUCCAAGCAACAGAGCAGCAAUUAUUAAGAGCCAAAACUCAUUCCUAGUCUCCUCAUCCUGGUACUCUACUCCGUAAUCUUCGUUCAGCAUCAUUGACUGAAAUUAGGAGAGAAAAAGAAAAGGAAUUUCAGAAAUUGUCUAUGAAGCAAAGGAUACUGCAGUUACUUCAAGACAUGUAAAUUGCAUAUGUAUAAAGUAAUUUUCUACAUAAAGUAACGAGGCAUAACUCUCUCUCUCCUCUUCAAACCCUAAACAGAGCAAAGCCACAAACUUUACAGAGAUUAGAAUGAGAACUGGAAUUAAUAGAACAAUGACUGAAAAGUAACAUACUUGAGGAGUGAAUGAUUUAGUGUUUCCAUCAUCGGAAAGCCGGAGUAAGUCGCUAAGAGAGGUCGCAAACAGCCCAAAGGGACAAACCCAGACCCCCGGCCCCGAUCCAUACCCUUCCCCCUCAAAUCCCGACGGCCCCCAUACUUUUCUCUGACUGUACCCCCUCUCCCACUCAUGAAAUCGAGGAUCUGUAGCAAUGGUACUGAGAUCCCCACUCCUCCCCCUCCCUUUCUCUCUGUCACUCUGUCUCCCUCUCCCUCUGUCUGUCUAUCUUUAUCCCAGAGCGGCAUGGCCUCGCAUCCCUGAAACCCUCACCGAAAGGUGGCAAUUUUGUAAAUAACUUGAAAUCCACCAACAGCAGGGGCAGAGAAUUGAAACAGACAUUUAGGCUCGUUCGAUAACCAUUUAGGCCAAAACUGAGCACACCUAAACCAUUCCUACUCGUGCCAAAUGUUAGCGGGGAAGCAAGAUGAUGACUUUAUUGUUCAAAACCAAAAGAAAAAAAGAGAGAAAACAAAAUAACAAAUCUAAUGGUUGUAGUGUAAAAGCUGAGAACGUAAAUAAACAUGCAGGGAAAAAAAUUGAAGAUACAAAGUAGCUGCAUCAUGAAACACUUGCUCCAAUUAGACGCAAAAAGUGAUGGUGAUGAGAAGAGAGAGAAAAUGCAGUCGUUUUGAUUUUUCUGGCUUUUAAAGGGAGCAGCUUUCUUCGACCACCAAAAAAAGGAAGCUGCUUUUCGUGUGGUUGUGAUUUCCUGAGUGUAUGUGAGCGGGUCUAUGGCACUUGCACUUUUUGUGUCGGUUACGGUAACCGGGCGAGGUGGACACGGCGGCGUGGGACUGAAUUCGGAGAGGUGAGAAAAAUUAAAAACACAAAAAGAAGGUGUUCAUUUUGUCACAUUUUUAUUACUAAAAAUUCAAUAAAGUACAUUCAUUAGUAUGGUAACUUAACUAUUUAAUUCCAUCUCAUUAAACUAAAAAAAACAAUUACAUAAAAAUAAGGGAAACCUUGUCCAGAGAGACCUGAGAGAAAGUGACGACUUCUCCUCUCAUUCCACUCCAUACUUGAUCUCUAAAGUCCAUUUGGCAUGUAAUUGAUGUUCAAUUUCAAAUUUAGUGGUAGCAAUUAGCAAAGCUAAUGAAAGAAUAAAAUAAAAUGAAAGAAAAAGCAUCAUGAAAUAAAUCAAGAUGAAGAAUGAAAUUUUGGCAACUCGCCAUUCUCUUCUUUUAUACAAAAGAUACAUCCUAUUUGUAGUGAAAACAGGUCCCGACAAACCCAGUUAUCGUCAAGAAGUAUUUUGUAUGACUUUAAAAACAUAUUCCGAGAAAUUAUCUCUUGGCUGAGAACAACAACAAAUCUUCAUGCAUAGCUUGUAGAGAAAGACAUCAGGCAUACAAAAGAACACGCAAGCAUAAAAUAAACGACGCAGGGAAAACCAAAAAUACAAUUGGAUACGCUGUCAAAAGAACAUAAAUAAAUGAAAAUUACAAAACAAAGAAGUGAUGAGAAACCAAAGUACCCAUUUCAUAAUCUAAUUGCUUUUUAGUUUGCUUGCCAUUUUUAGUUCUUCAAUUUAGAGAGAAACCAUAAUUCAGCACAUGAAUAAAGUGAAAACAUAAAAGAUAUGUGGGAUAAGCUAACAGCCAUCCCUGAGUAAUGCAUUCACUUCUGAACCCCAAACACACCAAAACAAAAAUUCACACACAUGAACUACAGCUCUGCUAUGUAACAAGAAUUAAAAGCAUCUCAAAACAAAAUGGCAAACUAUAAGAGCAAUGUAAAAGUAAAAUUGCAAGAAAUCUAAUACUUGGAGGGCAAGUACUAAUCAGACGAAAAUGAAAGAUUGAACUACCUCGCGUGGAACUGUGCCUUGGUUUUUUCCCAUGCUUACAGGAAGCUUUGCACUGAGCUCUUAUAGCCCAAAUUUUCUCUGAAGGGAAAAAAACACAAUUUUGAAAUAAGAUUUUCAUAUUAUACCUUAAAGAGAAGAAUUAGACAACAAAAAAGAGAACAAUGAGUACUUUUCAUCAUAUAUUGUUAGAGUAUGUGGUCCUCUAGUCCAAUGGUCCUGCAGCCAUAUUUACUUUAUAACUCUUUCUUUAGUCUAAAAACAUCUUGGAUCUCAAAUUAAUAUGAAUACGGAUUCAUACGCAUGCAUUGCAUUACAAUCACAAUGCAACAUCUCAUUAGAAAUCCCCACACAAAAUUCUUUUAUUGCUACUUUGAUUUUAGUUUAUAUUUUUUCUGAAGCACGAGGGAGCUAAUUUUUUUUUAAAAAUUUUUUAUUCCAAUAAUGUUAUAGGGUUGAAAGGAUAUUAUCAAUUUAAUUGAUUGUAUUUGAUUGGUGGAACUUCUAUAUCUAUAUUUCAGGUUUUCAAAUUCAGCACUGGGAGAGUCAUUCAUAAAAUGUUUGACAGUGAGAUUACCUCCAUGGAUUAUGCUCACAAUGGACAGCUCAUUUUCCGCGGUGAUGGGACAAUAUAUUUCAGUCAUUCGCCAUUCAAUCAAUUCAAACCGAGGAACAAGCAACAUCAAGAAGAGGAUCUGCCAUGUCAGGAUCACUGUCGUCCAAUUAAUACAAAAAAUCUAGAUAAAAACGAUCAAUUUACAUAAAAGCCUUUCAUUUUCUCAGCAACCAAGCAAAAGAAAAUACCUAUCCGUUAAACACUCGAUUUGGGAGUAAACGUUGCUGAAACUGGACUUCAAUCCCCUCAACCGCAACAAUCGAAUCGAGGUGUGCAAGUCAUUGAAAAACUCACCCAAGAUUUCAAAAUCUGCAUAAAGAAAUAAAUAAGCACAUAAAUUAGCCAACCCUGUUAUGAUCCCACAUCGGGUACACAAGAAAUUGUGUAGUGGUACUUAAGUGCAAGGGGUCAUCCCACCUAUUGGACUAGUUUUUUGGAUUGGGCUCUUCCCUUGGGCUUGAGUACCUAACAUUGGUAUCAGAGCCUAGGUUCCCGACGCUGCGAGACUUGGCGAGUGGUGCCGCCUCAUGGUGCCGCCUUGGGAGUAUGGGCUCCCAAGGGUCUUGGAGACGGGCAAGGUAUGAAAUGUCGAUAUUAUCGCGAUAUUUCGCCGAUAAUAUCGGUUUUUUGAGUUACCGAUAUUUUAAUACUUAUCCACUGAGUUUUCGUCAAAAUAUCGCAAUAUUAUCGAUAAUAUCAACAAUAUCGCGAUAUUACCGAUAAUAUCGCGAUAUUUUGGAGAUGUGCGAAUCGGAGAAGAAGGCCGGAGCUUCUACAGCUCCUGCCGACUGUAAAAGAGCACCCUAGACUCCGAUCUAGGUAUCAAAAUGAAAUACAAGACGAGAGGAAUGUUUUUAUAACUUCCGUUUGCCGUGAAACGGUCGAAGGUGUUCGGAAAGUUCGUCGACACCCACGGCCUCGCCAGAGAUGGGUGUGCCUAUUCUCGAGCCGAUUUCGUCCCAAAAACCUUGCAAAAACACGAGAUAGAACUUAAAUUUCACAUCUAAGCUUCAAUCUAGAAUAGAAUGAGGUAAACCCGAAGCUUACCUAACCGGAGAAAUUCAAGAAACUCGCCAGAGGGUUCCUGCGUCGCCGAGUUGCAGAGACGAGAAAGAGAUGGAGAAAGACGAGGUUGCUGAUAACGAUGGGUGUCUUCCUCAAGCAGGUGCGAUGGUGUGCGUGUGUGUAUGUGGGUCUCGGUGCAGAGAGAAAGGAGAGAGAUGAGAGUUUCAAGAAAGAGACGGCGCCAACGAGAGCUAUUUGUUUUUUUUUAUCUUAAAAAGAGAGAGGUCUAAGAGAAAUGGGAAGAGAGGGCCGAGUGAAAUGAAAGGAGGUCCUUGAAUUAUUGAGAGAUAUCUCUGAGAGAGGCCUAGGAUUUCUAAAAGGUAAUUAGAAAUGGGAAAAAUGGGGCACAUCUUAGCCUUUAUUUUGGAAUCCUAAGAAGUUCACCACAUGGAUGCAUGACAUGUGUGCAUGCCAUGUCUGUUGAAUGGGAAAAGUCUGACAUGGAAAGACAAAGAGUCGUUUGGUCCUCUGGGCUCGAGGCAAGAUAGAAAGUGCUAGGGUUUUUUUUUCUGAAAUGAACAUAAGCUGCUAAAUUCGCAUAUAUUAUAGUUGUUGCUAAAGAUUGACACUAGUGCGGACUUGGACGUGUUGGUCAACAUGUCCUCACAAUCCCCAAGUUCUCCGGUUCGAACCCUUACGCCCAUCAAAUUUUUCUUUCUUUUCGAUGCGCUUUUUCCAUGGCUCUAGGUCUUGAUUUCGAAUCCAGGUGAGCCCUUUCCUUUUUCUUUUUUUUUUCUUUUUGUUUUAUUAUUUGUUUAUUUUAAUUUAUUUGUUUCUUUUAUGUUUUUCCUUUCUUUUAGUUUCUUUGUCUUAGGCGUUCGUGUUUAUUAAAGUAGGAUGUAAAAUCAAUUAUCUUAAAAUUAUGUGUUUUUAAAUUUUGGACUUGUUUGUUGGAUACUUUUUUUGCAUUUUAUCAUUAUUUUAUUAUGAAAAUAUGCUAAAAUAUGCUAAAAUAUCACUUAUGUUUUUGUGAAAAUAUGCUAAAAUAUUUAUAUAUAUGGUUUUGUUUUGAAUUCUUUUUGUACUAAUUCAUUAUAUAUAAAUGAUUAUGGUGUGUUUAAACUUCUUUAAUUAAUUACUACAUAUUUUCUAUACUCACAAUGUUUGCUAGCUCGCUAUAUAAUCAACUUAAAUCAGUAAAAUCCAUCAUGCAAUGCAUUUGCUUCCAAUUUUUUGUGAUAAACUAAUAGAUAAUUGAUUAAAUAAACAUCCUGCAAAGUUUCAAUAAAAAUUUCCAAGUUUUUCUUACAAUUUCUGUGGUUUCCAUAUUAUUUUUAUCAAUAUCGAUAAUAUCCCGAUAUUUCCAUCGAUAUUUCCGUGUUUUUGGACUACCGAUAUUUCCGAUAUCAUCGAUAUUUAUACCUUGGCGACGGGGGACUUGCCGACUGGUGCCGCCAUGGACGUUGGGUCUUUCGAAAGGUGGUGUAAUGUUAUGAUCCCACAUCGGCUACACAAGAAAUUGUGUAGUGGUACUUAAGUGCGAGGGGUCCUCCCACCUAUUGGACUAGUCUUUUGAGUUGGGCUCUUCCCUUAGGCUUGAGUACCUAACAAACCCAUAAAUCAAAGAAAUCAAAAUCCACCCAGAAUCAAAGAAAUCAAAAUCCAUCCAAAACCAAAGAAAUCAAAAUCACACACAGAUAUACAAGGUGUACAGUAUUGACAUGCCUUAAAUGAUAUUAUUCACAAGAUUUAUAAAGCUCAUGUUGUAAUACUUGUGCAGAAUCUAUCAUUCACGGCGUCACUUUUGUGCAAGUCGUAAAUAAAAUUAUUCACGAUUUAAACAUUGUGUGUCGUAUUUGACAAUUUAUACUACGCACUUUCUUUUUCUUUUAAAGCUUUGCGUUAUGUCGUAAAGUUGACUUUCUAUAUAUUUGGGUUGUACCUUUUAUGGCGCAAAUAACACGUCGUAAAUAAUGGCUUUUAGCACAGAAGUUUUGUGGUAAAGAAGCCCGCGCACUAAUUCAUUCUCGCGCCUUCUCUUUUUUAUUUAGCCGCUUCUUUUUUUGGUUUUUUUUUUUUUUAAAAUUCCCCUCAAAUCUUAAAAGGGUUUGUAUUUUCUUUGGUAAACUUGAAAGAGAAACAUUGCAAUUGCAUUUUCAUUUACCCAAUAUUAAUUGUCGAGAGCCCACCCCCUUCCCUUCUCUCUGACAUCGUAACUCUCUCCUCUCCAUCGAUCUCGCUCCAUCUGCUCGCCGUCGCUCUAUAUGCUCGUCAUCGCCGUCGAUUCGUCUGCUCGUCGUCACCGUCGCCCAUCUGCUUUCCGUCACCGUCGAAGUGCCCCGCCAUUCAAAAUCUGAAAUCCCCAAUACAGGGUGCUUUGCGGCAUUUCGUUCUCCAAAACUUUAGGUAUGCUCUCAAUCUGUAUCAACCCUAUCCUGUCACCUCUACUUCAAGGUGAACAAUUUAUAGUUUAUAAAUUUUACUUGUGUUAAUAUAUAUUUUUUGGUAAAUGUUAUGGAUAUUUUAUCAAAUCAGAGAGUAAAUUCGUAUUAAGUGAAGAUUGGCAAAGAACAUAUUGUUUUGAAAGGUUGAAUAAUGUUUGCAGAUCACAUAAAUCAGUAGUUGUCAAGUCCAUAAGAGAAGCAAGAAAUCGGAAAGCAAGGCUUCGACUAAAACCAAAUAAUGUCAAAUUAAUUCAAGAUUGGAAGACUUUCCUUGCAAAGUGUAAGCUCAUUUUCAUUUUCUUUCAUUUCUAAGAUUAGUUAUCUUCUUUUGAGUUCAAAAUUGGGUCAGAGAAAUCAAACUGAUAGUAGUUAAAAGUCUAUUUCAACACCAAGCCUUGUCUACACAAGAAUUUGGUGUUAGUUAAACAUGUGUAUGAUUCUAUCUUGAUUGCAUGUUAAUUUAGUUUGAAGAUAGAUUUGGUACAUGCUAGCUAAUUGAUACGUGAUAUGAAUCUUUGGUUUCCUUUUGAUAGGACAAAAGUGAAACAUUCAGAGAGAUGAAGUCUAAGCAACUCCGCACACAUGUAGUCGCAAGGGAUAUGGUAGGUUGGCCGAGGAUUUGGUAAUUACAUUUCAUUCUAGUGCCUUCUUUUCUACAGGACAAGAACAAUUUACUAAUUUUAUUCUGUGUUCUACUGUGUGUUUACUACAUAUAUGUUUCUAUUUUGUAGAAAAGAAAAAGUGUAGACCCUUCUCUAGUUUCUAGAGGUGAUGUUUGGAUUGCAGCACAUACUAAAAAGGGUGGUGGACCAUCCAAUUUGCUUGCUGCAGAGACUAUUGUAAGUAAUUUUUAACCAUUUAUUUCUUCUUGUUUGUUGAUAUGCAAUGACGGAUGAGGUCUUAACUUUGAUGUGCAACGUUAGGAAAAAAAUUAAGCAAUAUGGAAAUGGAUCAUCAUCUGGUUUUCGAGGUGACGUUCUUUCCAAAGUUUUUGGUGCUGAGCGACAUGGUCGUGCAAGAGGAGUUGGAGGUGGUGUUCCUCCUACAAAGCUUGGAAUAUUUUCACAACAAAAAUUGCGUAAUCACCAAAUGGAUGAAAAGGUGCACAAUUUAACUAAUCAGGUCAGAGCACUGACAGAAUUGGUGCAUCUUUUUAUGAAAAAUCAGGUUAGUGAUUUAAUAACAUUGGUAUCAUAUUGAAUAUUUGUGAAAUCAGUUGUAGUGACACAUCAAAUCACAGGGUAAUGAUCUACCAAGUGAGGCAUCUCCUGACACACAGGUUGCAGCUCCUGAGGCACAUGUUGAUACUGUCGCAAGAACUGAAACUCGUCUUUCCCAAUGCGCAACAAAUGAAUCGUGGUGGCGAGGUUGAUACACUUUUUCAAUGAGCCUUCUAACUAUUAAUGCUCAUUGACUCUGUUAAAAGCUCUGCCAUUUUCAAUCUAACUAGACACUAGAAAUGAUCAUUGACUCAGUUAAAAGUUUUGAUGCUUUGGUCCUUUUGCAUAGUUGCGCAUCUACUGAUUUCUAUUUUUUUUCAAAUCCUGCAGGUUAUUUCUGAAAACAUUGAAACAUCGUGGUGUGCCAGAUGGUUUGAUUAUAAGACACCUUCCUUUUGGUCCACCAACUUAUUUAUAACUGCUAAAUGGUACGUAGUGUGAUAAUUUUCAAAUAUUUUGAUAUUAAGACAGGUGUAGGACAACAUAGAAAUUCUUAGGGCCUUCAGCAACAAAAUUAUGAAAAAGUGAGUGAGAUACAAUUAAAAAAAUGAAAGAGAAGGAUCAUGAUUCAUGAUCUAAAGGUUUGAAUAGGGUAGAAAGGAUUUAGUUUCGUUGUUAAAAUCGAUUUGUGAGUCUAUUGUUAUUGUAUUGUCAAUUUGUUUAUUUACUUGAACUUCCUAGUAUCAAUUUGGUUCGAUAUAUCUAGCACCACCAUAGAUAUAUCUAGUAUCAAUUUGGUUAGAUAUUGUCAAUUUGUUAUUUUAUUGUCAACUAUAGAAUGUGCAUCAGUUGUAAAAGGAACAAAACAAUUCAGAUUUUUUGUUUAUGUCCAAACUUAGAAUUGUAUUGUAAUUGACAAUUUCUACUAAUUAAUCCAAGUAUUUGGAGUUUAAUAUGUUUAUGAUCAAUAUUGUUAUCCUUGUAUUGUAUCAGUUUAGAUGUUAUGAAGUGAGGUCUGUCUAAAAAUGAUAUGCUAAAUAUAGAUGUAAAUUACGGCAUCUAAAAUCAGCAAUAAUUGUUGAUGGUAGUCUUUUUUUUACGAUGUAUGCCGUAAUCACCUUCACAAUAUUACGACACUCAACAAAUGCUGUAUCAAAUAUAAAUUACUGCACACUAGUAUGUCGUAAUUGUUUUUCAGUAUUACGACACCCUAUUAACGCUGUAACUAAUACCAAUUAAGGCACGUAGGACAUGCCUUAAGAACAUUUAUGGCGUGUUUUACUUAAAUUAUUCACGACUAUUAGAGUACGUUGUAUUUGUCAAAACAUCUUUUACAACAGGGGCUUUUACUGCUUGGAGGCUCAAGCCGUGAAUUUCCAUUUAUGGCACCCUUUGUGCGCCGUAAAAGGCCAAUUCUAUUGUAGUGAUCCAUGGGUACAUUUUUAAUCUACAUGUUUCGUUUUAAUAUAUCUAUUGCUAUAAUAUGUUUUGGUUGGUUCAAAUUCGUUUUACAUAAAUAUAUGGGUACAAAGUUUUUGGAGAAUAUUAUGUAAAAUGGUUUUUAAGGUUGUUGCAUUUUAUGUACCCACAUAUGCAUGUCUAUAAAACAAUGUGGUAUGAUGUACAUUCUUUUCCUUGAGUUUUUAAAUGUACCCAUGAGUUUUCUUGUAAAUUCGGUAUGUAUCCAUAUGCUAUUUAUGUUAUGGGUACAUACAUUAUUUUUGGUCUAAGUUGGUGGGUACAUUGCUUUUGUAUGUAUGAAUUCAUUGGGUACAUUAUUUCCCUUAAUACUACUCAAUAAAAUUCACAAAAAUGUGCAGUGUGCAUGAAUUUUUAUUGUAGAAAUUGUUUUUUUUUAUUUUUAAUUUUUAAGUCUCAUAAUUCGUGAAUUUUGUACAUAUUGAUCCCAUAAAUUUUUGAAUUUUAUUAAAUUUUUUUUAGACUUGAUCGAUUGAUUGAAUCUCAUAAUAAUCCCUUAAAUGUUCCAAUCAAUAUUUUAAAAUACAGCUUUUUAUUUAAGAUUUCAAAAAGAUGACAUGAAAACAUAGUAAUACUAAAAUUUUGUUUUAAAUUACAUUUGUGUAACAAUCAAUGGUAUGUUAAAACUGGGCAAAAAAAAAAAUGGUAUAUUAAAAAAUUAUAAUUUAUUCUUUUUUUCAUAACUGUCUUCUGCUUAGAUUAAUUUUUUCCAACGUUUCUCUUCGGGAGAAUUAGUUCUUACCAAUAUAUAUGCACAUUAUCUGCUUUUUACCUGGUCUUAACACAUGAUUAAUUACUUUCCUACCUGCUAACGCGUUGACUUGCGCAUCCAAAGUAUUAUCAAAGUCACUGCCACCAAAAAGGUGCCCACUCCACAACCUUUGGUUGAACCAAAGAACAUCACAACAAUAAGGAAAUCGUUAAAUCUAUCUCCGCAACAUUUUUAUUAAUCAUUAGAUAGAUUAAACGAUCCCCCUAUUCAUAUUGUGUUCUUUUGUUGAACCAAACCAUGUCAACAAAAUAUAUCUAUGGUUAAAGCAUCUAGAUUCAAGCUUUUGGAUGUGCAACUUAAACCCCUCAAUGAAUAGCCAAGCAAUUUAUCAUGUGUUUACAGUAGGUCAAAAGAAGAAAGUGUUUGUCUAUAUAUUAAUAGGAACUAAUUCCUCUGAAGAGGAGAGAUGGAAGUGAUGAUAAUAAAAAAAAAAAAAGUCGUAUUCAGUGCACAAGGCUCCCGCUUUACGCAGGGUCUGAGAGAGGUGAAUGUCGGCUAGCCUUACCCCCAUUUUAUGGAGAGGCUGCUCCCAAGUCUCGAACCCGAGACCUACCGCUCAUGGGCGAAGACACUUGCCAUCGCACCAAGUGCGACCUCUAAGGGAUAAGAGAGUAAUCAUGAAAAUUUUGAAAGUGAAAGCAUUGCCUUGGAAUAUAUAUUCUCUUUAGGAAUUCUGUGCCCAACUAAAUUCUAGAUUCUCAAAAUAUGAAAUUAGCAACUUCACCAAACACUUGGACAUGUAACAGGUCACACGUAUGGUACCAACCUUACCAACCUUACCAACCAUCUAUAUACCUAUGUUUUCGAACAUCGUUAGAUAAUUAAAGUACAGUUCACACAGCAUUUCACAUAAAAAUGGCAUCAUACAACACAUGAGAAGUACUUCUUACAGUAGCAGUCUCGUAACAUGACUAUAGUUUUUGUUACUUCUUAAGAAAAAAGAGUUUAAAAUCCUAUUGAAAGAUAAUUGUAGAGACAGAAACCCAAACUAGUUAAUUAGGUUUCUUUACAUCUCAAUAAAAUUGAAGGGAAUGUAUCUAAUAUUAUCUACUAGAGCCUCUACAAUCAUCAUAGAAUCCACAACCCACAUUUUAAUUAAUCGAAAUUCCAUGAACACAAAUAAGCAAAAGUUGAGUGAAGCCUAAGCAAUAUGUGAUCAUUUAGAGAGUCAAACUCCAUCUUUUUAGAAUUAGGGACUUUUCAAUAUGAAAAGGUAACCUCCACAAUCCAAUAUCAUAUGAAAAGGAAAACCCAAGAAAAAUACAGUAUAAUUGUGUGCAAGAGCAACACAAAAAAAGUUGAAGAAUUAGAAAUCAUAAAGAGACUUGAGACGAUUGUUGCUCACUUAGCUAAAGAGCAUUUGCACUUGAGGUCUCGAGUUCGAUUGCCCCCUUUCUUUAGAUCGCUUGAGAGGAAAAACCUACCAUUCUCUAGUCUAAAGAUAUAUGCAUCUUUGACAUGAAUGACUAGAGGGGAAGAAAGUGCAGACAAAUCACACAUACCUUCAAAAAAUUUUAUGGGGUUGGUGAAUGGUGAUUAGGGAUACUGACUUUUAAUAGCCGUUGAUCAGUGUAUAUUGCACACGCCUUCAUCAAUGGCUAGCGUCGGUACAACUGUGAUUGGGAGGGCCUUUUUACGAUAAUAGAUGGGUAAAGGUUUCAUUAGAAGGGGAAUUUUGUUCUGGUUUGCCAUAAUAACUUGAAAUUAAUGGUUUUUUGUAAUCCUUAAGUUAUUGUCAUUUUAGGUUAACUUUGUACCUGGACUCUUUACUGGAGCUAUCAAUUGAAACCCCCAUUUUCUUACCAAAAUAUGAAAAACAAAGAGUCCCAUUUUUACAGCACAGUCCUACUCUAGUUGAAAUCCGAUCGACGGUCAAGAUUUUCUAGUCAUGUGAAAGUAUCACAUAUAUAAAAUUGACUGGAGAAGGCAUGCCACAUUGCCAUGCCCUUGACAGCUUUACUUUGUUUACAAACUUUCUAAAAGAAAGAAAGAAAAAAAUCUAAAAUGGAAGGUGAUAGCGAUUUUACCACUUGUAAAACAAAGGGUUAAACCAUAGAAAAUUCUUGCAAGAGAACAAGUGUUUGUAGUAUAGAAUGGCUCAAGCAAGGUCGAUCUCCUCAGGGACUGAUAUAAACAAUUUACGAGUUUUUAUGUAUUUAACUUAUUUAACUCUAAGAAUUACACUAAUUUAACGAAACUAAAUAUUAUUGGAUGUGACUUAAACAAAUAUCUAAAAUGGGAAUUGGUUUUAGGGAAUAAUGAUUCAACUUAAACAAAACAAGUAAAUGAGGAAAUUCAAGAUAAAAUAAAUGAUUAAGAAAAAUAGAUUGACAAUAUGCUAGAGUUCAACAUUUACCAACAACACUCUUACGUAGCUAUUCCAAUUGCUUAAAUAAUUGAAAACACAUAUGCUUUGAAUGUUGGAUUUUCCUUGUGUAUGUUUUACUUGUGACAUUCAAGCUAAAACGCAUACCACUACAUGCAACUUAUCCAUGACAUUUGAAUUAAAUAUAAACAUGAGUGAUUCAUUAAUCUUGGUGAAAAUCCUUUUGUUAAACCAUAUAAUCCCUAAGAGCAUGAUAUUUACCUUAGGAGAUUACAAUUCUCAAUCACAAGAAGCACAACCAAUUUUAACGUGACAUUCGUUCAAAAUUGCAUCCGAUAACUUUUCUAAGCAUCCUAAUGGUGAUCAAGCAUCAAGGUACAUAGAUAGUUUAAUUCAGUGAUUGAAAAUAUCAAAACAAGCAUGUAACAACACUUAAGCAAUUGAAAAAUAAAACUACGUAUUCAUGUUGCGGCUCAUGGCCUCACUCUAGCAUAAUACUUUAAAUAAUUAAAGCCCAAACAAUUUACCAAAUUUCAUCUCUGUACUCCGCAGAGACGCUAAACGAGACAUAUUUGGUCCAUCUCUGAACAUCUUUUCUUACUGUUCUUACAAUAGAAAGGGCACAAAAUUGACUUACACAGUCUUGCACAAUACUCACUUUGCUUCAACCCAUAUUUCACUUUGUCAAAUCAUACACGUUCCUGCAACAGGUGAACUCAUAUUUAUCUACCACUUCUUGCUAAUUUUAAUUUUUCCAUUCCCAUUUUUACUACAAGUUUUCACAUAAUUUUUUUAUUGCAUUUGUCAAUUCUUUAUACUUUUUAAUUGUAUUUUUUUUUUUGUCUUUUAUGUGUUUUCUAUGUUGGCACAAGGUUACAACAGUAUUAAACAAUUACAGGUCCUCCAGAGGUUUGCUUAUUGCCCUAUUUCAUCAAGCUCGGUAUAAAUAGAUCUUAAUUUUUUACUACAGUUAAAUACAUGGACAUGCCUCCACAAAUACAAAUUAGUUCUUGCUUAAAUACUUUGUGUGUUUACAUAGAAAAUGUUCCCAUCGUCUACCAAAAUCCUCCACACAUGAAAACAAAAAUUCUUACUCAAAAUACUUAUUACAAUACCACCAUAUCUGUUGUUUUUUAUUAAAUUAACACACUGUUUUCAAUUUUAUCUUCAACACAAAAGAAAAUGCUCUUACACAAUGUGUUUGCUUACAUUUUAUAACUUAUCUACCACAUGUUAAUCGCAGUUAUAUAAAUAGGAAAAUACGUGUUCAAUAGAAGUGUGAUGCAUGUCACUUCGUUAACAAUAGUGGAAACUAAACAAUUAAAUAAUUUGUUUCAAUUAGUUAGUACAUUUUAUAAAUUUCUCAAUUAGAACUGUUUCAGUAUAUUUAAUACAUUUUUAAACAACUUUCCAGUUAGUUGCCCAAACUAAUUAUUCCAGCUUAUUCACAGUAUAAUACCAACAAUUUAACAACCAAUGAUACUUCGUUUAACAUAAACUUCAUUUGGAAAAAACAAAAAAAAUCUUUUUCUCUGCUGAAAAAAUCAACAGAUUUAAUGAUGUAGAUCAGUUAUACCAACAAAUUACCAUAGUUUACCCAAUGCUAUACAGGUUUGACUUUUGUUUAUAUUCUUGGAUCUGUUGCUUGGUUGUAUAAUUUGGCUGUGUGUUUUGUUUCAGGACAAUUUGUUCUUCGUUUCUUGAGGCUUCUAUGUGUAGAUUUGAACCGUUUAGCUUUCAAACCGUUUAUACUCAAGGUAAAUAAUUUCGUUUGUUUCUUUUUAACCUUUUUUGUAAGAAUUUUUUAUUUAAUGUUGUGAGAGUUGUGUUUUCUAUAGUAUGGAAAUUGAAUCUUUGUGAUCUUAUAUCGUUAGAUACGUUGCUUGGUUAAUGUGAACACGGAAAAUUCCCGAAACGAAAAAGACAAGAACAACGUGCACAAACAAAUAUUUUGUAUUUGAUGAUUAUUUUGGGUUACAAUCUCUCUCUAAUUUGAUCCUCUGAUUCGAUCUCCGUAAGAUAUUGGUUUGUGGAUGUGCGAUUGAUCCAAGGGCCGUCGAGGCUUGAUCUUGGAUGAACGGUGAUGAACGGAUCUUCAAGGGCUUUUGGGCUUGAUCUUGAAGAAUAGUGAUGAACGGGUCUUCAAGGGCUUUUGGGCUUGAUCUUGAAGGAUGGUUGGAUGUGUGGAUUUGUCGACGUUGUUAAUCCAAAGGGCUGUUGGGGCUUGAUCUUAGGAUGAACGGAUGAUGAACGAAUAACACUUUCUUCAAGGGCCGUCGGGGCUUGAUUUUGAAUUGGUGAAAGUUCUUCAAGGGCCGUCGGGGCUUGAUCUUGAAGGUAGAUGAUUGUUGAUCCAAGGGCUGUCGGGGCUUGAUCUUGGAAGAACGAUGAACGAAGAACGAAGAAGGCUUUCUUGAUUCUUCGGGAACCUGGAUGCUUGAGAGCUUCGGAGUUUCAGAGCUUCAGAGCUUCAAGGUGUAAUAUGAAUUUGGUUCCCUUAAAUGAAUGAAAUUGGCUUCUAUUUAUAGAAUUUUCCAAGGCCUAAUUUUGAAUAUAAUAUUCCAGAUGAAAUAAGUCGUUUCUGCCAAGUGUUGACACGUGUCCUAUUUGAUGACUUUUCCGACUCAUUUCAAUUUUUCGUCGAGUCACACACUACGUGUAAAAUUUAUGUAAUACAUGAGCGUUGAAACUUUGAUUUAUCAGUCAACAUUUAUUUACCAAAAUUUCGAUGUCUACAAAUGCCCCCACUUCAAGGCGCGUCGUAUACAUGUGCUUGUCACGUGUAGGAGAUGCGUUUUGAAGUCCCCUUACUGUAGAUGUCGAUCCAAGGGCCGUCGAGGCUUGAUCUUGAACCGGGCUGGAGAUUUCUUCAAGGGCCGUUGAGGCUUGUUCUCGAACUUUGUUCGAAAUUUCUUCAAGGGCCGUUGAGGCUUGAUUUUGAAUUGGGCUGAAAGUUUCUUCAAGGGCCGUUGAGGCUUGAUCUUGAAUUGGGUUGAAAGUUUCUUCAAAGGCCGUUGAGGCUUGUUCUUGAACCUUGUUUGAAAUUUCUUCAAGGGCCGUCGAGGCUUGAUCUUGAAUUGGGCUGGAAGUUUCUUCAAGGGCCGUCGGGGCUUGAUUCUUGAAGGUGGAUGAUUGUUUAUUCAAGGGCCGUUGAGGCUUGUUCUUGAACCUUGUUUGAAAUUUCUUCAAGGGCCGUCGAGGCUUGAUCUUGAAUUGGGCUGGAAGUUUCUUUAAGGGCCGUCGGGGCUUGAUUCUUGAAGGUGGAUGAUUUUUUCUUCAAGGGCCGUUGAGGCUUGUUCUUGAACCUUGUUUGAAAUUUCUUCAAGGGUCGUCGAGGCUUGAUCUUGAAUUGGGCUGGAAGUUUCUUCAAGGGCCGUCGGGGCUUGAUUCUUGAAGGUGGACUCGAACACAUGGCAAGCAGGCACGAGGUGAAGGUGACGGUCUGUUUCUUUGCUCAAUCUUUCCAAGUGCCGACCGAUUGCUUUUCUUUCUCCUUGUCCCGCAGGCAAGAGCAAGGGUAAAAGAAAAGCAUGCCAUGAGAUAUCUUUGUUUUUGACUCUGAUGAUAUGAGGUACUUCUGCUUUUGAAGAAGUUGCGGAUGAAUCGACACGUGCUUUGUUGUGCUUGUCUCCACAUGCUCAGACUCUUGGCAGAAUGUGAAAGGUGGCAUUUUCUCGAGUUACUCAACUCAGACUCAUUCUGCUGAGUUGACUGUGCGGGCCGCAUUCUUCUCUGCUUGUUUCUUCUGGCAGCCUUGCUCUCGAGUACUCAUCUUUAACAUCUUAUGUUUCUUCUUUGUCUACCACACUGUGGAAGACGAGUACUCGAGAGUAAUACCAUGUAAGCAAUCAGAAAAGGGUUCCAAGCAGUCGGUUCCAGAUCGGAAGAUUGAUACCAAGUGUUGGCUGAUUGCUUUCCUUCUCAUUGUCCUACAGGUUAGAACAAAGACAAGGAAAAGGACACGGAGAAUGCAUGAUAUGAGAUACUCUUGCUUUCUCCCUUCAUGAUAUGAAAUACUUUUGCUUUUCAAGAUUUGUUUGCAGAGGUAUCCUAUGGGAUGAAGAACACUGAGUGAGUUGAGAGGGUUUGUUGGAAAGCCAUUUGUCGGAGAUGACGGAAUGUUAUGUAUGUCUGCCUUGCCAUGGAGCGUGAAGGUCGACAUUUGUAGGAAAUAAUAACUGGUACUGUUCUUUCACUCCUGUCGGCAACCGUUGGAUGAUUGAACAGUAAACUUCACGUGAUUUCCUCAAAGCUUUUUCUGCAUGCGACAAGUGCUGACGAGGCUGAGAGAGACAUGCGAUUGGAAUCGGCGCUUCGACAAACUUUUCCAUGAUUUUCGCAAAGCUGACGAGGCUGAGAAAGACAGAUGGUUUGGAAUCGGCGUUUCGAUAAACUGCCCGUGAUUUCCGCAACGCUGACGAGGCUGAGAAGGACAGAUGGUUUGGAAUCGGCGUUUCGACAAAUUGCCCGUGAUUUCUGCAACGCUGAGUUUGCGUGUGACAGGUGCUGACGAGGCUGAGAAAGCUGACACUUCUUCGAUUUUUGAGAUCAGUCCGUGAUCCUUGAGUAGGCCUAGCUUUGGAGAAAGCAGGCGCUUCAUCGAUCUCUGAACUCGCCUCUUCGAUCUCUGAAAGCCCAUCGCAUGCUGUUUUUUUAUAGAGGUACGCAAGACAUUCAAAGCACACUUGAAUUUCUACCUGUGAAAAAAAACUCCCCUUUUGCAUAUCUGAGAUCUUUAAUUUGCCCGACCUCUUCAUUUUGUUGAACACCUUCGGAAAUGUCUUUCCCAUCUGACCGUCGUCUUGACUUGAAUAUCGAAGAAGAUAUUGACAUGUCUUCUCCAGGCAACAUUUGGCAGCUGUCCUUCGUAUCCUCCAACGAACCUCUUACGGUUGGGGACACUGUGAUGAGGAAUGACGCAACGGCUGCAGUGGUUGCUAGAAAUCUUCUCACUCCUAGGGAUAGUAAGAUGCUUUCCAAGCGGUCCGACGAGAUGGCUGUUCAAGACUCUCUGGCCUUCAGCGUCCAAUGUGCGGGCUCAGUAUCAAACAUGGGCCAACGCCUUCUUGCUCGAUCUCGUCAGGUUGAGUCUUUGAUGGCCGAGGUGGCUAGUCUUCGGCAGGAGAUCAGAGGGCUUAGGCACGAGAAUAAAGAGUUGCAUAUGCUAGCAACUAGUUACUCAACGAGCAUGAAGAAGAAGCUAGACCAACUGCAGGAGUGUGAAGUUCGGGCUCGAAAUGAUCAUCAAAGGUUUAUGGCGUUACUCCCGAGGCAUCUUCUGCCUUCGUCAUCUGGCGCUUCACCAAAUGUUGAGGCUCCGGAAAAUCAAACUCUGGCGCUUCGUCUUUCUGGAGCUUUACCAAGUGUGGAGGCUUCAGUUGAUCCACCUCCGGUGCUUCGUCUUUCUGGAGCUCCGUCGAGUACUGAGGCACCACAUGAUCAUCCUUGAAGAUCCUUUCCUGUAAAUUUGAUUUGACUUUUUUUUUAAGGUAUGUAUAAUGUAAAAUUUCUAGAAAAAUAAAAUGGACUUUAUUUCUCUGAACAUGUUUUUUUUGUUUUUUUUUUUGGCUGUAUAUUUUCUCUUUAAUCAUGGUGCACCCAUUUUCCACAUGGUGCCAGACGGACCAAAGAUCAAACAUUUCCUUUUUUUAUUUUUUUAUUUUUUCUUUAAUCAUGGUGGCAGACGCAUAAACAAUUUCAUUUAUAUUUUUUUUUCUUUUUGCUGGCACAUGGUGCCAGAUGCACCAUUCAUUUAUAUAUAUUAUUAUAUAUGUUUUUUUUAUUUUUUUUUAUUUGCACAUGGUGCCUGAUGCACCACCUCUUUUUUUUUCACGUGGUGCCAGCAUCACUUUGCUCCACCAUCCAUUUUUUUUAUUUUUAUUUUCUGUAUAAAUUUGGGUGAUGGGUAGAGGAUUUUGCAGGCAGGGAGCAAGGAGGCCGAGAAGAUGGUGCUUCGAACUUCAUGACCGGCUAGUCGUUUGACGGCGGUCGUUGAAGUCGUUGGCAGUUGCGAGGCAAAAGACGGAGGAGAAGGUGGAGUAGGUGACCUUGAUGUCGGAUCCAGCUAGAACCCAGAGCACAGCGACUGAGCCCAAUCACCGAGCACAACCGCUGCACACCCGUUGUACUGCCACCGAGCACUGCCACUGCGCAUCUGUUGCACUGCCAAUUGCUGCAAAGGAUUAUGUUUAACGGCGGAGACGCUGCCCUAUUUGCCAUGCUAUGCCGACGUGCUUCACAUAAUUAACCAUCCAGAAUUGUUAAACAUUCCAUCUGGGUUUAUCGCAAAAACAGAAGAAGAAAAAAACCAAGAUCCAUCCAUGCCAAACACCAAUCUGCCAUCUUUUUGGGAUUUGUACGACAUCAUCAGCCAAAACCUGCUUGGUCCGCUCGCAAAUUGUGGGAGAGGAAGAGUUGGCGGAGCAGCUGUAACACUGGAAAAUGGAGGACGUUGACGAGUCCUCCAAGUUGUUCUUGACGUUGGUGCUGGAGAAACCUGCCUCUCUCAUGACUCUGCUGACACUUGGGUCGUCAAGGAUGGGGAUGAUGAGCUGCUCGAGCUCGACUUUGAUGGUUAAGAGCGGCUGCUGCUGCUGCUCGAUGCAGUCUCUUCUCUGAUGGGCUUGGGCUCUCUUGAGGGCGUUGGAGAGAGAGGGCUGCCCGUGGAGGAGAGGGCAUGGAGUUGUUGGGAGAAAUCAGGGCCGGAAUGGAAAAUAUUCCCGAGCUGCAUCAACGAGGAGAUAACACCGCUAAGUUAUUCAUCUGGUUUGCUUUAGUCAAAUGGAUCAAUCCGCGGGUCAUGCUCGCUUGCCAUCAUCAUCCCAGUGCACAGGCAUGUCGGGCACAUGACCUUUCCAGCACCAGAGCAAUUUGGGCACCUCUCAGUUGUGGGCACUCGCAAAGGUUGGUCUGAUGCACUAGAUGCUGAUAUAGGAUUGAUGUUCAAGCACACUCCACUUGCAGAACAUCUAGCACAGGCCAAGUACCCAGUUCCAUGGCAAUAUUUGCACCUUUUCUUCUCUUGCUGCUCAACAUUAUUAGCUUCAAUCAACAUCAAUGCUGAAAUGACACCCACUGCCCCACCGGAGAAGGAUGCCACAAUAGGAUCAACCUGACUUAAUUGUAAAGGCAGAUGCAUGCUACGAAUGAAAUCUUCAUACGAGGUACCUCCUAUACCUAAUUUUAGUUCCAACGAUGGCGCAAUGAGACCCCCAAAUACAAUUACACUAGAUAUCAUAGAUAAGCUUGUGAGGUAGAGCUGCUUCAACGUCUUUGGUGUCAUAUGAGGGAGAAAAGGGAUAGUGGAUGGAAUGUCAGGCAUCUCAUUUGACUCUUCCUCACAAGCCUCAUCCAUAUCUCUCGCCAUCUUUAUCCGUUGCUGCACCCGCAAUCUCCUUAGCUCUUCCAUGAGAAGAAAAAUCUUGUUGUGCCGGCUUCUUAUGUUGUCCUAAAUUUCCUGUAGUUGCAUCUGCACAAAGUCCUGCACCGUCUCCGGCUCUUCUAUGAUACAAAAAGUGCUUGGCGUGUUAUCGCCGGGGAAUGAUUCCUUGGAAGCAGAACAGGAAAUUUGGGGAUGCGGGGAGGUGAAUUUGGACAGAGAGAGACGUCUAGGGAUUCCAUGGGAGGGGGGUUGAGAGUGGUUUUUUGCCGGCGCCUCUAGGGUAGUCGUCGUUGGCUAUUGCUAUAGAGAGGUCAAUGACUUCACCGGAGAUGGCGUUGUUCUGGAGCCCGAGCGUGAGAAGCCGGGUGAGAUUGUCUGGAAAGGGUCCCCAGAGGUUGUUGUCGGCGAGGUCGAGAAGCUUGAGCUUGGUGCAAUUGACGAGAGGAGAAACGGUGUCGUUGAGGCGGUUGUUGUGGAGGUCGAAGAGUGAGCUGGGCGAGAUCAGAGAACCUUGACGAAUUCGGAGCGUUGAGGGUUAUCAACACGAUCCCAUCGACGAAGAAGAAGCAGAAUGGGCCUCUUGCGGGGCCUAUGGCAUCAACCGGUCUUUGGGCUUCUGGGCCAGUAAAUUGGAGAGAAGCCUGGGCUUUUGACUUGCAGAGAGAUUAGGCUCUGGGAGCCGCUUGUAGUAUUGUGGCUAAAGGGGUUGCUUCCUGUGGCCACUUAUAUAUAUAUAUUUUGUAAAUACAUAAAACAUUUAUCUCUUUUUUUUUCUUUUUUUUUUGUACAAAGAAAUUGUAAUAGCAUCAAAACUUUUAAUAAAAUCUUUAUUCCUUAUUUUGGUGUGACUGAACUCAAAUUUUGAAUAUUCGAGUUGCCUACGUACCUCUCCAAAGAAGAGAUCAAGUCGUAACGUAGUUCAAAUGAGUGAUGAAUUUAACAGUGAUUUUGAUGAUGAUUUUGUCGUACACAGUUUAUGCUCUUGCGGGCCAGGAGCUUUGGUUCGUGCAGUUUAGGCUCGUGCGAACAAGGAGUGUUGGUGUUGCCUUUUAUGCUCGUGCAGACCAGGAGCGUUGGUGUUGCCUUUUAUGCUCGUGUAGACCAGGAGCUUUGUGCCAUGCAGUUUAGACUCGUGCAGGCAAGGAGCGUUGGUGUUGCCUUUUAUGCUCGUGCAGACCAGGAGCGUUGGUGUUGCCUUUUAUGCUCGUGCAGACCAGGAGCUUUGUGCCAUGCAGUUUAGACUCGUGCAGGCAAGAAGUGUUGGUGUUGCCUUUUAUGCUCGUGCAGACUAGGAGCUUUGUUGUGCCAUGCAGUUUAGGCUCGUGCAGGCGAUGAGCUUUGGUUCAUGCAGUUUAGGCUCGUGCGAACAAUGAGCAUUGUGCCAUGCAGUUAGGCUCAUGCAGGCGAGGAGCGUUUAUUGGUUCGUCAAGCGAUCCAGGAGAGUCGUUCCUCGCAAUCUUCAUAGCAAGGAGCCUUGACUGAGUGAUUGAAGAAGUCUUUGGGGAAGAAAUCGCGCAUCGUGAUGGGGAUGGACGAUAUUUGUGUCGUCAUUUCAUCAUCUUCAACACUUUCACUUUUCUUUGAAGGUUGACAAGAGCUGCUUUGCCCCAUUUCCGAUUGGCGGACUUGUGGAUGAGACGUAUGCUUCUUCUGCAGUUUCUCUAGAGUGACAUGAGUCAUUCCUUCAACUUCGCUUGGCUCAACUGGCAUGGUUUUGGAGCAUGCCCCCAGCGAUUGAGGUGAAGAUUUUGAGUUGACAAAGCCGGAAGUGACGUCUUCUUCCAUGAUUUCAUCUUCUUUGUCUUCUUGGGCUUGUUGGCGUGAAGAUUGGCCGGCGUAGAUGAUGGUGCGCCUCUUUACCUUCAGUGGUCCUUUUGUGUCGACCUCCCAAGCUGUUUGGCGCUUUAUCCUUGAAUGAAUCAAGCUUCGAACGUCGUCUUUUCCUGCUAGACCGUCGAGCUUUUCUUCCUUUGGCGUUGUCUUCCUAUUUCUAGAAUGCUUCUUGGUUUCUUCAAGUUUUUCCAAAGCCGAUCGUUGGGGAGGAGAGCCAGCCUUGCUGCUUUGUUUCUUAGGUUUUGACAACCUUUCAAAAACAGAGCUUUGGGGUGUUGGCGUGUUAAGCCGUUUGAAGAUGGAAGUUCGGUCUUGCCCACCAAUGCGAUCAAGUGCCGACCUUCUGGGUUUUGAACGAUUCAGCCUAUCGAAGACUGACACUCGAAUAGGAGGUUGAGGCUCCUCUUGAUCUUGUUCAAUCCUCAAGCUGAUGUGUCGAGUGCUAGCAUUUUUUGCUUUACUUGAAAUCUUCACGGGUGCAUUUGGUGUGAAGCCAAGUCUAGCUCUGUUGUUGUCAACUCCGUAAUCAUGCUUUUCCAACUUCUUCUGAGUCUCGGUGAAGUCAUGAUCUUUGUCGUUGAUGGUGUUUGAAACCUUCUUCUCAAGAUUUGAAGAGGAAGCAAAGUCGUACCCAGCCUUUAACAUGAGUUCGUAGGCGUUUGGGUUGAGACCUUCUUCGGUCCUCUUAGUUGGAAUGAAGCUUGGGUUCGCUUUGACGCCAUGAUGCGCCUCCAGACGGUUGAUAAGUCCAACGGUUUGCAAGUUUUUCUCCUCCGCAGUCUUUAUCAGCCUUGCAAUUGUUUCCUUCAUCUGAACUAGUUGUUCUUCAAUAGAGGUAGCGCCGAUGGUCAUGACUUGUUCUUUGUUUGAAGCCAUGAAGUGUGCUUGAAUUUCUUGAACAGAGAAAGAGAUGAGAGGUAGAGAUUGUCCCACUGGGCGUGCCAAUUUGUGAACACGGAAAAUUCCCGAAACGAAAGAGACAAGAACAACGUGCACAAACAAAUAUUUUGUAUUUGAUGAUUAUUUUGGGUUACAAUCUCUCUCUAAUUUGAUCCUCUGAUUCGAUCUCCGUAAGGUAUUGGUUUGUGGAUGUGCGAUUGAUCCAAGGGCCGUCGAGGCUUGAUCUUGGAUGAACGGAUCUUCAAGGGCUUUUGGGCUUAAUCUUGAAGAAUAGUGAUGAACGGGUCUUCAAGGGCUUUUGGGCUUGAUCUUGAAGGAUGGUUGGAUGUGUGGAUUUGUCGACGUUGUUGAUCCAAAGGGCCGUUGGGGCUUGAUCUUAGGAUGAACGGAUGAUGAACGAAUAACACUUUCUUCAAGGGCCGUCGGGGCUUGAUCUUGAAUUGGUGAAAGUUCUUCAAGGGCCGUCGGGACUUGAUCUUGAAGGUAGAUGAUUGUUGAUCCAAGGGCCGUCGGGGCUUGAUCUUGGAAGAACGAUGAACGAAGAACGAAGAAGGCUUUCUUGGUUCUUCGGGAACCUGGAUGCUUGAGAGCUUCGGAGUUUCAGAGCUUCAGAGCUUCAAGGUGUAAUAUGAAUUUGGUUCCCCUAAAUGAAUGAAAUUGGCUUCUAUUUAUAGAAUUUUUCAAGGCCUAAUUUUGAAUAUAAUAUUCCAGAUGAAAUAAGUCGUUUCUGCCAAGUGUUGACACGUGUCUUAUUUGAUGACUUUUCCGACUCAUUUCAAUUUUUCGUCGAGUCACACACUACGUGUAAAAUUUAUGUAAUACAUGAGCGUUGAAACUUUGAUUUAUCAGUCAACAUUUAUUUACCAAAAUUUCGAUGUCUACAGUUAAAUGAUUUGGCUGUGUGCAUUGUUUCAGGACAAUUUGUUCUUCGUUUUUUGGGGCUUCUGUGCGUAGCUUUGAAGUCCUUUGUAGUCAACAUAAAUAAUUUUAUUUUUCUUUGUUUUUAGUCUUCUAUGUAAGAAUUUCUUAGUUAAUAUUCUGAGAAUUAUGUUUACUAUAGUAUGAAAAUUGAAUCUUUGUGAUCUUCGAAGUGUAACGUCAUUGCAACAUGGACGACUGCCAUUAUCGAACAUGAAAAACAUUUUGAUUUCUGUACUCCGUCUAGUAGAAAACUCUCGACUUCUUCAGAAACCACGAGAAACUUAAAACUGAGAAAGCUUCGCGGUCUCCCUUCCAUCUCUGCUACGCGGUCUCUGCUUUGCGAUCUCUGCUUCCUUCGUGAUUUCUUCCUUCCUGAACGACAUCUAUUCGAAUUGAAAACCUUCUGGAGCUCUCUUCCCCAAAUUUCAGCAGCAACUUUGCUCCAGAUCUUUCCAAUUGAAAUUCCUCUCCUUCACAUUUUGCAUAUUGAAUUUCGCAUCAUCAUCAUCUCCCUAGAACCUAGGAGUUCGGUUCGGUUUCGAGUUUUCCGACGGAAAUCCGGCGACAGCGGCCAUCGAGGUUGGUCUGAAACUAUUCCUCAUCACCACAGGUACUUUCUACACCUAUUACAUUUUAGAAAAAGUUUCAUGACUUUGUGGAAUCCAAUUUAACGAUUAGAAAAAUUUUCAUUAAUUUUCUGGGUUCGUGAGUUGGAGGGGGAUUAGAAAUUUUUUCAUUAUUUUUCUGGGUUUGUGGUUUUUUUUUUCCAAAACGUUUUUCCUUUCUACUAAUCCAAGUUCCUUCACAUCAAUCUCUCUGUUUUGUUCUUGAUCUUCCUCGAGUAGAAUACCUCUUCUUGCUCUGGAGCGCGUGGGCAGUCUCUCUAAGGCAGCCCAUGACGUCAUUUUCCGAUUCGACUCGGAGGAGGUUGGCUGCUCUUCUUGGCUGAGCUUCAUGGCUGGCCGAAUUCCCCUAUUCCCUUCCUCUUAUACUUUUUUAUAUUCGUUCACCAAAACAAUAGGAAAACGUCUCCGUCUGUUUGAUUGACGGCGAAAAAAAAAAAGACGGAGAAUAAAAGCCUGACGGAAGCUGAAAGCUUGGACUCUGUUUGUAUUUUUAAUGGAUUUUCAGAACACAGGUCAAGAAUAUUGCGAUUUGAGAAAAAAAGAAAGAACCACGUUGACAUAAUAUAUUCACAAUAGGUGUACAAGGUUCAUAAAGCUUUACUGUGGUUCCAUUUUUUGUUAAUGGAAUUAGCCUUUUGUUUUAGGAAGAACUUGGAACCCCCUCCGUCCAUUCUAUCCCCAAUGGAAUUAACACUUAGAUAGUACUAUGACAAUGUGUCAUUAUUUGAUGCAUACCUGUAUAAAUUUAGGCUAAGUGUUUUAUACACAAAUUGAUACAGAUUAACUAUACAAUGAUAACUAUAUACCGGAGAGCUAACUAUACAAUGAUACAUUCUUAUCUGUUAAUUAUCUUUGGUUACCAGCUAUCCAUGUUGCUGUCAUAUUAAACUACACAACAUCAGUUGUAAUUUAUGUCUUAUUAGUAUCAUCAUUUUUGUUCAUUAUUUCAAUGUCUAACAUAACUCCGCCUAUGUCUUACAUGGCCGGUCCCAAGCCCGGAUAAAGGAGGAGGGGGAGGGCGUCAGGUAGUCGACAGCCGGCACUCCAUGAUCACGUCGAAUCCUUAUGAAAAUGAAUCCAGAACAAAACCCCACUUAGUGGGAAAAGGCUUUGUUGUUGUUGUAUUUCAAUGUCUAACAUGAUGAUCUGGUUUCAAUUUGCUACAGGCAUUAUUUCCAGACAAUAGCUAUGGUUUUGAUUGUAGCGGUGACUGAAAAAUUAUUCCGAAACUAACAUUUGAGGAAUUCAAGGUUUGUUAGUUAAUUUGUACAUCAGAAUACCAUGACAAACUAUGAAGUUGUAAUUGUUGACCUUACAAUGUAUCUUUUUUGGUUUGGAGCAUUAGACUUAUAUGUGUUGCUUUCACCUCAUGAAGGCUAACUCUUUAUUUUAGGCCGUAAGAGUAUAAUUUCUUGGAGAAUCUACAUUGUUGAUAAUUUUUUGAACAAUAUUAUCCCCAAAAUUUCUCCGCAUGUUACCCUCAACGUAGACAUCAUAUAACCAUCAUUGAACUUCUGAACCAAAAAUUUGAGUUUUAUGAUUAUAACUAAACGUCUAUAAACACAUGAUACAGAUUGAGACGAAUGUCAAAUUUAAAAUGGCAUUAAUACAGCUGCAAACUCUGAUUUGCGGGAUUUGAAAUGGAGCAGUUACUUCUUGCUUCACUUCAGCAGCAUAGUCCAGCUUCUAAAUUCAGUUCUCAGGUAUGAGGUUUCUCAGUUACCUCUUUUUUGUAAUAAAACAUUUGAUCAGUACUUGCCAGGAUAUCCAAUUAAUUAGGUCAGUUUUUGUUAGCAGUAAUAAUUUGUUUUUGCAGCUUUAUAUGUGUCUCUGUCUCCAAAUAUGAUGAUCUCUUAAUUUGCUUCUAUAGCUUUUGUAAUAUAAUGAUCUCUUAAUUUUCUUUUGCAUAUCUUCUUUGCUUCCUCUGCUAGCUCUAUAUGAGAUUCCAUCUCCAAAUAAUUAUUCCUUAUUUCCUAUUUUUACCAGAAGCAAAUCAUUGAAUACACAUGGUAAAUUAAAAGGGUUUUAGUUUUUGGAGUAGUUUAAAUUUUUUGUUUGUUAUUGCUUGUAUUGCUGUUAAAUAUUUGAUGGGUAGUUUGAAAUGGGGAACUUGGUUGAUUGAGUAUUAACUUUUAUUAAAUUAAUAUUCUUAUUCAAUAUUGAAUUAAGACUCCUCUUAUUAAAUUAAGACUCUUAAGGCUCUAAUCUAAUGUUCAUGCUCAAUAUCUCCUCUAUCUUUCUACAAUUGGUAAAACUUUUGUAUUAUUAUUCCAAUUUUGGUUACUGGGUUGUGGAAUUUUCCAUUUUUUUUCUGGGUAAUCAAUACUAUAUAUAUGCAUGACAAGUAUAAACAAUAUUUUGGGGCAAAUUUAGUUGUUUAAUUUUUAAUUUUUAUGUGACAGUGAGAUUAUGGUAGGAUUUCGUUUAGAUUCUGCGGCCCAAUGGGAGUCUCUGCUUUGAUAAGAUUGGGGUUGAUGCCAAGAAAGCCAAUAAGCCUACUGUGGACGCCGUAGCCGCCUGGCGCUGUUUUCCAAAAUCCUCUCUCACUUGGUUAAGCAAUUAAGACUUUUUGGUUCAGUUUUUAUUAUGCCCAAUUUUGUAUUUAAACCUUAAAAAAAUUUAAACUGAUAUGGGGAUACUGAAAUAGGCUGCAGAGCUGCCAUCCCUGAAUCAGAAGAUGUUCAGAAGGAAGAAGAAGAACAAGAAGAAAGUCGUGGAAUAUCAAAAGCUUUUAGCUUUGUGAAGGUAUGCUUUUUCCCAACUCACCUCUUGCUUUUGUUGCACUGAAUUGGUAGAUUGGGUUCAAAAAUAUAUAUAUGUGAUUUUUCGUGUAACUAUUUCUUUACAUAAUUACCAAUUGGAGGUGAUUUGAGAUCAUGUAACAUUUCCUCGCUAGAACCGAAGAUUGCCGUCGCUCAGAGCUGCGUUUCAUGAAACAAGUUCAUCUCCUGCCAAUUUUGUGUACCCACCUUUUAUUCAUGAGGGUUGGUGCUUGCUUGCAACACAAUUUGGUGCUAUUAAGUUUUGCGGUUUUACAAUUUGUUCAUGCUUAAACCUCUUUCAAAUUUUCAUUUCUAUGUAAAUCUUGCAGGUAGGACGACACACCUAUCUUGGCAAUGUCGGGAUGUCUAGGCUUGGGUGGAGACGUGGUCUUAUGGAAGAGGUGAAGUAGCUUAGCUCGAUCUCAUUAGCUCUUAUCUGUUCUAUUAUGCUAAGAUCAAUAGUAAAAAGUUCUAUUGAUUUUAUAAUCAAAGAUACAUAUAUUAUAGAAACAGAGGGUAUAUAAUUAAUUUCUUGAUGUAAACAAUUAUAACUUGAGGAACCAUUUAAAGUAUUUUGGUAAUCAGCAUACUUAAACUUAAAUGUGAUAUAUCCGUUUAGUAUUUUUUUUAUACAGUGAUAAUACUUAAGUAUAAUUUACAUCAUAUAUCUUUUGAAGUACAUGAAACUAUGAAGAAAAUGAUAAACCAAAUCCCAUUCCAUCUCUGUUUGCUACUGCACAAUCACAAUCCAAUUCCAACAUGGAAUCCUCAGACGACAUGCCUACUGCAGAACAAGUUUCAUCCUGACUUAACUUAUAUUUAGUCCACGUCCUGUUUAGAUUGUAAUCCUAGUUCUACGUGUGUUUGUAUAGUACUCCUAUAAAUAUCAAUGAACAUCGCUCACUCUAAUUAAGAGUUGAGAUUCUGCAAAUCAUAUUUACUAUCUUUCAUGGUAUCACGAGCCAGCGUCUAACGACAACGGUUCCUAUUAUAAUUUUUUUCUCUUUUGCAGAUCCUAAACUAUGGCAUCUUCUUCCUCCUCCGCUGCUCCCUCCAUCACAAAUUUUCUUACGAUCAAGCUCGACCGCAACAACUACCCUCUUUGGCAUGCUCAGUUUCUUCCCUUGCUGCGCAGCCGCAACUUACUCUCUUAUGUUACUGGCGAAACUCAAUGCCCCUCUUUCUUCUUGAUGACAAUGGUAAAUUCACCGAUAAAGUCAAUCCAUUAUAUAAUGAAUGGAUCCAGACUGACCAGAUGAUCCUAUCUUGGAUUACGAGUUCUCUUACUCCCAAGGUUCUUGCUACGAUCGUCAACAAAAUUGAUUCGGCCUCUGCUUGGUCGUCAAACUCGAAUUAAUCUGAUUGUGAGGGUUUUGUUUUAUAUCAAUAUAUUGCAACAGAAGUCACACUUUGAAGAGUUCAUGCUGCACAGAAAGAUGAUGAAAUGCUACCCGUUGAGUCUAUCAUUGCUCCAUUGGAGACAGAGCUGAAGCUUACUGCAGGAGUUAUACAUUUGUUAUGCAAUAUGACCCCUUUAAUUUUAUUUUAAAACUGAUACAAAAAUACUACAAAAAUUUAUGUAGUAUUUUUGUAUCAGUUUUGAGUGUCUAUUUUGGCUUCCAUAUAUCGUCUGUACAUGUGAGAGGUAUAGUGUUCAAUAUGUAUUUGGUUUCUAUAUUGUUAAUGGAUCCUUUUUUUUUUUUUAAUUUUAAUAUAAUUUUAUUAAGGUAACCAAGUUGCAGGAUGACAUCAGAACACUUGAUCUGCAGGUAAACCUUCAAUUUCCAUAUGAAGUUUGCAUGUUCGUUGUUUCUGGAAUUUGAGUUUUUAUUAUUUCUCAAUUCUAUCACAUAGAUUACGAUUUCACAUAUGUGAUUAUUAAUGGCAAUUAUAUGAUAGAAGAAUUGGGAUUGGAAGAAGAUAUUGAGUUGUUUAUUUAUGGGGAUUAGAAAAUGAUUAUCAUACAAGUGAUAUUUAUUUUUGUGUGGAUUGUUAAUAUAUAAAACUAUAAGCUUUUGAGAUUGGGAGAUAAAACCCACAAAUUCAAAUCAGACAAAAUAAAUAAAAAAUUUAACUGACUUAAAGAUCAAACUCCAAAAGGGUAUUAAAAACAAGGCUUAUUUGAUCCAUUGAGUGUGAAAGUUUUGAGCUUUGAAGAAGCAUAGGAGGAGAGUUGUUAACCAAGCUGCAUUAUCCAUGUAUUAGGAUGUUGAGGGUAGGCAGGAAAAAUACUUUUUGACGCCAUAUCCAGAGGAGCAUAACGACAGGCCUGCAUUUUUGCAGCAAGGACCAAAACAAGUAGAAGUGAAGGCUUGACUGUUUGGGUAUUAAUCCUAAACCUAAUUAUUCUUAUUUAGGUUUAGGAUAAAUGAUUGAGUGUGUCUCGAUGAUUGUAUUACCAUGUUUGAUGAAUGACUUGAGGAGUUGGAAAUGGUUUAUUGCUUAUGUUUUUCUUAGGUGUGUACUUUGGUUAUUUCCGAGCUUUUCACGACUCUUGAUACCUAAUAGAGAAAAUGGAAACCCCAACUUUAAUUUUAUGAAUUGGUUUUGGUGCCUAAAAUGAAAUCUAGCAUAGUGAAAUCUUGCAUAAUGAAAUUAUGACAAAUUUCCCUUCAUCUUUAGAUUUUCAUUUAGUUCAAUUUGUAUGCAAUUUAGGGUUAUUCAAUUCAUGAGUGAUCAAAUUAUGUUUUUAAUUCCUUCUUCUUUUGAUUUACAGUUCAACAUUGUCGUACAAAAUGAAAAAGGUGCCAGUAACAUAGUUAUGGAUUUGGAUGCCUUUAGCGGAAUAAAACUGAAUUUUUUAACUUUGUAUAGUUGUAAACAUAAAAUACUCCAUCAGAUAGACUCAUAGCAUUUGAAAACAAUCCUUGAGGAUGGCAUAACAACAUCUCCAACUUUUGUCAUGUAAUGUAUGAAUGUAAAUAGCACUUUGUAAACAUAUGGAUGUAAUAUAUGUAUAUAAACAGUCUUUAGCAUGUAUAUUUUUCAAAACUUUCUACAUCUUCAACAAUGUUUCAAUGAUUUCUUGAUGUAAACAAUGAUAAUUUGAAGAACCAUUUAAAGUUUUCGGUAAUCAGCAUACUUAAGCUUAAAUGUGAUAUAUCCGUUUAGUAUUUUUUAUACAGUGAUAAUACUCAAGUAUAAUUUACAUCAUAUAUCUUUUGAAGUACAUGAAACUAUGAAGAAAAAACCCUAAUUAAUCUGAUUAUGGGGGUUUUGUUUUAUAUCAAAAUAUUGCAGCAGAAGUCACACUUUGAAGAGUUCACGCUGCACAGAAAGACGAUGAAAUGCUAUCUGUUGAGUCCAUCAUUGCUCCAUUGGAGACAGAGCUGAAGCUUGCUGCAGGUGGUAUACUUUUGUUCUGCAAUAUGACCCCUUUAAUUUUAUUUUAAGACAGAUAGGGUUGAAAAGAAUUUAUGUAGUAUUUUUGUAUCAGUUUUGAAUGUCUAUUUUGACUUCCAUAUUUGGUCUGUACAUGUGAGGUAUAGAGUGUUCAAUAUGUAUUUGGUUUCUAUAUUGUUAAUGGAUCUUUUUUUUUUGUUUUUUAGGUAACCAAGUUGCAGGAUGAAAACAAAACACUUGAUCAGCAGGUAAACCUUCAAUUUCCAUAUGAAGUUUGCAUUUUUGUUGUUUCUGGAAUUUGAGUUUUUUGCAGGAUGAAAACAGAACACUUAAUCUGCAGGUAAACACUUGAUUUGUUAUUUCCAAGCUUUUCACGACUUUCGAUACCCAAUAGAGAAUAUGGAAACCCCAACUUUAAUUUUAUGAAUUUGUUUUGGUGCCUAAAAUGAAAUCUAGCAUAGUGAAAUCUUGCAUAAUGAAAUUAUGACAAAUUUCCCUUCAUCUUUACAUUUUCAUUUAGUUCAAAUCGUAUGGUUUAGGGUUAUUCAAUUCAUGAGUGAUCAAAUUAGGUUUUUAAUUCCUUCUUCUUUUGAUUUUCAGUUCAGCAUUGUCGUAUUUUGGAUGCCUUUAGUGGAAUAAAACUGAAUUUUUUUAACUUUGUAUAGUUGUAAACAUAAAAUACUCCAUGAGAUAGACUCAUAACUUUUGAAAACAAUCUUUGAGGAGGGCAUAACAACAUCUCCAACUUUUGUCAUGUAAUGUAUGAAUGUAAAUAGCACUUUGUAAACAUAUGUAUGUAAUAUAUGUAUAUAAACACCACUCUUUAGCAUAUAUAUUUUUCAAAACUUUCUACAUCUUCAACAAUGUUUCAAGCCCCGCGGCAACGGGCGGGUACACUUGCUAGUAUACAUCUAAAAUUAUAAGACUAAAUCCUUUAGUUCUUGGAUUCAUCUAAGAACUACUUAUUCCAGCAGAUGCUAUGCUUGCACUACUAGAAUUUAUGGCUUGCCCUGUCAACUAUUGCGCGACAGAAGAUUUCGUCGGUUUCACCUUUUUUAACCGACAGAAUAUAAGUUUAGUAGGGCAAAAUCAGUCAACAAACUGGGUUGAUUGAAUAAAUUUACAGGAUGGCUAGAGUUCGUAGGUUAAGACAUCGGUCGUUGGGCAAACAUUUGGAGCGAAGAUGUGAGUGUUUUAACUGACGAAUAAGCUGGUCGUCAUGUAGAUCUUCUUUCCCGACGGACGGUUCAACAGGUAGCUCUUUGGAUAAUAAUUCAUCUUCAAGGGGAACAGGUUGCCCCUCAGAUGAAUGGUUAGAGGCAAUUGUGAGACUAUAAUUUUCUAGGGCCGGAAUAAAAAAUACAUAAACCCUCACCUAUUCUGUCUCUGUAACCAUCCACCAAAUACCCAUUUUUCCCUUUCUAUUUCUCUCCUAGUAAUUUCCCCUGACCGAAUCACACAAUCCAACCAACUCUCUUUAAGCCUCCCUCACUGAUUCCAUGGAUUUCAUGGACUUAUCCCACCCUCUCUCCUUCCUUCUAUAUAUAGCAAGUCCCCUUGCCUCAGUGUCCCUGGCAACAGAAUUUAUGGCGUUUCUUCGUUCUUUCAAUUAUUUGAAAGCUUCCCUGCCCUGCAAUCUUGUAUAAAGGCGUAUGGUGUUUCAUCAGUUCCAUUUGGUGGUCGGGUGGGAAAUGAAAUUAAAACACUGCAUUUCAAAUGCAUUUCAAAUGGUCUAAACCAAAUUGAAUCAAAUGUGAAGCAAAGGGCAAGAGGUGUAGAUUGAAGAACAAUGGCACCAAGAGCGAAAUUGAACUUGUUGACAGGAGGAAACCAAGUAAGGAUAACACGUCUAAAUCUUAUUUUGAAUCCAUUCAGCUCAUGAUGUUUUGAAUGAUGAUGAUCGGUAUACUCUGCUACAUGCUGUGAUUUUUCCGCUUUCAUGUAAUUAACGGCUUAUAUUUGUGGUAACCAUAUUGAUUAAAAAAGGUCGUACCCAGUGCACAAGGCUCCCGCUUUACGCAGGGUCUGAAAGGUGAAUGUCGGCUAGCCUUACCCCCAUUUUAUGGAGAGGCUGCUCCAAAGUCUCAAACCCAAGACCUACCGCUCAUGGGCGAAGACACUUGCCAUCGCACCAAGUGCGAUAUUGAUUAAUUUCGAGAAAUGACAGUCUAAUUUUUGCAACUGUCUUUUGCAGGCAAAACAAAGACGUUUGCAAGGGUGAGUUGUGUAGGAGCUUUGUUUCAUGUCCAAAGGACACUUGAGAAUAAAUGUUUACACUCAUGGAUAAUAUCUAUCUAUUUGCAGGAGUAACCCUGGGUUCAUUUGUUCUGUAACUGCUGGUCAUUGCGGCAUAUCACGCCUAUAGCACUGACAAAAGUAAAAAGAGAAUCGAAUGAAAUUUGAUAAGUUUUCAGCGGACUACAAAGAUCUUAAGCCAAGCAUAUAUUCCCAUGCAGAUAUUAAGAGGUUUACAAAUCAAUUCAAGUACAAGUUGGGCCAAGGAGCAUACGGAACUAUUUUUAAAGGAAUGCUUUUUUCUGAAUGCUUUGUUGCCAUGAAGUACUUAACAAUGGGCCAUAUUCACCAUGUCAAUGUGGUUCACUUGGUUGGUUUUUGUGCUGAUGGAUUUAGAUGAGCUCUGGUUUAUGAGUUCUUUUCCUUUGGUUCACUCCAGGAUUAUAUUUCAUCAGUAGAUAGAUUUCUUUCCUUGGUUGGCAUAAGUUACAAGAUAUUGCUAUCAGCAUAGCCAAAGGAACCAAGGAUGUGAUCUACAAAUCCUCCAUUUCGAUAUCAAACCCCAUAAUGUUUUGCUCAACCAAAAAAUCACGCCAAAAAUCUCUGAUUUUGGUCUGGCCAAGUUAUGUUCCAAGGAUCAAUCGGCGUGACUAAAGCAAGGGGGACUAUGUGACUAAAGCACCCGAAGUGUUUUCCAGGAAUUUCGGAAAUGUGUCUUACAAGGCAGAUGUCUUGAAUGCUGCUGCUUGAGAUGGUAGGAGAAAAGAAGAAUAUUGGUUCAACCAGAGGACACGACAAAUGAAAUCUACUAUCCAAAAUGGAUUUAUAAUCUUCUAGAGGAAGGAAAUGACCAACAGAUCCCUAUUGAGGAAGAAUGUUAUGGUAAGAUUCCAAAGCAACUUGCAAGUUUAGGGCUCUGGUGCAGCCAGUGACACUCAGUGGAUCGGCGGUCCAUGAAAACGGUGGUUCGGAUGUUAGGAGGAGGAGAAAACUUGAUGAUGCAAGCAACCCUAAAAGCCUCAUACAGUUAGAAGCAAUUGCUGAAUUAGAGUAACAUACGUAUAUGUAUACGCACCAACACAAGUCGUUCUUAGAUGAAUCCAAGCCAAACAAUUACAGACAAUAGUUAUUCACUAAAUCACUUUAAGGCAAGAAUUUAAUUAAUAAUACAUUACUGCACUUUCUUAACCAUUUGACUAUCACCUAGCUGACAAUGAACACGUUAGCUCCGCGUUAGAACAUCUUGGGUUCAAUUCAUUGUCUUGAAUAUCACCCACUGUCACAGGCGUCUUUUGGGGGCAUAGAGAAGGCCUGAGAGGCAUUUGCAGACAUUCAACAUCUCCUCCAAGCAUUUUGACAACUUUGGACAUCGAAGGGCGAUCACUUGGUUUCAUUUGAAUACACCACAAGGCGGUUAUAACCAUCUUUCUUAUUACUUUCUUUUCCUCCUCUGUAACAUUGUCCAUUUCCAAGUCAUUUCCUACAAUAUACUGAUCGUAUACCCACAUUGGGAAGUAGAUUUGGCUUGAAUGCUCUACCGUUGGAUUCAAAUUCCUCCUUCUGCUUGCCAUUUCCAUCAACAACAUUCCAAAACUAUAGACAUCUGACUUAUAUGAGACGCCUCCAAUAUUUUUGUAGAACAACUCAGGAGCAAUAUAUCCCAGUGUACCCCGUGCUGCUGUCAAAGAGACAAUGCUAUUAUCUACAUGAUACAAUUUUGCAAGCCCAAAGUCAGAAACCUUUGCUUUAAAGUUCUCAUCAAGAAGGAUGUUAUGAGGCUUGAUGUCGAAAUGUAGAAUUUGCAUUUCGCAACCUUGGUGUAGAUAUUCGAUCCCUUGAGCCACUCCAAGAGAAAUCUCGUACAUGUUCUUGAUAGUUAAGGGGACACUUCCUUCUUUGGAAUAAAUGUAUUUAUCAAGAGAACCAUUAGGCAUGAAGUCAUAGACUAGAGCGCGUUUUGAUCCCUCAACAUAGUAUCCAACAAGUUGCACCACAUUGGCAUGGUGAAUCCUUCCGAUUGUAGCUAAUUCGCUAAUGAAAUCUUGGCCAUCAGCUUUGGGCUUGGCCAAAACUUUAACUGCUACAAAUCGACCACUGCGUAGCUUUCCCUUAAAUACAGAGCCAAAGCCACCUUUGCCCAACUUGUCCUUAAACUUGCGAGUCAUUUUCUUGACGUCCGAGUAAGAGUACCUUAUAGGCAUGAAGUUGUUAUUGCAUUGCAGAAAAUCUUCUAUUGUGCUAUACAUUGAUAAAUGUCUUCUGCGCCAUGUGUAGAUUAGAAAUGCAGUCACAAUUGGAACUCCAAAAACAAAUCUGGCUAGGAAAAAUAACCCUACAUGCAUUGACAUUAAUAUGUUAGAUCCACUGCGUACUACUUUUUCUUCCCUUUCUUUCCAAAUUACUUUGUCUUUGAUGUAAUUAAAGAGAGAAUGGGAAAUGUACAUAUGUUGAUAAUACAAUCUCGUCUUAGUCCUUACCGAUGCAUAUGAGUAUAAACCAUACACGUACUGCAACAAAAUCAAUCGACUAUGAGUUUGAAAAGUGCAUAAAGUGAAAAAAAAAUAAAAAAAAUCAAAGGGUGCCUUUAUUGACAUCCAAAUUUUAGUUAGUUUUACUCAACUAAAAAAUUUUUGUCAUCAAACUUUUUAAUUUGCCGUCGAAAUUGAGUUCACCCAACCCACAAAGCAGCAACUACCACUCACCAAAAAAACCAACAACACACAGCCACCAGUACCAUUCACCAAUAGAAAGAGAAGGAACACACAGACCCACCAAGGAGCCGGCAUCGACGCGUCUACGAGGGAGGGACCGGAGGGUGGUGUAGUUUUGUUGGGCGCGCGGUAGUGGUUUUGUCUGUUCAUUUUCUCUUUGUUUUGGUAGGUGGAGGCUGGUGUGGAUUUGGGCGAACUUAAAAAUGAGGGGAAACUAUGAAGUUUGACAAAAUGUUUUAGUUAGGUGAACUUCACUAAAAUUUGGGUGCCGAUAAAGAUACCCAAAAUCAAAAGACUAGAUGGACUAAUUAAAUGAAGCUCUUACCCAUAUAUAACGAUGGACGCAACUUGCCAGCUGCUGCAGUACAUACCACGGAAAAGUGAGCAAAGACAUACAGUUACUAGGUUUAAGAAGUACAGAUAGAGCACACAAAAAAUAAAAGAAGCUUUUGGGAAGAAACUUCUUACGCAAAUAGAUUUUUUUCAUGACCUACAGUAAAAAAAUGUCAAGAAGAAUACACAACAUUAGCAAUAGCUCACCCAGUCUUCAAAAUUUAAAAAAUCAAGUUUGUCGAUCGAAAACUUGUAAAUAAAACAAAAAGAGGACCCCUUACCGAUUUGUUGCCAUAGAUAUUGAAAGAAACCUACAAGAACAAAGAAAGAACAAGACCACAUGCAUUAGAAUAACAAGUGUGAGGUGUAUAAGCCGUUAGAAAAUAAAUUUAAAAUUCUAGUGCUGUCAAUACAUUGAUAAUAUAUAUAUAUAUAUAUAUAUAUAUAUAUAUAUGUAUGUAUGUAUUAUUUUUUCUGAAAAUUUAACUUUUCCCGUCCAAACUCAUUUUUCUAGUCUCUAGCCCAACAUAUAAUAUUUAUCUGAAUAAAACCAAAUGAUUAGGAUCCAACUAAGAAACUUACCAAAUUAAGUUUGUGUGUCCAUUUUUAUAUUUUUUGGAUCCCUAAUAUACCCCAUCUAAGCCAGUAUGGAAAGGUCUUGUAAUUUUGCUUUAAGUGAUUACGUGCAUUGAAUUUGGCAAGGUCUUAUAGCCAUGAAAUAUGGUUCUAGAUGGAGGAAUUAAUUUGGAAUUUUUUUUAAUUUCGACAACAAAUUUCAAUUUGAAUAUACCUAAUUUAGUGUUUAUUUUCAACAAUAAAUGUGCCUACUUUUUAAAUUUGUAACAAAAUUAAUUUACCUACUUUUUAUGGUAUUAGUGACACACCCUGUCCCGAAGGAGGGCAUGCUGGCCGUCACGAGAGAGUGACGUAACCAUUUGCACAGUACGGAAGCUUUAAGAUACAAUUUAUAAGUUGAUACACCCGAAGGUGAGUCCUAAUUUUUGUCCAAUCUGUCAGAACACCGUCAAAUUCCUCGUAGUCACCACACCUUUGUGAUUCCUGAACCUGGAGGGGCGCAAAACCAAAAUUGAGUGGGUCAGUAAAACAAUUCUUUUCCAAAUCCAAACAUUUCUCAAAACGUUGUAACCCUCUCCGUAAAACUUGUAUACUUUCCCAGAAAUGUAAAAUAUAAAUAUACAUAUAUAUUCUCAAACUUCAUUUUUACUAUCUCAACAUUUUUCUUUAUCAAACAUGCCAUGCCAUGUCUAAUUCAACAGUUAAGUAUGGAUGCAUCAACAAUAAUCAUAUCAGGUGCAAGAAAGUAAUCAACCGGAGGCCCUCUAAUAGCCCUGUACGGUUGAACCUAGAGCUCAAAAUCUAUCACUCUCACUCUGCCGGGAGUCACCUCUGUGACCUGUCCGGCCUUCUGCACACAAGUUACGCUCUAGUGCUUUCUCAUCAAUCAUCUGUGCACAUAAUCUAAGGUCACCCACCAGUCGAAAUCUCACUAACACUCUUCGACUGGCCCGUCGCACCCACUCCGCGUGGACUGUGCGACCAGCAUCUACUUGGAUCCAAGGCGAGCGUGCGAUGCGGUGAAUACUAUAAGCACUAAACCAUGGUGCAGGAUUUGAGCUCAAUAUAUAUCAACAUCAUCAUAACAGUACUUAAAUACUCACCUGAUACUCACCUGUGCGUCCGCCGCACCAAUUCAUACAUAUGCAUCAUAUUUCAAUUCAUAUCAUUUCAUGCAUGGCAAUUCGAUUCACAUUUCUAUAUACAUUUCAUAUACUUCUAUGCAUGACCUUUCAAUUCACGUUUUCAUAUAAUUCUAUAUACCUUUCAUUUAAAACAUAAUUUCAUUCUAAUUCAAUUUCUGGGAAAACGUCAAGUAUAUAUAUACGGAAAACAAAACUGCCCACUCACCUGGAGUUCGUCCAACAACUCCCUAGCACCACACAUCAAGGCGUCAUGACGAUCGCCGUCUAGAACAGUAAUCAAAUCCAGCCUCAGAAUUCAUAUCGAUAGAACAUAUAACUUAUAUAAAAUAUGUCACUACGUAGAUCGAUCCGGAAGAUCUGCCACUCAGAUUUUAAAUCCAUAACUUCCAGAGGUCCACAAUAUAUCUCUAGGAUAACAUCCUAAAAUUUCAUUACCAUCCAACGGUCGGAUCUCCGUCAAUUUCCAAAACUAAGUGACGGUUAACAUUUUAUUUUAUGAACUUACAAUUCUAAUUCCGGAAGAUCCGUAACUCGGAUUCCCAAUCCGUAAGUUCCAAUAAUCCUCAAAUAUUACGUAUUACAACGUAUCAAAGUUUGGUAACGAUCCAACGGUCGGAUCAUCAAUUCACAUUUUCACCUAAUGCGAAAACUAUAAAACGUUAUUCGAACACCUAACCAACAAUCCUUAAUAACUUUCUCAUACGGUGUUCAAUUUGGGUAUAUGAAUAUACCACAGUGAUCUACUCAUUAAAAUAAUUUUUUACUGUAGCACGCGCCCCCACGCGCCAAGGAAGGCACGGACCUACGCGCCCCCACGCGCACCUUCUUCUUCCUUGGGUCGCCGGACUGGUUUUUCCGGCGGCCGUUUUUCAAAUUGCCAUAACUUUGUCAUUUCUCAACGAAAUCAAGUGAUUCAAAAACGAAAGUUGUAGCCCUUGAAGAGACAAAGAGAAUGGUACCUUGCACAACACCUAGUUCGCCGUGGUUUGGCCGGAAACUGCUUCGAAAGCCUCGGAGGUCGCCAGAAACUGGGUAUUUUUCAAAUCAGUAUAACUUCUUCAAUACUCAACGAAAUUGAGUGAAACAAAAAGGAAAGUUGUAGUACUUGACGAGACGAAGAGAUUGAUACCUACCUCGACUCCUAACUCACCGGAUAUUCGCCGGAAAAUGCCUCGAAAGCUCCGGCCAAACUUUGAACUUGUCGAUCUCCGUGUUCUUACAUCCAAAAACUUCCAACGAAGCACUCCGAGCUUCCUUGGGACCUCACUAAGCUCGCUAUGAUCUUGUUUUAGCCUAAAACGUAGUCAUUUAGAAGAUCAUGAACAAUACCAUUUCACGGGAACUUUGAAACUAGGGUUUUCCGAAGCAAAACUUACCUGAAAUGGAUACCAUCGUGAUCGUGGAGGUUCCAGGAGUUUGAUGGUGGUCUUAACUCUGUCGUUGGUGGAAGUUUAAGGUUGUUUUGUGGUUGGUUUGUUCGAACGGAGAAGAAGAGUGACAGAGAGAGUGAGAGAGUCGUGAGGGAAGAGAGAGAGAGACAGCAUGCAGAAAAUAGGGAGAGGAUUGAGGGGUGUGGGGAUCCCACGUGGUCCUUUUCCAAUCCCCAACUCCAAACCAUAAAAUUUUAACCUAAAAAUCUAAGUUCAAUCCUUAAUAAAUUCCAUUUUAUUUUCAAAACUUAGGAACCUAGAUAAUUAUCAACUUGAGCUUCACAUACUUAGUAUUUCUUAAGGGCAAUUUCGUUCAUUCACAGCCACGAAUGUAAUAUUUUGGAACGGGCUGUGACAAUUAGUAUACAUAAAUGUAGAAUAUAUGUCCGUAUAUAUUUGAUCCAAUUAGUAUUAGGGAGAAUGACAAGUCAUCCAAGUCUGCUACUGUUAAUAAUUCUGUUACUGUAAAUUAACUGAUUGUAUUAGUUGUGAUUAGUUAAGAUAGUUAUAAAGUAGUUAGGGGUAUCUAUGUAAAUAGCCAAAGGCUAUAUAUAUUCCUACACAAUGUGUAAAGUUCUCAGUCAAGUAAAUACAAUCAAGAAAACUUACUGUUGAAGUUUUCUGUUUCUACAUGGUAUCACGCCAUUCCGCUUCACAGCUUCGAUCUUUCUCUUCGCUUGCUGCAUCGAUCGACUCUUGAUCGAUUUUUCUUCUCUGAUCUUCUCUUCGCUUGCUGCAUCGAUCGACUCAUGAUCGAUUUUUCUUCUCUGAUCGUCACUUCUUCCCUUCCGAUCUUGUAGUAUUUUCUUGAUUUCUGUCAGUAAUGGCGGCUCAAUCGACUGGUUCAUCUUCUCCGGUCAUCUCCCCCUCGAGCCCAAACCCUAAUUUUCUCUGGAAACCCUAAUUCCUCUGGAAAUCCGAGUCCUCUGACUUCCUACACUUCUCUCUCACAAUUCAUAACAUCGGCAGCAUGGUGCCGAUCAAGCUCAAAAGAUCCAAUUACCUACCAUGGCGCGCCCUGUUUGGCCCGAUUUUCCGGCGAUACAAGCUUCUUGGAGUAAUCGAUGGUACUGACGUCUGUCCAUCGCCAUUUCUGCCUGAUCGUAGCAUCAAUCCUGCUUUUGAGGACUGGUAUGAGAAAGAUCAAAAUCUUUUUGAUCUGGUUGAAUUCCACACUUUCUGAGGAAAUCAUCCCGUUCACGGUUGGGGUUUCAUCCUCUCGAGAACUUUGGGUAAAGCUUGAACAGCGCUUUGGUGGAAUUUCAGAGGCUCAUAUCCAUCAGUUGCGAUCGCGCCUUCAAUCUGUUCAGAAAGGAUCGCGUUCUAUCUCUGACUAUCUUCAAGAACUCAAGGAAAUUUCAGAUUCUCUGCAAGCUGCUGGUGCUUCUGUCUCUGAUCGAGAUCUUAUCGCCGCCACACUACAUGGCUUGCCUGAUGAAUUUGAGUCUUUCAUCGACUGUAUCAUGCUCCGAUUGUCCUCUACCUCUCUGAUGAACUUCAUGGCCUCCUUCUCACAAAGGAAUUGUCUAUGGCCAGACGCAAAACUGUCAGUUCAUCUCCUGUCCCUGAAUCUUUUCAGGCUUUCUCGGUGCAGUCUCAGCCUCAUCUCCUUCCUACUCCAUCUGCUUUUGCUGCUCAGAAUCUCCCUCUUCAAUCUGCAUCUCGGUUCAACUCUAAUCGUGGCAGGAACACUAAGGGCCAGUUCUUUUCCAAUCGAGGUCAUCGAGGUAAUCGUGGUAAUUUUCCUAAUAAACCGUGGCAAUCGAGGUUAUCAAGGAUUUCGCAGCAAUCAAGGCUCUUCUCACUUCAAAGUGCUUUGUCAAAUCUGUGGUUCUACCAGUCAUGAGGCUAUUGACUGCUUUGAUCGUAUGAAUCCUGACAUCUUGUGGUCGUAUUCCUCCAGCUAAGCUUGCUGCCAUGUGUGCCACAACAUUCUGCUAAACCAUCUCAGCCUUGGUUAAUUGAUUCAGGGGCAACCUCUCAUAUCACUAAUGAUGUUGCUAACCUCACCUCUCCUACUCCCUACACUGGCGAGGAUUAAAGUGUAUAUUGGAGAUGGUAAAGGUUUAUCCAUCCUCAAUGUUGGUUCAUCUACUCUGCACACCUCUCAUAAUUCUUUUCAAUUGCGAAAUGUUUUACAUGUUCCCCACAUAACCCAUAAUCUUAUCUGCUUAUCAGUUUUGUUAAUGAUAAUAAUUGUUCAUUGACACUUGACCCUUAUGGAUCCUAUGUCAAGGAUCGUAUUUCGGGGAAGAUGCUUUUACGGGGACCGGUUAGAGAUGGCUUCUAUCCUCUUCAAAGUUCCAGCAAUCUUCAUCCUCUUUCACAUACCGCUUUACUUAGUAUUAAAGCUCCAGUUACAAUUUGGCACAAGCGUUUGGGUCACCCUUCCUCCUCCAUUUUUAGAAGGCUCCUUUCAUCCAAUAAUCUUGCUUUACAAGGCAAGUCUACUGUGGACUUUUUCUGUUCGGAUUGUGCUCUUGCCAAGAAUCAUAAGCUUCCAUUUAAAGCUGCUACUUCAUCAUCAACUCACAGCCUUCAACUACUGCACUGUGAUCUGUGGGGACCUGCCUCAAUCACAUCAAGUAGUGGUUUUCAAUAUUAUUUGCUCAUUGUUGAUGACUAUAGCAAAUAUAGUUGGUUCUUUCCUUUGAAAUCUAAGUCAGAUGUAUUUUCUACAUUUGUUGUCUUCAAAUCAUAUGUAGAAAAUUCACUUGGAAAUAAAAUAAAGGUUCUGCGUUCAGAUUCAGGGGGUGAAUUUACUAGUCACUCUUUUGCAUCAUAUCUCAGCAAACAUGGCAUUCUUCAUCAGUUCAGUUGUCCCCACACCCCUGAGCAAAAUGGUUGUGCAGAAAGAAAGCACAGGCACCUUGUUGAAAACAGCUCGCACUUUGCUUCUUGCAUUCUCAUGUCCCUCAUAUUUUCUGGGUUGAAGCAUUCUCCACUGCUAUCUAUCUUAUUAAUCGCCUUCCUAUUUCUGGCAUUUCACAGUCCCCUUGGCAGUUGCUAUUUCACAACCAUCCAGACUACUCUAAGCUCAAAGUAUUUGGUUGCCAAUGCUUUCCUUGGCUCAAACCUUACUUUCAUAGCAAAUUGGAUCCCAAGAGCAAAAAGUGUGUUUUCUUGGGGUAUAGUCUUCAACACAAAGGCUAUAGGUGCCUUGAUCCUAUCACCAAUCGCAUCUACAUCUCUCGUCAUGUCUGUAUUCGAUGAAAGUACUUAUCCAUUUCAGUUGUCCCACAUUCAACACUCUUUUCCUGUUCCAAGUCCUCCAUCUUCCUCACCAACAAUUUCUUCCUCUCUGGAUCUUCAUUUUUUAGCAAACACAUUCCUCCUGUUUUCAGUCAGCCAUCUACAUCACCAUUAUGUGCUUCUGUGCCUGUUCCUAUUUCUUCAUCUUCAUCUUCCCCUGCACCUGUCUCAGUUGGCUCUUCUUUCCAGUUUUGUUCCUCCUUCAGCACAUUCAUCUUUCUCCCAAAAUCAACAGAGUCAUCCUCCUGCCCCUGUUAAUUCUCAUCCAAUGAUUACUAGAUCCAAGGCUGGUAUACUCACGUCGAGAGCCUGUGCAGCAACUAAGCACCCACUUCCGGUUGAUAUGGAUUAUGUUCCUACAACAUACUUGCAAGCUUCUAAGCAUGCUCAUUGGAGGCAAGCUAUGCAAGAUGAAUUUAAUGCCUUGCUAACCACUGGUUACUUUGGUCUCUUGUUCCUUCUCACCAUUCUCAAAACUUAGUGGGCUGCAAGUGGGUUUUCCGGAUUAAGAAGAAGCCCGAUGGCACUGUUGACAGAUAUAAAGCCCGGCUUGUGGCCAAGGGUUUUCAUCAACAAGAAGGUAUUGACUUUUCAAGAAAACCUUCAGUCCAGUUGCCAAACCGGUUACAAUUCGGAUCCUUCUUACCCUUUGCUGUGCAAUAUAAUUGGUUUCUCAAUCAAUUGGACAUUAGUAAUGCCUUUCUUCAUGGAGACUUAAAGAGAGGAUGUCUACAUGCAACAACCCCCUGGUUUUGUUGAUCCCUUUACCCUACAUUUUGUAAGUUGAGGAAAUCGUUGUAUGGUCUCAAACAAGCUCCUCGAGCUUGGUUUGAUAAACUGUUCCAAGCUCUUCCUCUCUUGGAUUCACCCAAUCAUCCUCAGAUGCUUCUUUAUUUGUUCUCAAUGGUCCUCAGUUUAGUCAUUGUCCUUGUCUAUGUUGAUGACAUUCUUGUCACCGGACCCUAUCCUUACCUCUGUCAACACUUCAUUCAGCAACUUGGGGCUCAAUUUCCAGUAAAAGACCUUGGUCCUCUUCAUUAUUUCUUGGGAUUAGAAGUACAUCGAUCUUCCCAGGGUAUAUUUCUCCAUCAAACAAAGUACUUAUUGGAUCUUCUCAAGAAAACAAAUAUGGAGGGUGCAAAACCUUGUUGUACUCCCCUUGGCUCUAAGAAAUUAGAUCACAGUGGCCCUCUUCUGUCCAAUCCUACUGAAUAUCGCUCCAUUGUUGGUGGUUUACAAUAUCUUACUUGGACUAGACCCGACCUUGCUUUUGCUGUGAACCAAAUCUGCCAAUUCAUGCAUGCUCCCAGGGAACAACAUCUCCAGGCAGCAAAAAGGGUUCUCAGAUUUCUCAAAGGCUCUAUCUCACAUGGUGUGUGGUUCACUAAAGGCCCUGUCCAUCUUUCUGCCUACUCGGAUGCCGACUGGGCUGGUUGCACAAUUGACAGGAGAUCAACCACUGGUUAUUGUGUAUUUUUGGGUUCCAAUCUUAUCAGCUGGAGUGCCAAGAAGCAAAGUACUGUUGCCAAGGUCCUCUACAGAGGCUGAAUAUCGCUCCUUAGCUCACACAGCUGCUGAGAUAACUUGGGUUUGCAGAUUCUCAAAGAUCUGCACUAUCCUCUCUCUUACAUUCCCUACUUUUGGUGUGACAACAUAUCAGCAAUAUCUUUAGCAUCUAAUCCUGUCUUUCAUGCUCGAACAAAGCAUGUUGAGAUCGAUUAUCNGAAGUUUUCUGUUUUCUACAUGGUAUCACGCCAUUCCGCUUCACAGCUUCGAUCUUUCUCUUCGCUUGCUGCAUCGAUCGACUCUUGAUCGAUUUUUCUUCUCUGAUCUUCUCUUCGCUUGCUGCAUCGAUCGACUCAUGAUCGAUUUUUCUUCUCUGAUCGUCACUUCUUCCCUUCCGAUCUUGUAGUAUUUCUUGAUUUCUGUCAGUAAUGGCGGCUCAAUCGACUGGUUCAUCUUCUCCGGUCAUCUCCCCCUCGAGCCCAAACCCUAAUUUCUCUGGAAACCCUAAUUCCUCUGGAAAUCCGAGUCCUCUGGACUUCCUACACUUCUCUCACAAUUCAUAACAUCGGCAGCAUGGUGCCGAUCAAGCUCAAAAGAUCCAAUUACCUACCAUGGCGCGGCCCUGUUUGGCCCGAUUUUCCGGCGAUACAAGCUUCUUGGAGUAAUCGAUGGUACUGACGUCUGUCCAUCGCCAUUUCUGCCUGAUCGUAGCAUCAAUCCUGCUUUUGAGGACUGGUAUGAGAAAGAUCAAAAUCUUUUGAUCUGGUUGAAUUCCACACUUUCUGAGGAAAUCAUCCCGUUCACGGUUGGGGUUUCAUCCUCUCGAGAACUUUGGGUAAAGCUUGAACACAGCGCUUUGGUGGAAUUUCAGAGGCUCAUAUCCAUCAGUUGCGAUCGCGCCUUCAAUCUGUUCAGAAAGGAUCGCGUUCUAUCUCUGACUAUCUUCAAGAACUCAAGGAAAUUUCAGAUUCUCUGCAAGCUGCUGGUGCUUCUGUCUCUGAUCGAGAUCUUAUCGCCGCCACACUACAUGGCUUGCCUGAUGAAUUUGAGUCUUUCAUCGACUGUAUCAUGCUCCGAUUGUCCUCUACCUCUCUUGAUGAACUUCAUGGCCUCCUUCUCACAAAGGAAUUGUCUAUGGCCAGACGCAAAAACUGUCAGUUCAUCUUCCUGUCCCUGAAUCUUUUCAGGCUUUCUCGGUGCAGUCUCAGCCUCAUCUCCUUCCUACUCCAUCUGCUUUUGCUGCUCAGAAUCUCCCUCUUCAAUCUGCAUCUCGGUUCAACUCUAAUCGUGGCAGGAACACUAAGGGCCAGUUCUUUUCCAAUCGAGGUCAUCGAGGUAAUCGUGGUAAUUUUCCUAAUAACCGUGGCAAUCGAGGUUAUCAAGGAUUUCGCAGCAAUCAAGGCUCUUCUCACUUCAAAGUGCUUUGUCAAAUCUGUGGUUCUACCAGUCAUGAGGCUAUUGACUGCUUUGAUCGUAUGAAUCCUGACAUCUGUGGUCGUAUUCCUCCAGCUAAGCUUGCUGCCAUGUGUGCACAACAUUCUGCUAAACCAUCUCAGCCUUGGUUAAUUGAUUCAGGGGCAACCUCUCAUAUCACUAAUGAUGUUGCUAACCUCACCUCUCCUACUCCCUACACUGGCGAGGAUAAAGUGUAUAUUGGAGAUGGUAAAGGUUUAUCCAUCCUCAAUGUUGGUUCAUCUACUCUGCACACCUCUCAUAAUUCUUUUCAAUUGCGAAAUGUUUUACAUGUUCCCCACAUAACCCAUAAUCUCUUAUCUGCUUAUCAGUUUGUUAAUGAUAAUAAUUGUUCAUUGACACUUGACCCUUAUGGAUCCUAUGUCAAGGAUCGUAUUUCGGGGAAGAUGCUUUUACGGGGACCGGUUAGAGAUGGCUUCUAUCCUCUUCAAAGUUCCAGCAAUCUUCAUCCUCUUUCACAUACCGCUUUACUUAGUAUUAAAGCUCCAGUUACAAUUUGGCACAAGCGUUUGGGUCACCCUUCCUCCUCCAUUUUUAGAAGGCUCCUUUCAUCCAAUAAUCUUGCUUUACAAGGCAAGUCUACUGUGGACUUUUUCUGUUCGGAUUGUGCUCUUGCCAAGAAUCAUAAGCUUCCAUUUAAAGCUGCUACUUCAUCAUCAACUCACAGCCUUCAACUACUGCACUGUGAUCUGUGGGGACCUGCCUCAAUCACAUCAAGUAGUGGUUUUCAAUAUUUAUUUGCUCAUUGUUGAUGACUAUAGCAAAUAUAGUUGGUUCUUUCCUUUGAAAUCUAAGUCAGAUGUAUUUUCUACAUUUGUUGUCUUCAAAUCAUAUGUAGAAAAUUCACUUGGAAAUAAAAUAAAGGUUCUGCGUUCAGAUUCAGGGGGUGAAUUUACUAGUCACUCUUUUGCAUCAUAUCUCAGCAAACAUGGCAUUCUUCAUCAGUUCAGUUGUCCCCACACCCCUGAGCAAAAUGGUUGUGCAGAAAGAAAGCACAGGCACCUUGUUGAAACAGCUCGCACUUUGCUUCUUGCAUCUCAUGUCCCUCAUAUUUUCUGGGUUGAAGCAUUCUCCACUGCUAUCUAUCUUAUUAAUCGCCUUCCUAUUUCUGGCAUUUCACAGUCCCCUUGGCAGUUGCUAUUUCACAACCAUCCAGACUACUCUAAGCUCAAAGUAUUUGGUUGCCAAUGCUUUCCUUGGCUCAAACCUUACUUUCAUAGCAAAUUGGAUCCCAAGAGCAAAAAGUGUGUUUUCUUGGGGUAUAGUCUUCAACACAAAGGCUAUAGGUGCCUUGAUCCUAUCACCAAUCGCAUCUACAUCUCUCGUCAUGUUGUAUUCGAUGAAAGUACUUAUCCAUUUCAGUUGUCCCACAUUCAACACUCUUUUCCUGUUCCAAGUCCUCCAUCUUCCUCACCAACAAUUUCUUCCUCUCUGGAUCUUCAUUUUAGCAAACACAUUCCUCCUGUUUUCAGUCAGCCAUCUACAUCACCAUUAUGUGCUUCUGUGCCUGUUCCUAUUUCUUCAUCUUCAUCUUCCCCUGCACCUGUCUCAGUUGGCUCUUCUUCCAGUUUUGUUCCUCCUUCAGCACAUUCAUCUUUCUCCCAAAAUCAACAGAGUCAUCCUCCUGCCCCUGUUAAUUCUCAUCCAAUGAUUACUAGAUCCAAGGCUGGUAUACUCACGUCGAGAGCCUGUGCAGCAACUAAGCACCCACUUCCGGUUGAUAUGGAUUAUGUUCCUACAACAUACUUUGCAAGCUUCUAAAGCAUGCUCAUUGGAGGCAAGCUAUGCAAGAUGAAUUUAAUGCCUUGCUAACCACUGGUUACUUGGUCUCUUGUUCCUUCUCACCAUUCUCAAAACUUAGUGGGCUGCAAGUGGGUUUUCCGGAUUAAGAAGAAGCCCGAUGGCACUGUUGACAGAUAUAAAGCCCGGCUUGUGGCCAAGGGUUUUCAUCAACAAGAAGGUAUUGACUUUCAAGAAAACCUUCAGUCCAGUUGCCAAACCGGUUACAAUUCGGAUCCUUCUUACCCUUGCUGUGCAAUAUAAUUGGUUUCUCAAUCAAUUGGACAUUAGUAAUGCCUUUCUUCAUGGAGACUUAAAGGAGGAUGUCUACAUGCAACAACCCCCUGGUUUUGUUGAUCCCUUACACCCUACAUCUGUUUGUAAGUUGAGGAAAUCGUUGUAUGGUCUCAAACAAGCUCCUCGAGCUUGGUUUGAUAAACUGUUCCAAGCUCUUCACUCUCUUGGAUUCACCCAAUCAUCCUCAGAUGCUUCUUUAUUUGUUCUCAAUGGUCCUCAGUUUAGUCAUUGUCCUUGUCUAUGUUGAUGACAUUCUUGUCACCGGACCCUAUCCUUACCUCUGUCAACACUUCAUUCAGCAACUUGGGGCUCAAUUUCCAGUAAAAGACCUUGGUCCUCUUCAUUAUUUCUUGGGAUUAGAAGUACAUCGAUCUUCCCAGGGUAUAUUUCUCCAUCAAACAAAGUACUUAUUGGAUCUUCUCAAGAAAACAAAUAUGGAGGGUGCAAAACCUUGUUGUACUCCCCUUGGCUCUAAGAAAUUAGAUCACAGUGGCCCUCUUCUGUCCAAUCCUACUGAAUAUCGCUCCAUUGUUGGUGGUUUACAAUAUCUUACUUGGACUAGACCCGACCUUUGCUUUUGCUGUGAACCAAAUCUGCCAAUUCAUGCAUGCUCCCAGGGAACAACAUCUCCAGGCAGCAAAAAGGGUUCUCAGAUUUCUCAAAGGCUCUAUCUCACAUGGUGUGUGGUUCACUAAAGGCCCUGUCCAUCUUUCUGCCUACUCGGAUGCCGACUGGGCUGGUUGCACAAUUGACAGGAGAUCAACCACUGGUUAUUGUGUAUUUUUGGGUUCCAAUCUUAUCAGCUGGAGUGCCAAGAAGCAAAGUACUGUUGCAAGGUCCUCUACAGAGGCUGAAUAUCGCUCCUUAGCUCACACAGCUGCUGAGAUAACUUGGGUUUGCAAGAUUCUCAAAGAUCUGCACUAUCCUCUCUCUACAUUCCCUACUCUUUGGUGUGACAACAUAUCAGCAAUAUCUUUAGCAUCUAAUCCUGUCUUUCAUGCUCGAACAAAGCAUGUUGAGAUCGAUUAUCACUAUAUUAGAGAAUUGGUUUUGGCUCAACUUCUCAAAGUCAAGUUCAUCUGCAGUGAAGACCAAUUAGCUGAUCUUCACACCAAGUCUCUGUCUAAAACCAGAUUUAAUUAUCUGUGUUCCAAGCUUCCCAUUGGUCUCAUUUCUGAUCCCCCUUCUCGCUUGAGGGGGUGUAUUAGGGAGAAUGACAAGUCAUCCAAGUCUGCUACUGUUAAUAAUUCUGUUACUGUAAAUUAACUGAUUGUAUUAGUUGUGAUUAGUUAAGAUAGUUAUAAAGUAGUUAGGGGUAUCUAUGUAAAUAGCCAAAGGCUAUAUAUAUUCCUACACAAUGUGUAAAGUUCUCAGUCAAGUAAAUACAAUCAAGAAAACUUACUGUUGAAGUUUUCUGUUUCUACAGGUUUUGGAUUGGAGGAGUUGACACAAAAUUAUAAAUAUAUUAAACAAAUUUAUCUAUUCUAAAGUUGGAGGGAAAUUGGCCUGUACAUUGCUACAGUAAUUUUUUUUUACCCAAUUUCACGUUAUUUACAACAAAGCUAUCAGAUUUGGGUUGGGUUGGAGGGUAAUUUGUUAAAAGUUAGGAGGGUAAUUUUGUGCAUAGGGUUUAGGUGCCCUCCUAUACAUGACCCUUGAUUUUACUUUAUUUACACCACUGCCAUCAAAUAUGUGGCUGAAUUGGAGGGUAUUAUUAAAAGUUAGGAGGGUAGUUUGUUCAAGGGGUGAGGGCGACAUUCGCAGACAGAGAGCGAUGGGAGCCAUGGCCAUUGCACAGAGAGAAAGGGAGUGAUGGGGGAAAUUACAGACAGAAAAGGAAGGGAUGGGGGGGAUUUGAUGGAUGGUCACAGAGAGAGAUUGGGUGAGGGAUGUGAGAGGAGAUUACAGAGAGAUAAAUAAAAGGGAGGGAUCGGGGGAUGUGAGGGAUGGUCAGGGAGAGAAAUAGUGAGGGAGGGAGGGAUGGGGGGGCUGAUUUUCGGUUCCUCCUUCCAGAUUUGUUCCGUAAAAACCUGUUGGGUAGAAUUCAAUUUCCUCCCCCUUUCCCCUGAACGAAAAAUUCGAAACCUACAACUCAAAACUCACUCAUUUGUCGUCCCUCCUUGGCUUUCCGCUUUACUCAUCUCCCGGUGGUUCUCUCUCCAUACGAUUCCAUUUCGGUGAGUUCUUCGUUGCCCUCAUGAUUUCCCACUUUUAUUUUUGGGGCGUCCUUAGUCGUCGUUUUUAUCUGGGUUUACUGCAUUGUUGCUUUUAGUUUCUGGAUUUUUAUUUUUUUGGCACUUGGAUGAAUCGUGGUUAAUAAUUUCACAUCAUGGGAUUUUCGCACUUCUGAUGGAAUUGAGCGCGGGGAUUCGGGGUGGGGUUUUACUGAUAAUUUGUCUUCAUUCAAACGAAGGGUUAAAAUUUAUGAGUAUUAACAAAUUUUGUAAAUUAUUCUUAUACAUUUUAUUGAGGGAUCUAAUCGAUUUCUUUCUGUAGUGGGAUUGAAAUUGGGGCUUUGUGGUACUCUCUCUCGCUCACUCUCUCUCCUAUGUGUAUGAAUUGAGUUCUGCAGUGAGUUUGCAGGUGGGCGCGUUCACUAACUAAGCUUUCAAGGGAACCGAUCAACGGUUUGCUUGCUGGGGGAAUUCGGAGACUACCAGUGUAUGAUUUAGUUAUCAUUAAUUUUUUUACUUAAUUUUAUCCAUAUAUAAUAUGUGGGUAAAUUUAGAGGUCGCACUUGGUGCGAUGGCAAGUUCCUUCGCCCAUGAGCGGUAGGUCUCGGGUUCGAGACUUGGGAGCAGCCUCUCCAUAAAUGGGGGUAAGGCUAGCCGACAUUUACCUCUCCCAGACCCUGCGUAAAGCGGGAGCCUUGUGCACUGGGUACGAUCUUUUAUAAUAUGUGGGUAAAUUUAUACUAAACAAUUGUGAUAAGCCAAUAUGCUAUACGACUUUGAAAGCAUUGAUUUUGUGUUUAGUUUGCAUUUUUGCAUUGUGAAUGUUGAAUUUUGUGUUUAAUUUGGAUUUUUGUGUUUGAAUUUGUAGCAUGAUCUUCCGCUGCAGCAUCCAAAUUUUGCAUUUGUAAAUUGUCAAAGAAAAACGAAGUAUGAGGAAAUUAUAGGAGAUUGUGUCGGCUUUGGCCAUGAAGGGUAUCAGCAGCUUGUUCCCCCAUACAGGUGAUUAAUCGCAGUCUGUUCUAUUUGGAUGAGAAAGUGAUUGAAAAAUAUGAUUUUUUAUUUGUUGGUUGAUUUUGUAUAACUCCGCCGUGUAAGUUUAUCUUACAUUGCCGGUCCCAAGCCCGGAUAAAGGAGGAGGGGGAGGGCGUCAGGUAGUCGACAGCUGGCACUCCAUGAUCACGUCGAAUCCUUAUGAAAAUGAAUCCAGAACGAAAUCGCGCUAAAGCUAGGGCGUCACCCAUAAGUGGCGCGCUGUGUGGCCCGAGCACAGUGAUAAGUGAGCAAGGGUCGUUGUAUCUCCAUCGGCACCCGGAUGCAGUGUUAAAUGAGCAAGGGGCUAUAGAAACUUCUUUUCGAACGACUCCACUCAAAGUUGUUUGGGAGCAUAUGCUCCUAUCAACUUUACACGGGACACACAAAAGAAGUACUUUGAUCCUAUUAGACGGGGAAGGGUGAAGAAGCUAGGACAGAAGGGUAGAGUUCAAGAGAGCAAAAUGCGUUUAGGAACGUGGAAUAUAGGAACCUUGAACGGGAAAAUCUAUGGAAGUAGUAGAAGUUAUGGUGAGGAGAAGGAUAAAUAUUAUGUGCCUACAAGAAACUAAGUGGGUUGGUCGUAAGGCAAAGGAUCUAGAAAACUCAGGGUUUAAACUAUGGUAUUCGGGCACAAAUAGAACGAGAAACGGUGUUGGCAUCAUCGUGGACAAGACCUUGACACAAGAUGUUGUAGAUGUCAAGAGGGUAGGAGAUAGAAUCAUGGCAAUCAAGAUUGUAAUAGGACAAGAACUUAUCAAUGUGAUUAGUGCGUACGCACCUCAAGUAGGGUUGGAUACGAGUUCGAAGGAGAAAUUUUGGGAAGACCUUGGAGACUUGGUGCAAGGAAUUGCUCAGACGGAGAAGUUAUUUAUAGGAGGAGAUUUAAAUGGACACGUGGGCAGGGAGACAGGCAACUAUGGAGGUUUUCAUGGUGGCCAUGGUUUUGGGGAGAGAAACGAGGAUGGGGAAGCUAUCUUGGAUUUUGCAAUGGCAUAUGAUCUCUUCUUAGCCAACACCUUCUUUAAGAAGAGAGAAGAACAUGUGAUCACCUACAAGAGUGGGUCGUCAAAAACACAAAUAGAUUUUCUUCUAAUGAGGAAAGGGGAUCGUAUAACUUGUAAGGAUUGCAAAGUUAUACCAGGAGAGAGCGUGGCUAAUCAACAUCGCUUGUUGGUGAUGGAUGUACAUAUCAAAAGAGUGAGAAAAAAGAACAAGACUUGGAAGUGCCCAAGGACUAGAUGGUGGAAUCUAAAAGAAGAAAAACAAGCCAUUUUCAAAGAGAAAGUAAUCACCCAGUGUGUGUGGGAUAGAGAGGGGGAAGCUAACCAAAUGUGGGAUUCCAUGGCUAGUUGUAUCCGAAAAGUAGCAAAAGAGGUAUUAGGAGAGUCCAAGGGCUUUGCCCCACACCAAAAGGAAUCUUGGUGGUGGAAUGAGGAGGUACAAACAAAGGUGAAGGCUAAGAAGGAAUGUUGUAAAGCCUUAUACAAGGAUAGGACCGAUGAAAAUGGUGAAAGGUAUAGAAAAGCGAAGCAAGAGGCGAAGAAAGCUGUGAGAGAAGCUAAGUUAGCGGCUUAUGACGAUAUGUAUAAGCGACUAGAUACCAAAGAAGGAGAGUUGGAUAUCUAUAAACUAGCUAGAGCAAGGGAAAAGAAGACAAGGGACCUAAACCAAGUGAGGUGCAUCAAGGAUGAGGAUGGAAAGGUUCUUGCUACAGAGAACGCGGUUAAAGACAGAUGGAAAGGUUAUUUUCAUAAUCUUUUCAAUGAAGGACAUGAAAGGAGUGCUUCUUUAGGGGAGUUGAGUAACUCAGAAGAGUGUAGAAACUACUCUUUUUAUCGUAGAAUCCGGAAGGAAGAAGUGGUUGUAGCUUUGAAGAAGAUGAAGCAUAGAAAAGCAGUAGGCCCAGACGAUAUACCAAUCGAAGUGUGGAAAGUUUUGGGAGAGACAGGUAUAACAUGGCUCACUGACCUUUUCAAUAGGAUUUUGAAAACGAAGAAGAUGCCAAAUGAGUGGCGAACGAGCACUUUGGUGCCUAUCUACAAGAAUAAGGGCGAUGUACAAAAUUGCAUGAACUAUAGGGGUAUUAAGCUAAUGAGUCAUACAAUGAAGCUCUGGGAGAGAGUCAUUGAGCAUAGAUUGAGGCAAGAGACACGGGUUUCGGACAACCAAUUCGGGUUCAUGCCAGGGCGCUCAACCAUGGAGGCAAUCUAUCUCUUACGAAGAUUGAUGGAAAGAUAUAGAGAUGGGAAAAAGGAUUUACACAUGGUCUUUAUAGAUUUGGAAAAAGCGUAUGAUAGGGUCCCAAGAGACAUUCUUUGGAGGAUUUUAGAGAAGAAAGGAGUACGAGUAGCAUAUAUCCAAGCUAUACAGGAUAUGUAUGAAGGAGCAAAGACUGCCGUAAGAACUCAUGAAGGACAAACCGAAAGCUUUCCCAUAACUGUAGGAUUACAUCAAGGCUCAUCCUUAAGUCCUUACCUUUUUGCGUUGGUAAUGGAUGAGUUAACAGGACAUAUUCAAGAUGAUAUUCCUUGGUGUAUGCUUUUCGCAGACGAUAUAGUGUUGAUAGAUGAAACUCAGGAAGGGGUAAAUGCAAAGCUUAACCUUUGGAGAGAAGUGUUGGAAUCUAAAGGUCUUCGCCUAAGCCGAUCAAAGACAGAAUAUAUGGAGUGCAAGUUCAGUGCAAAUGGAGGCCAAAACGAGUUAGGGGUGAGGAUCGGAGAUCAAGAAAAUACCAAAGAGCGACCGUUUUCGUUACCUAGGAUCUAUCUUGCAAAAGAACGGAGAAUUAGAUGGAGAUCUCAACCAUAGAAUACAAGCUGGAUGGAUGAAGUGGAAGAGUGCAUCCGGCGUGUUGUGUGACCGCCGUAUGCCACUGAAGCUCAAGGGAAAAUUUUAUAGGACGGCAAUAAGGCCGGCGAUGCUGUAUGGCACAGAAUGUUGGGCGGUGAAGCAUCAACACGUACACAAAAUGGGUGUAGCGGAGAUGAGGAUGCUUCGUUGGAUGUGUGGGCACACGAGAAAGGAUAAGAUUAGGAAUGAGGAUAUCCGGGGUAAAGUAGGAGUAGCCGAAAUUGAAGGAAAGAUGAGAGAAAAUCGGUUACGGUGGUUUGGACAUGUGCAAAGAAGGCCUACUGACGCUCCGAUUAGAAGAUGCGACUAUGGGACAGAGGUUCAGGGCCGAAGGGGUAGAGGAAGACCUAGGAAAACUUUGGAAGAGACCCUAAGAAAAGACUUAGAGUACUUGGAUCUAACGGAGGACAUGACACAGGACAGAACACAAUGGCGUUCUAAGAUUCAUAUAGCCGAUCCCACUCAGUGACUUGGAUUUUCCAAGUCUCCAACCGAGAAGUUUUCCUCACUCGGGAAAUUAAGGGAACACUACCUCAACCUACAUGCUCCACUCACAAAGCUUCAACAUACAAGCUUCAACAAAAGAAAAUUCAAAGAACUUAGCGAAGAAGGCUUUGGUGUAUUUAACACAAUACGUUGAAAUGAAGGAAAGCUUAUUUAUUGAUAUCCCCGAUAAGUUACAAAUAUGUACAUAUACUUGAGUCAAAAUAAACAAACAAGAGGGAGCCUUCACAAAGGUUGCUUAGGAGAAGUCUCAGCAGUCGGUAGAGCCCCAGAAAGAGAAGGCACCGGAGGGGGAUCAUUCGGAGCCUCAGUACUGGACAGAACCCUAGAAGGAGGAGGCAUCAGAGGUUGAUCAUUUGGAGCUUCAUUACGCGGUACAGCCCCAGAAGACGAAGGCAAUAAAUGCCUUUGGAACAAACCCACAAAUCUCUGAUGAUCAAGUAAAACCUGACCAUCAGAUUCCUUCAUCUGGUCAAGCUUCCUCUUCAUGUUUGUAGCAUAGUCAUGUGCGAGCCGGUGCAACUGUUUAUUCUCAUGCUUGAGCCCUCUAAUCUCCUGUUUGAGACUCAUCACUUCAGCCGCCAAUGAUUCAACUUGGCGGGUUCGAGCAAAUAGGCGUUGGGCCAUAUUAGACACAGAACCUGCACACUGAACACUGAGAGCCAGAGAAUCCUUAACAGCCAACUCAUCAGACCGUUUGGAAAGUAGUCUGUUAUCUUUGGGAGUGAGAAGGUUCCUGGCCACUACCGCAGCGGUCAUAUCAUUCUUCAUCACGGAAUCCCCAACGGUAAGAGGACCAGUAGGGGAGACGAAGGAUGGGCGCCAUAUGUUGUCUGGAGAAGGCGGGGCUGCCUCUUCAACAAGGUUCAAGUCAAAACGACGGUCGGAGGGGCCAGACAUUUUCAAAGGUGUUGAAGAGAGAAGAGGUCGGACAAAUCAAGAUCUUAGAAGUGCAAGAAUGGAGCUUCUACUGGUGGAUAUUCAAGUGUGCUUUGGAACUUAAUGUCAGCCCCUAUAAAAAUCUGCACUCGACGAAGCUUCAGAAAUCGAAGAGGCGCCUGCUCAGAAAUCGAAGAGGCGUUUGCUUUCUCAAAAGCUGGGCUGCUCAGAGACCACGAGGGUCGAUCUCAGAAAUCGAAGAGGCGUUUGCUUUCUCAAAAGCUGGGCUGCUCAAAGACCACGAAGGCCGAUCUCAGAAAUCGAAGAGGCUUGCUUUCUCAAAAGCUGGGCUGCUCAGAGACCACGAGGGCCGAUCUCAGAAAUCGAAGAGGCACCUACUUUUCCAGCCUUGUCAGCACCUGUCACACGCACACUCAGCUUUGCGGAAAUUAUGGGCAUUCUGUCGAAGAUUUCUGGCGAAGUAGAAAGCACAUGAAUCGUACUGUUCAAUCACCCACUUCCCACACGCAACAGUAGCUCAUGGGUACCACAGAUAACUUUGCCAAAGUUCUCUGACAAAGUUGAGACACGUGAAGCUUGCAGCUCCCACUACAUCGCUCUGACCAAGAAGGGUAAAAGAAUUAGCAAAGAAACAACACUAACAAAGUUUAGACACAUAAAUUUUGAAGGUCUAGCUACCAUAUUAUUACCCACAAGGGUAAAGGAACAGUACCACUGCUGGAUAAUUGGAAAGUCCCGGUGUGUCAACCUCUGUGCUUCGUGGCAAGGUAGACUAGCAAACAUGCCCAACCUUUACUCACAUUCGAGAAAACACUCCCAACAAGAUUGCUUGCUCCAAAAUCGAAGAGGCACCGCCCUCCGAAUCUCGAGAGCCAGACUCCCAACAUGAUUACUUUCUCAAAAAUCGAAGAGAGGGUAAAGGAACAGUACCACUGCUGGAUAAUUGGAAAGUCCCUGUGUGUCAACCUCUGUGCUUCGUGGCAAGGUAGACUAGCAAACAUGCCCAACCUUUACUCACAUUCGAGAAAACACUCCCAACAAGAUUGCUUGCUCCAAAAUCGAAGAGGCACCGCCCCUCCGAAUCUCGAGAGCCAGACUCCCAACAUGAUUACUUUCUCAAAAAUCGAAGAGAGGGUAAAGGAACAGUACCACUGCUGGAUAAUUGGAAAGUCCCUGUGUGUCAACCUCUGUGCUUCGUGGCAAGGUAGACUAGCAAACAUGCCCAACCUUUACUCACAUUCGAGAAAACACUCCCAACAAGAUUGCUUGCUCCAAAAUCGAAGAGGCACCGCCCUCCGAAUCUCGAGAGCCAGACUCCCAACAUGAUUACUUUCUCAAAAAAUCGAAGAGACACCGCUCUCCGAAUCUCGAGAGCCAGACCCCCAGCAGGAUUGCUUUCUCAAAAAUCGAAGAGGCAUCGUUCUCCGAAUCUCGAGAGCCAGAUCCCCGACAGGAUUGCUUGUUCGAAAACCGAAGAGGCACCACUUUCCCAACUUCAAGAGCUGGAUCUCCUUGGAUAAAGCUUGUCUGUAAUCUUCACACGCAACAUCAGCUUUCCAGAUACCACAGACCACUUUUUCAAAGUGCUCUGACAGAGUUAAAACAUGUGAAGCUGGCAGCUCCCACUACCGUGCUAUGACCAAGCAGGGUAAAGGAAUAGCAUUAUUACUUGAUGUUAGGGAGACUCCUAUAUAUGUCGACCUCCAUCCCCAACGGACAGGCAGACCUGCAAAAAUGCUCAACCCUUCCUCUUAUCUGAGAGGGCACUCCCAACGAAGCCUUUCGAAAUAUUCAGCUUUCUUUCCCCCCGAUAAUACCUCUGUAAACAAGCUAUACUAGAGCAAGAAUAUCUCAUAUCAUCAGGGUUAAAAGCAAGAGUAUCCCAUAUCAUGCUUUUUCCCUGUCUUUUCCUUUGGCCUUGUUCUUACCUGCAAGACAAGGAGAAAGAGAGCAAUCAGUCAGCACUUGGAAUCAAGCUUCCAGCCAGGAACUGACUGCCUGGAACCCCUUACCUGAUUACUUACCUGGCAUUGCUCUCGAGUACUCAUCUUCAACAUCUUAUGCUUCCAGGGAAGAUACCGCAUCUGCCUGAGGAACAGAUAGGGCAAGUGAGAAGGAUACAAGGAAGCAUGUGGAGACAAGCGUAACAGCACACGUGCCGAUACAUCCAUUACUCUGUCAAAAGCAAAAGUAUCCCAUAUCAGCAGGGUCGAACGUACUCUAGAUUUGAUGGACUUGUUUUGACCCUCAAAUUCUUCAGUCGGCCUUAUACUCUGGAGGAAACCAGAAAACCCUCCAGCCCAGUUCAAGAAUAAGCCUGUGGAAAGUUACUUCUUCAAAAGCAAAAGUAUCCCAUAUCAUCUCUUCUCAUUUUUCUUCUCUUUAUCCUUCAUGCUGCCUGCAAGAUAGGGAGAAUGUGAACAAUCAGCCGGAGCUCUGAUUGCUUACCUUGUCUGUCACCUCUUUCAGCAGAUCCCCUAGCUCGGCGACUUGGGGGACUCCUACUACAUGGUUUGUAUCGCGCUUGACCAAGCCUGAAACUACAAGUAAGCUUCAAGUGACAAUUGAUACAUUACCUUGUGCAUCUCCACCAGUUACAGAUACCACCCCUGGAUGGAGGAAGAGUACUUCCAGAGAAGAUGCCACAUCUACCUAUGAGACAGAUAAGGAAAGUCAAGACGAUACCACACUCCGGUACUUAGAAGUUUCGUGGUUACGAGAUCAUUCUCCCACAAUAUUUCCUAAUGUCAUUUGUACUAAAUCAUUCACUUGUACUCACUAAAGGAGAGCUUGAACCUAUGUACUUGUGUAAACCCUUCACAAUUAAUGAGAACUCCUCUAUUCCGUGGACGUAGCCAAUCUGGGUGAACCACGUACAUCUUGUGUUUGCUUUCCUAUCUCUAUCCAUUUAUAUACUUAUCCACACACUAAUGACCGGAGCAAUCUAGCGAAGAUCACAAAAAAGUGACCGUUUUCGCUACCUAGGAUCUAUCUUGCAAGAGAACGGAGAAUUAGAUGGAGAUCUCAACCAUAGAAUACAAGCUGGAUGGAUGAAGUGUAAGAGUGCAUCCGGCGUGUUGUGUGACCGUCGUAGGCCACUGAAGCUCAAGGGAAAAUUUUAUAGGACGGCAAUAAGGCCAGCGAUGUUGUAUGGCACAGAAUGUUGGGCGGUGAAGCAUCAACACGUACACAAAAUGGGUGUAGCGGAGAUGAGGAUGCUUCGUGGGAUGUAUGGGCACACGAGAAAUGAUAAGAUUGGGAAUGAGGAUAUCCGAGGUAAAGUAGGAGUAGCCAAAAUUGAAGGAAAUAUGAGAGAAAAUCGGUUCUGGUGGUUUGGACAUAUGCAAAGAAGGCCUACUGACGCUCCGGUUCGAAAAUGUGACUACUGGACAGAGGUUCAGGACCGAAGGGGUAGAGGAAGACCUAGAAAAACUUUGGAAGAGACCCUAAGAAAAGACUUGAGUACUUGGAUCUAACGGAGGACAUGACACAAAACCGAGCGCAAUGGCGUUCUAGGAUUCAUAUAGCCGACCCCACUUAGUGGGAAAAGGCUUUGUUGUUGUUGUUGUUGGUUGAUUUUGUAUGGACGAUGUAUUAAUUUUUUUUUUUUUUUGGGAUUUUGUGUAUUGGGUAUUGUGUAGAACCAGCAAUGCAGGAUCUGAUCAGUCACGCCCGAAAAGGGGUUUGUUUCUCAAAUCACAUUAAUUAAUUAGAUUAUUAAUGUGCGUUGGAAGGCUCUUCAAUAUGAUUUCUAAUUUCUCCUUUCCAGCAUUCUCUUUUUGGUUUUUGGAGUAUGUAUGUGAUUUGUAUUUGAUUAUAGAAUAAAAAUUAAUAAAACACGAGAUGCAGCAAUUAAUUUGCAUCCUUAUGACAACACAUAUAUGAAAGUGCAUUCAAUUUCAAUGUGCGAAUGUGUGACAGGACAGGAUGUGCCUGCCUGCUGGUGGUGGUAUGCUUGCUGUUGUUUCUUGCGUUGUUAAUUUUUUGUGUGUUGAUUUGAUUAACAAUUCAAGCGUAUCUUAUUUUUUUUGUGUUGGUUAGCAGCCAGUUUUAUGGCCCCGAUCUAGUGAUGCUUCUCAGUGACUGGUAAUUGCAGUUCAUUGCCACCAGUUGGUCAGCUACCUGCUCUGAAAGAGCUCUACGUAGAAGGGAUGAAAGUUGUUAAGAGUGUUGGUGUUGAGUUGUACGGGGGAAAUCAACCAUUUCAAUGUUUAGAGAAGGUAAAGUUUCGGGAGAUGCCAGAGUGGGAGGAAUGGCAGCCUAGUCCAAGUGGAUGUGAAAGUCCAGACUUUCCUCAUCUUAAGGAGCUGAGGUUAUCCGAAUGUCCGAAGCUGAGAGGAAACUUGCCCACUCAUCUUCCCUCCUUGAAAACACUUUAUGUGAACAAGUGUGAGGUUCUACAUAAAAACAGGGCCAGUAAUACCCUGAACGUGGAAUCCUUACGAGGAUCUCUUGAAAAACUGACAAUAAAUGGAUGCCCGGGUCUCUCAUUGUUACUAGAGUCGAUGGAGACGCUGCCGUCGCUUCAGAAGCUUGAUAUUGAUAGUGUUGGUGGGAAAGAGUUGUUGGUGCAAAUGGUGCACAACAGCAAUCGUCUUCAAAGUUUUGACUUUAUAUAAAUGUUCCUCACCCUUGUCGUUCCCUACAAAUGGUCUGCCCACCACGCUGACGUCACCGAGCAUAACAGAUUGCAAGAAAUUAGAAUUCCUAUCACGUGAGAUGAUGGCCAAAUUGACUUCCCUUCAGUCUUUGCGUCUAUCCAACAGCUGUGAAUGCAAAGGCUUGAGUAAUUUUUGUGAGUCUGCUGUUUGGUUUUUUUUUCUUCAUUUUAGAGAUUUUUCUACUGUUUGGUUUUUGGGUUUUGUCUAAUUUUUGUGGUCUGCUUUAUAGAUUGUUCUCUUUGGAAGCUUCUUUCCAGCCUUGACCUUCUUCUUGCCUGGUGCCUUCUCAUUGAGUAUUGGAGGAGCAUUAAAACACAGGUGUGUGUGUUUUGUCGAUGUAAGAGAUGAACGACAUAAAAACAUCCGUCUUUGUAUUUUUUUGUGCUUUUUCUAACCCAUCAAUUUCUUUUGAGUCAACCAAAUAGUCCCAAAUUGCAACUUAUGUUGUGAGGUAUUAUUGUCUAAAAUUAAGUAUGCAUGUAUAUUUUAUGUUUGUGCGCGCGCACACCUCCGCAUGGUGUUAAUCUCUGUGGGUCAUCUAUGUAUAUGUAGACAUAUCUAUAUGUGUAUGUGUGGAAUGCAACAUAUCGGAUUUAGGUUAUACUGUGCAUAGUUUUAUUGCCUGUUAUUAUCUACGAUAUCACUAUGCCAUUUCUAUGCAGGCUCUGAAAGUUAUCCAUGAGCUUUAUAAGCACUUACCAUAAUUUAAGCAGUCUGUUUUGGGUUCUUUUUCAUUAGGUCAUUAGCUACAGAUUAAUGGAGAAACGAGGACCAUGCAACUGAUUUGGGUUCUUUUUCUAAUUUUCUGAUUUUGGGGUUUUGCAGGGAGUACUGAUGUACUGAUUUUCUGGGAUUUUUUUUGUCCUUGCAGGAUUUUUGGUCUUUGGAAUGGGUAUGUGUUGUUUUUAACGUUUCAGUUCUAGCUUGUUCCGUUCUUCGUUGCUUCGUGAUUCUCAUUUUUUAGUGUUGGGUGAUGGAAAUUUGUUCAAGUAGUUGGUAGUUUUUUUAGAAAGUUGGCAUUUUUAGUUAUAUUUUCUGUUUAAUCCUAAAUGUUAGACUGGAAAAUCAUUGAAAUGACGGUUUUUUAAAAACUCAUAAUUUUUUUGUUCUGGGAGUUAAAAGCAUCUUUUCCAGAUUGGUUAUAAGGGUUAUGUUCUCUUCAAUUGGUUCACCUAAUUUUGAUUAGUUUUAAGUUUUGUCCUUUUAAGUUUUGUCUUUUAAGUUUUGUUCUUUAAGUUGUCUUUUAAGUUUGUUCUCUAAGUUUUGUCUUUUAAGUUUUAUCUUCUGUGCUGUAAUGAGAGAUUUCUGUUGGCCUUUCGGAUUUUGGCAUGGGAAAGUUCACUUAUUUGUCUAAUUAGAUUGUGUAUGCCUUCGAUUCUUUAUUUAAUUGUUCUGUUUGUGUUCAGGUGUGAUGAUCUAAAUUUCAUAUGUUUGGAAUUAUUCACUUAACACCAAUUUGUUACAUUCAGAUCUCCACCCCACAUUUCACUAGUUCAAAUUCCAUAGAAGUCGGUUACUGCAGAUUGCGUCUACAAUUAGAUCAGAGAUCAACUGCUCUUUUGUUAUCCUGCAGAAGAUUGCUUUUGGGAAGGAUCUGAAGUAGUUUCUUUCUGUAAGUUUAUUCCCAUGUAGCUCUGUCUUUUCUAAUUGAUGGUGUUGAUAUUACACUGUAAUUCAUGAUGAUGAUUUAAUUGUUUAUUGAUUUGUAAUUGUUUGUGAAUAAUGUGGCAUAUAUGACUUGCAAUAUGUGUUUGUAUGAAAGGGAUGACAUAUUAUGUUGCUGACUUAAUUGUUUAUGUUUUUCAUAUUUGCGAAUGGUGUUAUGAUCAAUUAGGUGAUUGCUGACCUGUGACUUUGUUUGGAGCUCAAAUUUUGUGAGCAUUACAUUGGAUUGUUUUGAUGUUGUUUUGGUUGACAAUGCAGGGAUAGGAGAAACAAAGAGGAUGACACUUAUAACUGCCCUUCCCCAUCGGCCGUCUUCAAAUUUGGAUCACAAGAAGGGAGCAACAUAGGUGUUUUCCUUCUUCAUUUAGAUAUGGUUAGUGUAAAUAAUUGGACAAAAGAGCCAAACAAACCCUGUUCUCUCAAAUGGAGUCGAUGAUGUGGUCGAUGGCCACCAGCCCCAACUCAAGAGUUUGGCCUUCAUAUAAUUGGAUUGUAGUAUAAUUUUAUUUUGGUUCAUUUCUUUUUUCCUUUAUAUAAGUGCAGGUGUUGUGAUGUUUUGAAUAAAGGGUGAUGAAAGGUGGUUCACACACUUCCUCCUUACUUAAAGCAAGUGGAGAUGAUGGGUUGUAUAAAAAGAAAAACUUGCCAGGUACUUCGAUUUUCUAUUUUAUUAAUUAUUGUUUGGUUUUCCAAAUGUUGUAUUCACAAAGAGAGACCAAUGAUGUCUUUGAGAAACAAGUUUCUUUGUCUACAUUGCGAGAAUUUGCAGUUUGCAACUUUCAUUGGUUAUUAUAUUUGAUUGAGUUAAACUUGGAUUUCUGGAUUUUGACUUUUUCGUUUGUUUCUUUGUUGUAGAGUUGGCUUCAUUUCAUUCCAGUAACUCUAUUCCAGUAACUCUCUAAAAUAGGGCCAAGAACUCACUAAAUAGGUAGUCAAGAGGAAUUCAGUUUUGCCUUCAAUUUUUGCCUUCUGUUUACAUUCUUCCUGGAUGCACUCUCACCGCUUCUCUCGCUUACCACUUUUGUCUCACUCACCGCUUCAUCUCUUCUGUUGCUUACAAGGUCGUGUCAUAUAUUUUUUUAAUUUUUGUGUGUUUAAUUUAUUGAAUAUUUGAAAAAAGAGAUAAAAUUUUCAAUUUACAAUUACUGAUAUGAUGUUUGUUUUGAAAAUCAUUAAGGUGAAUGGAGAGAUUUACAACCAUGAAGAGCUGAGGAGCCGUUUGCCAAAUCAGAUUUAUAAGGUCUCAUCAAUUAUAAAUAAACGACUUUUCAUUCCCAAUGACCUUUAUCGUUUUUCUUAAUGGGUUAGCUGAACAUGAGGUAGAUGCUGACUUUAUAAAAUAUGAGAAUGUUUUAGGAUUUCAUUCUAAUUUUUUGGCUGUUUGAUUACUUUGCUUUUCGUAAUUUGUUUUGCUUAUCGUCAAUUGGAUGGGACAACAUAUUUUUGUAACCAGUUUGUACUUUUUUUUUUUGUGGAAACUAACCAGUAUGUACUUUUACCAUCUCGGUUUUGAUGGAAUUGGAGCUUUCAGUAAUGGGUUCUGAGGGAAUUGGAGUUUUGAGUAAUGGGUUUUUUAACAACUAUAGUAUCAUUUGUGAUUCUUUUAUUUAUAAGAUAUUAUAUAGGAAACUGUUAUUAGCACUCUAAUAAUCUUAUUCUACACUCGCGACAAGUGUAUUUUUCUUUCUAAUUAUGGAAAGUUUGGAGUGCAAAAUGAGAAUUUUGGAGUGCCAAUAACAAUUCCCUAUUAUAUAUAGCUCUACUAAGAAGGCGACUGUAUAUGUCUUCAUCCUGUUAAAUUGUAUAUGGCUCUUGAUGUCGGCUGAAUUAAAUCAAAAUGAAAACCAAGCUGCUGAUCUUACCAGCCCAUAUCACUUAUCACUUAUUUAAAUUAUUUGAAGAUGCAUACGUGGAUUGGUGAUUUUGUUGGAUUCACUUAGCUCAAAUAUAUGUUAUCUGAGUCGCUACAUUUGAGAAUGUGAUUCUGUUCCUACCACCAUUUUGCCCACUUUUUGUGGAAAUUAUUCAUUCCUGUUGUGAAUAAUAUCCCCGGCAGCGAAGUGCGGGCGCAUUUUCUAGUUUAAGUUAAAUCACACAAUGGGUCAUCAAUAAUGACAAACUCGUCAUUUAUGCGAGUCAAACAUGAGACCACCUACCUACUAGUUUAGUGGAAUACCACAAGUGACAUGUUGAUACCUUUAAAUCUCAUAUAAUGGAUUGCAGAAUUAGGAUAUACCUAGUCUAAUUUAGUCAGUGCGUGAACCCGAACAAUUAACCAGGGUUUUAUUCUUGCUUGAAUGUUUGUAAUAUGUUCCUAGUUUGACAAGGCAAUUAUAUUUCCGACUACAAAAGUUAUUAAUUUAGUCGAGAAUUGACGCACCUGAAAUGGUGUGAGGAAAACAUGUAGACACAUCAGACGCGGUCCAUCCUGAGCAUUGUGUAUUAAGGAUAAAGCUCAAAGCCAUACAUGAGGGCAUUGUGUAUGUCUUUAUAAGAGAAGUUGCUGUAGUCCUCAACGUGGCCGGCAGCCAAACUCAUCCACUCUACACUGCAACCCUCAUCCAAAUCCCAUGCUUCCAACCUGCCCCCGACAUAGUCAUCGACCAUGACAUAGCUAUACGUUUUUGGUUGACUCGAAGAAGAAGAAGAAGAAGAAGUAUUAUUCAAGCAUGGAGCAGUGUCCACGUACAGAGAAGAAUUCGAUGGAUUCGAACACUUCAAGUAAUAUAUAGAUAGAGAAUUGAUGUCAUAGGUGGGCCAAUAUAGAGAAUCGAUGUCCUCGAUGGGCGGAAUAUUUUGAGACAUGGAAGAGCAAUUGUUGUUGUCAAGCCCAGGAUCUAGAAGUCGGAUUGUUUUGUUAAUGUAGUUGAUUGCCUGGACAUAGUAUUUUCCGGAAGAAGGUAGGUCUAGUACUGUAAUGUUGCUCUCACAGGACAGAGUAAACCUUACGUCGCCACAGUACUUUGGAUCAUCGUUCAGUCGAAAAGGAUGGCUUAUGUUGUGGAUAUGGCCGCAGGAUGAAGUGCAGGACUUGGCACUACUGUUGUCAGCGUUACAAGUUUCACUGCAAAAGCAAAGAAGAAGAAAGGCUAAACUUAAGGUGAAGGACCUGGUUCCACUGAUUUCCAUUGCUCUGAGAGAGAGAGAGAGAGAGAGAGGGCACUAUAGCUUAAACACCAAGGAGUUAUAUAAUAUGGGAGGGGUUAAAGCACCUCGCUUAAAGUUGCAGUAAGCCCGUCAAAUAUCCUAGGGAAAAGUCGGUCAAUGCUGUCCUAUAGAGAAAAGUCGGCCUUGAUGUUUGACACGGUCACACUCUCUCUCUCUCUCUCUCUCUCUCUCAUUGACGAGGGACACUGUAAUUGAAAAAAAAAAUUGUUAUUCAGAGAUAGAUCUUGAAAUUCUUAUUUUAUAUAAAAAAAAGGGGUAUUUAGAUUUUAGGACCUAUAUAAGAUAAUUUUUAGAUUAUAAGGUUUCAAAAUCUUAUUUUAGUCCCUAAUUUAAUAUUCAUCGCCACAUCAUAUUAUAAGAUACCUCUAUUACCUACCAUAUUUACAAACUUUGCCAUUUAAAUUGUCAACCUAUUCUAUAAUUAAGGCUUAAAUAUAUUCCGUUAAUAAACCAUUCGUCAAUAAGAUAAAUCCAACUAUGGUAAAUUAUACUAAUUUAUACUUGCUGACAAACAAAUUAAGUCUAUAGUAAUUUUAGGUCAGUCACCUUAAGAAGUCGAAGAUGAAAAAAUCAAAUACAAAACAAUAGGUUAAAAAAAUUAAAUAAUAACCCUUAAUAUAUAUAUAUAUAUAUAUAUAUAUAUAUAUCACAAAAAAAAAGUAUAACAACUCCUUAUUGUCUAUAUAUAGGAAUUGCAUAAGUGUCGGUACAUAUGUGUAGGUACAUACAUGCACAUAGGUACGGAAGUAUCGGUAUGGAAGUGCCGGUACAUACGUACACAUAGGUACGAAAAUAUUGAUACGUUAGCAUCGGUACAAAAGUAUCGGUGCGGAAGUGUCGAUACUUAUGUACAUAUAUAUAGGUACGCAAAUAUUGAUACAUAAACAUCAAAAGAAAAAAUCGGUAGAUUCGAUGUAUGAGAAGGUAAAAAUAAAUCAUCAACACUAGAAAAAAAUGAUAAAAGUAAAUCAUGCACUAUUAGAUGCAUAAGAAGAAGAAAUAUUAGAUGUGGAUGGUGGCCCUAGCCCUCUCUUCUAACACGGUUGAAGAUAAUUUUUUGGGUUGGACAAAAAGUUUCAUUUUUAAGGAGAACCAUUUAUGUUAGCAAUAAAACUGAAAAGUUAUAAAUAAAAUAAAUAUAAGACAUUAUAAUUCACUCAAGGAUAAUAUAGGAAGAAAAAAAUUACAUAAAAGGAAUUAACUCUGACAUUAAAUAUAAAUGCUGACUUGGACAUAAGUCAAAGGACUAUAAUUAGUUUUUUAUCUUGGUUAAGGUUUUAGUCUAAAGAUAAUCUUUUUCAAGGAUUAAUAUCUAGUUUCCUAUAAAAAAAAACACCUAAUAUUAAUCAUUCAAAUGAAAUUGUUAAAAUUAAGUAUAAAUAAUACAUAAUGAAAACUGAACACAUACAAUCAACGGUCACGACCAUGAAAUCCUCCGGAUCCUCAGAAAAAAAUCCGACGAUGAUCUUUUUCUGUGUAAAAUAAUUUGAGGGUAUAAUACUGGAUGUGCGAUUAAACCGAAGAACCCACCCACCUCCAUCUUCUCUGACCAACUUGAACCCAGCCACUACUACAUGUCAUCCCGACAACCCACUCUCAGCUUCCCAAACCGCCAUUUUUCACCCAAUGGAACAUUUAAAGAAAAAAUCCAUCUGCAAAUCGAAAACCACCGAAAAAAAUUAAAUCAGAUACAUUGGAAAAAACGCAAAACUCAAUGGAACAACACUGGCGUGGAAGAGAAAAAAAGCAGAAGGUGAGAAUGGAGAGAAAGAAGCGAACGGAAAGAAAAAGCAAAGAAGAGGUUGGAAACGGAACAACAGAAGAACAAUAGAAGAACAGAAAUGGGUAUGGGAAACGGAACAACAGAACAAAAAGCAGGCGGUGUAUAGAGCAAGAAAAGCAAACCUCACGAUGACCAACACGUGCUAAGAGAGGCCCCGGUUCACUGUGUAUCACAUUUUUUAAUAUUUUUUUUGGUCUUCCCACCGGCUAUACAUGGGAUUCCAAAAUUAAGAAGGUAUAAAUUUUUAUUGUUUCUUGUGCCACAAACCAUGUGGCCCAGUCUUAAUCACAUUUUUUAAAUAUUUUUUUUGCUCUUCCCAUCAGCAGUACAUGGGUUAAAAAAAUUAGGAAAGUAUAAAUUUUUAUUGUUUGUUGUGUCACAAACCACGUUGCCCGGUUUUAAUCACAUUUUUUUAAUAUUUUUUUGUCUGCCCACCAGCUAGGUUUAAAGAAUUAAAAAAGGACUAAAAGAAAGACUCCACAGAUGGAGGAACAUGGGAAUAGAAAGGGCAAAUUUGGGAUUUUACUGUACAAAAAAGACAAAAAGUAACUGCUGAAGACUAACUUGAGGGGCAUUUUGGUCUGCACACUGCCCUAGAACAGUAACCAUCGGAUUGGGUUUUAGUAUAUAUAGAAUAUGUUUAGAUAAGGACAAUAAACUUAGAAUUUUGCCAAAAGUCAGAAUUUAUAAAUUGAUACAAUCAAUUCAUUUGUUUGGAUUCAUAAACAUAGAAAUUUAGACUUUCCGCGUGAGAAAAAACUUGGAAUUUGGGACCUUCAAUUCUCAUGUUUAAAUUUCAUGUAAAUAGGUGUCAUUUAUAAAUUUCAGUAAGUGAGAGUUUAAAAAUAACAAACAUGUAUUCAAAUUUCAUUCCUCCUUUGGUUAACCAAAAAAGAAAAUUUAUAAAUUCUAGAAAAUAAAAUUUCUUUAUUUUAAUUUCUGUUAUUUUAAAAUUCUUAGGGCUUGUUUGGUAUUCUACUUGAAUCCAACUUUUUAAACUAAAAAAUAAUUUUCAAGUUUUAGGCCUUAAAAACUUAUUUGGUAGAACUAUUUAAAAAAACUGAACUUAAGACUAACUAAAAAAUAUAAUAUAUUAUCUAAAAACACAAAAAAUGAGUUUUUAGAAUUUUUAAACUUAAAUUCACUCAUUUCUUUUCUCUCCCUCCUCCCCUCUCACUCCAAAUCUCUCUCUCUCUCUCUCUUUUCUUCUUUCUCUCUCCCCUUCUCUUUUUUUUAACCUUUUUUUGUCUCUCAUCUAAUCCGCUCUCUUCAUUUUCUCGGUUCUUUCUCUCACUCAUAUUCCUCUCUAUCUCCUCCAAUUCUCUCUCUUCAUUCUUUUUCAACCAAUAAUUUCUUACUUUUUUCCUCUUCUCUCCUCUUGAUUCUCUCUCUUCAUUCUUUUUCAACCAAUCAUUUUUUACUUUUUUUCCUUCUCUCCUCUUUCUCCCUCGACUUCCUCUUUUUGGAUCUCUUUGUUCAGUUUGAGCUGUAAGAUUUAAAAUUAUUUUAAAUCGUAUACCAAACAAGUUUUUGAGUCUUAAAGAAAAUUGUUUUUCAAAAAAUGUUCUUAAGAAAUGUUUUGAGAAAUGAUAAAAAAUUUCAAAUAAGAUACCAAACAAGCCCUUAAUAAUCUUAAAUUUUCCCAUCCAAACAAAAAAUUUUCUUGUCAUAGAACUUUCAAUUGGAAUCAAAGAAGACAAUCUUUUCACAACUAAUUAUUCUCACCAAAAGCAAUUUUUAUUUUAAAGCAAUCAAUACCAAACUGCAAAAGCAAAGUAGGAAGGCUAAAAUUAAGGUGAAGAACCUGCUUCCACUAAUUUCCUUAGGAGGGAGAGAGAGAGGGGGAGAGAGAACCAAGCGAGCGAGCAGAGAGAGAAAACACCAAGUAGUAUUCUAAUGUUGGUGGGGUUAAGUCACCUUCCGUGAAGUUGCAGUAAGGACUUCUAUCCCAGAGAAAAGUCAGUAAAUGAUGUUGACACAGUCAACGACAAAGACAGAAUUGUGUAACCAUAAUUCUCUCUCUAUCUCUUUUUCAUUAUCGGAUGACAGUGUAACACUACUACGUAUAUAUCUCUGCUCAAUUAUUGAAAAGAAAAAUCCAUGUGCAUUAUUUUUAUUAUUAUUAUCUCAGAAAUGCAGAAAUUGAUCAUCUCUUCCUUUUGCAUAUUGAUACUGGUUUUCUUCAAACUAGUUGAAGCAAGUCAAUAUGUGUGCGCGAAAUCCAACUGUAGCAAUGAUCAAAGCGGGGCUAUCCAUUUCCCAUUAAACAUCAGGCGCACACAUCAUUGUGGUAAUUCUGGGCUUGAAUGCAAUGGGAGAUAUGAACAGCAAAUACUAAUAAAAUUAUUUGUCAAAGACAUAGAUUACAAGCGUCAGGAAAUCCAAGUCUAUUCCCCAAGUAACUGCCUGCUGCUAAAGCAUGUUGAAAUCCCAAACAUGCCACCCUCUCCCUUCAACGUGUCAGUCGAUGACUACAUGAGUAACCUUACCUUAUUCAGUUGUCCUACUUCUUUUGCAAGACGAGAUACGGAUGUGUAUCAAGUCCCCUGCCUCGGCGACCGUGGCAAGAGAACUUAUGCCAUUUAUUCUGAUUAUGGUUUUAGAACUCUCUUCCGGAAUCUACAAUCUUGUACAAAAAUGUAUGAUGUUUUAUCAGUUCCAAUACCCUCUGAAUAUUAUGUUCUUCGUUUCAAAUGGUCUAUACCAAAUUGCAGAAAAUGUGGAGAGGGAAAGAGGUGUGAAUGGCAGAACAAUGAAAUUAAAUGUAUUCAAUGGAGGAAACCAAGUAAGGAUAACAUAUGUAUUCAUUGCUAGUUUUAAACAUCUUUACAUUUGUUUCUCAGUAAUUAUUGUUUAAAACAUGUCCAAUCCAUUUUUACUAUGAAUAUUAACUGACAGUCUCAUUUGAAUUUGCCUUUAUCUUUUACAGGCAACACAUGGAAAUUAGUGGUCACAGGGGGAAUCCUGGGUUCUUUGCUUCUUGUUCUACUGAUGAUUGCAGCAUAUCGGGUAUAUAGCGUUGAUAGAAAGAAAAAAGAGAUUCGAUUACGAAUUGAAAGAUUCUUGGAGGAUUACAAAGCACUCAAACCAAGCAGAUACUCGUACGCAGAUAUUAAGAGGAUUACAAAUCAAUUCAAGGACAAGUUGGGCAAAGGAGCCUAUGGAACUGUCUUCAAAGGAAUGCUCUCUUCUGAAUUCUUUAUUGCUGUCAAAGUCCUCAACAGUUCCAAGGGAGAUGGGGAAGAGUUCGUAAAUGAAGUGCGAACGAUGGGUCAUAUCCACCACGUAAACGUGGCUCGCUUGGUUGGAUUUUGUGCUGAUGGAUUUGUACAAGCUCUUGUUUACGAGUUCUUCCCCAUUGGUUCCCUGCAGGAUUUCAUUUCAUCUGCAGAUAGUAAGAAUUCAUUUCUUGGUUGGGAUAAGCUGCAAGAUAUUGCCCUAGGCAUAGCCAAAGGAAUUGAAUAUCUUCACCAGGGAUGCGAUCUACGAAUCCUGCAUUUCGACAUCAAACCCCAUAAUGUUUUGCUAGACCAAAACUUCACUCCAAAAAUUUCUGAUUUUGGUAUGGCCAAGUUAUGUUCCAAGGAUCAAAGCUUGGUGUCCAUGACUACAGCUAGGGGGACCAUGGGCUACAUUGCACCUGAAGUGUUCUCCAGGAAUUUCGGAAAUGUGUCUUACAAGGCAGAUGUCUAUAGCUUUGGAAUGCUGCUGCUUGAGAUGGUAGGAGGAAGGAAGAAUAUUGGUUCAAUCACGGAUAACACUACAAAUGAAAUUUACUAUCCACAGUGGAUUUAUAAUCUUCUAGGGGAAGGGGAUGACCUACGAAUCCACAUUGGGGAAGAAGGAGACGGUAAAAUUUCAAAGAAACUUGCAAUUAUAGGGCUAUGGUGUAUCCAGUGGCACCCGUCGGAUCGUCCUUCCAUGAAAAUAGCGGUUCAGAUGUUAGAAGGAGGAGGAGAAAGCUUGAGUAUGCCGCCUAAUCCCUUUGUGCCUACUGGUUCUACAACUAGGAAUGCAAGACGCCUAGAGCUAGAAGCUAUUGCUGAAUUAGAGUAAAAUGUAUAUGCAGAUAUAUAGACGUAUAGAUAUAGUAAUAUUUACAUUGAAUAAGAUACCGUUUGAUAACCAUUUCGUUUUCAGCUUUUAAUUUUUAUUUUUCACUUUUUUGAAAACUGAAAACUAAAAUCUUGUUUGGUAAAUACUUUUAGUUAAAAAAAAAUGAAGACUGAGAACUAAAAAGUGAAAGCUCAAAGGAAGUAGAUUAAAAGUAGUUACCAAACAAACCGGAAUCUCAAUAAUAAAAAAGAUUGAAUUGCACAAUGCAAUCCAAACCAAUCAAAACAUUAAAAUAGCAAAAAAAUUAAAAUUCUAGUUGAUUAGAUUCUGAACAUAGUAAAAAUGAACAGAUCCGAUGAAAAAACAAAAAAUUCUCAGAUAAAAAUAGGGAUAAAGUAGAAUAUUUAUAAAUAGCUCAUUGUCUCUUAUGUCAUCAAUUAUUUCUAUAGUAUAUACAGGUUUUUGGAAAAAUUAGGUUCCCAUCCCUUAUUUUCAUAUUACAUUGAUUGAAAUCUUAUUAUUUUUCUAUUUUAGAUCAAGGUCCCUUGACUUAUUCCAUGUCAUCAUUUUAGUAUUUAAAAUAUUACACGUCAUCAUAAACGAAAUCUCAUCCCUUUCUGCAUUUAAGGCAAAAUAAACUAUAUAAGUAAGUUUAAAACAAGGAAAAUCCAUUUGAACUCCUCCAUUCUUCUUCUUCCCUUAUGCACAUCUGGAAUCUACAACACCCCAAACCCAAUUUUCUCCAUUUUUCUUCAUUCCUGAAUUGAUCCAAUGCAUAUAUGUUGAAUAAACCUAUUGUGAUUAAAAUACAAAUUAGCAUCAAUGAUUUUAUCGGCUUGUGAGAUUUGUGUGGCAUAGGCAAGGCAAUGCAGGCAUCGCUUUAUCAAAGAAUCUGGUUGAUUCAAACAUGCAGAGACUGUAGAGUGAGCGGGCUAUGUAAAAACUGUACCAUUUUGAAGUCAUUUUCUUUUGUUCUUUACAUUUUUUUUUCUUUUAUUAUUAUAUAUUAGUCUUGAUUAUUCAAUGUCUGGUUGGCUACACUUAUAUCCAUGGGUACAUUUUUAAUCUACAUGUUUCGUUCUAAUAUAUCUAUUGCUAUAAUAUGUUUUGGUUGGUUCAAAUUUGUUUUACAUAAAUAUAUGGGUACAAAGUUUUUGUAGAAUAUUAUGUAAAAUGGUUUUUAAGGUUGCUGCAUUUUACGUACCCACAUAUGCAUGUCUAUAAAACAAUGUGGUAUGAUGUACAUUCUUUUCUUUGAGUUUUUAAAUGUACCCAUGAGUUUUCUUGUAAAUUCGGUAUGUACCCAUAUGCUAUUUAUGUUAUGGGUACAUACAUUAUUUUUGGUCUAAGUUCAUGGGUACAUUACUUUUGUAUGUAUGAAUUCAUGGAGUACAUUAUUUCCCUUAAUACUACUCAAUAAAAUUCACAAAAAUAUGUGUAGCGUGCAUGAUUUUUUAUUGUAGAAAUUGUUUGUUUUUUUUAAGUCUCAUAAUUCAUGAAAUUUGUACAUAUAUGAUCACAUAAAUUUUUUAAUUUUAUUAAAUUUCUUUUAGACUUGAUCGAUUGAUUGAAUCUCAUAAUACUAGGAUUUUGAAUUACAUAAAUUCUUGGAUUUAAAUCCCUUAAAUGUUGAACUGCAAUCAAUAUUUUAAAUUACAGUUUUUUAUUUAAGAUAUCAAAAAGAUGACAUGGAAAUAUAGUAAUACUAAAAUGCUGAGGUGUACAAAGUCAAAGGACUUUGAUAAAAAAAUAAAAAACAAUAAGAUUUCAAUCUAACAAUUGAAUUGACUAGGGAUCGGAACCAAAAUGACCCUAGAUUUUUAUUGAGUUUAAUCUUAAUAAAAAAAAGACUUCUUGUAUCACAAAAAAUACAAGAACCAUUAUUUGAAUGAAAUAAAAGCUAUGGGAUGGAGAUAUAAAUGGAUCCUUUAUUUCACAAUUGGAUUAUAUUUAUUUGAUACACUGUUGUCAAUAUGAAUGCUGAGAAAAGACUACAAAAGAAAAAAACAAUUUAUAAAUAUAACUAACAAUUCCAAUUUCAAUCAAUUAGACAAUUAGAAUUAUAAGAAGAAAAAAAAAAGAAAUUUCAGUUUUCAGUUUAAAAAAAAUGAAAAAAAAAUGGUUAUCAAAGCCGUCCAAAUAAUACAAGUUUGUUUCCACUCUUUGUUUAAGCAUAGAUGCCAAUUUUUGUUUAUCAUUUUUUUAACCUUUAUUUUUUGUUACAGUAGAAGCCCUGGAAGGAAAUCGAGCACUGGACUUACCAAACUCUUAACUUAUUUCUACACACCAAGAGCUUGAUUUCGGUUCUUAUUUAUACUAUUUAAGCUAUAAGCCGUGACAAGAAUUAGAGAACUAUCAUUUGUUGUGAGCUUCAAUUGGUUAGCACUUUGUAUGUUUUCAUUAGAAUAUAUAUUUCACUUAGACUUUCUUAUUAAAAAAGGGAUCAGCUGGUGACUUUACCACGACAAUCCAAUUUUAUGGGGGUCAUGAAUACUCACAAAGGCAUUUCAGCCUCCCCCUAUAUCUACCGUCGCGUGAUUCACCAUUGUCAGAAAUCGAACCCAAGACGUGUUGUAUAGAAUACGGGCCUAAAAUUCAUUUCUAACCACUGAGUCACCCCGCGUUUGAUUAUAUUUCACUUAGACUUAUCUUGCGGUAUAGCAUGUCAUCCCCGCCCAAGUUUUUCCCUUCGCGUUGACUUUGGGAUACCAAAACUUGCCAAACAAAGUAGAUUGAUUAGUAAGCGAAGCUAAUUAUUCGACUAAACAUUGUUUAGAAUUUUAAUUAAAAGAACCAAUAUGAAUCUGUUUUUUUUUUUUUUGACAAACUAUAACGUUAAGGAGUUAAAUUGUUAGUUGUUAAGAGUACGGGGAUAGGUGAGGAUCGAACCUCCACCAUAGUGCAUAGACAUUAUUGGUUCUACAACUGCUGUAAAUCACAUAAAACAAAACGUAAUACUUUGAGGAUGGAAGACACUUCGUGGAUAGCGGGCAAUCAACACUAUCAGUUGCUAUCCAAAACUUGGAAUUAUGUUUAUUGUCCGAAGGAUUUUUCUUCCAUUAAAUUGCUAAGGAAGAUGAGGAUGGGUAGAGUGUCUAAAUGUCAAGGUUGAUAAGAACGUGUAUGGUGUUCAGCUUGCGAUUGAGAUUUGUUGAGUGGCACAACAAACCACAUAAAAUUUUCUAAAUGAUAAGCUUGAGUAUAAUUUUUUACCACGUAUUUAUCUUUAAAAUCAUUAUAAUUAGAUUUUCUCUUAAUUAAUAUAGACCGUUAGAUUCAUCUAAUGACCCAAGUUUUUUUCCUCUUUUCUUUCUACUCUUUUUUUCUUCUCUGAUUUUCCAUUCACCGUGUAGCAGUCGUUCUUCCCCAACUAAGUUUCUUAUUUUUCUUCACAAAAAAAUUGUAGAAAAUAUUAAGAAAAGAAAAGUCAUCAAUAUCAGACUCGACCAGGUAAUCGUUCCAACCUUCCCAGCAACUCUCAGUCUUAACAAGGCACCAAAUUUUCUCCGCCACCUAACUCGUCAUUCAUUUAUGGGUGUUUCAAGCUUGGUGAAAAUUGAUAGAGUUCCAUGUGUGUACACGGAUGUGAACAUAUUGGCCACUCUCUAAUGUGUUGGUUUAUCACAAAGAACCCAGAUACAAAAUUUUAAAAAGCAAACAAUUACAACUUCUCAAAUAUUAUCUAACAAACUUUCAAUGAAAUGUUGCUCAUAAUUGAAAAAAGGUUGACGAAGGACGGAGUUGGAGUUAUUUUAGAUGGGGAAGAGUUAAAAGAAGGAAGCACCAUUUAAUUAAUAAAAGCGAUUGGAGAAAUAGUAAUUCAAUGGUGGGCGUUUUUAAGGUGUGGACCUUGUAUCACACCCCGAUUCCAACAUACAUUGAGGAUCAACACGUGACAUGGGGACAUAGGGGACAUAAAUCUUAUGUAAGAUACAAAAUGAAAUACUAUAAAUAAUAUCCCAAAAUGAAUAUGAUAGUGGGUUCACCCCUAUAAAAUAUAUACGAGUUUGUACAUUCACAAAAAAAAAAAAAAAAAAAAAAAAAAAACACAUACACACACACAAAACUCUCGCUAGGCCAAGACUUGCCCAUGGUGCUCAAAGGAAAGUCCCAAAAGAAAGAGUACAAUGAAGGAUAAAGGGGUAACCUAAACACUCCAAGUCUCUGAUCUCUGCACUGCUACCCUCACCGGCUCCUCGUAAUCUACUCAGACCUAUCACAUGUACAAACAGUGCCUACAUUGUGGGAAUGGUGCAUCGGGCAAACAAAAACCCGGAUAAGCUGCAAAACUCGUGUGAGUGACAAUAAUGCAACAUAUGUGAUAAUCAAGAAAAACAUACCAUCGAUCGCAGUUUAUAAACCUCAAAUAUAACUUCAUACUUAUGAAAUCAUAAUCAAGUCACUGAAAACUUCGAAUGAGUCACCCAGACAUCCAACGACUUUUUAAAAUCAAAUCUCAGAGAUUCCAAAACUAUCAUUCACAAAUACACUAAAAACUAGGGCUAGAGUGACACAGUUCGGCCAAAGACUACAUAAGUAACCAAACAAGAAGUGGCCCCCCAUAGCGGAUUAACCAAGCAGAGCCACUCCUGAAAAAGUAACCAAGUAGGUAGUGACCCCCAUCACGGAUUAACCAAGCAAAGUCACUCCUACGAAACUGUUAGGUAGUGAUCACCCAUCGCGGAUUAACCAAGCAUGAUCACCCCUAAGUACGUAUGGCCAUACCUAAGAAAUAAGGAUCGCCCACCGCAGAUUAACCAAGCACGAUCCAAAAAUAUUAUGGGUCCCCUAUCACGGAUUAACCAAGCAUGACCAUCCAUGUACCACUACUACAUGGUGUAAAUUCGGUGUCACCUAACCUCGUGACACUAGGGUAACGGUCCUUUACUAGCCCUCACGUUUUUCAAACAUUUCAAAUAUAUAAUUUAAAACACAAUUCAUAAACAUUUCGAAUAAGGAAGUCACAUAGUGUUUAAUAAUGUAGGUCAAUGGAAAACUUUAAAAACAAUUAUUUAGCAUAAAACAUAUUUUAGAAAUCCAUGUUGUAUCCACAAAGUAUACUAGCAUGGGAGAUUUUCAGGGUAAUAACUCUAUCAUAUAUAUUAAAGUCACUCACCUGGAGUCCACACUAACGCACCCUAACACGAAUAUCAAGACGUCACGUACUAUCAUCUGUAACAUCCCACAUCAACCAACGGAGAGAGGGUGAUGUGCCUUAUAUGUACAUGCCCACCUCCAUAGCAUGAGACCUUUUGGGAGCUCACUGGCUUCAUAUUCCAUCGGAACUCCAAAGUUAAGCGAGUUUGGGCGAGAGUAGUCCCAGGAAGAGUGACCCACUGGAAAGUUCUCGUGUGAGUUCCUAGAAACAAAAUCGUGAAGGCGUGGCCGGGGGGGGGGGUUAAAGCGGACAAUAUUGUGCUACGACGAAAUUGAGACUGAGAUGUGACAGAAUGGUAUCAAAGCCACUCUGCCGUGUGGUGCGAGUGUGCCGACGAGGAUGUCGGGCCCCUAAGGGGGGUGGAUUGUAACAUCCCACAUCGACCAACGGAGAGGAGGUGAUGUGCCUUAUAUGUACAUGCCCACCUCCAUUUAGCACGAGGUCUUUUGGGAGCUCACUGGCUUCGGAUUCCAUAAGAACUCCGAAGUUAAGCGAGUUCGAGCGAGAGCAUUCCCAGGAUGAGUAACCUACUGGGAAGUUCUCGUGUGAGUUCCCAGAAACAAAAUUGUGAGGGCGUGGCCAAGGCCCAAAGCGGACAAUAUCGUGCUAUGGCGGAGCCGAGAUUGGGAUGUAACAUCGUCACCUAAGACAAAGUACAAGUCCACAUUUAAAGUUCUUCGUGUAUUCACAUAAUAAAAAAUUUCCAUAUGCCCCCUACAACUAAUGAAGAGAAAUCGAGACACGUUGACAAAAAGUCAACUGUUGAUCAACGGUAGGGUCCAUAACCCUACGUAACUCGAUCUGCAAGAUCCAGCCACUGUAUUUGUGAUUCAUAAGUUCCUAAGGUCCUUAAAUCUUACGUACAAUAACAUACUAAACUUUGGUGACGAUCUAAUUGUCGAAUCAUCAUUUGCUAUAAUGUUCAAAUGACGCAAAUUCAUCAAUCAGAUGUUAAAUAUGGAAUCGGUCAUCGAAUUUAGCUUAGGAAGGUCAAGUGGUGUCUCGAGCCACGUGCUGCCGUGCGCAGCAGCUGGCAACCCAAAUUCGUCGGAAAAAUCACCUAAUUCCAAAAUGAAUGUCGUUAGACGUGGAGUAAAUUGUAUACCUGUGAAGAAGCCCAAUUUGGUCGGGAAGUGGCCUGAAAUCACUUUAGACCGUCGGAAACCCUAAAAUAGGUGAAUCUCGAUUCGUCAUCUCCGGUAUUCCACCGUCCUCAAACUUGUUUAGGGUUUGCUCCUGGUCUCAAAAGAAUGCUAAUGAUGGUGGUGAUUGAAGGAGAAUGUUUCAGAAAUAAUGAAUCGUCGACGAGGGUUUCACGAAACCGACAUGGGUGUUCCUUGUGGAACUAAGACCAAAUCUCAACGGUUUUGGCUAGAAAUGGAUGCUGGGAUGUCGUGGUGAGGUUUGGUAGUGAUGGGAGGUCGAAGAAAGCCAAAAAAAUCGACGAAAAAACAGUCGUCGGAGUCGCAGGAAACGGGUUAGAAAAACGAGUCGCCAGGUCUGAAACGGGUCGAAGGCUUUUGGGACAGCUACUUACUCUCUCUUCUUUGAUUAGUCACUCCACUCACUCUCUCAUUUGAUUAGUCCAGCCUUCCCACAUGGUGGGAGUUCCCUCAUAUAGUAACCCAAAAUUUACUAUUUAAAUCUGGUAUCGAACGUUCGUAACUUUUUCGUUAUAGUUUCGAUUCGCAAACAGCUUUCGCCUACGCGCUCGUAUGAUCGAAUUAUACUCGAAAACAUUAAUUGUGACCUCGAAAAGGUCUACGAGUUUUAAAAGAUUAAUUACAAAAAUUCACACCUUGUAACUAUACGAUCCAAAUUCUAAAAUUAACGGAAUUAAAAUAAACUAAAAAUAAUGUAAACACGAAAUACAGACUUUAAUAAUGAAAUACGUAAUUAAUAGUAGUAUUCCGGGAACGGGAUUUCACACCUUGCGUCCGGACCUUGAGUGCGGAUCAGAAUCCAAAGGUCGUGAUCUGACAAGCUCAUGCAUAGAACGGAGUCGUUGUGACCCAAUGCAAUUCAAAACUUUUAUGUUUUUUAUUUGCUGGGUACGUUUUUGUAGGAGGAAAAGGGGAAGUCGAGGGAUUCUUUGCGCAUUAAAGAGGGAAAGAGAGAAAGGGGGAGCUAAGAGGUUCUUCGCGCGUUAAAUUUUUGCUUCUAAUUUUGCAACCUAGAAAUAAAGUAUUUUCUUUAUGGUUUAUGGUUCAAGAAUAUAAUGGAUGCAACCUAAAAAUGUUUCUUUUUUUAUUUUUUACUUUUUUUCUUCUUAUGUUGGCUUUUGGUUUAUUUUUAUAACGCACUAUAUAUUAACUAAAUUUAUAAACAUUUUGUAUCUUUGUUGCAGUCAAAUUAAUCAUAUGGGUCGGCAUGACUAAGUUCGACUGAGACAUACAGAUGUUUUGCAAUCUUAAGUCUAACCUGACACACCUCGACCUCAAUAUCCAGUGAACACCAAAAUUAAGGUGUGCUGGCCAUCAUCCGGAUGGGUGACGAAACCAUAAUAUGCAUGAAAACAUAACUAAAUUAUCAACCAAUAAAAUCUAUUGAAAAAUUUGGCAGAACAUCCCUUAAAAUAGGGAUAUGCCCAAAUUAAAAACACUUGCACAUGAUCACAAUUAUUCAAACACAUCCCGAAGGGCCACACUUAAUGGGACUUCGACCAUCUAUUACAUGCAUGAGAAUAUGUUCAGAGAAUAAUUACCCAAAUACGUCUUAUUAAAAUAUUGAGUAAAUACCAUACAAGAUAGAAUACGUCAGAGCUGUUGCAAAAUACCUCAACGUCGGAUGUAAUCACUGAUAGAAUUACUGAAUCAUGUAUAAAUGGAAAGCUGAUAAAUACAUGUAAUUUGAGUGGAUACUUACCAACAGCAUGGAUACAAUAUCAUCCACCAGUCGUAACUAGUGAAAACUGGAUAAUAUAAUCAUGUCAUUGCCGAGUAAUCUCAAGGCAAUGACAAGAUGAGAAUGUAACUGAGUAAUCAUAUCAUUACUAAAUAAUUUCAAAGCAAUGACAAGCUGAGAGUAUAACCGUAUAAUCAUGUCAUUACCGCGUAAUCUCAAAAUAAUGACAAGCUGAGAGUAUAACUGUAGUACCUCUUAUUAGUGCAAUGCAUGAUAUGAAUUCCAUCUCACAUAUAUAUGCAAGCCAUAAUCAAACCAAUAAACAUCCAACAAAAGCCACAAUCCUUUUAACAUUCGACCACAAGAUCAAUUUUCAUAUUUCCCAAACCUAGGUUCCGAAGCAUUGUUUCGAAUUAUUAAUACAAGAAACCACCACCACCUCAAUCAAUUCCUAUUCAUAAGUGUAAGCAAUUACUAAAUGCAUCACUUUCGACUCUAGUCUUAAUUAGAUUACUUGGGAUACUCAUUCACACCAUCAGAUCCACGUACAAUUUUGAUAAACUUUAAAUAGCAUGGUUAAAAUAAAUGAAACAUUUGAAUGAAACACUUUUAGAAAAUAAGUGAAGAUGUUGUUUACAAAUAUAGAUGCAUCUGUAUAUAAAAGCUUUGGCGGUUGAUUCGUAUACUUCCAGAGAUAUAAGCAAGUUCAUUGGAAUAUGCAUACAUGGUUAAUGUAUUACGGUAUAAUUAAUAAGAAAACAAUUGCAUCCCCUUCAGAUUAUAUAUAUAUAUAUAUAGACACACACACAUACACAUACAUACACACAGGCCCUUUAUGCAAAGGAAUUUCCAUUUUUUUUCAAAAAAUGGGGAUUAGUUGUGGGGCCCACGCUGCAUUGAACUUUAACGAUCCGAACAAUCUAUUUUGUAAGUCUCGAUUCAUAGAUCAUCCUUGCAAAAAUUCAAUUCAAUCCGAACCCUUUUGCCUAUUUAAUUAUCAAGAUAAAAUUUCAUUGUUUCUUAUAUAACAAAGUAUUCGUUAAUUUCUUUGAACUCAAUUAGAUAUCUUAAACAUUUCCGAUUUGGCUAAUAUUUUGCAAAGAUGAUCUAUGUGGUGCAACUUGAAAAAUAGACGAUUUCGAUUGUUAAAGUUCGAUGUGGUGUGAACCCUACAAUUAAUCUUCAUUUUUAUAAAAGAAUGGGAACCCCUCCCCUUAAAGGUUUCCUAUGUAUAUAUUUGUUCUUCAGACAUAUGCAAAAGGUAAUGUAAAACCAAUGAGAACUUAAAUAGAUAUUCCAUACAUAGGACAAUUCCAUAUAUGCUUUUUCAACAUUUAUAUCGAAAAGCCAAAUUGUUUUGAGGAAAUUAAUUGUAGUAAUGGUCCCUUAACUUUUAUCUUAUUGGAGCAAUGGUCUCUCAACUAAAAAUUCAUGACCAUUGGUUCCUUAACUCCACAAAACGUGUAGUUAUGGUCAUUUUCAUUAACUCCGUCAGAACUUUUGUUAAAACAAGUAAUGUUAGAAGAAUCAUUGCUACAAUCAGGUUAAAGUUGGGGACCAUUGCUCUAAUUGAAUUAAAGUUGAGGGAUCAUUACUCCAAAUUGCUUAAAGUUCAAGGACCAUUUCUACAAUUUUCUCAUCUAGUUUCCCAUAUUUACCCCAUGAUUCAGCUUCACAUGCAUUGCACAUGACUCAUUUUGACAAAAGUUUUAACGAAAUUGACGAAAAUGACCAUAAAUGCACGUUUUGAAGAGUAAGAGACCAAUGGUCGCAGAUUUUAGUUGAGGGAUCAUUGCUCCAAUUUGGUUAAAGUUGAGGGACCAUUGCUACAAUUUGCUCAAAUGUUUCGUAUGCGAAAAUAGGCAUUUGUAAAGUUUGGCUUGUUCAUGGCAUUAUUACUUUAGUCUAAAGUAAGGCUGGAAAUGGCACUGUAGAAAUGAAUAGUGUUCCAAUCCGAAUUUCAGUUUAAUUACAACAAUGCCAUUGCUCUUUGUGUUGCCUUUAGGUGAGCAACCCAACUUCCAGCCAGGCCCAAAUGUAUUGGUUUUAGCUGAGAAGCCCGACCUUUGGUCAGGCCCAAAACUUUAAAUUACAGUUUUGCCCAUACAAAAUAACAAUUUGAUUGUAUCGGGAAGGACAAUUUUGUCCUUUUAGUUUUGGGCGAGAUAGGGGGUAACCGGGUAGAUUUCAUUUGCUGUCGUUGAAUGAAGGUUUCGGGGAUGAAGGUUGUGUGUGUGUGUGAGGGAGAUGACGAUGGAAGGAGAGCGAAGGGGAGGGGAAGGGUUCUCGGCACUGUUGCUGCAUGUGGAUUUCACAAGUGGGUGAAUGGGUAUGGUUAGAGAAUACCAUAUAGGUUGUCGGGAUUUCAGGAAACGGGGUAGGGGUCAUGAAUGAACCCUGCUGAGAGUGGGUGCCGGAUCUUGCGCUGCAUGCCUCAAAUCAAAGAUAAGUUCAUUUUUUUAUUGUAUUCUUUAAUGGUAGCUUAGCUUUUGGAAUUGUUUAGUAUGUUAGGUCCAGUUUUGGGGGAUUUAUCUUUUAGAGAGAGAGAUGGACAGGGAGAUAAAGAUAGACAGAGAGAGAGAGAGGAGGAGGAGGCGGAGGAAGUAUGGCUGUGUGCUAUUUUUGGUGUUAAUUAAUGGGUUGGUGCGCAGGGUGAGUGACAGAGUGACAGAGUGACGGAGGGAUGUGUGGGAGGGUAUGGGUUUUUAGUUCUUUCUUUUGAUUCAAUAGGUUAUACACUGUUUGAAAAACCUUUUUUUUAUUUUUUUGUUCUCGUUUGCUUUGUUAAAACCAUCAUUUGAAUUUUUGGGUUUCACUGUGCUCAUUUCUCUGUUUCUUCAUAAUUUGUUGGUGUUUGCUUCUCAUCCCUCUGUUGGUAGAUCUUUUUCUCAUUUCUUGGUUCCUUAUGUAUUCUUUGGUACAAAUCUGUUUACUUUUUGGUUGUGUGAUAAUCUUAGCAGGUGAACUAUAUGAACGUUUUUUUGAAACGAGCACAGUGAAGCAAGCGUAGAUUGGGAGGCAACCCAAUAUUUCUAUUCAUUGCCUUUUUCUGUCAUUUUCAAUUUUCUUGCAUGCUAAACUGAAUUAUUUCUUUUCUUUGUAUUUGGGUUAUGUCCACCCUUGGAGUUGAUUGCGGAAUUAUAGUUUGGGGGUCAUCAUUUGAUUUCACUGCAAAUUGGGGAAGUUUUUAGUCCAAAUGCCGGAUCACUUCAAGUAUCACCUUCCAUUCGAAGUUCACUUCCAUGCCAUGGAACCUAUGGGAGUGUGACUGGAGGCAUCGUCCGGCUGCAAGACGUUAAAGAAAGCGCUUCUUGGGAGGCAACCCAAGCUUUCUAUCUUUCAUCUUUAUUUUGAAUAAUUUUAAAUGUUCUUGUUCUGUUUUUCUCUUAUUUUCUGGUUUUUGUAUUUAAGUCCUACUUUUGUUCCUUUAUGCAGGUAAUGAUUUUGCAAUCUCUACCACAACUUCUUGCAAGGUAGUUUUACAUUCAUAAAAACGAAAGGAACAUUAAGCAUAUAAAUACAAGAGGGAGCCUUCACAAAGGCUGCUUAGGAGAAGUUUCAGCAGUCGGCGGAGUCCCAGAAGGAGGAGGCAUCAGAGGUUGAUCAUUUGGAGCUUCAUUACGUGGUACAACCCCAGAAGACGAAGGCAAAUGCAAAUAAGGAAGAUCUAUGAAUCGCUUCACAAUCGAAAAGGAACAUAUGGUAGAAAAAUUCAAAGAUGAGCAUACAAACAAGAAGGAGUCUUCAUUGGUCAGGAGGUGUCGCAGCAGUCGAAGGAACAUCAGAAAGACGAAGUGUCAGAGCUUGAUUGUCCGGAGCACUUGGUGAAGCACCAGAUGAUGAAGGCAGAAGUUGCCUCAGGAGUAAAGCCAUAAACCUUUGAUGAUCACUCCGAGCCCGAACUUCAGCCUCUUGCAGCUGGUCCAACUUCCUCUUUAUGCUUGUUGAGUAGUUAGUUGCGAGCAUGUGCAACUCUUUAUCUUCAUGCCUCAGCGCUCUGACCUCUUGCCAAAGGCUAGCCACUUCAGCCAUCAACGACUCCACUUGACGAGUUCGAGCAAGAAGGCGUUGGCCCAUGUUUGAUACUGAGCCUGCACUUUGGACGCUGAAAGCCAAAGAAUCCUGAACAGCCUGCUCGUCAGACCGCUUAGAUAGCAUCCUACUGUCUCUUGGAGUAUGAAGAUUUCUAGCAACCACUGCAGCUGUUGCAUCAUUUCUCAUCACAGUGUCCCCAACUGUAAGAGGACCGUUGGAGGAUAUGAAAGAUGGCUGCCAAAUGUUACCUGGAGACGAGAGGUCAAUAUCUUCUUCGAUAUUCAGGUCAAAACGACGGUCGGAUGGGCUAGACAUUUUCAUAGGUGUUAAAGAAAGAAGAGGUCAGACAAGUCAAGAUAGUAGAAAUGCAAGAAGGGAGUAUUCACAGGCAGAAAUUCAUGUGUGCUUUGAACAUCCUGCGAACCUCUAUAAAAAAUAGCACACAAUGAGAUUUCAGGGAUCGAAUAGGCGAGUUCAGAGAUCGAUGAAGCGCCUGCUUUCUCCAAAGCUAGGCCUACUCAGGAAUCACAGGCUGAUCUCAGGUAGUGAAGACGCGCCUGUCUCUCUCAGCCCCGUCAGCACUUGUCACAUGCAGAGAAAACUUUGAGGAAAUCACGGGCAGUUUGUCGAAGCGCCGAUUCCAACCAUCUGUCUUUCUCAGCCUCGUCAGCUUUGAGGAAAUCACGGGCAGUUUGUCGAAGCGCCGAGUCCAACCGCCUGUCUCUCUCAGCCUCGUCGGCACUCGCUUUCUCAAAAGCUGGGCUUGAAAUCACAGGCCAAUCUUCAGUUUCUAAAUUUGUUCGCACUUGUCACAUGCAACCUCUGCACUCAACGAAGCUCAGAACUCGAAGCGCCAAUUCCGGAUAUUAAAGAAGCCUUUGCUUUAUCAGACGUGUCAGCAUCUGUCAAUUGCACAUCUGCGUUGCGUAAAUCACGCGCAAUCUGUCGAAGAUUUCUGGAGAAACGGAAUGCACGUGAAGUUUACUGUUAAAUUACCCCAGGCUUGCUGACACGAGUACUAGAACAAUGCCUUCCCAGCCAUUAAGAAAAAUUCUACAAAUGUUAAAGGCAACCUCACUCAACUUUCAGCCUCACUCAACCUUUCUUCCUCUCUGAGAAUGUAUUCCCGAAGAAGCCUCCCGAGUCACUCUGUGUUUCUCAUCCCUUGGGAUACCCCUGCAAACAACCCACCCAGAGCAAAAGUAUUUCAUAUCAUAACGGUUGAGAGCAAGAGUAUCUCAUAUCAUGCUUUCUCCCUGUCCUUUGUCUCGCCAGCACUUGGUAUCAAUCUUCCGAGCGGGGACCGACUGCCUGGAACCCAUUCCUGAUUGCUUACCUAACCUUGCUCUCGAGUACUCAUCCUUCUUAUGUUUCCUCUUCGUCUACCACAUAGGGGAAGUGAUAAUGAUACCUCGAAGCAUGUGGAUACAACGUGCUGAUUCAUCCUCAACUAAGGACAAGGGAGAAAGCAAGCAAGAUGUGGGCACUUGGAAAGAUUGAACAAAGAAACAGACUAACACCUCUACCUCGUGCCUGCCUACCGAGCAGAAGAAACAAGCAGAGAAGAAUGCAGACUGCACAAUCAAACAACCCAGGAACUCUGAUAUUCCUCGCUCAGGAUUCCAAACCAGUUUGAGAUUCGCCUACACAAAUUGGUGUGUUCUUUCCUUUUCUUUAUGUGUCUUUAUUUCAUUUUAUAUUUCUUUCCUUCCAUUUUCAUGUCUUAUUGUUCAAAAAUUCCUUUCAUUAUCAUUGGGGACAAUGCUAUAAUUAAGUUUGGGGGUAUUUGGAAAUAUAUUUCGUUAGUUUAUUUCUCUAUUAAAAAAAAAAAAAAAUUUUGCAUUUUUAUUGUUGUUUGUAGCUACUUCUCAAUUCAAUGAUGAGAUUUGAUUUUAAUUUCCUUCUUACUUUCAAGAAAGUCUAAGUUCUUUUCGUUGUCUUUGUGUUAACUGUGAUUUCCAGAAAUCAACUUGAAAAAAGAAAUGUGCCUAGUCUUGUCAAUGUGAAACUUGAGCAUGAUUUAGCGUUUCAUAUGUGAAUCAUGUGAGAUUAUGUAAACCUUGUGAGUUUUUUAGCCUAUACAUGAUUGAACCAUUAUGCAUCAAUCUCAUUCCUUCUUGUGCGUAUGAUCUCACUGUACAUGUAUCUCUAGAACUUGCUUUAUACUACUCGAUUCAUUAAUCAAUUCAUGUAAUAACUUGGAAGUGAUAUAGGCCAUCUUUGGAUCGUUUGAGCCUUUCAUGCCUACCUUAUAUGCUAUGUUUAUCCUUAGUAGCCCUUUGAGCCUUUAACUAAGCCAUUUCUUUGUUAACCACAUCUCUUUACCUUGCUCCAAUAUUGGAGUUGAGCCCAUACACAAAAAUCGAUUCCUUAUUGUUUUGAGAAAGUAUUACAUGGGUUGUGCUUUUGGGGGUUUCAUUUAUAUAGAAAGAUGGAUGGAGUAUGUGUAUACAAUGAAAUGUGAAUUUGAUGGGUGAUGUAGAUUUUGAAAAUUAUUUCAAAAGAAAAAAAAAACGAAAAAAAACGAAAAAAAUGAAAAUUGGAGAGUGUUGAUUUGUUGAAAAUGUGUCGGUAGAGUAUAAAUUUCCUUUUAAAGUUAAAUUUGGGGAGUAACAGGUGCUCGAGGUUUUAUUAUUUUGCUUUCAAUUUGAGGUGGUGUGAUAUUGAGGUGUUGGAAAACUACCAAAGUGUACUUUCUCAAAAUUUUUGAUUUCCAUAUCCUUUCUUUCAUUAGCCUAUCACCUUUAGCCCCAUUACAACCGUAAUAAAGUCCUAUUGAUCCAAGGUAUUACUUAAAUAUUGAUAAGCGAGUUAGGUGGACAAGCAAGCACAUGGCGGCAUGUACAAUGAGAUUACUUGAGUGAAACACAUUAACAAAAAAUUAUGAGUGAAUGAGCGUAUGUCUUGUGAGAAACUCACAUGUUUGCAUAUGAUGAUUUAAAGGAGCUUGGAAUUGCAUUGACAUAGCUAGCUCACACAUGGCAUUUCAACGUUUUGUUUGAAGGAAAUUUGGUUAACUAUUGGAUGAUGUUUUGAGCUCUUGCUUACUUCUUGGCAGUGUAUCUCAUGACUAGCACUUAUCUCUGAAAUCGAAAUUGAGAAGUUGGCUACUAAGUUGUUGAAUCUAGUCUUAGUUGAGUGGUUUUGUUUUGCUAGAGGACUAGCAAAAAUGUAAGUUUGGGGGUAUUUGAUCACUCAUAUAUUUCAUGCAUUUAUACCAUCCAUUUCUAAAGUCUUUGUGAUGUUUUUGUGUUAAAGUUGUGGCAUUUUACCUUACCUUGUGUUAAUGUACAGUUAAUUUUAUUUUAGGAUCAAUUUCAAAGAAAAUGGGCUGAAAAGAAAAUAAAAGAAAAGAAAUAAAUGGGACGGAAAGGAAGACACUGACAGAAUAAAAGAAUGAAGAAAGAGGUAGAACGGCAGAUAGAGAAGUGGGAAGAAAGUGGAGUGCGCAUGGGAUGGAAGUGGAACAAAAAGCAGGAGAGGGAGUGAGGAGUGCGGGAUAAAAGCAAAGAAAAAUAGAAGAAUAAGAAAGAAGUGGGAGGACACGGACUGAGUGGAAGAAUUAAAGAGAGAAGCAGGGUGCAGGCACGGACAGAAAGGAGAACUGAAGAAUAAAAGAGAAGACAGAGAAGCAGAAAAAAGAAGAGAAACUGACGUGAAAGCCAGUGCGCAGAGGGCGCAGAGAGAUAGGAGAGAUUGUGCGGGAGCAGAAGCACAGAAGCAGAGGGAACAAAAUCACAGACUGACAGCAGACGCAAGAGGCACGGCAGAGAGCAAAGCUUCACUCUAUUUUUCUUGGUUUUAUCUUCUCAAACCCAUGUUUUACUUUUGGUUUAAUUUGUGAAUUAUGUGUAACUAAAUUUUAAGUAGUUAGGGGCUGUUUUGAAGCCCCGAAUAUGAUUGUAAGUUUGUUGUGAUAUUUUGUUUGAAUGACUUUUAUGAAAGGAUGAAAAUUGUUUCACUACUUAUGUGAUUGAUAAAUUCUUUAUGUGUUUCUAUGGAUGCAUACAUAGUGAGCAUAUCUAGGAUUUUAAUGCUAUGAAUAUAUGUUUACCUGCCCUUGUUGAAUGAGGACCUACAUAUGUUCUAGAGUAGCACUUGUUAAUUGUGGUUAACAUGUGAACCGAUUUCUAGGAUAAGUAAGACAAUGCCAGUACUUAUCAUGCCUUGUGAUGACUCAAACUCUUUUCGUUCUUAAUGAUUUCUACUUGUUAAAUCUAUGAACACGACAUUCUAGAUUACAUGCUAGGGACUACGUUAAGUUGAAAACGCUAUUCUCUUAACAUACUACGUAAGAAAAAGUAAUAGGUUGUGUUCUAACAUUGAGCCAACUUGAGCAUCUUCAUCCGGAAAUAAAAGGAAUUUGAAUGAAACAUAACAUGUUUGCAUGAUUAUUUGGUGGUGGAUAGCAUUUCCCCUAAUUCGUUUUCUUAACUUGUGAAUUAAAAUCUAUUGGUAUUAUUUAAAACUGGUUGAGGUCCUGUUUUGUCCGAUUUAAUUUAAAUAGCUAAUCAACUUCAAAAAUCCCAAACAUUUGUGUGAGCAUAGCUUGGUGUGUCUAGUUUAUGUGUAUAAAAUUUCGUUGCAUUUGGAUAAGUGUAAGUUAGUCUAAUAAUUAUUGUUCGGUGGCUGGUCAGUGGAGACAACCAUCCUGUUUUUGUGACAUUUUAAGUGUUUGGAUAAAACAAUUUUCUGCGGAAAAGACCCUUAUUUUCAUAUGCUACAAUCGACAAAAUUUUAGUGUUAAUAAGGAAAAUCAAUAGGAUUAUUGUGGGCUACUUUGUGGUGCGUUAUAAUUACUACCAUGCUGUCAGUGGGUGUUAAUAUCAGGUACCCAUGUUCAGUUUUUCGUUUUGAUUUGAAGGAAUUUCUUGCGGAGAGGAGCAAGGGUUUCUUGGUGAGUUCUUCGGGUUGUGCAUAUGGGUAAUUUUCUUUUCGGUUUAACCCUCUGCUUCUGCUGCUCUCUCUCUUUCUCUCAUCCCUGCCUGCUCCUCUCCAAUUGUUUGCUGUUCUUAAAUAUUGUGUUCAUUGCCUGAUACAAGGGGCUGCAGCAAUCUGUUUUAUCCUACACGGGACAACGAGGCAAUGGCGUGACAACAGGUGAGCUUGGAUAUCCAAAGAAAAAGAACAGUUGGUUCAUCUGCUGGAGUCUGAGCUUAGAGAAGUGGAGGAAAAUUGCAGGUGUGCGAGAAAUUUUAUUUUGCUGAUAGGACUCCUUAUUUACUGAUGCAUUUUGAAAUAAUUGAAAAGUUGGAUUUGAGUUAACAGCUAUAAAAAUGUAGACAUGAUUGCUGAGAUUAUGCUAUGAAAGUGGAAUAAAAAAAUGGUAGUUUAUAAUAUUGCGUACCAAUUGUUUUCUCUCUUUUUUACCAAAUGAUAAGGGUGGUGGCUCAGGCCGCCCCCCUAAGCGUCCCCACUCUUCGACAAGUUGAAAUCGUGGUGAUAGUUUAUGGGCUGUGGUCUUGGGAUUCUGCAAAUAGAAUGAAAAACAGACACUUAACUAUCUUGUUAUUAAGCAUUUCUGCAUCAUUCAGUUGCUCUUGAUUUUCGUCUUUUAAGCGAUCUUAUUUCUGCGAUCUGACUUGAGGAGGGUUUUUAGACCUAUGGUUGUGGGUGUUUUCUCUGACCCCAUUAUCCGAGAUUUGUAGACUUGCGAUCGGCGGUCAAACAUUUUGUGAUUCUUGUUUUCUCUGCCUUUCGGUCGUUAAGCGCCGGCAGUCUUUAGAUCUUUGGCAAAUCAAUUUAAUACAACCGAGGUAUGUUUUAUAACUGCUGUCUUUCAAUUUUUGUUCUGUAUUUUUGUUAAUUUGGAUGAAGCUCUAAUAAUUUUGUUUUGGAUCAGUUGUGGUCCUCUGUUAGGAUUUUCCUGGCUAAGAGGGUAUUUGCGUUUUUGUUGCUUGGUUGGUCGAUCACAGAUUUACGAACAGCUGUGGUGGUCCUGUUAUUUUUUGGUAUGUUUUUUCUCCUUUUUGGUUUUUUUCCCGGUUUGAGCACCCAUUCUUGAAGAAUUAAAAUGUGUUUUAUAGUUUUUUCAGGAGAGAUUAGAAAAGUGAUUUCAAUUUGGGAAAAUUUAAUGUUGGUUAAAAUUUGUUUAUAAUUUUUGGGAAGGAAUGAGAGGACCCAUUGAAGUAUGUGUUGUGAUUAUUUUUUAUUCAUAUUUUUAACAAAUUGGGCAUGAAUUGGUAGGUUAACUGUGUGUGUUUAUUAUUUGAAUCGGCCAUGUUUGUCUUUCUAUGGUUCUAAAAAAUUUGUAAAGGCUGUUAACUUGGAAGAAAAUGGGAUCGAGGGUGAGGGGAAAACGGCAGAGAAAGCAUGGAAGAGAGAUUUGGGAUUAGGGGUAGGAAAACAGAUGAAAAGAAUAUGAUAGAGGAAUGGGUUCAGUUCAUUUUCACUAUUUUUUUUUAACUGAUUUGGAUUUUGUUUGGGUUUAACUCCGCCUAUGUCUUACAUGGCCGGUCCCAAGCCCGGAUAAAGGAGGAGGGGGAGGGCGUCAGGUAGUCGACAGCCGGCACUCCAUGAUCAUGUCGAAUCCUUAUGAAAAUGAAUCCAGAACAAAAUCGCGCUAAAGCUAGGACGUCACCCGUAAGUGGCGCGCUGUAUGGCCCGAGCACAGUGAUAAGUGAGCAAGGGUCGCUGUAUCUCCAUCGGCACCCGGAUGCAGUGUUAAAUGAGCAAGGGGGCCAUAGAAACUUCUUUUCGAACGACUCCACUCAAAGUUGUUUGAGAGCAUAUGCUCCUAUCAACUUUACCCGGGACACACAAAAGAAGUACUUUGAUCCUAUUAGACGGGGGAGGGUGAAGAAGCUAGGACAGAAGGGUAGAGUUCAAGAGAGCAAAAUGCGUUUAGGAACGUGGAAUAUAGGAACCUUAACGGGAAAAUCUAUGGAAGUAGUGGAAGUUAUGGUGAGGAGAAGGAUAAAUAUUAUGUGCCUACAAGAAACUAAGUGGGUUGGUAGUAAGGCAAAGGAUCUAGAAAACUCAGGGUUUAAACUUUGGUAUUCGGGCACAAAUAGAACGAGAAACGGUGUUGGCAUCAUCGUGGACAAGACCUUGGUACAAGAUGUUGUAGAUGUCAAGAGGGUAGGAGAUAGAAUCAUGGCAAUCAAGAUUGUAAUAGGACAAGAACUUAUCAAUGUGAUUAGUGCGUACGCACCUCAAGUAGGGUUGGAUACGAGUUCGAAGGAGAAAUUUUGGGAAGAUCUUGGAGACUUGGUGCAAGGAAUUGCUCAGACGGAGAAGUUAUUUAUAGGAGGAGAUUUAAAUGGACACGUGGGCAGGGAGACAGGCAACUAUGGAGGUUUUCAUGGUGGCCAUGGUUUUGGGGAGAGAAACGAGGAUGGGGAAGCUAUCUUGGAUUUUGCAAUGGCAUAUGAUCUCUUCUUAGCCAACACCUUCUUUAAGAAGAGAGAAGAACAUGUGAUCACCUACAAGAGUGGGUCGUCAAAAACACAAAUAGAUUUUCUUCUAAUGAGGAAAGGGGAUCGUAUAACUUGUAAGGAUUGCAAAGUUAUACCAGGAGAGAGCGUGGCUAAUCAACAUCGCUUGUUGGUGAUGGAUGUACAUAUCAAAAGAGUAAGACAAAAGAACAAGACUUGGAAGUGCCCAAGGACUAGAUGGUGGAAUCUAAAAGAAGAAAAACAAGCCAUUUUCAAAGAGAAGGUAAUCACCCAAUGUGUGUGGGAUAGAGAGGGGGAAGCUAGCCAAAUGUGGGAUUCCAUGGCUAGUUGUAUCCGAAAAGUAGCAAAAGAGGUAUUAGGAGAGUCCAAGGGCUUUGCCCCACACCAAAAGGAAUCUUGGUGGUGGAAUGAGGAGGUACAAACAAAGGUGAAGGCUAAGAAGGAAUGUUGUAAAGCCUUAUACAAGGAGAGGACCGAUGAAAAUGGUGAAAGGUAUAGAAAAGCGAAGCAAGAGGCGAAGAAAGCUGUCAGAGAAGCUAAGUUAGCGGCUUACGACGAUAUGUAUAAACGACUAGAUACCAAAGAAGGAGAGUUGGAUAUCUAUAAACUAUCUAGAGCAAGGGAAAAGAAGACAAGGGACCUAAACCAAGUGAGGUGCAUCAAGGAUGAGGAUGGAAAGGUUCUUGCUACAGAGAACGCGGUUAAAGACAGAUGGAGAGGUUAUUUUCAUAAUCUUUUCAAUGAAGGACAUGAAAUGAGUGCUUCUUUAGGGGAGUUGAGUAACUCAGAAGAGUGUAGAAACUACUCUUUUUAUCGUCGAAUCCGGAAGGAAGAAGUGGUUGUAGCUUUGAAGAAGAUGAAGCAUAAAAAAAGCAAUAGGCCCAGACGAUAUACCAAUCGAAGUGUGGAAACUUUUGGGAGAGACAGGUAUAACAUGGCUCACUGACCUUUUCAAUAGGAUUUUGAAAACGAAGAAGAUGCCAAAUGAGUGGCGAACGAGCACUUUGGUGCCUAUCUACAAGAAUAAGGGCGACGUACAAAAUUGCAUGAACUAUAGGGGUAUUAAGCUAAUGAGUCAUACAAUGAAGCUCUGGGAGAGAGUCAUUGAGCAUAGAUGAGGCAAGAGACACGGGUUUCGGACAACCAAUUCGGGUUCAUGCCAGGGCGCUCAACCAUGGAGGCAAUCUAUCUCUUACGAAGAUUGAUGGAAAGAUAUAGAGAUGGGAAAAAGGAUUUACACAUGGUCUUUAUAGAUUUGGAAAAAGCGUAUGAUAGGGUCCCAAGAGACAUUCUUUGGAGGAUUUUAGAGAAGAAAGGAGUACGAGUAGCAUAUAUCCAAGCUAUAAAGGAUAUGUAUGAAGGAGCAAAGACUGCCGUAAGAACUCAUGAAGGACAAACCGAAAGCUUUCCCAUAACUGUAGGAUUACAUCAAGGCUCAUCCUUAAGUCCUUACCUUUUUGCGUUGGUAAUGGAUGAGUUAACAGGACAUAUUCAAGAUGAUAUUCCUUGGUGUAUGCUUUUCGCAGACGAUAUAGUGUUGAUAGAUGAAACUCAGGAAGGGGUAAAUGCAAAGCUUAACCUUUGGAGAGAAGUGUUGGAAUCUAAAGGUCUUCGCCUAAGCCGAUCAAAGACAGAAUAUAUGGAGUGCAAGUUCAGUGCAAAUGGAGGCCAAAACGAGUUAGGGGUGAGGAUCGGAGAUCAAGAAAUACCAAAGAGCGACCGUUUUCGUUACCUAGGAUCUAUCUUGCAAAAGAACGGAGAAUUAGAUGGAGAUCUCAACCAUAGAAUACAAGCUGGAUGGAUGAAGUGGAAGAGUGCAUCCGGCGUGUUGUGUGACCGCCGUAUGCCACUGAAGCUCAAGGGAAAAUUUUAUAGGACGGCAAUAAGGCCGGCGAUGCUGUAUGGCACAGAAUGUUGGGCGGUGAAACAUCAACACGUACACAAAAUGGGUGUAGCGGAGAUGAGGAUGCUUCGUUGGAUGUGUGGGCACACGAGAAAGGAUAAGAUUAGGAAUGAGGAUAUCCGGGGUAAAGUAGGAGUAGCCGAAAUUGAAGGAAAGAUGAGAGAAAAUCGGUUACGGUGGUUUGGACAUGUGCAAAGAAGGCCUACUGACGCUCCGAUUAGAAGAUGCGACUAUGGGACAGAGGUUCAGGGCCGAAGGGGUAGAGGAAGACCUAGGAAAACUUUGGAAAGAGACUCUAAGAAAAGACUUAGAGUACUUGGAUCUAACGAAGGACAUGACACAGGAUCGAGCACAAUGGCGUUCUAAGAUUCAUAUAGCCGAUCCCACUCAGUGACUUGGAUUUUCCAAGUCUCCAACCGAGAAGUUUUCCUCACUCGGAAAAUUAAGGGAACACUACCCCAACCUACAUGCUCCACUCAGAAAGCUUCAACAUACAAGCUUCAACAAAAGAAAAUUCAAAGAACUUAGCGAAGAAGGCUUUGGUGUAUUUAACACAAUACGUUGAAAUGAAGGAAAGCUUAUUUAUUGAUAUCCCCGAUAAGCUACAAAUAUGUACAUAUACAUGAGUCAAAAUAAACACACAAGAGGGAGCCUUCACAAAGGUUGCUUAGGAGAAGUCUCAGCAGUCGGUAGAGCCCCAGAAAGAGAAGGCACCGGAGGGGGAUCAUUUGGAGCCUCAGUACUGGACAGAACCCUAGAAGGAGGAGGCAUCAGAGGUUGAUCAUUUGGAGCUUCAUUACGCGGUACAGCCCCAGAAGACGAAGGCAAUAAAUGCCUUUGGAACAAACCCACAAAUCUCUGAUGAUCAAGUAAAACCUGACCAUCAGUUUCCUUCAUCUGGUCAAGCUUCCUCUUCAUGUUUGUAGCAUAGUCAUGUGCGAGCCGGUGCAACUGUUUAUUCUCAUGCUUGAGCCCUCUAAUCUCCUGUUUGAGACUCAUCACUUCAGCCGCCAAUGAUUCAACUUGGCGGGUUCGAGCAAAUAGGCGUUGGGCCAUAUUAGACACAGAACCUGCACACUGAACACUGAGAGCCAGCGAAUCCUUAACAGCUAACUCAUCAGACCGUUUGGAAAGUAGUCUGUUAUCUUUGGGAGUGAGAAGGUUCCUGGCCACCACCGCAGCGGUCAUAUCAUUCUUCAUCACGGAAUCCCCAACGGUAAGAGGACCAGUAGGGGAGACGAAGGAUGGGCGCCAUAUGUUGUCUGGAGAAGGCGGGGCUGCCUCUUCAACAAGGUUCAAGUCAAAACGACGGUCGGAGGGGCCAGACAUUUUCAAAUGUGUUGAAGAGAGAAGAGGUCGGACAAAUCAAGAUCUUAGAAGUGCAAGAAUGAAGCUUCUACUGGUGGAGAUUCAAGUGUGCUUUGGAACUUAAUGCCAGCCCCUAUAAAAAUCUGCACUCGACGGAGCUUCAGAAAUCGAAGAGGCGCCUGCUCAGAAAUCGAAGAGGCGUUUGCUUUCUCAAAAGCUGGGCUGCUUAGAGAUCACGAGGGUUGAUCUCAGAAAUCGAAGAGGCGUUUGCUUUCUCAAAAGUUGGGCUGCUCAAAGACCUCGAAGGCUGAUCUCAGAAAUCGAAGAGGCGCUCGCUUUCUCAAAAGCUGGGCUCCCUAGAGACCACGAGGGCCGAUCUCAGAAAUCGAAGAGGCACCUACUUUUCCAGCCUUGUCAGCACCUGUCACACGCGCACACUCAGCUUUGCGGAAAUUAUGGGCAUUCUGUCGAAGACUUCUGGGGAAGUAGAAAAAACACAUGAAUCUUACUGUUCAAUCACCCACUUCCCACACGCAACAAUAGCUCAUGGGUACCACAGAUAACUUUGCCAAAGUUCUCUGCCAAAGUUGAGCACGUGAAGCUUGCAGCUCCCACUACAUCGCUCUGACCAAGAAGGGUAAAAGAAUAGCAAAGAAACACAGCACUAACAAAGUUUAGACCCAUAAAUUUUGAAGGUCUAGCUACCAUAUUAUUACCACACACAGGGUAAAGGAACAGUACCACUGCUGGAUAAUUGGAAAGUCCCUGUUUGUCAACCUCUGUGCUUCGUGGCAAGGUAGACUAGCAAACAUGCCCAACCUUUACUCACAUUCGAGAAAACACUCCCAAUAAGAUUGCUUGCUCCAAAAUCGAAGAGGCACCGUCCUCCGAAUCUCGAGAGCCAGACUCCCAACAUGACUACUUUCUUAAAAAUCGAAGAGAGGGUAAAGGAACAGUACCAUUGCUGGAUAAUUGGAAAGUCCCUGUGUGUCAACCUCUGUGCUUCGUGGCAAGGUAGACUAGCAAACAUGCCCAACCUUUACUCACAUUCGAGAAAACACUCCCAACAAGAUUGCUUGCUCCAAAAUCGAAGAGGCACCGCCCUCCGAAUCUCGAGAGCCAGACUCCAAACAUGAUUACUUUCUCAAAAAAUCGAAGAGACACUGCUCCCCGAAUCUUCGAGAGCCAGACCCCCAGCAUGAUUGCUUUCUCAAAAAUCGAUGAGGCAUCGUUCUCCGAAUCAAUCGAAGAGGCGCUCGCUUUCUCAAAAGCUGGGCUGCUCAGAGACCACGAGGGCCGAUCUCAGAAAUCGAAGAGGCACCUACUUUUCUAGCCUUGUCAGCACCUGUCACACGCACACUCAGCUUUGCAGAAAUUAUGGGCAUUCUGUCGAAGACUUCUGGUGAAGUAGAAAGCACAUGAAUCUUACUGUUCAAUCACCCACUUCCCACACGCAACAAUAGCUCAUGGGUACCACAGAUAACUUUGCCAAAGUUCUCUGCCAAAGUUGAGCACGUGAAGCUUGCAGCUCCCACUACAUCGCUCUGACCAAGAAGGGUAAAAGAAUAGCAAAGAAACAGCACUAACAAAGUUUAGACACAUAAAUUUUGAAGGUCUAGCUACCAUAUUAUUACCCACAAGGGUAAAGGAACAGUACCACUGCUGGAUAAUUGGAAAGUCCCUGUGUGUCAACCUCUGUGCUUCGUGGCAAGGUAGACUAGCAAACAUGCCCAACCUUUACUCACAUUCGAGAAAACACUCCCAACAAGAUUGCUUGCUCCAAAAUCGAAGAGGCACCGUCCUCCGAAUCUCGAGAGCCAGACUCCCAACAUGACUACUUUCUCAAAAUCGAAGAGAGGGUAAAGGAACAGUACCAUUGCUGGAUAAUUGGAAAGUCCCUGUGUGUCAACCUCUUUGCUUCGUGGCAAGGUAGACUAGCAAACAUGCCCAACCUUUACUCACAUUCGAGACAACAGUCCCAACAAGAUUGCUUGCUCCAAAAUCGAAGAGGCACCGCCCUCCGAAUCUCGAGAGCCAGACUCCCAACAUGAUUACUUUCUCAAAAAUCGAAGAGACACUGCUCUCCGAAUCUCGAGAGCCAGACCCCCAGCAUGAUUGCUUUCUCAAAAAUCGAAGUGGCAUCGUUAUCCGAAUCUCGAGAGCCAGACUCCCAACAUGAUUACUUUCUCAAAAAUCGAAGAGACACUGCUCUCCGAAUCUCGAAAGCCAGACCCCCAGCAUGAUUGCUUUCUCAAAAAUCGAAGAGGCAUCGUUCUCCGAAUCUCGAGAGCCAGAUACCACAUACCACUUUUUCAAAGUGCUCUGACAGAGUUAAAACAUGUGAAACUGGCAGCUCCCACUACCGUGCUAUGACCAAGCAGGGUAAAGGAAUAACAUUACUACUUGUUAGGGAGACUCCUAUAUAUGUUGACCUCCAUCCCCAACAGACAGGCAGACCUGCAAAAAUGCUCAACCCUUCAUCAUAUCUGAGAGGGCACUCCCAACGAAGCCUUUCGAAAUAUUCAGCUUUCUUUCCCCCCGAUAAUACCUCUGCAAACAAGCUAUACUAGAGCAAGAAUAUCUCAUAUCAUCAGGGUUAAAAGCAAGAGUAUCCCAUAUCAUGCUUUUUCCCUGUCUUUUCCUUUGGCCUUGUUUUUACCUGCAAGACAAGGAGAAAGAGAGCAAUCAGUCAGCACUUGGAAUCAAGCUUCCAGCUAGGAACUGACUGCCUGGAACCCCUUACCUGAUUACUUACCUGGCAUUGCUCUCGAGUACUCAUCUUCAACAUCUUAUGUUUCCAGGGAAGAUUCCGCAUCUGCUUGAGGAACAGAUAGGGCAAGUGCGAAAGAUACAAGGAAGCAUGUGGAGACAAGCGUAACAGCACACGUGCCGAUACAUCCAUUACUCUGUCAAAAGCAAAAGUAUCCCAUAUCAGCAGGGUGGAAAGUACUCUAGAUUUGAUGGACUUGUUUUGACCCUCAAAUUCUUCAGUCGACCUUAUACUCUGGAGGAAACCAGAAAACCCUCCAGCUCAGUUCAAGAAUAAGCCUGUGGAAAGUUACUUCUUCAAAAGCAAAAGUAUCUCAUAUCAUCUCUUCUCAUUUUUCUUCUCUUUAUCCUUCAUGCUGCUGCAAGAUGGGGAGAAGGUGAACAAUCAGUCGGAGCUCUGAUUGCUUACCUUGUCUGUCACCUCUUUCAGCAGACCCCUAGCUCGGCGACUUGGGGGACUCCUACUACAUGGUUUGUAUCGCGCUUGACCAAGCCUGAAACUACAAGUAAGCUUCAAGUGAAAUUGAUACAUUACCUUGUGCAUCUCCACCAGUUAAAGAUACCACCCCUGGAUGGAGGAAGAGUACUUCCAGAAAAGAUGCCACAUCUACCUAUGAGACAGAUAAGGCAAGUCAAGACGACACCACACUCCGAUACUUAGAAGUUUCGUGAUUACGAGAUCAUUCUCCCACAAUAUUUCCUAAUGUCAUUUGUACUAAAUCAUUCACUUGUACUCACUAAAGGAGAGCUUGAACCUAUGUACUUGUGUAAACCCUUCACAAUUAAUGAGAACUCUUCUAUUCCGUGGACGUAGCCAAUCUGGGUGAACCACGUACAUCUUGUGUUUGCUUUCCUAUCUCUAUCCAUUUAUAUACCUAUCCACACUAAUGACCGGAGCAAUCUAGCGAAGAUCACAAAAAGCGACCGUUUUCGCUACCUAGGAUCUUAUCUUGCAAGAGAACGGAGAAUUAGAUGGAGAUCUCAACCAUAGAAUACGAGCUGGAUGGAUGAAGUGUAAGAAUGCAUCCGGCGUGUUGUGUGACUGUCGUAGGCCACUAAAGCUCAAGGGAAAAUUUUAUAGGACGGCAAUAAGGCCAACGAUGUUGUAUGGCAUAGAAUGUUAGGCGGUGAAGCAUCAACACGUACACAAAAUGGGUGUAGCGGAGAUGAGGAUGCUUCGUGGGAUGUGUGGGCACACGAGAAAGGAUAAGAUUGGGAAUGAGGAUAUCCGAGGUAAAGUAGGAGUAGCCGAAAUUGUAGGAAAGAUGAGAGAAAAUCGGCUCCGGUGAUUUGGACAUGUGCAAAGAAGGCCGAAUGACACUCCGAUGUGACUACGGGACAGAGGUUCAGGGCCGAAGGGGUAGAGGAAGAUCUAGGAAAACUUUGGAAGAGACUCUAAGAAAAGACUUAGAGUACUUGGAUCUAACGGAGGACAUGAUACAAAACCGAGCGCAAUGGCGUUCUAGGAUUCAUAUAGCCGACCCCACUUAGUGGGAAAAGGCUUUGUUGUUCUGUUGUUGUUGUUGGAUUUUGUUUGGGUUUGAGGCCAUCAUUGGCGUUAAGACGUUUAUUAUCAGAUCGUGUGUUUUUUGCUAACUUUUAUUGGUAAUUUUAAUGUUGUUCUUAUGAUUUUGUGUGGUAGGGUUUCUGAUUUUUAUCGUUAUUCAUUUGGUUUUUUGUGUGUGUUGGUUUGUUUAUUUUGCAGGUUGUGUUUGUGCUGGGACAACAUUUUCCACCUUCUGUUUGCACUGGGAUGAUUGCGUUUUAAAACUGUUGGGGUGAGAUUUACAUAUGGAAUCAUUCCAUUUUUUUUCUUCCAAAUAUGUGCAUUUAGUUCUCUUUUAUUUUAAAUUUUAAAAAUUAAAUCGUUAUUUGAGUAAAAUGUUUUAUCAGUUUAUGUUAUGUGUUGUGACCAGGAAUUCUGUUGGAUUUGCGAAUUUUGGUUUGAUGAGAGAAAUGAGGAGUUUUUUUUGUUUGAAUUUUUUAUUGGACCGAUUUUCAAUUGGAUUGCAUUCUGCCUUUUUGCACCAUUCGUAUGCAAGCAAUUCAUUGUUUUAAAUACAAUUUGAAGAGAGCUGGGUUGCGGGUUGGAUAUAAAAUGUUAAGGUGAGAUAAAAUCGAGAUACCAAGGGUGGAAGAAUGAUUCAGAAUUGGGGGAGGAAAACAGAGGGAAGAUAGAAGAGUAUAAGAGAAGGAUAGGGUUGACCUCAUUUAGAGUUUUUAUUUACUUAUUUUUUUUUAUAAAUUGAUUCAGGACUUGCAUAUCAUUUCUAAAUUUCUAACAUUUUUGUUUAAUUUGACUCCAGUUGAUGGAAAACAGAGCUCUUACUCCUAUCAAUCAGUUGGUCCCGUACAUAAAUGCAGAAAAAUCAAGGUUCGAGUUUGCAGAGUAUGCAGACCAAGGUUUCCCGAAACUACUGGUGCAUAUUCAGGCUUGCAUUGUAUAUUACUUACCUAUUAAAAAUUUGUUUGGAAUUUGCUUUUCCCACAGAGGAGAAGAGCUGACAGUUACGCUGUGGGCAGAUGUUGCUCGAAGUAUUGCUUCUUUAUCCAUUGAAUCAUUGUCUCUGCCGAUCAUUGUGGUUUUCACAAGUUUAAAGGUCAAGCUGUACCUAGGUAUUUGACUUAGUUAAAAACUAAUCUAUUUACUAUUAAUUUUUCUAUUAUAUUCAAACGUUAUUUAAUAUAUACUCUACUAAUAUUUUCUUAACAUGUCACACAAACAUAUUCACUUCUUUUGAUCAAUUUUUUACAGCGUUUCAUAUAAAAGCUAACAUUUAGUUGAAAUUGAUUAGCAACUCUUUUCUUGCAUGUAUACAUACGAAUUAAACAAUAGUAUUAAACUAUUUGUUAUCAUUCUCAGUUUUUGUUUUAGAAUUAGAUUAAUAUAUUUAACCUGUUUUAGAAUUAGAAUUAUUUGGUAUCACUCUCAGUAUUUGUUUUAGAAUUAGAAUUAGAUUAAUAUACUGAGAUUAUUUAGACAAAUCUAGCAUUUUCUCAAAAUAUUUGACUUUUAAACUUAGAUUAAUAUAUUUAGCAGUUUUUUAACAUGCAAUUUUUCAUUAAUUUUUCAACACACAGACAAGAUAGUCUUGAACACCAUUGGUUCAUCACUUUUCUUCAUUGAUCUAGAUAUUCUGGAAGUAAAUUCAUACAAAUCAGUGUAAGUGUGUUUACUUUGUUUAAAAAAAUAUUAUAUGCUCUCACAAUAAAAGAAGGGCUAUUCUCACAAAAUUUAUGAACUAAUGUUCUGUUUUAACCUCUACAGCUUUUCCAAAUGCACAGAACCUCUAAAAAUACUGCCACCUUUUACAAAACAGGCCCGUGAAGCUCAAAUCUUGCAGACAGCGAAGGUCACAAUUGCAGACGCUGAAAUUUUCAUGCCAAAAUAUGAUGUGGAGGAUGAGAAAUUGUUUGCUGUUGUUCUCUUUUCAGUUUUGCAGGCGAUGAUCUUUUACCAAAUGUCGAGGAGCUUCCAUGGGACAUGCUCUAUGCUCUCGCUUCCCAGUUGCCUCUGUUGGGGUUGGAAAAGCUACAGAUCACAAUGUAAGUCAAAAACAGUAAAGUUCCCAAGAUGUUCUGUGCUGGAGCAGAUUUAAAGGUACGAAUUUUUAAUUUUUUUGUGAAGUCGAUGUUUUGUUUUAAAAGGAGUUAUAAUGGAUUGAUUGGACAAGUACAGAGUGUUUGUUUGUUUGGUUGAAUGUAAAAAGGAAUUGGAAGAAUGAUGAAAGUACUUGCAUUUGGUUGUAGUUGGUCAGGCACUGAAGGACCGGUCAAUACGAAGUGCAUCUGUGGGACAAUAGUUGAAAGAAGGCCAGAGCAGGAAGAGAAGGCAAGGUUUGUGAAGAAAAACAGUAAAAGGUCGUACCCAGUGCACAAGGCUCCCGCUUUACGCAAGGUCUGGGAGAGGUGAAUGUCGGCUAGCCUUACCCCCAUUCUGCUUUUGUUUAAUUAGAAGAAAUGUGCAUUUUUUUUUCCCAGUCAAAUUCUGCUUUUGUUCUGACUAUUUUCCUUACUGUAUGCUGAUUUUAUUAUUUAAUUUUUGGUUUUUCCUUGAUUGGCUUGGGAAUUACAAUCAAAUGAUGAAUCUUCAGUUUACUUGGGUAAGCAUUUUUUAACAUAUAAUUUAGCUGACCAUUUUAACUGUCAGACCAUGUUGUUUUUGGUUAUCUAAUCAUUCCAAGAUGGCAAGUUAGGAUUGGAAGGGUUGCUAGAAAUAAGGAUUAUAUCUUGGGACAUUCGGUGAGUGAUUUUUCAAACUUUCAGUUUUACAAGACAAAAUAUCUAUUUUUGUGUGUAUUCUUCAAGCAUGUUAUCAUUAUUUAGGUUGUAGGAAAAAAAGAGAGUGACUUGAGGUGUUUUUAGAUAUUUUUGUGUGUAUUCUUCACAAUGUAUUAAAAGCGCGAGGCGUGGGCGAGGCGUCCGAGGGAUAGCCCACGCCUCACGCCUUACGGGACCUAAAUUUUUUAAUAUAUACACUGAGCGUACACAUAUAUUAUAUUAAAAAAAAUUAUUAAUCAAUAAUCACCCUGAGCACACAUAUAUAUUAUAAAUACAUAUAUACACAUAUAUAUACAUAUAUAUACAUAUAUUAUGUUAUAUAUAUAUAUAUAAAAUAGAGGAUGAAAAGCACAAUGAGCACACAUAUAACAAUGCAUGCAGACAGCACACAAUAUAGUGCAAGGAAUAGGUAUGAGGUAGUUAAAACCCUACCCAAAAUCUGGGUUUGGGAGUAAAAAUAAAAAAAAAAAAAAAAAUUGCAUGAGGCGCGCCUAGACGGCUCCGACAACGCCUUCCGGCGCCUUCCGCCCACUCCCUCAAAACAAAGGCGGCAACCCUCAAGUCCAGCCUCACAGGGUGCCUAGGCGCACCCUGAGGUGAGCCUUUUAAAACAUUGAUUCUUCAAGCAUGCUAUCAUAAUAUUUGUAACUAUAAAAAAUAAUAUACUAUUAUACCUCUGUUUCUCUUUUCUUUGUUUUCAUGAGAAAUUAAUUGCCAUUGGCAGCACUAUAGAAAGCCAUCUUUCUCCAUUAUUCUCCGCUUCAUGCAUAAUUACAUAAUUCUACUAUCACAGUUGUCAGUCCUGAACAAUAAUGCAAGUCUAGUGGCAAAAACCACCUCAAUGAACAACUCACACACACACACAGACACUGAUCAUACAUCUCUAACUCUCUUUUUCAAAUAACACACUCUGAUCCAAAACAGGGUAAAUAAAAUGCACAUCCUUAUACAUUUCUAACUUUGUUUUUCGAAAUCCAAAAUAGGGUAUUCUAACUCUCUUUUUCAUUCAUUUCUUACAAACCAAUCAUACAUUUAAAAUAGGCUUUGAAUAAAAAUAGGGUAUAUAAUUAUAUACCUCAAAAUGCCUAGGAACCAACUUCCCCCUCCAACGAUUCAAAUUCUUGAAAUUGCCAACACAGUAAAUCCAUUAGUACUAUAUAAAUGAAAACACAAUUGAAACCCAUCAAACAAAACAAUCCCACAAUUUAAAUGAUUCAAUCCUACUACAAUUGAAAUUCACAGAAAGAAUGAAAAACCAGAACAAAACUGCAGCACCUAAAAAGUUGUCAUACAAAAAAAAACAUGGAAUGUAAAAAUAUGUUAAGAAAUCUAGUUCGUUAAUUUCCAGCUGCUAAGUGGCAUUAUGUAACUUUAGUAGUAUAACUAAUUAACUACUUAUCUGGUGGGUUGCACUUUUAUCCAAUUGGUAAGGAAAGGAAAAUAAAAAUCAACCCCUUGGUCUUAGUUGUGGCUGCAAAGUGCAGGCCACCACCAAGUCUCAGUGUUUGUGUUUUAGCAAAACACUUAAAUAAAUUAAAUUCUGAAACGUAAAUUAUAUUCCUAUAACUUUAAGAUGCACAUAUAGUAUUGUUGAAGUCGAACUGAAAGCACUGACAAUUCCAAGCAACAAAGCAGCAAUUAUUAAGAGCCAAAACUCAUUCCUAGUCUCCUCAUCCUGGUACUCAACUCCGUAAUCUUCUGUCAGCAUCAUUGACUGAAAUUAGGAGAGAAAAAGAAAAGGAAUUUCAGAAAUUGUCUAUGAAGCAAAGGAUACUGCAGUUACUUCAAGACAUGUAAAUUGCAUAUGUAUAAAGUAAUUUUCUACAUAAAGUAAUGAGGCAUAACUUUCUCUCUCCUCUUCAAACCCUAAACAGAGCAAAGCAAACUUUACAGAGAUUAGAAUGAGAACUGGAACUAAUCGAACAAUGACUGAAAAGUAACAUACUUGAGGAGUGAAUGAUUUAGUGUUUCCAUCAUCGGAAGCCGGAGUAAGUCGCUAAGAGAGGUCGCAAACAGCCCAAAGGGACAAACCCAGAUCCCCGGCCCCGAUCCAUACCCUUCCCCCUCAAAUCCCGACGGCCCCCAUACUUUUCUCUGACUGUACCCCCUCUCCCACUCAUGAAAUCGAGGAUCUGUCGCAAUGGUACUGAGAUCCCCACUCCUCCCUCUCCCUUUCUCUCUGUCGCUCUGUCUCCCUCUCCCUCUGUCUGUCUAUCUUUAUCCCAGAGCGGCAUGGCCUCCCAUCCCUGAAACCCUCACCGAAAGUUGGCAAUUUUGUAAAUAACUUGAAAUCCACCAACAGCAGGGGUAGAGAAUUGAAACAAACAUUUAGGCUCGUUCGAUAACCAUUUAGGCCAAAACUGAGCACACCUAAACCAUUCCUACUCGUGCCAAAUGUUAGUGGGGAAGCAAGAUGAUGACUUUAUUAUUCAAAACCAAAAGAAAAAAAGAGAGAAAACAAAAUAACAAAUGUAAUGGUUGUAGUGUAAAAGCUGAGAACGUAAAUAAACAUGCAGGGAAAAAAAUUGAAGAUACAAAGUAGCUGCAUCAUGAACACUUACUCCAAUUAGACGCAAAAAGUGAUGGUGAUGAGAAGAGAGAGAAAAUGCAGUCGUUUUGAUUUUUCUGGCUUUUAAAGGGAGCAGCUUUCUUCGACCACCAAAAAAAGGAAGCUGCUUUUCGUGUGGUUGUGAUUUCCUGAGUGUAUGUGAGCGGGUCUAUGGCACUUGCACUGUUUGUGUCGGUUACGGUAACCGGGCGAGCUGGACACGGCAGCGUGGGACUGAAUUCGGAGAGGUGAGAAAAAUUAAAAACACAAAAAGAAGGUGUUCAUUUUGUCACAUUUUUAUUACGAAAAAUUCAAUAAAGUACAUUCAUUAGUAUGGUAACUUAACUAUUUAAUUCCAUCUCAUUAAACUAAAAAAAACAAUUACAAAAAAAUAAGGAAAACCUUGUCCAGAGAGACCUGAGAGAAAGUGACGACUUCUCCUCUCAUUCAACUCCAUACUUGAUCUCUAAAGUCCAUUUGGCAUGUAAUUGAUGUUCACUUUCAAAUUUAGUGGUAGCAAUUAGCAAAGCUAAUGAAAGAAUCAAAUAAAAUGAAAGAAAAAGCAUCAUGAAAUAAAUCAAGAUGAAGAAUGAAAUUUUGGCAACUCGCCAUUCUCUUCUUUUAUAUAAAAGAUACAUCCUAUUUGUAGUGAAAACAGAUCCCGACAAACCCAGUUAUCCUCAAGAAGUAUUUUGUAUGACUUUAAAAACAUAAUCCGUGAAAUUAUCUCUUGGCUGAGAACAACAACAAAUCUUCAUGCAUAGCUUGUAGAGAAAGACAUCAGGCAUACAAAAGAACACGCAAGCAUAAAAUAAACGAAGCAGGGAAAACCAAAAAUACAAUUGAAUACGCUGUCAAAAGAACAUGAAUAAAUGAAAAUACCAAACAAAGCAGUGAUGAGAAACCAAAGUACCCAUUUCAUAAUCUAAUUGCUUUUUAGUUUGCUUGCCAUUUUUAGUUCUUCAAUUUAGAGAGACACCAUAAUUCAGCACAUGAAUAAAGUGAAAACGUAAAAGAUAUGUGGGAUAGGCUGACAGCCAUCCCUGAGUAAUGCAUUCACUUCUGAACCCCAAACACACUGAAACAAAAAUUCACACACAUGAACUACAGCUCCGCUUUGUAACAAGAAUUAAAAGCAUCUCAAAACAAAAUGGCAAACUAUAAGAGCAUUGUAAAAGUAAAAUUGCAAGAAAUCUAAUACUUGGAGGGCAAGUACUCAUCAGACGAAAAUGAAAGAUUGAACUACCUCGCGUGGAACUGUGCCUUGGUUUUUUCCCAUGCUUACAGGAAGCUUUGCACUGAGCUCUUAUAGUCCAAAUUUUCUCUGAAGGAAAAAAACACAAUUUUGAAAUAAGAUUUUCGUAUUAUACCUUAAAGAGAAGAAUUAGACAACAAAAUAGAGAACAAUGAGUACUAUUCAUCAUAUAUUGUUAGAGUAUGUGGCCCUCUGGUCCAAUGGUCCCGCAGCCAUAUUUCCUUUAUAACUCUUUCUUUUAAUCUAAAAAACAUCUUGAAUCUCAAAUUAGUAUGAAUACGGAUUCAUACUUUAUAACUAAAGAUCUUACUGCUCUUGAUAAGAUGAACAAUACGCCAUUUCUCGCAUGCAUUGCAUUACAAUCACAAUGCAACAUCUCAUUAGAAAUCCCCACACAAAUUUUUUUUAUUGCUACUUUGAUUUUAGUUUAUAUUUUUUCUGAAGCAUGAGGGAGCUAAUUUUUUUUUUUAAAUUUUUUAUUCCAAUAAUGUUAUAGGGAGGGUUGCAAGGAUAUUAUCAAUUGUAUUUGAUUGGUGGAACUUCUACAUCUAUAUUUUAGGUUUUCAAUUUUAGCACUGGGAGAGUCAUUCAUAAAAUGUUUGACAGUGAGAUUACCUCCAUGGACUAUGCUCACAAUGGACAGCUCAUUUUCCGCGGUGAUGGGACAAUAUAUUUCAGUCAUUCGCCAUUCAAUCAAUUCAAACUGAGGAACAUGCAACAUCAAGAAGAGGAUCUACCAUGUCAGGAUCACUAUCGUCCAAUUAAUACAAAAAAAUCUAGAUAAAAACGAUCAAUUUACAUAAAAGCCCUUCAUUUUCUCAGCAACCAAGCAAAAGAAAAUACCUAUCCGUUAAACACUCGAUUUGGGAGUAAAUGUUGCUGAAACUGGACUUCAAUCCCCUCAACCGCAACAACCGAAUCGAGGUGUGCAAGUCAUUGAAAAACUCACCCAAGAUUUCAAAAUCUGCAUAGAGAAAUAAAUAAGCACAUAAAUUAGCCCAACCCAUAAAUCAAAGAAAUCAAAAUCCACCCAGAAUCAAAGAAAUCAAAAUCCAUCCAGAACCAAAGAAAUCAAAAUCACACACAGAUAUGCAAGACAACGCAAAUUUGAAGCCUUACUUUUCGGGUAGCUUGGCGGCUGACAUGAGUCUUCUUCAGAGUUUCAUCCAUCCAUGGAUCCAUUUGGUCCGCCCGUCGCUUCUGGGUCGUACAAUCUUAAAAUCUGCAAAAUGAAUUUAAAGAAUCAAUUUUUACGAUUGAAAAGCCAAAAGUGCUACAAACUCCAAAUUGCUGAGAACCAAAGUGGAGUAACAGUUACAGGUCACGAGAUGAGAUGAGGACAUUGUCGGAUUUCAGGGCGAACCUGACUCUGGAAAUUGCAUCUCGGAUCGGGCUUUCGAACUUCAAAGGAGCUCCGCUCAUUGUGGUCCUUGCAGACCGAACUGGCCUAACAAUCAGCGAGAGAAAGGAGACGGCGGCAAGAUGAGGGAUACAAUGGAUGCGAGAUCGUCUGUAUCGUUCUCGCGGGGGGUUUGCAAGACGGACGAGGAAAGUAGGGUUUGAUGAGGCAUUGUCUUCGCGCGGGGUAUGUGUCCUUCCCAUUCCAUGAUUAUCAACACGUGUGCAUCAACAGAAGCGGCAGAGAGAGGCAUUAUUGUAAAUAAAGUGAAAUCGAAGGGCAAUGGCCCUUUUUUUUUUAAGGUAAUGGCAUGGCCAUAAAUAGAAUGAAAUCCAGAUCAAAACACUGUCAUUUGUACAGUACAAUUUCUCCAUCUUCUUUAGACUAAAGUAAUGUAUAUGUUAUACGCACCAACACAAGUCCUUCUUAGAUAAAUCCAAGCCAAACAAUUACAGACGAUAGUUAUUCACAAAAUCACUUUAAAGUAAGAAUUUAAUUAAUAAUACAUUACUGCACUUUCUUAACAAUUUGACUAUCACCUAGCUGACAAUGAACAUGUUAGCUAUGCGUUAGAACAUAUUGGGUUCAAUCCAUUGUCUUGAAUAUUACCCCCAGUCACAGCCGUCUCUUGGGGGCAUACAGAAGGCCUGAGAGGCAUUUGCAGACAUUCAACAUCUCCUCCAAGCAUUUCGACAACUUUGGACAUCGAAGGGCGAUCACUUGGUUUCAUUUGAAUACACCACAAGGCGGUUAUAACCACCUUUCUUAUCACUUUCUUUUCCUUCUCUGUAACAUUGUCUAUUUCCAAGUCAUUUCCCACAAAAUACUGAUCGUAUACCUACAGCGGGAAGUAGAUUUGGCUUGGAUGCUCUACCGUUGCAUUCAAAUUCUUCCUUAUGCUUGCCAUUUCCAUCAACAACAUUCCAAAACUAUAGACAUCGGCCUUGUAUGAGACACCUCCAAUAUUUUUGUAGAACAACUCAGGAGCAAUAUAUCUCAUUGUACCCCGUGCUGUCGUCAAAGAGACAAUGCUAUUAUCUACUGGAUACAAUUUUGCAAGCCCAAAGUCAGAAACCUUUGCUUUAAAGUUCUCAUCAAGAGGGAUGUUAUGAGGCUUGAUGUCAAAAUGUAGAAUUUUCAUUUUACAACCUUGAUCUAGAUAUUCGAUCCCAUGACUCCAAGAGAAAUCUUGUACAUAGUCUUGAUAGUUAAGGGAAGACUUCCUUCUUUGGAAUAAAUGUAUUUAUCAAAAGAGCCAUUAGGCAUAAAGUCAUAUAUUAGAGCGCGCUUUGAUCCCUCGACACAAUCACAAUCACAAUCACAAUCACAAUCACAAUCACAUUCCAACAUGGAAUCCUCAGACGACAUGCCUACUGCAGAACAAGUUUCAUCCUUACUUAACUUCUAUUUAGUCCACUUCCUGUUUAGAUUGUAAUCCUAGUUCUGCGUGUGUUUGUAUAGUACUCCUAUAAAUAUCAAUGAAAACCGCUCACUCUAAUUAGGAGUUGAGAUUCUGCAAAUCAUAUUUACUAUCUUUCAUGGUAUCACGAGCCAAGGUCUAACGACAACGGUUCCUGUUAUAAUUUUUUUCUCUUUUGUAGAUCCUAAACUAUGGCAUCUUCUUCCUCCUCCGAUGCUCCCUCCGUCACAAAUUUUCUUACGAUCAAGCUCGACCUCAACAACUACCCUCUCUGGCGUGCUCAAUUUCUUCCCUUGCUGCGCAGCCGCAACUUACUCUCUUAUGUUACUGGCGAAACUCAAUGCCCAUCUGCCUUUGUUCUUGAUGACAAUGGUAAAUUCACAGACAAAGUCAAUCCAUUAUAUAAUGAAUGGAUCCAGACUGACUAGAUGAUCCUAUCUUGGAUUACGAGUUCUCUUACUCCCAAGGUUCUUGCUACGAUCGUCAACAAAAUUGAUUCGACCUCUGCUUGGUUGUCAAACCCGAAUUAAUCUGAUUAUGGGGGUUUUAUUUUAUAUCAAUAUAUUGCAGCAGAAGUCGCACUUUGAAGAGUUCAUGCUGCACAGAAAGAUUCUUAAAUGCUACCUGUUGAGUCUAUCAUUGCUCCAUUGGAGACAGAGCUGAAGCUUGCUGCAGGAGUUAUACAUUUGUUAUGCAAUAUGACCCCUUUAAUUUUAUUUUAAAACUGAUACAAAAAUUUAUGUAGUAUUUUUGUAUCAGUUUUGAGUGUCUAUUUUGGCUUCCAUAUUUCGUCUGUACAUGUGAGAGGUAUAGCGUUCAAUAUGUAUUUGGUUUCUAUAUUGUUAAUGGAUCUUUUUUUUUUUAAGAUAACCAAGUUGCAGGAUGACAGCAGAACACUUGAUCUGUAGGUAAACCUUCAAUUUCCAUAUGAAGUUUGCAUGUUCGUUGUUUCUGGAAUUUGAGUUUUUAUUAUUUCUCAAUUCUAUCACAUAGAUUACGAUUUCACAUAUGGGAUUAUUAAUGGCAAUUAGAUGAUGGAAGAAUUGGGAUUGGAAGAAGAUAUUGAGUUGUUUAUUUAUGGGGAUUAGAAAAUUUUUAUCAUAAGUGUGGAUGCAAAUUUCUUCCUCCUUGAUCUUGGACAAAAUUGCACCUACAAAACAAUUAACACCUUAGGUCAAGGCCAAGAGCCUCACGCGCUCACGAUGAAGGGGGGGGCUUUGGUCGAAGAACCUCCGAUGCCAAAGUUAGAAUUUAGAGAGAAAAAGUGUUUGAGAAUUCUAGAGAAUUUUAGCAAGAGUUGCAACUAGGUUUUGGUGAGAAAUGUGGGGCUUUCUAUAGAGGAGUGGCCGGCCUCUUAGGGUGAGAAAGGACCGGUCACAUAGCCUAGUUUGUGGGUUUUGUUCAUGAUUUAAGAUGAUUUUGGGAGUUAUGUGAUUAAUUGACUAAUUAAUUAGGAAAACUAAUAAAAAGGGCUUGAAAACUUUGAGUUUUAAUGAUAAGGACAAAAUAAAGGGUAAAGUGAAUAGUACCAGGAUUGACUUUUUAGUGUAAAAAUGUGGUUUUUCGUUAAAAUGAACAGUACCGGGUGCUUUUCGUUAAAGUUCCCUAAUUAAUUUGGCGAAAUAAAAUUAUUACCAAAUGAAUUAGCUAAUUAAUGGGAUGAAAUGGGCAAAUAUCAAGAGAUAAACAAAACAUGACCAAUUCCUUUUCUAACAAUAGGUGGCCGGCCCUUCACUUGUUUUUGGGGUUGCAUGGAUGUUUUAAUUGACAAUUAAGGAAUUGAUUAGGCAAUUAAUCCCUUAAUUAGUCAAUUAUUAUGAUUUUAAAGGAAGAUUUUAGGAAAUAUGAAAGGAAUAUAUUAUUUAGCUAAUUGAUUAGCUAAAUGGAAUAAAUUAGGUUUUGGGAAUUACCUUAAAUGAGGAUGGAUGAGAUAAUUUGGAAUUGGUUACCUUUUUGGAGCAUUUUUGACUUGGUUAAGGAUGAUUGCCCGCUACUUGCGCAUAGGAAUCCCGUUAUACCUCAAGGGUAUUUUUGUCAUCUUUUACCCAAAAAACCACGUGUCACCUUGUGAUUAUUUUUGGCUCCACAAUACGAGUGAUAUUUAUUUUUGUGUGGAUUGUUAAUAUAUAAAACUAUAAGCUUUUGAGAUUGGGAGACAAAACCCACAAAUUCAAUUCAGACAAAAUAAAUAAAAAAUUUAACUGACUUAAAGAUCAAACUCCAAAAGGGUAUUAAAAACAAGGCUUAUUUGAUCCAUUGAGUGUGAAAGUUUUGAGCUUUGAAGAAGCAGAGGAGGAGAGUUGUUAACCAAGCUGCAUUAUCUAUGUAUUAGGAUGUUGAGGGUAGGCAGGAAAAAUACUUUUUGACGCCAAAUCCAGAGGAGCAUAACGACAGGCCUGCAUUUUUGCAGCAAGGACCAAAACAAGUAUAAGUGAAGGCUUGACUGUUUGGGUAUUAAUCCUAAACCUAAUUAUUCUUAUUUAGGUUUAGGAUAAAUGAUUGAGUGUGUCUCGAUGAUUGUAUUACUAUGUUUGAUGAAUGAUUUGAGGAGUUGGAAAUGGUUUAUUGCUUAUGUUUUUCUUAGGUGUGUACUUUGGUUAUUUCCGAGCUUUUCACGACUUUUGAUACCUAAUAAAGAAUAUGGAAACCCCAACUUCAAUUUUAUGAAUUGAUUUUGGUGCCUAAAAUGAAAUCUAGCAUAGUGAAAUCUUGCAUAAUGAAAUUAUGACAAAUUUCCCUUCAUCUUUAUAUUUUCAUUUAAUUCAAUUGGUAUGCAAUUUAGGGUUAUUCAAUUCAUGAGUGAUCAAAUUAUGUUUUUAAUUCCUUCUUUUGAUUUACAGUUCAACAUUGUCGUACAAAAUGAAAAAGGCGCCAGUAACAGAGUUAUGGAUUUGGAUGCCUUUAGUGGAAUAAAACUGAAUUUUUUAACUUUGUAUAGUUGUAAACAUAAAAUACUCCAUGAGGUAGACUCAUAGCUUUUGAAAACAAUCCUUGAGGAUGGCAUAACAACAUCUCCAACUUUUGUCAUGUAAUGUAUGAAUGUAAAUAGCACUUCGUAAACAUAUGGAUGUAAUAUAUGUAUAUAAACACUCUUUAGCAUGUAUAUUUUUCAAAACUUUCUACAUCUUCAACAAUGUUUCAAUGAUUUCUUGAUGUAAACAAUGAUAAUUUGAAGAACCAUUUAAAGUAUUUUGGUAAUCAUCAUACUUAAGCUUAAAUGUGAUAUAUCCGUUUAUUAUUUUUUAUACAGUGAUAAUACUCAAGUAUAAUUUACAUCAUAUAUCUUUUGAAGUACAUGAAACUAUGAAGAAAAAACCCUAAUUAAUCUGAUUAUGGGGGUUUUGUUUUAUAUCAAAAUAUUGCAGCAGAAGUCACACUUUGAAGAGUUCACGCUGCAUAGAAAGACGAUGAAAUGCUAUCUGUUGAGUCCAUCAUUGAUCCAUUGGAGACAGAGCUGAAGCUUGAUGCAGGUGGUAUACUUUUGUUAUGCAAUAUGAUCCCUUUAAUUUUAUUUUAAGACAUAUAGGGUUGAAAAAAAUUUAUGUAGUAUUUUUGUAUCAGUUUUGAGUGUCUAUUUUGGCUUCCAUAUUUGGUCUAUACAUGUGAGGUAUAGAGUGUUCAAUAUGAAUUUGGUUUCUAUAUUGUAAAUGGAUCUAUUUUUUUUUUAGGUAACCAAGUUGCAGGAUGAAAACCGAACACUUGAUCUGCAGGUAAACCUUCAAUUUCCAUAUGAAGUUUGCAUUUUCGUUGUUUCUGGAAUUUGAGUUUUUGCAGGAUGAAAACAGAACACUUGAUUGGUUAUUUCCGAGCUUUUCAUGACUUUCGAUACCCAAUAGAGAAUAUGGAAACCCCAACUUUAAUUUUAUGAAUUGGUUUUGGUGCCUAAAAUGAAAUCUAGCACAGUGAAAUCUUGCAUAAUGAAAUUAUGACAAAGUUCCCUUCAUCUUUAAAUUUUCAUUUAGUUCAAUUCGUAUGCAGUUUAGGGUUAUUCAAUUCAUGAGUGAUCAAAUUAGGUUUUUAAUUCCUUCUUUUGAUUUUCAGUUCAGCAUUGUCGUAUUUUGGAUGCCUUUAGUGGAAUAAAACUGAAUUUUUUUAACUUUGUAUAGUUGUAAACAUAAAAUACUCCAUGAGAUAGACUCAUAGCUUUUGAAAACAAUCUUUGAGGAUGGCAUAACAACAUCUCCAACUUUUGUCAUGUAAUGUAUGAAUGUAAAUAACACUUUGUAAACAUAUGGAUGUAAUAUAUGUAUAUAAACACCACUCUUUAGCAUAUAUAUUUUUCAAAACUUUCUACAUCUUCAACAAUGUUUCAAACCCCGCAGCAACGGGCGGGUACACUUGCUAGUAUACAUCUAAAAUUAUAAGACUAAAUCCUUUAGUUCUUGGAUUCAUCUAAGAACUACUUAUUCAAGCAGAUGCUAUGCUUGCACUACUAGAAUUUAUGGCUUGCCCUGUCAACUAUUGCGCGACAGAAGAUUUCGUCGGUUUCACCUUUUUUAACCGACAAAAUAUAAGUUUAGUAAGGCAAAAUCAGUCAACAAACUUGGUUUACUGAAUAGAUUUACAGGAUGUUUAGAGUUCGUAGGUUAAGACAUCAGUCGUUGGGCAAACAUUUGGAGCGAAGAUGUGAGUGUUUUAACUGACGAAUAAGCUGGUCGUCAUGUAGAUCUUCUUUCCCGACUGACGGUUCAACGGGUAGCUCUUUGGAUAACAAAUCAUCUUCAAGGGGAACAGGUUGCCCCUCAGAUGAAUGGUUAGAGGCAAUUGUGAGACUAUAAUUUUCUAGGGCCGGAAAAUCUGUAACCAUCCACCAAAUACCCCUUCUUCCCUUUCUAUUUCUCUCUCAGUAAUUUCCCCUGACCUAAUCACACAAUCCAACCAACUCUUUUUAAGCCUCCCUCAUUGAUUCCAUGGAUUUCAUGGACUUAUCCCACCCUCUCUCCUUCCCUCUAUAUAUAGCAAGUCCCCUUGCCUCAGUGUCCCUGGCAACAGAAUUUAUGGUGUGUCUUCGUUCUUUCAAUUAUUUGAAAGCUUUCCUGCCCUGCAGUCUUGUACAAAGGCGUAUGGUGUUUCAUCAGUUCCAUUUGGUGGUUGGGUGGGAAAUGAAAUUAAAACAUUGAUUUCAAAUGGUCUAAACCAAAUUGAAUCAAAUGUGAAGCAAAGGGCAAAAGGUGUAGAUUGAAGAACAAUGGCACCAAGAGCGAAAUUGAACUUGUUGACAGGAGGAAACCAAGUAACGAUAACGCGUCUAAAUCUUAUUUCGAAUCCAUUCAGCUUAUGAUGUUUUUAAUGAUGAUGAUCUGUAUACUUUGCUACAUGCUGUGAUUUUUUCGCUUUCAUGUAAUUAACGGCUUAUAUUUAUGGUAAAGAUAUUGAUUAAUUUUGAGAAAUGACAGUCUAAUUUUUGCAACUGUCUUUUGCAGGCAAAACAAAGACGUUUGCAAGGGUGAGUUUUGUAGGACCGGUGUUUAGCUUUGUUUCAUGUCCAAAGGACACUUGAGAAUAAAUGUUUACUCAUGGAUAAUAUCUAUCUAUUUGCAUGAGCAACCCUGGGUUCAUUUGUUCUGUUACUGCUGGUCAUUGCGGCAUAUCACGCCUACAGCACUGACAAAGUAAAAAGAAAAUCGAAUGAAAUUUGGUAAGAUUUUAGCGGACUACAAAGAUCUUAAGCCAAUCAUAUAUUCCCAUGCAGAUAUUAAGAGGUUUACAAAUCAAUUCAAGUACAAGUUGGGCCAAGGAGCAUACAUAACUGUUUUUAAAGGAAAGCUUUUUUCUGAAUGCUUUGUUGCCAUGAAAGUACUUAACAUUUCCAAGGGUGACGGGGAAGAGCUUGUAAAUGAAGUGGGGAACAAUGGGCCAUAUUCACCAUGUCAAUGUGGUUCACUUGGUUGGUUUUUGUGCUGAUGGAUUUAGAUGAGCUCUGGUUUAUGAGUUCUUUCCCUUUGGUUCACUUCAGGAUUAUAUGUCAUCAGUAGAUAGAUUUCUUUCCUUGGUUGGCAUAAGUUGCAAGAUAUUGCUAUCAACAUAGCCAAAGGAACCAGGGAUGUGAUCUACAAAUCCUCCAUUUCGAUAUCAAACCCCAUAAUGCUUUGCUCGACCAAAAAAUCACGCCAAAAAUCUCUGAUUUUGGUCUGGCCAAGUUAUGUUCCAAGGAUCAAUCAGUGUGACUAAAGCAAGGGGGACCAUGUGACUAAAGCACCUGAAGUGUUUUCCAGGAAUUUCGGAAAUGUGUCUUACAAGGUAGAUGUCUUGAAUGUUGCUGCUUGAAAUGGUAGGAGAAAAGAAGAAUAUUGGUUCAACCAGAGGACACGACAAAUGAAAUCUACUAUCCAAAAUGGAUUUAUAAUCUUCUAGAGGAAGGAAUGACCAACAGAUCCAUAUUGAGGAAGAAUGUUAUGGUAAGAUUCCAAAGCAACUUGCAAGUUUAGGGCUCUGGUGCAGCCAGUGGCACUUGGUGGAUCGGCGGUCCAUGAAAACGGUGGUUCGGAUGUUAGGAGGAUGAGAAAACUUGAUGAUGCAAGCAACCCUAAAAGCCUCAUACAAUUAAAAGUAAUUGCUGAAUUAGAGUAACAUAUGUAUAUGUAUACGCACCAACACAAGUCGUUCUUAGAUGAAUCCAAGCCAAACAAUUACAAACAACAGUUAUUCACUAAAUCACUUUAAGGCAAGAAUUUAAUUAAUAAUACAUUACUGCACUUUCUUAACCAUUUGACUAUCACCUAGCUGACAAUGAACACGUUAGCUCCGCGUUAGAACAUCUUGGGUUCACUUCAUUGUCUUGAAUAUCACCCACUGUCACAGGCGUCUCUAGGGGGCAUAGAGAAGGCCUGAGAGGCAUUUGCAGACAUUCAACAUCUCCUCCAAGCAUUUUGACAACUUUGGACAUCGAAGGGCGAUCACUUGGUUUCAUUUGAAUACACCACAAGGCGGUUAUAACCAUCUUUCUUAUUACUUUCUUUUCCUCCUCUGUAACAUUGUCCAUUUCCAAGUCAUUUCCCACAAUAUACUGAUCGUAUACCCAUAUUGGGAAGUAGAUUUGGCUUGAAUGCUCUACCGUUGGAUUCAAAUUCUUCCUUCUGCUUGCCAUCUCCAUCAACAACAUUCCAAAACUAUAGACAUCUGACUUGUAUGAGACACCUCCAAUAUUUUUGUAGAACAACUCAGGAGCAAUGUAUCCCAGUGUACCCCGUGCUGCCGUCAAAGAGACAAUGCUAUUAUCUACAGGAUACAAUUUUGCAAGCCCAAAGUCAGAAACCUUUGCUUUAAAGUUCUCAUCAAGAAGGAUGUUAUGAGGCUUGAUGUCGAAAUGUAGAAUUUGCAUUUCGCAACCUUGGUGUAGAUAUUCGAUCCCUUGAGCCACUCCAAGAGAAAUCUCGUACAUGUUCUUGAUAGUUAAGGGAACACUUCCUUCUUUGGAAUAAAUGUAUUUAUCAAGAGAACCAUUAGGCAUGAAGUCAUAUACUAGAGCUCGUUUUGAUCCCUCAACACAGUAUCCAACAAGUUGCACCACAUUGGCAUGGUGAAUCCUUCCGAUUGUAGCUAUUUCGCUAAUGAAAUCUUGGCCAUCAGCUUUGGGCUUGCCCAAAACUUUAACUGCUACAAAUCGACCACUGCGUAGCUUUCCCUUAAAUACAGAGCCAAAGCCACCUUCGCCCAACUUGUCCUUAAACGUGCGAGUCAUUUUCUUGACGUCCGAGUAAGAGUACCUUAUAGGCAUGAAGUUGUUAUUGCAUUGCAGAAAAUCUUCUAUUGUGUUAUACAUUGAUAAAUGUCUUCUGCGCCAUGUGUAGAUUAGAAAUGCAGUCACAACUGGAACUCCAAAAACAAAUCUGGCUAGGAAAAAUAACCCUGCAUGCAUGGACAUUAAUAUGUUAGAUCCACUGCGUACUACUUUUUCUUCCCUUUCUUUCCAAAUUACUUUGUCUUUGAUGUAAUUAAAGAGAGAGAAUGAGAAAUCUACAUAUGUUGAUAAUACAAUCUCAUCUUAGUCCUUACCGAUGCAUAUGAGUAUAAACCAUCCACGUACUGCAACAAAAUCAAUCGACUAUGAGUUUGAAAAGUGCAUAAAGUGAAAAAUAAAUAAUAAAUAAAAUCAAAGGGUGCCUUUAUUGACACCCAAAUUUUAGUUAGUUUUACUCAACUAAAAAAUUUUUGUCAUCAAACUUUUUAAUUUGCCGUUGAAAUUGAGUUCACCCAACCCACAAAGCAGCAACUACCACUCACCAAAAAAACCAACAACACACACCCACCACUCACCAAUAGAAAGAGAAUGAACACACAGACCCACAAAGAGCUGGCAUCGACGCUGUCGAUGAGGGAGGGACCAGAGGAUGGUGUAGUUUUGUCUAGCGCGCGGUAGUGGUUUUGUCUGUUCAUUUUCUCUUUCUUUUGGUAGGUGGAGGCUGGUGUGGAUUUGGGCGAACUUAAAAAUGAGGGGAAACUAUGAAGUUUGACAAAAUGUUUUAGUUAGGGGAACUUAACUAAAAUUUGGGUGCCGAUAAAGAUACCCAAUAUCAAAAAUACUUGAGCGUAUAGACUAAUUAAAUGAAGUUGAUCAAGUUUGUCUCGAUCGAAAACUUGUAAAUAAAACAAAAAGAGGACCCCUUACCGAUUUGUUGCCAUAUAUAUUGAAAGAAACCUACAAAAACAAAGAAAGAACAAGACUACAUGCAUUAGCAUAACAAGAGUGAGGUGUAUAAGCCGUUAGAAAAUAAAUUUAAAAUUCUAGUGCUGUCAAUACAUUGAUAAUAUAUAUAUAUAUAUAUAUAUAUAUGUAUUAUUUUUUCUGAAAAUUUAACUUUUUCCCUCCAAACUCAUUUUUCUAGUCUCUAGCCCAUCAUAUAAUAUUUAUCCGAAUAAAACCAAAUGAUUAGGAUCCAACUAAGAAACUUACCAAAUUAAGUUUGUGUGUCCAUUUUUAUAUUUUUUGGAUCCCUAAUAUACCCCAUCUAAGUCAGUAUGGAAAGUUCUUGUAAUUUUGCUUUAAGUGAUCACGUGCAUUGAAUUUGGCAAUGUCUUGUAGCCAUGAAAUAUGGUUGUAGAUGGAGGAAUUAAUUUGGAAUUUUUUUUAAUUUCAACAACAAAUUUAGUGUUAUUUUCAACAAUAUCUAUUGUUUAAUUUUAUGAAAAUAAUUUACCUAAUAUGAAAAUUAAUUUUAUGAAAACAAUAUCUAUUGUUUUAUUUUAUACCUACAGGAUAAUUACAUGAAAAUAGUUUACCUACUAUGAAAAUUAAUUUUUUGAAAGCAAUAUCUAUUGUUUAAUUUUAUGAAGAUAAUUUACCUACUAUAAUUACAUGAAAAUAGUUUACCUACUAUGAAAAUUAAUUUUUUGAAAGCAAUAUCUAUUGUUUAAUUUUAUGAAGAUAAUUUACCUACUAUAAUUACAUGAAAAAAUUUACCUACUAUGAAAAUUAAUUUUUUGAAAACAAUAUUAUUGUUUAAUUUUAUGAAAAUAAUUUACCUACUGUAUAAUUACAUAAAAAUUAAUGUGCCUACUUUUUAAAUUUGUAACAAAAUUAAUUUACCUACUUUUUAUGGUAUUAGUAUACAUAAAUGUAGAAUAUAUGUCCGUAUAUAUUUGAUCUAAUUAGGUUUUGGAUUGGAGGAGUUGACACAAAAUUAUAAAUAUGUUAAACAAAUUUAUCAAUUCUAAAGUUGGAGGGGAAUUGGUCUGUACAUUGCUACAGUAAACAAAUGCUACUCAAUUUCACGUUAUUUACAACAAAGCUAUCAGAUUUGGGUUGGGUUGGAGGGUAAUUUGUUAAAAGUUAGGAGGGUAAUUUGUUAAAAGUUAGGAGGGUAAUUUUGUGCAUAGGGUUUAGGUGCCCUCCUAUACAUGACCCUUGAUUUUACUUUAUUUACACCACUGCCAUCAUAUAUGUGGCUGAAUUGGGGGGGGUAUUAUUAAAAGUUAAGAGGGUAGUUUUGUUCAAGGAAGAAAAUAUCGGUAAUAUCGGAAAUAUCGGUAGUCCGAAAACACGGAAAUAUCGAUGGAAAUAUCGGGAUAAUAUCGAUAUCGAUAAAAAUUACAUGGAAACCACGGAAAUUGUAAGAAAAACUUGGAAAUUUUUAUUGAAAUUUUGCAGGAUGUUUAUUUAGUCAAUUAUCUAUUAGUUUAUCACAAAAAAUUGGAAGGAAAUGCAUUGCAUGAUGGAUUUAACUUAUUUAAGUUGAUUAUAUAGCGAGCUGACAAACAUUGUGAGUGUAGAAAAUAUGUAGUAAUUAAUGAAAGAAGUUUAAACUUUAUAUAUAAUGACUUAGUACAAUAUUUUACACUUUAUACAUUGCAUGGUAAGAUACAUGAGUUACACAAACAACGGGAAAUUAAUGAGAAAACCCUUCCCAAAACGUCAGCACCCGCUUUUUUAAAUAACUUAUAUAAUGAACCUGUCUGGAUCACUUGUUCUAAUAUAUAAACACAAAACAAUACUAUUUGUAUCACAUUUUCUGACAAUCUCAUUGACCGCUUUUAAUUAAUAAAUUGGUCUCAAGUCUAGUUUCCUAAGAAUUUGUUUGUUUGGGCUCAUCUUUGUUGUAAUAACUUAAUUGGGCUUAGAGUUUUAUUGGGUUUACCUAGCCCGUGCGAGCUCAUCUUUGUAUUUAUUUGACGGAUACCCCGAUUUGUUAUGGCAAAAGCAACCACGCAGUCGACGCCCGAAAACCCUUCCCUCUCUCAUUUGGUCUUCGUCUGUUUUCCCGCAUCAUCCAACAGGUGGACUCGGCGCUUCUCUCUCUCUCCCCCCUCUUCGCCCUCUCCACCAAACCCUAACCCCCCAAAUUCCAACCUUCCACCAUUCAAUCCAACCAAAAUCCCCCCAAUCGGACCCCUACCCGACCCAGUUCAUCUCCGAUUGCCUCCAAUUCCACUCCGCCCCGACCCAUUUCUUCAAAAUUCCAAUUCCACUCCGCCCCGACCCAGUUCCUUCAAUUUCUCAGGUAGGUAAGCUUCGGGUUUUUCUUUUUAUAUUCUAGAUCGAAGCGUAGAUGUGAAAUUGAAGUUAUAUGUCGUGUUUUUGCAAGGUUUUUGGGAUGAAAUCGACUCGGGAAUAAGUACACCCAUCUCCGGCGAGGCUAGGGGGUAGUUUUACAGUCGACCGGAGCUGUAGAAGCUCCAGCGUUCGUCUCCGACGUGCACAGUUCCGAAAUUUCGCGAUAAUAUCGAUAAUAUCGCGAUAUUAUCGAUAUUAUCGCGAUAUUAUAACGAAAACACCUUGGAUACCAUUUAAAAUAUCGGUUCGGGAAAAAACCGAUAAUAUCGGCGAUAUAUCGCCGAUAUUAUCGAUAUUUUCUUCUAUGGUUUUGUUCAAGGGGUGGGGGCGACAUUCGCAGACAGGGCGAUUGGAGCCAUGCCCAUGCCCAUUGCACAGAGAGAAAGGGAGUGAUGGGGGAAAUUACAGACAGAAAGGGAAGGGAUGGGAGGAUUUGAUGGAUGGUCACAGAGAAAGAUUCGGUGAGGGAUGUGAGGGGAGAUUACAGAGAGAUAAAUUAAAGGGGGAUCGGGGGAUUUGAGGGAUGGUCAGAGAGAGAAAUAGUGACGAAGGGAGGGAUGGGGGGGCUAAUUUUCGGUUCCUCCUUCAGAUUUGUUCCGUAAAACUUGUUGGGUACAAUUCAAUUUCCUCCCCCUUUCCCCUGAACGAAAAAUUCGAAACCUACAAUUCAAUUUCCUCCCUUCUUGGCUUUCCGCUUUACUCAUCUCCCGGUGGUUCUUUCUCUCCAUACGAUUCGAUUUCGGUGAGUUCUUCGUUGCCCUCAUGAUUUCCCAGUUUGAUUUUUUGAGCGUCCUUAGUCGUCGUUUUUAUCUGGGUUUAUUGCAUGGUUGCUUUUAGUUUAUGGAUUUUUAUUUUUUCCGCGGUUUGAUGAAUCGUGGUUAAUAAUUUCACACCAUGGGAUUUUUGCACUUCUGAUGGAAUUGAGCGCAGGGAUUCGGGGUGGGGUUUUACUGAUAGUUUGUCUUCAUUCAAAUGAAUGGUUAAAAUUUCUGAAGUGAGUGUGCAGGUGGGCCCGUUCACUAACUAAGCUUUCAAGGGAACCCAUCAACGGUUUGCUUGCUGGGGAACUCGGAGACUACUAUGAUUUAGUUAUCAUUUAUUUUUUUACUUAAUUUUAUCCAUAUAUAAUAUGUGGGUAAAUUUACACUAAACAAUUGUGAUAAGCCAAUAUGCCAAACGACUUUGAAAGCAUUGAUUUUGUGUAUAGUUUGCAUUUUUGCAUUGUGAAUGUUGAAUUUUGUGUUUAAUUUGGAUUUUUGUGUUUGAAUUUGUAGCAUGAUCUUCCGCUGCAGCAUCCAAAUUUUGUAUUUGUAAAUUGUCAAAGAAAAACGAACAACAACAACAACAACAACAAAGCCUUUUCCCACUAAAUGGGGUCGGCUAUAUGAAUCCUAGAACGCCAUUGCGCUCGGUUUUGUGUCAUGUCCUCCGUUAGAUCCAAGUACUCAAGUCUUUUCUUAGGGUCUCUUCCAAAGUUUUCCUAGGUCUUCCUCUACCCCUUCGGCCCUGAACCUCUGUCCCGUAGUCACAUUUUCGAACUGGAGCGUCAGUAGGCCUUCUUUGCACAUGUCCAAACCACCGGAAUCGAUUUUCUCUCAUAUUUCCUUCAAUUUUGGCUACUCCUACUUUACCUCGGAUAUCCUCAUUCCUAAUCUUAUCCUUUAUCGUGUGCCCAUACAUCCCACGAAGCAUCCUCAUCUCCGUUACACCCAUUUUGUGUACAUGUUGAUGCUUCACCACCCAACAUUUUGUGCCAUACAACAUUGCUGGCCUUAUUGCCGUCCUAUAAUAUUUUCCCUUGAGCUUCAGUGGCCUACGACGGUCACACAACACCCCGGAUGCACCCUUACACUUCAUCCAUCCAGCUUGUAUUCUAUGGUUGAGAUCUCCAUCUAAUUUUCCGUUCUCUUGCACGAUAGAUCCUAGGUAGCGAAAACGGUCACUUUUUGUGAUCUUCGCUAGAUUGCUCCGGUCAUUAGUGUGGAUAAGUAUAUAAAUGGAUAGAAUUAGGAAAGCAAACACAAGAUGUACGUGGUUCACCCAGAUUGGCUACGUCCACGGAAUAGAGGAGUUCUCAUUAAUUAUGAAGGGUUUACACAAGUACAUAGGUUCAAGCUCUCCUUUAGUGAGUACAAGUGAAUGAUUUAGUACAAAUGACAUUAGGAAAUAUUGUGGGAGAAUGAUCUCGUAACCACGAAACUUCUAAGUACCGGAGUGUGGUAUCGUUUUGACUUGCCUUAUCUGUCUCAUAGGUAGAUGUGGCAUCUUCUCUGGAAGUACUCUUCCUCCAUCCAGGGGUGGUAUCUGUAACUGGUGGAGAUGCACAAGGUAAUGUAUCAAUUUCACUUGAAGCUUACUUGUAGUUUCAGGCUUGGUCAAGCGCGAUACAAACCAUGUAGUAGAAGUCCCCCAAGUCGCCGGGCUAAGGGAUCUGCUGAAAGAGGUGACAGACAAGGUAAGCAAUCAGAGCUCCAGCUGAUUGUUCACAUUCUCCCUAUCUUGCAGGCAGCAUGAAGGAUAAAGAGAAGAAAAAUGAGAAGAGAUGAUAUGGGAUACUUUUGCUUUUAAAGAAGUAACUUUCCACAGGCUUAUUCUUGAACCGGGCUGUAGGGUUUUCUGGUUUCCUCUAGAGUAUAAGGCCGAUUGAAGAAUUUGAGGGUCAAAACAAGUCCAUCAAAUCUAGAGUACGUUCGACCCUGCUGAUAUGGGAUACUUUUGCUUUUGACAGAGUAGUGGAUGUAUCGGCACGUGUGCUGUUACGCUUGUCUCCACAUGCUUCCUUGUAUCCUUCUCACUUGCCCUAUCUGUUCCUCAGGCAAAUGCGGUAUCUUCCCUGGAAGCAUAAGAUGUUGAAGAUGAGUACUCCAGAGCAAUGACAGGUAAGUAAUCAGGUAAGGGGUUCCAGGCAGUCAGUUCCUGGCUCGAAGCUUGAUUCCAAGUGCUGACUGAUUGCUCUCGUUCUCCUUGUCUUGUAGGUAAGAACAAGGCCAAAGGAAAAGACAGGGAAAAAGCAUGAUAUGGGAUACUAUUGCUUUUAACCCUGAUGAUAUGAGAUAGUCUUGCUCUAGUAUAGCUUGUUUACAGAGGUAUUAUCGGGGGGAAAGAAAGCUGAAUAUUUCGAAAGGCUUCGUUGGGAGUGCCCUAUUAGAUAAGAGAAAGGGUUGAGUAUUUUUGCAGGUCUGCCUGUCCGUUAGGGAUGGAGGUCGACAUAUAUAGGAGUCUCCCUAACAUAAAGUAAUAAUGUUAUUCCUUUACCCUGCUUGGUCAUAACACGGUAGUGGGAGCUACCAGCCUCACAUGUUUUAACUCUGUCAGAGCACUUUGAAAAGGUGGUCUGUGGUAUCUGGAAAGAUGAUGUUGCGUGUGAAGAUUACAGACAAGCUUUAUCCAAGGAGAUCCAGCUCUUGAAGUUGGGAAAGUGGUGCCUCUUCGGUUUUCGAACAAGCAAUCCUGUCGGGGAUCUGGCUCUCGAGAUUCGGAGAACGAUGCCUCUUCAAUUUUUGAGAAAGCGAUCAUGCUGGGGGUCUGGCUCUCGAGAUUCGGAGAGCAGUGUCUCUUCGAUUUUUGAGAAAGUAAUCAUGUUGGGAGUCUGGCUCUCGAGAUUCGGAGGGCGGUGCCUCUUCGAUUUUGGAGCAAGCAAUCUUGUUAUGAGUGUUUUCUCGAAUGUGAGUAAAGGUUGGGCAUGUUUGCUAGUCUACCUUGCCACGAAGCACAGAGGUUGACACACAGGGACUUUCCAAUUAUCCAGCAGUGGUACUGUUCAUUUACCCUCUCUUCGAUUUUUGAGAAAGUAAUCAUGUUGGGAGUCUGGCUCUCGAGAUUCGGAGGGCGGUGCCUCUUCGAUUUUGGAGCAAGCAAUCUUGUUGGGAAUGUUUUCUCGAAUGUGAGUAAAGGUUGGGCAUGUUUGCUAGUCUACCUUGCCACGAAGCAUAAAGGUUGACACACAGGGACUUUCCAUUUAUCCAGCAGUGGUACUGUUCCUUUACCCUCUUUUCGAUUUUUGAGAAAGUAAUCAUGUUGGGAGUCUGGCUCUCGAGAUUCGGAGGGCGGUGCCUCUUCGAUUUUGGAGCAAGCAAUCCUGUUGGGAGUGUUUUCUUGAAUGUGAGUAAAGGUUGGCAUGUUUGCUAGUCUACCUUGCCACGAAGCACAGAGGUUGACACACCGGGACUUUCCAAUUAUCCAGCAGUGGUACUGUUCCUUUACCCUUGUGGGUAAUAAUAUGGUAGCUAGACCUUCAAAAUUUAUAUGUCUAAACUUUGUUAGUGUUGUUUCUUUGCAAUUCUUUUACCCUUCUUGGUCAGAGCGAUGUAGCGGGAGCUGCAAGCUUCACGUGUCUCAACUGUCAGAGAACUUUGGCAAAGUUAUCUGUGGUACCCAUGAGUUACUGUUGCGUAUGGGAAGUGGGUGAUUGAACAAUACGAUUCAUGUGCUUUCUACUUCGCCAGAAAUCUUCGACAGAAUGCCCAUAAUUUCCGCAAAGCUGAGUGUGCGUGUGACAGGUGCUGACAAGGCUGGAAAAGUAGGUGCCUCUUCGAUUUCUGAGAUCGGCCUUUGUGGUUUCUUAGCAGCCCAGCUUUUGAGAAAGCAAGCCUCUUCGAUUUCUGAUAUCGGCCUUCGUGGUCUUUGAGCAGCCCAGCUUUUGAGAAAGCAAACGCCUCUUCGAUUUCUGAGAUCGACCCUCGUGGUCUCUGAGCAGCCCAGCUUUUGAGAAAGUAAACGCCGCUUCGAUUUCUGAGCAGGCGCCUCUUCGAUUUCUGAAGCUUCGUCGAGUGCAGAUUUUUAUAGGGGCUGACAUUAAGUUCCAAAGCACACUUGAAUAUCCACCAGUAGAAGCUCCAUUCUUGUACUUCUAAGAUCUUGAUUUGUCCGACCUCUUCUCUCUUCAACACCUUUGAAAAUGUCUGGCCCCUCCGACCGUCGUUUUGACUUGAACCUUGUUGAAGAGGCAGCCCCGCCUUCUCCAGACAACAUAUGGCGCCCAUCAUUCGUCUCCCCUACUGGUCCUCUUACCGUUGGGGAUUCCGUGAUGAAGAAUGAUAUGACCGCUGCGGUAGUGGCCAGAAACCUUCUCACUCCCAAAGAUAACAGACUACUUUCCAAACGGUCUGAUGAGUUGGCUGUUAAGGAUUCUUUGGCUCUCAGUGUUCAGUGUGCAGGUUCUGUGUCUAAUAUGGCCCAACGCCUAUUUGCUCGAACCCGCCAAGUUGAAUCAUUGGCGGCUGAAGUGAUGAGUCUCAAACAGGAGAUUAGAGGGCUCAAGCAUGAGAAUAAACAGUUGCACCGGCUCGCACAUGACUAUGCUACAAACAUGAAGAGGAAGCUUGACCAGAUGAAGGAAUCUGAUGGUCAGGUUUUACUUGAUCAUCAGAGAUUUGUGGGUGGGUUUGUUCCAAAGGCAUUUAUUGCCUUCGUCUUCUGGGGCUGUACCGCGUAAUGAAGCUCCAAAUGAUCAACCUCUGAUGCCUCCUCCUUCUAGGGUUUUGUCCAGUACUGAGGCUCCGAAUGAUCCCCCUCUGGUGCCUUCUCUUUCUGGGGCUCUACCGACUACUGAGACUUCUCCUAAGCAACCUUUGUGAAGGCUCCCUCUUGUUUGUUUAUUUUGACUCAAGUAUAUGUACAUAUUUGUAACUUAUCGGGGAUAUCAAUAAAUAAGCUUUCCUUUAUUUCAACGUAUUGUGUUAAAUACACCAAAGCCUUCUUCGCUAAGUUCUUUGAAUUUUCUUUUGUUGAAGCUUGUAUGUUGAAGCUUUGUGAGUGAAGCAUGCAGGUUGAGGUAGUGUUCCCUUAAUUUCCCGAGUGAGGAAAACUUCUCGGUUGGAGACUUGGAAAAUCCAAGUCACUGAGUGGGAUCGGCUAUAUGAAUCUUAGAACGCCAUUGUGUUUUGUCCUGUGUCAUAUCCUCCGUUAGAUCCAAGUACUCUAAGUCUUUUCUUAGGGUAUCUUCCAAAGUUUUCCUAGGUCUUCCUCUACCCCUUCGGCCCUGAACCUCUGUCAUAUAGUCGCAUCUUCUAAUCGGAGCGUCAGUAGGCCUUCUUUGCACAUGUCCAAACCACCGUAACCGAUUUUCUCUCAUCUUUCCUUCAAUUUCGGCUACUCCUACUUUACACCGGAUAUCCUCAUUCCUAAUCUUAUCCUUUCUCGUGUGCCCACACAUCCAACGAAGCAUCCUUAUCUCCGCUACACCCAUUUUGUGUACGUGUUGAUGCUUCACCGCCCAACAUUCUGUGCCAUACAGCAUCGCCGGCCUUAUUGCCGUCCUAUAAAUUUUUCCCUUGAGCUUCAGUGGCAUACGGCGGUCACACAACACGCCGGAUGCACUCUUCCACUUCAUCCAUCCAGCUUGUAUUCUAUGGUUGAGAUCUCCAUCUAAUUCUCCGUUCUUUUGCAAGAUAGAUCCUAAGUAACGAAAACGGUCGCUCUUUGGUAUUUCUUGAUCUCCGAUCCUCACCCCUAACUCGUUUUGGCCUCCAUUUGCACUGAACUUGCACUCCAUAUAUUCUGUCUUUGAUCGGCUUAGGCGAAGACCUUUAGAUUCCAACACUUCUCUCCAAUGGUUAAGCUUUGCAUUUACCCCUUCCUGAGUUUCAUCUAUCAACACUAUAUCGUCUGCGAAAAGCAUACACCAAGGAAUAUCAUCUUGAAUAUGUCCUGUUAACUCAUCCAUUACCAACGUAAAAAGGUAAGGACUUAAGGAUGAGUCUUGAUGUAAUCCUACAGUUAUGGGAAAGCUUUCGGUUUGUCCUUCAUGAGUUCUUACGGCAGUAUUUGCUCCUUCAUACAUAUCCUGUAUAGCUUGGAUAUAUAUGCUACUCGUACUCCUUUCUCUCUCUAAAAUCCUCCAAAAGAUGUCUCUCUUGGGUCUCCCCCUAUCAUACGCUUUUUCCAAAUCUAUAAAGACCAUGUGUAAAUCUGUUUUCCCAUCUCUAUAUCUUUCCAUCAAUCUUCGUAAGAGAUAGAUUGCCUCCAUGGUUGAGCGCCCUGGCAUGAACCCGAAUUGGUUGUCCGAAACCCGUGUCUCUUGCCUCAAUCUAUGCUCAAUGACUCUCUCCCAAAGCUUCAUUGUAUGACUCAUUAGCUUAAUACCCCUAUAGUUCAUGCAAUUUUGUACAUCGCCCUUAUUCUUGUAGAUAGGCACCAAAGUGCUCAUUCGCCACUCAUUUGGCAUCUUCUUCAUUUUCAAAAUCCUAUUGAAAAGGUCAAUGAGCCAUGUUAUACCUGUCUCUCCCAAAACUUUCCACACUUCGAUUGGUAUAUCGUCUAGGCCUACUGUUUUUCUAUGCUUCAUCUUCUUCAAAGCUACAACCACUUCUUCCUUCCGGAUUCUACGAUAAAAAGAGUAGUUUCGACAUUCUUCUGAGUUACUCAACUCCCCUAAAGAAGCACUCAUUUCAUGUCCUUCAUUGAAAAGAUUAUGAAAAUAACCUUUCCAUCUGUCUUUAACCGCGUUCUCUGUAGCAAGAACAUUUCCAUCCUCAUCCUUGAUGCACCUCACUUGGUUUAGGUCCCUUGUCUUCUUUUCCCUUGCUCUAGCUAGUUUAUAGAUAUCCAACUCUCCUUCUUUGGUAUCUAGUCGCUUAUACAUAUCGUCAUAAGCCGCUAACUUAGCUUCUCUCACAGCUUUCUUCGCCUCUUGCUUCAUUUUUCUAUACCUUUCACCAUUUUCAUCGGUCUUAUCCUUGUAUAAGGCUUUACAACAUUCCUUCUUAGCCUUCACCUUUGUUUGUACCUCCUCAUUCCACCACCAAGAUUCCUUUUGGUGUGGGGCAAAGCCCUUGGACUCUCCUAAUACCUCUUUUGCUACUUUUCGGAUACAACUAGCCAUGGAAUCCCACAUUUGGUUAGCUUCCCCCUCUCUAUCCCACACACACUGGGUGAUUACUUUCUCUUUGAAAAUGGCUUGUUUUUCUUCUUUUAGAUUCCACCAUCUAGUCCUUGGGCACUUCCAAGUCUUGUUCUUUUUUCUCACUCUUUUAAUAUGUACAUCCAUCACCAACAAGCGAUGUUGAUUAGCCACUCUCUCUCCUGGUAUAACUUUGCAAUCCUUACAAGUUAUACGAUCCCCUUUCCUCAUUAGAAGAAAAUCUAUUUGUGUUUUUGACGACCCACUCUUGUAGGUGAUCACAUGUUCUUCUCCCUUCUUAAAGAAGGUGUUGGCUAAGAAGAGAUCAUAUGCCAUUGCAAAAUCCAAGAUAGCUUCCCCAUCCUCGUUUCUCUCCCCAAAACCAUGGCCACCAUGAAAACCUCCAUAGUUGCCUGUCUCCCUGCCCACGUGUCCAUUUAAAUCUCCUCCUAUAAAUAACUUCUCCGUCUGAGCAAUUCCUUGCACCAAGUCUCCAAGGUCUUCCCAAAAUUUCUCCUUCAAACUCGUAUCCAACCCUACUUGAGGUGCGUACGCACUAAUCACAUUGAUAAGUUCUUGUCCUAUUACAAUCUUGAUUGCCAUGAUUCUAUCUCCUACCCUCUUGACAUCUACAACAUCUUGUGUCAAGGUCUUGUCCACGAUGAUGCCAACACCGUUUCUCGUUCUAUUUGUGCCCGAAUACCAUAGUUUAAACCCUGAGUUUUCUAGAUCCUUUGCCUUACGUCCAACCCACUUAGUUUCUUGUAGGCACAUAAUAUUUAUCCUUCUCCUCACCAUAACUUCUACUACUUCCAUAGAUUUUCCCGUCAAGGUUCCUAUAUUCCACGUUCCUAAACGCAUUUUGCUCUCUUGAACUCUACCCUUCUGUCCUAGCUUCUUCACCCUUCCCCGUCUAAUAGGAUCAAAGUACUUCUUUUGUGUGUACCGUGUAAAGUUGAUAGGAGCAUAUGAGCCUAAACAACUUUGAGUGGAGUCGUUCGAAAAGAAGUUUCUAUAGCCCCCUUGCUCAUUUAACACUGCAUCCGGGUGCCGAUGGAGAUACAGCGACCCUUGCUCACUUAUCACUGUGCUCAGGCCACACAGCGCGCCACUUACGGGUGACGCCCUAGCUUUAGCGCGAUUUCGUUCUGGAUUCAUUUUCAUAAGGAUUCGACGUGAUCAUGGAGUGCCGGCUGUCGACUACCUGACGCCCUCCCCCUCAUCCUUUAUCCGGGCUUGGGACCGGCAAUGUAAGAUAAACUUACACGGCGGAGUUAAAGAAAAACGAAUGAGGAAAUUAUAGGAGAUUGUGUCGGCUUUGGCCAUGAAGGGUAUCAGCAGCUUUUUCCUCCCAUACAGGUGAUUAAUUGUUUUUCAGUCUGUGUUCAGUUUUAUUUAUUGGAUUUGGUUAGCAGCCAGUUUUAUGUAUUGGAUUUUUUAUUUGGAUUUAUAGCACUAAGGGUAUAGGUGAACGGUGAAGCGGUUUGUAUGGGCUCAUGUGUGUUUUAGAUAAUCUCAAGGACUAUGUAGAUACUAUGAUUUGGGGUUGCUUUUUUAAACCAUGAUAAAGCAUUCCAAGUAAUUUUAACAUAGAUAUCAUUUUUUAUGUAAGCAUGAGUAUAUGAAAUGUUAAGACGAUAAUAUAUCAUGUGAUUUAAAAUUCAAAGAGAGACAAUGAACCGUGUUUGAUAUUUUGUUUGUCUUGGUUCGUUUAAAUUUGGGCCUUUUUCAGUUGGAUUCAUGGGUUUUGUUUAAGAUAUCAUUUUUGGUUUAUGAAUGGUUUUAAACAUCCACAACAUCGCGCAGGCACACUUUCACUAGUAUUUUACUAAACUAGUGCACUUGAAUGUCCGUAGCUAAAUAUAUUAUAAUGAAUUAGUGGAACAUAAGAAAAUAUGGAAAAACGUAAGUGUACCAAAAAGUCCGUACCUAAACAUGGUAUACUAAAUUAGUGUAACAUUAUGUCUGUACCUAAAUAUAUUAUACUAAACUAGUAUACCGAAAUAUUCAUACCUAAACAUAUUAUAUUAAACUAGUGUACUGAGAUGUCUGUACCUAAAUACAUUGUAAUAAAUUAAUGGCACAUAAGAAAAUAUGCAAAACAUAGGUGUGCCGAAAAGCCUCUACCAAAAUAUUUUCUUAUAUAAGAUACUUACAAUAAAUUGGUGAUGCAAAAUGUCAACAAAUAAAAGCUAAUUCAUUUGAAUUCAAAUGAGUAUUAAAAUUUAAUUCAUAUCAGCAUAAAAUUAUAAAUAGGAAAAAAAAAUAAAGACAUUGAAUGCAUAUGCUGCCAUUAAAUAGAGUCUAGGAACUAAAAUAAAUUUUUAAUCUUGUGUGAGACAUUUUUCUAAAUUUUAUUUUAUUUAAGGAUUAAAAUCUAGUUUUCUAUUACUUAUAUUUCUGACUACAUAUGGUUAUUAGUUACUUUAGUCGAGAGUUGACGCACCUGGAAUGGUACGUGGAAAACAUGUUAGCACUUGAUUCCCAGUCAAAGCCACACACGAGAGCAUUGUGUAUGUCUUUAUAAGUAAUAAAAACUAAUAACCUGAAAUGCUCUCGUAUUUCUAAAGGCCCGACUCCAAGUUCAAAGCCAUACACGAGAGCAUUGUGUAUGUCUUUAUAAGAGACGUUGCUGUAGUCCUUGACGGAGUAGUCAAAGUGACCCAAAUUCAUCCAAGCCUUCCCCUCUGCACUGCAACCCUCAUCCAAAUCCCAUCCUAUCAUGGCCCCGACCUUGACGUAGCUAUACGUUUUUGGUUGGCUCGAAGAACUUGUAUUAUUCAAGCAUGGAGCAGUGUCCACGUACAGAGAAGAAUUCAACGGAUUCAAACAUUUCAAGUAAUAUAUAGAUGUUGAAUACAGUGAUGAAUAUCGUACGUAUGGAUGAGUAAUGAGCGGAAAAUUUCGAGGCCUGGAAGAGCAAUUGGUGUUCACAAGGCCAGGAUCUAGAAGUCGGAUUGUUGUGUCAGUGUAGUUGAUUGCCUGGACGUAGUAUUUUCCGGAAGGUAGGUAUAGUACUGUAAUGUUGCUCUCACAGGACAGGGUAUACCUUACGUCGCCACAAUAUUUUGGAUCAUGGUUCAGUCGAAAAGGAUAGCUUAUGUUGUGGAUAUGGCAGCAGGAUGAAGUACAGGACUUGGCACUAGUGUCGACCUUAGCGUUACAAGUUUCACUGCAGAAGCCAAGAAGAAGAAAGGCUAAACUUAAGGUGAAGGACCUGCUUCCACUAAUUUCCAUUGGGGAGAGAGAGAGAGAGAGAGAGAGAGAGAGAGGUGUACUAGUCCACACCAAGUAGUUAUAUAAUAUAGGAGGGGUCAAGCACCUUCCGUGAAAUUGCUGUUGAAAUAUCCUAGAGAAAAAUCGUCGUCAAUGGUGUCCUAGAGAAAAGUCGGGCGAUGGUGUUUGACAGUCAGUCAACGGCAAAGAUAUUUCUCUUUCAUUAAGGAAGGAUACUGCGUAAUUACUACGCAUAUAUCUCUGCUUAAUCACACAAAACAAAAAUUUCCAGCUAUAGUAUCAUUUGUGAUUCAUUUAUUAAUAAGAUAUUAUACAGGGAACUGUUAUUAGUACUCUAAAAAUCUCAUUCUACACAAGUUUAUUUUUCUUUUUAAUUAUAGAAAGUUUGGAGUGCAAAAUGAGAUUUUUGGAGUGCCAAUAACAAUUUCCUAUUAUAUAUAGCUCUACUUGGAAGGUGACUAUAUGUCUUCAUCGUGUUAAAUUGUAUAUGGCUCUUGAUGUCGGCUGAAUUGAAUCUAAAUGAAAACCAAGCUGUUGAUCUUACCAGCCCAUAUCACUUAUCUCUUGCUUAUUUAAAUUAUGUGAAGAUGCGUAUGUUGAUUGGUGAUUUUGUUGGAUUCACUCAGUUCAAAUAUAUGUUAUCUGAAUCGUUACAUUUGAGAAUGUGAUUAUGUUCCUACCACCAUUUUGCCUACUUUCUGUGGAAAUUAUUCAUGCCUAUUGUGAAUAAUACAUUCACCUCCUGCAGCGAAGCGCGAGCACAUUUUCUAAUUUAAGUUGAAUCGCAAUGGGUCAUCAAAAAUUACGAACUCGUCAUUUAUACAAGUCAAACAUGAGACCACCUACCUACUAGUUUAGUGGAAUACCACAAGUGACAUGUUGAUACCUUUAAAUCUCAUUUUCCAUAUAAUGGAUUGCAAAAUUAGGAUAUACCUAAACUAAUUUAGUCAGUGCCCGAACAAUUAAGCAGGGCUUUAUUCUUGCUUGAAUGUUUGUUAUAUGUUAAUAGUUUGACAAGGCAAUUAUAUUUCCGACUACAAAAGUUAUUAAUUUGGUCGAGAUUUGACGCACCUGAAAUGGUGUGAGGAAAACAUGUAGACACAUAAUCCGCAGUCCACUGUCCUGGGCAUCUAUCUUCAGGAGGUAUGAAUCCAAGCUCAAAGCCAUACACGAGAGCAUUGUGUAUGUCUUUAUAAGAGACGUUGCUGUAGCUGUAGCUAAAGCCAACGGAGUCGUAAAAGGAAUCCAAGGGCAUCCACUCUACACUGCAACCCUCAUCCAAAUCCCAUCCUAUCAUGGCCCCGACCUUGACGUAGCUAUACGUUUUUGGUUGGCUCGAAGAAGAACUUGUAUUAUUCAAGCAUGGAGCAGCAGUGUCCACGUACAGAGAAGAAUUCAAUGGAUUCAAACAUUUCAAGUAAUAUACAGAUGCAGAUCUUGGAUACCGUGAAUAUCGUACAUAUGGAUGAGUAAUGAGCGGAAAAUUUCGAGGCCUGGAAGAGCAAUUGGUGUUCACAAGGCCAGGAUCUAGAAGUCGGAUUGUUGUGUCAGUGUAGUUAAUUGCCUGAACGUAGUAUUUUCCGGAAGAAGGUAGGUCUAAUACUGUAAUGUUGCUCUCACAGGACAGUGUAUACAUUACAUUGCCGCAGUGCUUCGGAUCAUGGUUCAGUCGAAAAGGAUAGCUUAUGUUGUGGAUAUGGCCGCAGGAUGAAGUACAGGACUUGGCACUAGUGUCGACCUUAGCGUUACAAGUUUCACUGCAGAAGCCAAGAAGAAGAAAGGCUAAACUUAAGGUGAAGGACCUGCUUCCACUAAUUUCCAUUGCAGAGAGAGAGAGAGAGAGAGAGAGAGAGAGAGGUGUACUGGUACUCACCAAGUAGUUGUAUAAUAUAGGAGGGGUCAAGCACUUUCCGUGAAAUUGCAGUUGAAAUAUCCUAGAGAAAAAUCGUCGUCAAUGGUGUCCUAGAGAAAAGUCGGGCGAUGGUGUUUAACACAGUCAGUCAACGGCAAAGUUAUCUCUUUCAUUAAGGGAGGACACUGCGUAAUUACUACGCAUAUAUCUCUGCUUAAUCACACAAAACAAAAAUUUCCAUUUUUUCCCUAAAAAUUAAUUUUCUUUCACCUCCAACCCAUCAUGUAUAUUCUAUAAGAUAAGAAUAAUCCAUUGACUAGCUCCAAUUAAGCAAGUUUCAUAACUUGCUUGAUGACUCUGAUCAUGUGUAAUUUUGGGGAAUUGGAUGCUAUUUUAUCCCUACUUUGUUAGGCUUUUGUAAAUGGUUCUUUCACAUUUUUCAAAUGGUUUACAAUCUCUCUCAUUUUCUCUAUUUAUUUUUAAUCUUGUUUGUAUUUUCAAUCUUUCGUUCUUCCAAUUGCUGGAGCUCUACCAGAUUGGCUUUUCAUUGUUCUGAGUCUAUAUUAGACCCUUUUUCAGGUUUUGAUUUGUUAUGUCUCAUUUUUUUUAUUUACUCGGUUAAUUUGCUUCAAUUCUUUCAAUUCUUUCUUGUUAUUUUGAUGAUUUAUAUUAGUAUUAUAUAAAAUAGGAAGAACUUAUACAUUAAUCCGUUUAUCAAAUAUAUGAAAAAAUAAUUUACCCAACGAAUGUGUUAUGUCGUGUGUAAGAAUGUUUUUCCUUUUGUGUUUUAAUUCUGCACUUAUUUUUAUUUUUUCCACAUAAAUAUAACGAGCCUACAUUAUUUUUUCUAUGAAUUAUUUACCUACUUUAAUUAUUUUAUAUACCUACGUUAUUUAUUCUUGAAUCUUUUCACACAUGGCCAAACUUCUCUUGGAAGUUUAAUUAGAUGAAACAAUAUGAAUCUUGAACAAACCAAAGCAAAGCAAAACGUACUCAACACUUACAGGAAAUCAGUCCAAGAAUGAAAACUUUCUUAUCACUUUCUAUCCAAAAUUUUGGAAUUAUGUGUGUUGCAACGGUUGUCCGAAGGAUUAUUCUUCUUUUAUUAAAUUUCUAAGGAAAAUUAGCAUAUGGGGCGUAAAUGUUGAAUGGAUGAAUUUUCAUUGACUUGGAAAGGGAUUGUGACUUUAACACGCUAUUUUUCUUCAUCUUAUGCACUCAUGUUUAUCAAAAGACAAAUAAAUAUGACUUUACAUAAGGAGAGAGAAAGAGUAUUUUCCUUUGUAAAAAUCAACUAUUCAUUUUCGAAGUGGUAGUCAUUGACACGAUACUUGAUUAGAAGAAAAGUCAUAGUAAUUUGUUUUUAUGGGAACGAGAGUGCAAGUUCUUAAUUGGAAUAUGAGAUGAAGUUUCUACAUAACUAUCUGUGGCAAAGAAAGAAGUCUAAGUUUCUAAGUGGUAAGGGCUCCAAUUGAUGCGCGUUUGUUGAGAAAUGAAGAUGAAGAUGAAUAUUGAUAUUGAUGUGAGUUAGUGAACAAGUUGCUUCGAUCUCCUUUGGCCCUCUAAGAUGAUUAUUGAUUGGUGGACUAAGACGUACCAUACAAUUUUUUAUAACCAGCGAAGAUGAACAGUGUCGUGACAAAAUUUAUCCAAGUAGACCCAAGGGCAAGACUUAGGAACUUCAUAUACAGUGGGAUAAAAUGUUGGGCUAAUUUCCUAUUUUAUCUUAUAGUCAUUAAGUAAAAUGUAUUGCACAUUUCUGGAUGCAUACACAUUAAUGUACAUAAUAUUAGUUGAAUAUCAGAGUACGCAACUUUUACAAACAAAUUAACUGAAUAUAAAACGUUUAUAAAAUUUUAUUAAACGGAAUUGCCAAGAAGGCUACAUGAAUCCAAGAGACCACAUCUUGAUUGACUUGUUAUCUCUCAAUAACAAAGCUCUCUAUUUAUAAUAAACUAACCCUAGUCCCUAAUAAGCAAGGAAAUGAAAACCUAAUUUUAAUGGGCUAAGCCCAAAUCCAAACACUAAAUAAAUAACUAUUUUCCAACACCCCCGUCAAACUUGUGGCGGUACACGUCAUGAGUUUGCCAACAAGCAGAUGUGGAUGCAAGCUCCGUUAGGCGGACACGACAAGACAAGCUUCGUUAGGCGGACACGACAAGACAAGCUCUGUUAGGCAGACACGACAAGACAAGCUCUGUUAGGCGGACACGACAAGACAAGUCUCUAUCCCUCGCACAUCAAUCAAAAGACUCCUUUUUGGUGUGAAAACUGAAAACUUUUAUUCAUUUUAUUUCUUUCAUUUUUCUCAUCGGCUUCAUCUUCUUUCCUUUCCACUUCUUCUUUCUUUUUCUUUCCGUUUUCCUUCUGUACAUUCUCCCUUUUUUCUUGUUUCCUCUUCUUCUGUUUUGCGUUGUAAGUUCCUCUUCUUCGAUGGAUUUCAGAGAGAGGGAGUCACAACAGCUAAGAAGGUGGUGGUGCAUAGAGAGAGGGAGUCAAAGCGGUGGAAUUUCUUCUCAGGAAACCUCCACUCCGCCUACACCACCACCUAGACAGUCGCCUAGAUCGUCGCCUAGACCGCCCAAGCUGCCUAAGAGCGCCUAGGCGAGCGCCUAACAGCUCCAUGAUUUUUCUUAACGAUUCAGACCUAAUCGCAUCGGCACCACCACGCCCAGCUCCUAGGUUGCCGCUUAGGUCAUUUUUUAGAACACUGGUAAUACUCGUGUGGUGCAAUUCUAAUCUCUUAUAUAUAACUUUUUUGUGAUCCAUUUCUCCAUCACCAUGCCUAAAUCCCUUUAGAAUUUGCAAUUUCCUCACCCCAACAAACCCCAACAUUCUGUUGGAUAUGGUAAAAAAAAAAAACUCAGAAUUUCAUUUAAACUUGAAAAUUUAGGGAUGGGAAAGCAAUUUUCUCUUGUUUGGCAACUUGUAGCGAGAGAACAGGAAAAUUCCACAGGAAAAAAGUGGAAAUUGGGGAUGAAGAUUCUUGAGUUUAAUUUUGUCUAAAUAAGUGUAAUUUCACAAUUCCAACUACGACAAGAUUCACAAAUUCAUAUAUGGGGAAGUUUUGCGAGCACCAAACUUUACUAUUAGGGCACCAAAUUUCAUGAUAAAACCUGAUAAGGGUUUAGGGCUGCAUCGUUCACUCUGUUAAGUCUCCAAUCUUCGACGAGAUUUUUAGCUCGUGCAUCAUCUUCUCACUUUGUUGUAGGGUUACAUCUCUUCGUUCUUGAAUUAUUUUUAGCUUUUCGGGUAUACUUUUUCUGCUCAUUGUGAAUUUUGAAAUGGGGCAGGAAGAACAUACAAAAAAAAGAUAAGAGCUGGAGCCCAUCCCAGACAUAAUACGACAGUGUUGGAACCCCAGUGUUGUCCCACAUCGGCUAGAGGGCUCAAGUGAAAGUGCUUUAAAUAGAAAUACCCCUCUCUAACUAACAUCGAGGCCUUUUGUGAUAAAACCCCACACCUGAGGAUUGUGCAGGUGGUUAAGUGGGGACAGUAUCGAUGUUGUUGGAGUGGGCCCUCGGCCCGUCGACCUGAAAAUUUCCACAUGGUAUCAGAGCCAGGAGGCGGGCCCGUACUGCCACGUGAUUGGGUGGGUCCCCUUUGGCCCCGCGCGAUGUCCACGUAGGCCAAAGAUGCCACGUGUUUGGGUGGGUCCCCAAUGGCCCCGCAUGAUGGGUGAGUCCCCAAUGGCUCCACGUGGUUGUCGAUGUGGAUUUUCACGUGUGACCCAUAAAUGGGGUCUCACGUGCGGGGGAGUGUUGGAACCCCAGUGUUGUCCCACAUCGGCUAGAGGGCUCAAGUGAAAGUGCUUUAAAUAGAAAUACCCCUCUCUAACUAACAUCGAGGCCUUUUGUGAUAAAACCCCACACCUGAGGAUUGUGCAGGUGGUUAAGUGGGGACAGUAUCGAUGUUGUUGGAGUGGGCCCUCGGCCCGUCGACCUGAAAAUUUCCACAGACAGUUUUCCAUCCUUAAUCCGAUCAAUGCACUAAGACAAGUGGAGAGCAAAAGAGUUUCCAUGGGUUUAGUACCUAGUACCAAAAUAAGGUGGUACUUCGGCUAUUGCGAUGGGAAUCUUUAUGAACACUAAAUUUGGAAUGUAAUGUUUUUUCGAAUCAACACCAGGGGGCUUCGAGCUAUGUGUUCUGCCCUAUUAUUCAUUACUUCAAAGUUAACGUACUUUGGAAAGAUUGUUGGAUUAAAUCAUAUUCUAAAAUGUUAAAGCAAAGGAUGGAAUGUCCCAAGCACUUAGUCACUUGGGUAAGAGCUAUUUAGACACAGGCAUAAAUGAUCCAAAAGACCAUGCAUUCACAAGUAAAUUGCACCAAAAUAAGAUAUCCCCAAGUACCAUCACUAGGGAAAAGAUGUUGAAGUUAUGGAAAGGACAAGCCCUCAUCCUAGCAAACAACAAAUUAAUGCAAAACAUUGUCAACAACCCUAUUUGGCAACAACUUCCCUUUUGGAAGAAGUUGAAGGAUCUACGAAAAUACUGGCUGAUGGAUCACCAUUGGAAGUAGAUCCUCUUCUUCGGAUGCCUCAAAGUCAGAAAUUUUGCUCAGUAAGUCUUUAAGAGCAGCGAAAUCGGCAUCCCAUAUUUUUUUCAGAAUCUGGUAGGUGUCUCAACCUCCAAAAUGAUCUUACUGCGCGUAGCCAAAUAUAUACCCAAAGUUGUACCCCUCUGCAUAUUUUUCUUCGGACGCCUUCUUGUGAGAUGCACGCACGCCCAUUAUUUCUGACUCAUGCUCAUCCUUGAGUUGUUUAAGAUUUGCAAAGCGAACUUUGUCUUUCUAUUCGAUCUAACGGCGAAGUCUUUCCACCUCUAACGGCGAACAUUGUGAGAUGCACGCACGCCCAUUGUAAGCAUUCCGCUUCGAAGACAACGUUCGAUUGAUUAAGCUUCAAGACGCAACAAAGUUUGUUCCACCUCAACUUUGGCUUUGCAUUCUAGCUCCAACUUUUCCUGCAGUUCAGCAAGAGUUGCCUUGUAUUCAUUUGCUUUAAUAUAUUCAAGAGUGGCUUCAUUUAUGCAUUUCUUUACCUCUACAUUAUGGGCUACUCUCAUAAUUUGUUGCUCUACCUAUACCCUCUUGAGCUUCGCCAAUUGAGCUUGCACUUGUUGCUUGAGCUGUAUUUGGCCUCUGAUUCAUGCAAGGAAAACCGCUUAAGAUGACAAAUUCACUUCGCUUGGCCAAAAAGAGUCGCCUCUGUCCAGACAUGAGUCUGACCAAUGCAAGUAAAGGAAAGGAAAAACAAAAUUACCAAAGUUAUUUUGUAAGAAAAGAAUGAAGGAUUACCUCAUAUCGACUUUCGUGACAUCGCAUCAUGGCGUCUUCAAAGGACGUGCGAGCUUCCUAGUAGUCCGCAUGGGUAAUUGCAGCGCUAAGAAAAGCUCGGGUAAAAUUUAUGUUUCGAGUCUUAACGACAAGCAAGGGCAGCGCGCCCCCUUCAAUUCUGGUUAAAGUCGCCAGCAAGGGAAUGUUAGGUUCGAGAGGCACCUCGACAGGUUCAGGUAAACUCCUUGUCACUAGAGGAAUCAGAACUGGGAUAUAAAGGGGUUUAAGGACUCGAACAUCAUUCGGAAGUGGUGGCAAAGCUGUCUGCUAUUGCGCAGGUAGAGAUUCAAGCUUGGAUUCAUGUGGUUGUUGUUGCGUCAGUUCUUAAAAUGGAAGGAAAAGAGGUUGAGAUUCUCUUAUGAGAUGAUGCGGAGCAGGAGUAUCUGGAGUUGUAUUUAUCGAAACAACCAGACGUCUUUUUCUCCUCAUAGUGGAAUUUCUUCCUCCUCUUUGGGAUUCUUGGGUACCACCUCUAUUAUUGGUAGACUUAUUUGAAAAGGUGUAGCUAACGACGUUGAGGAAGUUUUACCAGACCGUUUUAGCUUUUUUUUGCUGGAGUGGGAUAAAUUUUGGGUUUGAGAUGAUGGACCCCCUAAUAAACCUAUUUCACUUUGAUCCAAUUAGGAUCCAGAAUGGGGAACUUAGAACAAUGAUUGAUGAUUGUAUUAUUCCCCCAAUCCAAAAAUCGAACUGAGGAAGUCAGCCAGUUCCAAUUACGGUGCUUAGUAAGGAUUUGCGUUGCCUGAGUGAUCAACUCUGGUCAACACGUGCCAAUAUUCUUCAGGUCAUUGUUCAGACAAAGGUUGCAAUAAGUGAUGUGAUAGCAGCAUAUUUAUGCGACUUAGUUAGCUUGUUUUUCUUGCAUUUAUGUUGUGAGUUCUUACUUAUUAUAGUGUUUUAAGCUAUUUUCGUGUGUUUGUAGGUCCAAUUGACAAAGUUGGCAAGAAAAUGCAAUUUGGAGCAUUUUGGAGCAGUUUUGGGCAUCAAAUGGAUAGCUUAUGAAUGGAGUAAGAUGGAUGGACGAAUUUGAAGUUCAAGAGGCUAGGAAUGUGUUGAAAAGAUGAAGAAAAUAAAUUCAAGAGAAAGAAGAUAAGGAAUUAGCUCAAAAGAAGGAACAUUAUCCAAAACCUUAUCCAACCUUAUCUUAUCCAAACAAACCUUAUCUUAUCUUAUCCUUGCCUAAUCUAGCUUUAUCCUAUCUUAUCUAAAUCAGUUUGUGCCUUAAAUCCAGCUGCAAGAGGACCUAAAUAUCUGAUUUCUAGAAGGCCUAUCAUUUCCUUACACUUAUGCCGCACCUUUAUCCUUCUAGAACCCCUAAAUUUGUGCCGCAUCUCAGCCCUAUAAAUAUACAUCUUUGAUGCACAAAUAAAUGACCCACGCACCCACAUAUAUUCAGAUACAAUUGAGAGAUUUCAGAGAAUUCAAAAGGUGUACCUGCGUGGAGGAAGGAGAAGGAGAAGCUUGUGUCGUGGCUUGCAAUCCAAGGGGGAGUUUGAAAUCUGCCAUUGGAGUUGCUAGGGCGUUCUUGGUUCUUUCUAUCCUUAGAUUUGUUUCAAUGUUGCUUUUAAUUUGGUUUUAUGUUUUCAAAGACAUGAGGAACUAAUCUCUUUUUAGUUGGAGGUGAAUUUGAAGCCAUGAUUAUAUGUUUUGAUAUGAAUUGAUUACAUCCAGUUAUUGUUUCUUGAGUCUUGAAUGUGAUUUGCUUAUCUGAGUUAUCAAAACUUGUUUAUGUAUGUUGAUUGAGGGUCGACACUUAAUUUGCAUGCAUGAAUUUGAUGCUAGAGUAUAAGGGAGUUUCACCUAAUCAUUAUGAACUUAUAUUCACAAGUAGUAAAGGUUGCUAGUCACAAUCGUGUUAAGUAAAUCCUUGGCAGGAGUAUCAUGCUUUUCAUAGUUACGAAUGCCUCGUCAAUGCUUAUGAUUUUCAAAGAACUUAAUGACCUUUGAUAUGUUUUCUAUCAUGCUUUUCAUAGUUAGGGAACUUGAGAAGGAUAAUUUGGUUGUGAUGUGUAUCCCGUCCAAUUCAAUGAAAUAAGGGAAAUCUGAUGGUUAAUUUGUGCUGUCACGGUUAACUUGGGGUGUUGUCAUUCAUGGUUUAAGGGAACAAUACUGGAAAUUGGUUUAUAUGCAUAUGUCAUGUGUGGAGAAAGAUCCUCUGGCUAAGUUUUCAUCAUUCAAAUCACCUAAUUUACUUUGUUUUGCAAUCUGUUUUGUUUAGUUAAUUUUCGUCCAAAUCAAUCCCCCUUCUAAUUAAGUGUCUUAGAUUAGUUAAAAAAGUGUUUCAAUCUGUCCAACUUAGUGUUUUAAGUCCCACUAGUGUUAAAUUCGUCCAAAUAGUUCUUAGAACCUGUUUUGAGUCUUUUUAACUUAGUUUUGCUGUUUUGAGUGUUUUAUGUCAAUUUUGAGUUUGUAGUGUUUAGUUGUGUGUUUUUUAGUCUAUUUGAGUGUUUCUAAGUCUAAUUUGGUAUUUCUGAGUCAUAUUUGUGUAGAUUAACAUCCCUAGUUAAUCCCCGGUUUAGAACGAUCCUUACUUACAUCUUUACUACAAUUAUCAUUCAUAGGGUUUAAUUUGUGUGUCAAGUUAAUUUUCACAUCAAAUUUGGCGCCGUUGCUGGGGAUUAGCAAACUUGCUAAUCUCUUUUGUUUGAGUAGUGUGUCUUUAUUGUUAUGGCAGAUGAGUCUACAAAAUUUGUGAAAACAUUAGAUAUAAAGAAAUGUGAGAAAUAAGAACCAAAUAACAGUGAAAUGAAUGAUAUAAGACUCAUCUGUCAGAACAACAAGGCAUUCGAUUUUCAAAAGUACACUCAACGAUCACUGGAGGAUGAUCUUAGAGUUGUAGUUGGAAUCAUCUUCCAGUGAUUUGAUAUAAAAACAGAUUUGAUGGGAUUUAGAAGCAAAUGUUGGGUUUGAAGAGAUUUAGGUAAUGGUUGGGGACGGGGAGUGAGUUGAUGGGAUUCAGUAGCAAAUGUUGGAUUGUAGAAUCUAAAAACAGAUUUGAGAGGCUAAAAUGUAAUUCGGAUAUUAGUACUACGGUCUAAUAACGUAUUUGUAAGUGAAAAAUUUUAGGUUUGUAUUUCAAGAAUAAGGAGUUCAUAACCAAUUUAUUCCAUAUAUCAUUGUGCAUAUAAAAUAAUGUAAUUCGAAAAUUAAUUUAGUGACGAUGCUACAAUUAAUUAUAUCAUCAAUUUUGGAAUCCCAUUCUUGGCUUAUGUCAAAAUCCAAACAAAUUUAAACCCUCAUUUUUUUCAGAUUUUGGAAAGAAUGGCAUCAUUGAAUUCAAUAUCGUGAUAUGGGAGACUGAGUAAGCUAAAUUUGGAGUAUUUUAAUGUCACAGUAUAAAUAUGGCACCAACAAUAGACGUAAGCCAAAGUCAUAGGUUUAAUGCAGACAAUAGUAAAUACUGAAUACUGAAUAUUGGAUACUGAAUGGAGGGCGGCUUUAACGCUUUCAGUGUACCAAAUUUUGAUACUAAUUGACUUGAUCUCUUCACAUGGUACAUAGGUAGUCUAGCUCGAAUGUUAUGCAGCCAUAAAAUUAAAUAAAUUAAUAUUGUAUCAUGUCCCGGAGUUCAGCACGUGACAUUAUUGUGAGGUCUAGGUACAGUCCUUAGAGUGAUAAAAACAAGGCUCCUCCAGGGAGGGCUAGUCGGAGGUGUGAAUGGACAUUUACUUCACACUCAUAGGAAAUCAGUCCAAGAAGUGGACAUGGAUGCUGGGUACUCAACACUCAUAGGAAAUCAGUCCAAGAACGAAAGCUUUCUUUUUAGUUGCUAUCCAAAAUUUUGGAAUUAUGUGUGUUGUCCAAAUGAUUAUUCUUCUUUUAUUAAAUUUCUCAGGAAAAUGAGCAUGAGGCGUAAAAGUUGAACGAAUGAAAUUUCAAUGAUCUGGAAAGGGAUUGUGAGUUUGCCACACCAUUUUUCUUUCUUUUAUGCCUUCAUGUUUAUUAGAAGAUAAAAAUAAAGAAGGAAAACUAAUGAAAAGUCCAAUUUUUUUUUAGUUUUAAUGAAAAAUGACAAAUAAAUGUGUAGUGAAUAGUACCAGAGAAAGGUAAAAAUGUGGCUUUUCGUUAGAAGUGAACAGUCCUGGGAGUGUUUCGUUAAAACUUCCAAAUAAAUAUGACUUUAUUUGGAGAAAAAAAAGUAUUUCCUUUGAAAAAAAAUCAACUAUUUAUUUAAGAGGAUGUGAAUGAUUGAUGGUGAAUACAAAGAACCACCUUAGAGGGAGACGAGACAUUUAUUAGAAGCCAAAAAAAAAGUUACAAUGAUUUAGUAAAAAAACAAGAAAACCUCAUUUUCUAAGUGGCAGUCAUUGACACGCUAUUUGACUAGAAGAAAAGUCAUAGUAUUGUAUUUACUUUCAAGCCUCUAGGGGGAACGAGAGUGCAAGUUUCCAAAUGGAAUAUGGGAUGAAAUUUCUACAUAACUCUAUCUGACAAAGAAAGAAGUCUAAGUUUCUAAGUGGUAGGGCUUCCAAUUGAUGUGAGUUUAUUGAGAAAUGAAGAUGAACAUGAAUAUUGAUAUUGAUGUGAGUUAGUGAACAAGUUGCUUCGAUCUCCUUUGGCCCUCUAAUAAGAUAAUACCGGAAAACAAGUUGUUACUAAUACAUGUAUCGGAUUGGUAGACUAAGACGUACGGUACAAUUUUUUAUAACUAGAGAAGAUGAACACUGUCACUGUCGUGACAAAAUUUAUCCAAAUAGAUCCAAAGACUUGGGAAGCUUCAUAUGCAGAUCUAAAGCUAAUUUCCUUUUUAAUCUUAUAGUCAUUACGUAAAAUGUAUAUGCAUAUUUCUAGAUGGAUACACACCAAUCUUGAAAUAGGGGAUGAAGAUUCCCGAUUUUAAUUUCGUCUAAAUAGGUGUAAUUUCACAAUUCCAACUAUAACGAGAAUCACAAAUUUAUAAGCGGAAAAAUCUUGCCAGCGUCAAACUUUCUUGAAUAAGGGUUUAGGGCGCCAAAUUUCAUGAUAAAACCUGAUAAGGGUCUAGGGCUGCAUCUUUCACUCGAUUAACUCUCCCAUCUUCGAAGGGAUUUUCGGCUCUUGCAUCAUCUCUUGCUUUUGUUCUAGGUCAACGCCUCUACUCUCUUCUUUCUUGAAUUAUAUUUUUAACUUUUCGGGUAUACUCUUUAUGCCAAUUGUGAAUUUUGCUAGUUAUUUUUAUUUUCUGAUAGUCAUAUGUUUGUGUGCUUUUUUUCUUCCGAUUGAAUUGUGUAUUGGUUGGAUCUGUUACACAAUUUUUUAGUUUUUUUAUGGAUUUUGAUGUUAGUUCCUUGUUAUAGAUAUUGUGUUUUUGAAGGUUUAACAAUAGGCAAGACUGAAUAUGAUGAUUUCGGUGUUAAUUACUUUCUCAUGGUACUAUACUAGAUUGUUCUCUCUUUGCAUUUACAUGUAACCAACUGUUCAUUGUAGAAAUGUAGUAUUUGGAAGACCUUUUUUUUUUUCUUUCUGAUUUAGUGUAUGUUUUUUGGACAAAAGAAACAUGUAGAAGAGAAAACAUGAUUGAUAACAUUGUGCAUCUUUUUUUUUUUUUUUUGACAGAAAGCGAUAGAGUGUUCCAUGGCCAAUUUGUUUUAUCUAGAGAUAGUUUGCACAAGAUGCAAACAUUUUGUAAACCCUAUACGGCUACCAUAAUAGACAACCACAAACAAGGGUCCCGAUAAAAUUGUCACAAAGACGACAAACGCGGCAAUCCUCACACUGGUACCUUGACAUAAAACCAUCGACAAUAAGACCAAAUAAAUCGCAUAAGAAAUACAAACAAAUCACCACAGUAACACAAAAUCUACUACCCUAACCUGCUCAAGGUCCUACAAACAAAAACUUAAACCUAAAGUCGAUGACAUGUCCACAUGCAUGUCCAAAGGGAAGAGACGUGGCAGGAGGCAUGGGUUGCACGACCAUGUGGGUGUGUCGGUGGCAAGGACAACAAAGGCUUGGGGCUUGGGUGGCAGAGGAGAUACCACGACACGCCAGAGCCACUGUCACAUUGUCAUCGCCGCCGCCACGAGCCCAUAGUAACCUGCAUAAAAUCGUUAGUGCUAAAAGCCGCCAAGGGUUUCCGCCGACUGGGAAAAAGAUAAGAUUUGUGAAGACGGAGGUCACAUGGAUGGCAUCAUAGCAAAAUUGAAAUCUUUUAAUCAUCCUCAGCAUUAUUCCGACAGCUAUCCACAAACUGAAGCAACGAAUUGGGCAAGUGUGCAACAAAUUUUCAAUGUGCGUCCAUUGUGAAUGAUUUACAAGGAGUGGGUUUAAUGACGUUUGUAGUUAAAGUGGGAUGCAACUUAGAGCACCAUCACUUGACUAUGUUCCUCUCAUUUUAUCUGUUCAUUUUUGCCUCAUUUGUUUUUUGGUUGCACCGCCUCAAAAACCUUGUGCGUCUACAUGUAUAUAGAACUUUUGGUUAAAACAGAGUCACAUAUCUUAUAACUAUUUAAAUUUUGUUGCAUAUCACAAUAUAUAUUUGUUCAUACAUUCAAACAUGUAUGGCAAAUACUGAGGAGGAACAUAGAAAAAAAAAUGAAAAUUAUUGUUAGUACAAUUGUAUAUGUUAUUGACAUGGUCAUGCAUUGGUAUAGUAAGAGUUUUCUCGUCGUAGAACUUUCAAAUGAUUGGAAUCAAGGAAGACAAUCUUUUCCCCAAUUAAUUAUUCUCGCCAUAUUUUUCCUUAGCGCCGUUAAGUUUCACUUAAAAAGCAAAAGAAGAAGGCUAAAAUUAAGGUGAAGAACCUGCCUCCACUAAUUUCCAUGAAGUUGCAGUAAGGACAUAAAUCACCUUCCGUGAAGUUUCAGUAAGGACUUCAAAUAUCCCAGAGAAAAGUCAGUCAAUGGUGUUUUGACAGAGUCAGUCAACGGCAAAAGACAGAAUUGUGUAUCAUAAUGCUCUCUCCCUCUCUCUCUCUCGUCAAUGGAUGACACCGUAUAAUUACUACGUAUAUAUCUCUGCUCAAUUACACAAAAGAAAAAUCCUUGCGCAUUAUUUUUGUUAUUAUUAGCUCAGAAAUGCAGAAAUUGAUCAUCUCUUACUUUUGCAUAUUGUUACUGGUUUUCUUCAAACUAGUUGGAGCAAGCCAUGCGUGCCUGGAAUCCAAGUGUGGCGAUGAUCAAGGCGCAGCUAUCCAUUUCCCAUUGCGCAUCAGCCGCAAACAUCAUUGUGGAAAUCCUGGGCUUGAAUGCAAUGUAAGAUAUGAGCAGCAAAUACUAGUAAAAUUAUUUGUCAAACACAUAGAUUACAAGAGUCAGGAAAUCCAAGUGUAUCCCCCAAGUAGCUGCCUGCUGCUAAAGUCUGUUGAAAUCCCAAACAUGCCACCCUCUCCCUUCAACGUGUCAGUCGAUGACAUGAGUAACUUGACCUUAUUCAGUUGUACUACUUCUGUUGCAAGCGAUCCAUAUCCGUAUCAAUUCCCCUGCCUCGGCGACCCUGGCCGCAUAAUUUAUGCCGUUGAUUCCAGUUCUACAUAUCUAUUGGAAGAUCUCUUCCAGAAAGUACAAUCUUGUUCAAAGAUGUAUGAUGUUUUAUCAGUUCCAUUCGGUUCUUGGGUAGGCGGUUAUAAUGUUCGUUUCAAAUGGUCUGAACCAAAUUGCACAGUAUGUGAAGCACAGGGAAAGAGGUGUAGGUGGAAGAACGAUGGCACAAAUAGUGAAAUUAAAUGUCUUGACUGGAAGAAACCAAGUAAGGAUAACAUAUAUAUUCAUUGCUAGUUUUAAACAUCUUUACAUUUACGUCUUAGUAAUUAUUAUUUAAAAUAUGUUGUCCAAUCCAUUUUUACUAGGAAUAUUACCUGACAGUCUCGUUUAAAUUUGCAAUGAUCUUCUACAGGCAACACAUGGAAAAAAGUGGUUACAGGUGGAAUCCUGGGUGCUUUGCUUCUUGUUCUACUGAUGAUUGCAGCAUAUCGGGUACAUAGCGCUGAUAGAAAGGAGAAAGAGAGUCGAUUAAGAAUUGAAAGAUUCUUGGAGGAUUACAAAGCACUCAAACCAACCAGGUAUUCGUACGCAGAUAUUAAGAGGAUUACAAAUCAAUUCAAGGACAAGUUGGGCGAAGGAGCCUAUGGAACUGUCUUCAAAGGAAUGCUCUCUUCCGAAUUCUUUAUUGCUGUCAAAGUCCUCAACAGUUCCAAGGGAGAUGGGGAAGAGUUCGUAAAUGAAGUGCGAACGAUGGGUCAUAUCCACCACGUCAACGUGGCUCGCUUGGUUGGAUUUUGUGCUGAUGGAUUUGCACGAGCUCUUGUUUACGAGUUCUUCCCCAAUGGUUCCCUGCAGGAUUUCAUUUCAUCUGCAGAUAGUAAGAAUUCAUUUCUUGGUUGGGAUAAGUUGCAAGAUAUUGCCCUAGGCAUAGCCAAAGGAAUUGAAUAUCUUCACCAGGGAUGCGAUCUACGAAUCCUGCAUUUCGACAUCAAACCCCAUAAUGUUUUGCUAGACCAAAACUUCACUCCAAAAAUUUCUGAUUUUGGUAUGGCCAAGUUAUGUUCCAAGGAUCAAAGCUUGGUGUCCAUGACUACAGCUAGGGGGACCAUGGGCUACAUUGCACCUGAAGUGUUUUCCAGGAAUUUCGGAAAUGUGUCUUACAAGGCAGAUGUCUAUAGCUUUGGAAUGCUGCUGCUUGAGAUGGUAGGAGGAAGGAAGAAUAUUGGUUCAAUCACGGAUAACACUACAAAUGAAAUUUACUAUCCACAGUGGAUUUAUAAUCUUCUAGAGGAAGGGGAUGACCUACAAAUCCACAUUGGGGAAGAAGGAGAUGGUAAAAUUCCAAAGAAACUUGCAAUUAUAGGGCUAUGGUGUAUCCAGUGGCACCCGUCGGAUCGUCCUUCCAUGAAAAUAGCGGUUCAGAUGUUAGAAGGAGGAGGAGAAAGCUUGAGUAUGCCGCCUAAUCCCUUUGUGCCUACUGGUCCUACAACUAGAAAUGCAAGACGCCUAGAGCUAGAAGCUAUUGCUGAAUUAGAGUAAAAUGUAUAUGCAGAUAUGUAGACGUAUAGAUAUAGUAAUAUUUACAUUGAAUAAGAGGCCGUUUGAUAACCAUUUCGUUUUCAGCUUUUAAUUUUUAUUUUGCACUUUUUUGAAAACUGAAAACUAAAAUCUUGUUUGGUAAAUACUUUUAGUUUAAGAAAAAAUGAAGACUGAGAACUAAAAAGUGAAAGCUCAAAGGAAGUAGAUUAAAAGUAGUUACCAAACAAACCGGAAUCUCAAUAAUAAAAAAUGAUUGAAUUGCACAACGCAAUCCAAACCAAUCAAAACAUUAAAAUAGCAAAAAAAAUUAAAAUUCUAGUUGAUUAGAUUAUGAACAUAGUAAAAAUGAACAGAUCCGAUGAAAAAACAAAAAAAAUUCUCAGAUAAAAAUAGGGAUAAAGUAAAAUAUUUAUAAAUAGCUCCUUGUCUCUUAUGUCAUCAAUUAUUUCUAUAGUAUAUACAAGUUUUUGGAAAAAUUAGGUUCCCAUCCCUUAUUUUCAUAUUACAUUGAUUGAAAUCUUAUUAUUUUUCUAUUUUAGAUCAAGGUCCCUUGACUUAUUCCAUGUCAUCAUUUUAGUAUUUAAAAUAUUACACGUCAUCAUAAACGAAAUCUCAUCCCCUUUCUGCAUUUAAGGCAAAAUAAACUAUAUGAGUAAGUUUAAAACAAGGAAAAUCCAUUUGAACUCCUCCAUUCUUCUUCUUCCCUUAUGCACAUCUGGAAUCUACAACACCCCAAACCCAAUUUUCUCCAUUUUUUCUCCAUUCCUGAAUUGAUCCAAUGCAUAUAUGUUGAAUAAACCUAUUGUGAUUAAAAUACAAAUUAGCAUCAAUGGUUUUAUCGGCUUGUGAGAUUUGUGUGGCAUAGGCAAGGCAAUGCAUGCAUCGCUUUCUCAAGGAAUCUGGUUGAUUCAAACAUGCAGAGACUGUAGAGUGAGCGGGCUAUGUAAAAACUGUACCAUUCUGAAGUCAUUUUCUUUUGUUCUUUAUAUUUUUUUUCUUUUUCUUUUAUUAUUAUAUAUUAGUCUUGAUUAUUCAAUGUCUGGUUGGCUACACUUAUGUCCAUGGGUACAUUUUUAAUCAACAUGGUUCGUUCUAAUAUAUCUAUUGCUAUAAUAUGUUUUGGUUGGUUCAAAUUUGUUUUACAUAAAUAUAUGGGUACAAAGUUUUUGGAGAAUAUUAUGUAAAAUGGUUUUUAAGGUUGCUGCAUUUUAUGUACCCACAUAUGCAUGUCUAUAAAUGACACACCCCGUCCCGAAGGAGGGCAUGCUGGCCGUCACGUGAGAGUGACGUAACCAUUUGCACAGUACGGAAGCUUUAAGAUACAAUUUAUAAGUUGAUACACCCGAAUGUGAGUCCUAAUUUUGUCCAAUCUGUCAGAACACCGUCAAAUUCCUCGUAGUCACCACACCUUUGUGAUUCCUGAACCUGGAGGGGCGCAAAACCAAAAUUGAGUGGGUCAGUAAAACAAUUCUUUUCCAAAUCCAAACAUUUCUCAAAACGUUGUAACCCCAAUCCGUAAAACUUGUAUAUUUUCCCAGAAAUGUAAAAUAUAAAUAUACAUAUAUAUUCUCAAUACUUCAAUUCAUUAACUCAACAUUUUUCAGUACAAUUAUGCCAUGCCAUGUCUAAUUCAACAGUUAAGUAUGGAUGCAUCAACAAUAAUCAUAUCAGGUGCAAGAAAGUAAUCAACCGGAGGCCCUCUAAUAGCCAUGUACGGUUGAACCUAGAGCUCAAAAUCUAUCACUCUCACUCUACCGGAGUCACCUCUGUGACCUGUCCGGCCUUCUGCACACAAGUUACGCUCUAGUGCUUUCUCAUCAAUCAUCUGUGCACAUAAUCUAAGGUCACCCACCAGUCGAAAUCUCACUAACACUCUUCGACUGGCCCGUCGCACCCACUCCGCGUGGACUGUGCGACCAGCAUCUACUUGGAUCCAAGGCGAGCGUGCGAUGCGGUGAAUACUAUAAGCACUAAACCAUGGUGCAGGAUUUGAGCUCAAUAUACAUCAACAUCAUCAUAAUAGUAAUUAAAUACUCACCUGAUACUCACCUGUGCGUCCGCCGCACCAAUUCAUAUAUAUGCAUCAUAUAUCAAUUCAUAUCAUUUCAUACAUGGCAAUUCAAUUCACGUUUUUCAUAUAGUUCUAUAUACUUUUCACAUAUUUCUAUUUAAAGCAUAAUUUCAUGCUUUUUCAAUUUCUGGGAAAACGGCAAGUAUAUAUAUAUACGGAAAACAAAACUGCCCACUCACCUGGAGUUCGCCCUACAACUCCCUAGCACAAUACGCCAAGGCGUCAUGACGAUCGGCGCCUAAAACAAUAAUCAAUUCCAACCUUAGAAUUCAUAUCGAUAGAAUAUAUAACUUAUAUAAAAUACGUCACUGCGUAGUUCGAUCCGGAAGAUCCACCACUCAGAUUUUAAAUCCAUAACUUCCAGAGGUCCACAAUAUAUCUCUAGGAUAACAUCCUAAAAUUUCAUUACCAUCCAACGGUCGGAUCUCCGUCAAUUUCCAAAACUAAGUGACGGUUAACAUUUUAUUUUAUGAACUUACAACUCCAAUUCCUGAAGAUCCGUAAAUCGGAUUCCCAAUCCGAAAGUUCCAAUAAUCCUCAAAUAUUACGUAUUACUACGUAUCAAAGUUUAGUGACGAUCUAACGGUCGGAUCGUCAAUUCACGUUUUCACCUAAAUGUGAAAACUAUAAAACGUUAUUCGAACAUCUAACCAACAAUCCUUAAUAACUUUCUCAUACGGUGCUCAAUUUGGGUAUAUGAAUAUACCACGGUGAUCUACUCGACGUCACGGACGUCGACAUAUUUUUAAAAUAAUUUUAUUUUAUUUUAUUUUUUUUACUGUAGCACCUUCUUCUUCCUUGGGUCGCCGGACUGGUUUUUCCAGCGGCCGUUUUCUGGGCAGUUUUUCAAAUUGCCAUAACUUUGUCAUUUCUCAACGAAAUCAAGUGAUUCAAAAACGAAAGUUGUAGCCCUUGAAGAGACAAAGAGAAUGGUACCUUACAAAACACCUAGUUCUCCGUGGUUUGGCCGGAAACUGCCUCGAAAGCCUCGGAGGUCGCCGGAAACUGGGUAUUUUUCAAAUGAGUAUAACUUCUUCAAUACUCAACGAAAUUGAGUGAAACAAAAAGGAAAGUUGUAGUAAUUGACGAGAUGAAGAGAUUGAUACCUACCUCGACUCCUAACUCGCCGGGGAUUCGCCGGAAAAAGCCUCGAAAGCUCCGGCCAAACUUUGAACUUGUCGAUCUCCGUGUUCUUACGUCCAAAAACUUCCAACGAAGCACUCCGAGCUUCCUUGGGACCUCACUAAGCUCACUAUGAGCUUGGAUUGUCCUAAAACAAAGUCAAUUCGAAAAUCAUGAACAGUGCACUUUCACGGGGAGUUUAGAAUCUAGGUUUUCCGAAGUAAAACUUACCUGAAAUUGGUGUCUACGUGAUCGUGGAGUCUCCAGGAGUUCGAUGGUGGUCUUAACUCCGUCGUUGGUGGAAGUUUAAGGUUGUUUUGCGGUUGGUUUGUUCGAACGGAGAAGAAGAGUGACAGAGAGAGAGAGAUUCGUGAGGGAGGAGAGAGAGAGACAGUAUGCAGAAAAUAGGGAGAGGAUUGAGGGGUGUGGGGAUCCCAUGUGGUCCUUUUCCAAUCCCCAACUCCAAACCACAAAAUUUUAACCUAAAAAUCUAAGUUCCAUCCUUAAUAAAUUCCAUUUUAUUUUCAAAACUUAGGAACCUAGAUAAUUAUCAACUUGAGCUUCACAUACUUAGUAUUUCUUAAGGGCAAUUUCGUCCAUUCACAGCCACGAAUGUAAUAUUUUUGGAACGGGCUGUGACAAUCUUCCCUCCUUAUAGAAUUUCGUCCCCGAAAUUCCAGCAACCAACUAAAUCAACCAUACUUCAACAAUAGCUUCGGGUAAAUCUCUCUCAUCCGAUUCUCUUUCUCCCACAUAAUUUUCUACUGAAUGAUUUCCUUCACAAAGCUUUUACCACUUACUCUGUCUUAAUUCUCAAGACUUUCUUUUUCCAAUCUAAAGUCGUCCUUGGUUCCUUAUCAAGUCGAAUCCAAUUUAAUUCUCAAUAGUUGCACCAGAAUCUCAUGUGACGAAUCUGCCACCUAGUGACAACGUAUCGAACCCAAAAUACAUUAAGUAUCUUAGCCAACUCUGAAGACAUCACCACAUGUAUGCAACUUUAUUGAUUCCUUUAGUGAUCAAAACGGACUGAUGUGUUCAAGACUUAUCUUGUCUUCCUUUCUGAAUCUUACUAUUUCUGUUCAUGGUGAAAUUUCCAAAAAUAUCAAACCAUUUACCUUACACACUCGAUUAGUGGCAUAUCCAUCUGUUAGUCUCUUUUGCCAUUCCUGGUUACUUCAGGUUAACUUAAUCACCUGAAUACUUUGAGGAGACUCAUCCAAAAUUUCGGGUCCACCAAAAUUCUUUUGUGAUCGAAUCUUUCUCUACCCAGAAGCAUUCCAUCCACAAUUCAGCAAAAAUCGACACACAUGACACGCUUCAUGGACAUUAUGGCGUUACUUUGAAAACUGGCGAAACCAACAUACUUAAGAAACUCAGCAGUCCCGUAACCCAAUUCUCUUUUCCAUAAAACAAAUAAGUACUGUUGCACUGUCUGGGAAAGGUUGUUACUCAACACUGGAGUAAAUAUACUAACUUGUUACGUUGCCCAACCAUCACUUCACAUUCAAUCGUAACCAUCUUGUAUACAAGGAAACUUGUACACAUAGUCCAAAGUAAUAUCUUUCCAUUUCUGUUUAGAAACAGAAAAUAGCUGUCUCAAUCCAAAGGUUUAUCUCUUUCCGCCUCAAUCUGCUGAUCAAAUAAACUGUCGAGUGGUAUGAUAAAUCUUAUUACUUUUGGAAUAUUGCAGAAGUUGAACAGUGAACUUUGUCCAAUAUUUGCUUGCUUCAAAUCCUCAGCAUUAGGCACAUACUUUUGGUUUUCUUGUAUCCACAUACCAUUUGAUUCACGAAUCAUGUAUUCAUUCUUUUUCCCUUCUUUCUCUACCUUGGUUAAUUCUUAAAUUUCCUCGUCAAACAUUUAAGUUUCGAGUACGACCUUACCAAACAGGCCUAACUUGAAAUUUAACAAGUAUAACUUCUUCUCGAUCUUUCAUUCUUAACUUUACUUUAGUUGGUUUCCAAUCCACAAGAAGAUAAUCAUGGCAAGCGUACCAGAUAUUAAUUAUUACUGCAGUCUUCUUAUCAAGUGCUUCAGUUACAACAAUUCACAAUCACCCUGAUCGUACAAUCAUAAUCACUAAGUAAUUCAAUCCACCUUUGUUGCCUCAUAUCACAAUCCUUCCAAGUAAACAAAUAUUGGAGACUCUUUUGAUUUGUAAAAUCUUGUAUUCUUAUCAACAUAUAAUGUCUCCAUAACUUCACAGCAAGGAUGAUAAUCGUGACUUCCAAAUCACCAGUAGGGUAAUUCAUCUUAUGAGGUUCCAUUUAUCGUGAAACGUAUGCAAUCACCCUAACAUUUGCAUCAACAUGCCUCCAAUACCAUUCAAGAAACAUCACUAAAAAUUUAUGAUUACCACUAUUCUCUGGGAAUACCAAAAUACGUGCAUGAGUGAGGAAAUACUUCAGUUGUUGAAUCCUUUGCUCACAAUUUCCUUCCCACUCAUACAUAACCUCUUUUCUCAACAGUCUCGUCAAUGACAAAGCAAUGACUAAAAACUCUUUCACAACCAUCCAAGAUAGUCUGGUAAGUUAAGAAUUUCCGAAUCUCAAUUAUGGCUUGUGGUUGUUCCAAUUUCUCAAUUCUGCUGCCUUUUAAGAAUUCAUUUGAAUACCUUAAGCAGAUAUAACCAAUCUCAUAAUGCCACUUGAUUCAUCCAACAUUCGCAUUUGCUAAACUUAGCAUACAACCAACGUUCUUUCAAUCUUUGCUUCAUCGACUUAAUACGUUUACAUGCUCUGCUCUGGCUCAGAAUGUACCAGAAUAUCGUCAAUGAAAAUGAUAUCAAUUAUCAAGGCAUUAUUGGAAUACUUCAUCCAUCAACUCAUAAAACCGCAUGAGUAUCCACAUAGCAUCACCAAACCUCAUAAGGACCAUAACAAGUCCAGAAAACCAUCUUAUGAUCAACGUCAUUCAUAAUCUUUAAUUGGUAAUAACCAGACUUCAAGUCAAUCUUUGAAAAUAUACAAGCACCUUUGAACUGAUCAAAUGAGCGUCAAUACACCACAAUGGAUAACGGUUCUCAUUCGUUACCCGACUCCAUUGUCUAUAAUCAAUGAACAGUCUCAAGAUCCAUUUUCUUCCUCACCAACAAACUGGGGCUCCUCAAAAGUGUUGUACUAGGUUGAAUAAAACUUUUAUCAACCAAUUCUUUCAACUAAAUUUCCAAUUCCCUUAACUCAUCAUGAACCAAUCUCCAAUAUAAAUUUAUACCUGGCAACAAAUCAAUAAUGAACCUCAUAUCUCUGCCUGAAGACAAUCCAGGUAUACUUUCAGGGGAGACAUCAAGAAAAGUCUAACCCUUUUGACAUUAUUCACACUACUCCAAACAACAUCAUUUAGCACCCCAUGAGCUAAGUAUUUUUAACAGCCUUUCGAAAACAAUCUCUUUGCUCUCACAGCAUUAAUAACGGCCUGACUCAAUCCACCUUGCAUACUUACAAAAGUAAUCUCUGGUCAUCCAGAUCGAUGGAAAGUACUGGUUUCCCGUAACAUUCCGUCUUGUCACAAUUAUAACCAACCGAUCUAAUGGAACAGAAUUAACUGAUACAAUAUAUAUUCUAUUAUUAUUAAGCAUUCUAAAUAAGUACAAUACUAACAUAAAAUAAUCUACCGGGUUGCUUGCUUAACGAAUCCACGAAUGAGUUAUUAAUAUUACGGUCUGCAGCCCGCAAUACUGAUAAAUCAUCGUUGUCUCGAUAAGUAGGCAACCACUCUCAAAGAUAUAACAUUACUAUUUUGUCACUCAAUGCAAAAUACAUACACUUGUCUCAACUACAUUUAUUUACUACUCUCUAGGUAAUAACAUACAUAAUAAGAAAUAUAUCAGUCGAAGUCAACUAGAAUGACCAAUACGGCUGAUUCAACUCUUAUCUCAAUAAUACGUCGGCCGGAUCCACUCCGCGUGGUCGGUACGGCCGAGCCUAUAACUCAUCCAACCUCUCUGUACUCACGGUCAAUCCGACCAAACUACUAAGUCCAUAACUCUGCUGAAUCGACACUAUGAUAUCAUGGAAAAUUAUUGAGUACAACUGAUUCUAGGGACGAUUCACAAUUCUGUGUCCCCUCUGUUCACAUAAACACAUUCAUUAAUUUCACACUUCCCAAAGUGUUAAUUUUGUACCUGCUGCACAAGGUACAUUUCCUUUACUCGAGACACCUUGUCUCAAAUAUCUGGGAUUACCAGUAUAUCCAUCACUUUUACUCUGACCAGCAACAUUAAAACCUCAGCUGGAAGAAUUAACUCUAGCUUCACUUCUUUCGAAGCUCUGAAUCUUUCUAUAUCUUUGAUAUGACGAAUCAUUAACUUUAUCGUCUUCUUUUAAUUCCCAUUCAUUUCUUAUUCUUCUUUAUUCUCGUUGCUCAUGUUCUCAGAGUCCUCAAGACUCAACAGCAUCUCGUAUAUUCCUGGUAAGAAGUACAAUGGAUAGUGGUCACCCAAAAUACCACUUCCCUUUUGCCACCCAGCUUAAAACAACAUAACACCUCCACCAAAUUAGCAGCAAUAUCCGAAUGGAAACGAGGCUAGUCUGAAAACUUUCUAUAAUAUUCAUUUAUCGUCAACUUCCUUGAUUCACAUUUGCAAAAUCUUGCUUACUACCAACGAUAAAUGCCGGAGGGAUAAACUUUUCCUUAAAUAAGUCCUUAAACAAUUUUAAAUCGGCUACUUCCUCUGAUGACAACAAUCAAUACUCCUGCUUCCAUCAGGAUACACGUUCAUAACUCAAACCAGGUAGUCGUCUCGACCCACCUGUCAGAAGGAAAUUUCCUUUGACUUGCAUAAUCUGAAACAUCUUUUCCAAUUGGUUAAUCCGUUACUUCGCUCCCUCAGGUUCAUCAUUCCAUAAGGUGAUUCAAAUUCGACUCAUAACCUGUCUUAAAAUGUCCCUUUUUAUAAUAGACUGAAUCACCAUAAUAAUAGUUUCCCCUAAACCGCUAUAUUAGGGAGACUAAAUUCCUCUAACUAAGUGGCUUGCUACGAGGCGGUGUAGUUCUGACAGAAUUCACUAGAACUUCUCAAAAUGUCCAAGAUUGCAACCAUGCUCUGAUACCAACUGACACACCCCGUCCCGAAGGAGGGCAUGCUGGCCGUCACGUGAGAGUGACGUAACCAUUUGCACAGUACGGAAGCUUUAAGAUACAAUUUAUAAGUUGAUACACCCGAAGGUGAGUCCUAAUUUUGUCCAAUCUGUCAGAACACCGUCAAAUUCCUCGUAGUCACCACACCUUUGUGAUUCCUGAACCUGGAGGGGCGCAAAACCAAAAUUGAGUGGGUCAGUAAAACAAUUCUUUUCCAAAUCCAAACAUUUCUCAAAACGUUGUAACAAUAAAAACCAGUCCGGCGACCCAAGGAAGAAGAAGGUGCUACAGUAAAAAAAAUAAAAUAAAAUAAAAUUAUUUUAAAAAUAUGUCGACGUCCGCGACGUCGAGUAGAUCACCGUGGUAUAUUCAUAUACCCAAAUUGAGCACCGUAUGAGAAAGUUAUUAAGGAUUGUUGGUUAGGUGUUCGAAUAACGUUUUAUAGUUUUCACAUUUAGGUGAAAAUGUGAAUUGACGAUCCGACCGUUAGAUCGUCACUAAACUUUGAUACGUAGUAAUACGUAAUAUUUGAGGAUUAUUGGAACUUUCGGAUUGGGAAUCCGAUUUACGGAUCUUCCGGAAUUGGAGUUGUAAGUCCAUAAAAUAAAAUGUUAACCGUCACUUAGUUUUGGAAAUUGACGGAGAUCCGACCGUUGGAUGGUAAUGAAAUUUUAGGAUGUUAUCCUAGAGAUAUAUUGUGGACCUCUGGAAGUUAUGGAUUUAAAAUCUGAGUGGUGGAUCUUCCGGAUCGAACUACGCAGUGACGUAUUUUAUAUAAGUUAUAUAUUUCUAUCGAUAUGAAUUCUAAGGUUGGAAUUGAUUAUUGUUUUAGGCGCCGAUCGUCAUGACGCCUUGGCGUAUUGUGCUAGGGAGUUGUAGGGCGAACUCCAGGUGAGUGGGCAGUUUUGUUUUCCGUAUAUAUAUAUACUUGCCGUUUUCCCAGAAAUUGAAAAAGCAUGAAAUUAUGCUUUAAAUAGAAAUAUAUGUGAAAAGUAUAUAGAACUAUAUGAAAAACGUGAAUUGAAUUGCCAUGUAUGAAAUGAUAUGAAUUGAUAUAUGAUGCAUAUAUAUGAAUUGGUGCGGCGGACGCACAGGUGAGUAUCAGGUGAGUAUUUAAUUACUAUUAUGAUGAUGUUGAUGUAUAUUGAGCUCAAAUCCUGCACCAUGGUUUAGUGCUUAUAGUAUUCACCGCAUCGCACGCUCGCCUUGGAUCCAAGUAGAUGCUGGUCGCACAGUCCACGCGGAGUGGGUGCGACGGGCCAGUCGAAGAGUGUUAGUGAGAUUUCGACUGGUGGGUGACCUUAGAUUAUGUGCACAGAUGAUUGAUGAGAAAGCACUAGAGCGUAACUUGUGUGCAGAAGGCCGGACAGGUCACAGAGGUGACUCCGGUACUAUUUUGACCAUUCUAUUUAACUUGUGUUUCAUUUAUUUUAACCAUUCUAUUUAAAGUUUAUCCCAAGUAAUCUAAUUAAGACUAGAGUCGAAAGUGAUGCAUUUAGUAAUUGCUUACACUUGUGAAUAUGAGUUGAUUGAGGUGGUGGUGGUUUCUUGUAUUAAUAAUUCUAUUUAAACUCAUACCCUCCCACACCAUCAGAUCCAAGUACUAUUUUGAUAAACUUUAAAUAGAAUGGUUAAAAUAAAUGAAACACUUUUAGAAAAUAAGUGAAGAUGUUGUUUACAAAUAUAGAUGCAUUUGUAUAUAAAAGCUUUGGCGGUUGAUCCGUAUACACUUCCAGAGAUAUAAGCAAGUUCAUUGGAUUAUACAUACAUAGUUAAUGUAUUACAGUAUAAUUAAUAAGAAAACAAUUGCAUCCCUUUCAGAUUAUAUAUAUAUAUAUAUAUAUAGACACACACACGCACACAUACAUACACACAGGCCCUUUAUGCAAAGGAAUUUUCAAUUUUUUUUUUAAAUGGGGAUUAGUUGUGGGGCCCACGCUGCAUUGAACUUUAACGAUCCGAACAGUCUAUUUUGUAAUUCUCGAUUCAUAGAUCAUCCUUGUAAAAAUUCAAUUCAAUCCGAACCUAUUUGCCUAUUUAAUUAUCAAGAUAAAAUUUUAUUGUUUCUUAUAUAACAAAGUAUUCGUUAAUUUCUUUGAACUCAAUUAGAUAUCUUAAACAUUUCCGAUUUGGUUAAUAUUGUGUAAGGAUGAUCUAUGUGGUGCAACUUGAAAAAUAGACGAUUACGAUCGUUAAAGUUCGAUGUGGUGAGAACCCUACAAUUAAUCUUCAUUUUUAUAAAAGAAUGGGAACCCCUUCCCUUAAAGGUUUCCUAUGUAUAUAUUUGUUCUCCAGACAUAUGCAAAAGGUAAUGUAAAACCAAUGAGAACUUAAAUAGAUAUUCCAUACAUAGGACAAUUCCAUAUAUGCUUUUUCAACAUUGAUAUCGAAAAGCCAAAUUGUUUUGAGGAAAUUAAUUGUAGCAAUGAUCCCUUAACUUUUAUCUUAUUGGAGCAAUGGUCUCUCAACUAAAAAUUCAUGACCAUUGGUUCCUUAACUCCACACAACGUGUAGUUAUGGUCAUUUUCAUUAACCCCGUCAGAACUUUUGUUAAAACAAGUAAUGUUAGAAGAAUCAUUGCUACAAUUAGGUUAAAGUUGGGGACCAUUGCUCUAAUUAAAUUAAAAUUGAGGGAUCAUUUCUCCAAAUUGCUUAAAGUUCAAUGACCAUUUCUACAAUUUUCUCAUCUAGUUUCCCAUAUUUACCCCAUGAUUCAGCUUCACAUGCAUUGCACAUGACUCAUUUUGACAAAAAUUUUAACGAAAUUGACGAAAAUGACCAUAAAUACACGUUUUGAAUAGUUAAGAGACCAAUGGUCGUGGAUUUUAGUUGAGGGAUCAUUGCUCCAAUUUGGUUAAAGUUGAGGGACCAUUGCUACUUUUUUCUCAAAUGUUUCGUAUGCGAAAAUAGGCAUUUGUAAAGUUUGGCUUGUUCAUGGCAUUAUUACUUUAGUCUAAAGUAAGGCUGGAAAUGGCACUGUAGAAAUGAAUAGUGUUCCAAUCUGAAUUUCAGUUUAAUUACAACAAUGCCAUUGCUCUUUGUGUUGCCUUUAGGUGAGCAGCCCAGCUUGCAGCCAGGCCCAAAUGUAUUGGUUUUAGCUGAGAAGCUCGGCCCUUGGUCAUGCCCAAAAUUUUAAAUUACAGUUUUGCCCAUACAAAAUAACAAUCCGAUUGUAUCGGGAAGGACAAUUUUGUCCUUUCAGUUUUGGGUGAGAUAGGGGGUAACAGGGUAAGUUUCAUUUGCUGUCGUUGAAUGAGGGUUUCGGGGAUGAGGGCUCUGUGUGUGUGUGGGUGAGAGAGAGAGAGAGAGAGAUGGCGAUGGAAGGAGAGUGAGGGGGAAGGGAAGGGUUCUCGGCACUAUUGUUGCAUGUGGAUUUCACAAGUGGGAGAGUGGGUAUGGUCAGAGAAGACCAUAUAGGUCGUUGGGAUUUCAGGGAAACGGGGUAGGGGUCAUGAAUGAACCCUGCUGAGAGUGGGUACCGGAUCUUGCGCUGCAUGCCUCAAAUCAAAGAUAAGUUCGUUUUUUUUAUUGUAUUUUUAUGGUAGCUUAGCUUUUGGAAUUGUUUAGUAUGUUAGGUCCGAUUUUGGGGGAUUUAUCUUUUUAGAGAGAGAGAUAGACAGGGAGAUAGAGAGAGAGGGAGAGGGAGAGAGAGAGAGAGAGAGAGGAGGAAGCAUGACUGUGUGCAAUUUUUGGUGUUAAUUAAUGGGUUGGUGCGCAGGGUGAGUGACAGAGUGACAGAGUGAAGGAGGGACGUGUGGGAGGGUAUGAGUUUUCAGUUCUUUCUUUUGAUUCAACAGGUUAUACACUGUUUGAAAAACUUUUUUUUUAUUAUUUUGUUCUCGUUUGCUUUGUUCAAACCAUCAUUUGAAUUUUUGGGUUUCACUGUGCUCAUUUCUCUGCUUCUUCAUAAUUUGCUGGUGUUUGCUUCUCAUCCCUCUGUUGGUAGAUCUUUUUCUCAUUUCUUGGUUCCUUAUGUAUUCUUUUGUACAAAUCUGUUUACUUUUUUGCUGUGUGAUAAUCUUAGCAGGUGAACUAUAUGAACGUUUUUUUUGAAACGAGUUAAGAAGAUCCAGCUGAAAAUAGCAUACAAGAUAGAGAACUGGUAUGCUGCUCGCCAGGGAAAGGCUGCUGGAGAGGCCGAGACAGAUGCCUCCUUCAGAAACCAGGUCAGUUUCCUGCUGCUCGGCGUCUUAAUGUAUCCAAAUUGUUUAUCUUUUGAUGAAAUUAGCUGGCUUUAUUUUCUAUUUUAUUUAUCUGCAUAUUAUUUUGGUUUGUUGAAAUUUUGACUAUAGUCAUUGUCACAUGGGCGCCCAGCCCAACCCAAAUUAGUUGAGGAUAUUUAAAUCUUCACCAUGGUAUUAUAGUACUCACUCACAGUUGUGAAUACUAAGGUGCAGGCAUGGCAUGAAGAAGUGGACCGUGCACGCCAAUGUCAGAGGGAUGCAGAGGGCAAGCUUUUUUCUUUGGAGGUAAGUAUCCUUUGUUUAUUGCCCAACAGUGUUGUUAUUAUCAAUUUGUAGCUUUGCGUUCUGAAUUUUUUGCUUUGUCAAACAACCUUCUUGAAAUGCUCGAUUUCAAGCCGAAGUCCAAAAAAUGAGAGUUGAGAUGGCUUCCAUGAAAAGGGAUGUAGAGCAUUACUCGCGCCAAGUGAAAUCUGCUUCCUCUCUUUUCGUAUAUCUUCAUAUGAAGAGUUUUACUAAGUUAUAUUGAGAACUAUGUUAUUUAUAGGUUAUAUUUUCCAUUUUGCAGGAACACAUGGAGCUAAGGAAGAGCUAUCGUGAACUCACUGAUCUACUGGUAAUGUCACUCAAACUGCUUUAUUUGUGCAUGCUGCUACUAUGCGCUUGAAUGCAUUUUAUUACUGGCGGGAUGCAAGAAAGCUAGAUAUAUGUGCUGGAUCGCUUGAUUAGUGUUAGGGUUUUAACAACUAAUUGUUAGCAGCUAGAAGCUCUGGUUAGAUGAAUGCUAAUUUGAUUUUCCUUACAGUACUUGAGUGCCAGUUUCAUAUUGUUUGUUCCCUGCUGGAUACCUGUUGUACAGUUUCAUUUCUGUUUCUUUAUAACUUUCUUGGCCCUGGGAUAUAUGCAUAUUGAGUACAAUGAAUAUCCAUUGUUCUCUAACUGUUGGGCUUUACUAUCUUUGUAGCAGCCUGCCUAACAUUUUUUAGGCUCUACACUCUACCAUCCAAUUUAUGAAAAAUUCAAAGAUUGAACGGUAUUGAUUGCAGAAAUGAAAAAAAUACUAUGAUAUUAGAAAGGUGAAUGUAAUUGUGUUAGAAGAAGCGUCUAGCAUGAUGGGUAAUAUUUUAAGUUUGUAUUUCUAAAAUUUUUUCGUUCUGGAGUAUGAUUUACCUCAAUUGUUUUGUACUUUAAUCUUUACUAAUUUUCAUUGUGGAGUAUGAUUUGCCUCAACUAACAACUUUUCAUUGUUUAACUUUUUCCUCCCUUAGAUAGUUGCAUAUGUUUGAUUUGUUAAUCUGCUUCUUACACAUGUUGUUUCCUAAUGGUGUAGGUGGGUUGCCGGAUGCAUGUGCAGAUUACUUGAAUAGACGAAGCUAAGAAUGACUUAGUAUUAAGUGAGAAAGAAGCUUGGGUCAGUUGGAUUUUGAUAUUUGAUUUAUUCAUGUUUUUUGUUGCUUGCAAUGUUCUCGCAUUGUUGUUCUGAGAUUCUGUGAUCUUAUUUUUCAUAGGAACUGACAUUGGUUUGCCAUAUAAUGUUUCAUGAACUAAUACAACAACUAAUCACCUUGCUUAGCUCUCAAGACACAUACUUAAUAGGUUAACAAACACUAACCUAUAAACUGAUCUGCUAAGCUGGACCAUUAACCUCUGUUUAUAUCCCUGCCACUCAUCUUUUGGCACUUAUCAAUAGCAAAAUUUAGAGUUACUGAAACCCCAAUUUUAAUGAAUAUUAUUUUUAGUUGAUAAUUAAAAUUAAUUGAUGAUUAAUCUAUUCCAUUGUGCAUUAUUUUAUCGCCAAAUACUUUGAAUAUUCAUUAGCAAAAGAUAUAGGGUUCACUAUUUAAUGAAUAGAAUUUUGAUGGUGGAUUGCAUUUCCUGAGUUAUAAAUGUGGUGAAUCCAUUAUUUACUAGCUGAAUAAUCAUAAUGUUUUGGCCACUUACCUUGAAUUUUGUUCAAAUUGAAGAAGUCACAUGUUUCUUUCUGUUGUUGAGGUAAUCUCUCUGUUGAAAGCUUCUAUUUCUUUUUUCUUUUUCUCUUUUUCAUUUGGGUAGAUUUUUUUUUUAUGGAUUUAUGUAUUUUUUUUCAGAGAAUUCGAAAUGAAAUAAGAAUAGCGGAUUGAGCAUAAACAAAUUGAUGAAAUUUUUAUUUGAGUGUUUGUGUUGGUCCUUUUUUGAUUUGUUGAGGUUUGGAAUUAUUUGAGUUUUUUUUGCUGUUAGUACUGUGAAGGAUGCUUGGCAAUCGCGAAAUGGGGGCUACCUCUUUGGAAAGAGAAGUCUCGCUAUCCAACCUCUCAUGAAUUACAAACAGGGUGCUUUCUUGCUGAAAAACCACUAAACCAGUAGAACUUUCCUCGGUUCUUCAAUUCGAUUCGAAUAAUUUUUUUACCCAGAAAGCCAGCGUUUCCUGGUGGGUUUUACAGCUUUCUCAAUGUUUUUGUGAUUUUGGAUUUGCAAAUUUGUUUUCUGUUCAAAUUUCCUUUUGUGAUUUUGGAGGUUUUGUUUAUCGAUUCUCUCACUCAUCUCUCAGCUCUCUCUCACUUUUGAGGUACAUGCCGUUGGAUUCCAUUUGCUGCUGCUGAUCUGCAGGUAAAGCUUCAAUUACCAUAUAAAGUUUACAUUUUUCAUGAUUUCUUGAAUUUGGGUUUUAAACAAAGGAAAUAUUGCUAGAUUCUUAUCUUAUGUGCAAAUUACUGGCUAUUUGGAUUGAUGCUUGAGAUUUAGAGAAUGCCUCGAAGCUUUAAUUUCUUUUUCCUUCAUUAUUACUGUUUUCAAAAUUUUUAUUGCUGGGUAUUGAUAAUUUGUAGUAUGUGAGGGCUUCAAUAUGUUGGAAUUUUGAAUGGUUAUUGCUUCAUCGGAAUUUGGGUGGUCCAAAUUUUGAAUUAGAAGAAACCCAUUUGAUUAAUAUUUUUGGUGGAUUGGUUCUCUGUGUUUUCCUUGCUAUUUCUCCCCCAGUUGGAAAUUGGAAGCCCCAACUUUGAGCUCAGAGCUUGAAUUUCUCAAUCGUUCGUUUCUCUGCACUCUCAUCAGUCACUCUUGAUCCUCUAUCUAAAGAACUGGGUAAUUUUCCAGCUCUAUCAAGUAAUACUCCAUUUAAUUGCUUAAUUGAGGUUUUUUGUUUCUCUUUUUCGCUCUUUCAUCAGUUCAUUGGCUUUGAUGUUGAGCUUAAGUAAAUGGGAGAUCAUUAAUUGGCAUUGUUCAAGAUAUAAUUCUGUGUUUUUGGAUUUGUGAAACGAUUUGCCUAAUGAUGAUAGUGGUUAAAAUAAAUUUUUCGUUAUGAAAGAGAACAUUGUUCUUCAUUUGCCUAUGGUUUUAAGUACAAAGUUAAACUACUAUGCUUUUGUUCAAUUGACUGCAACUCAUGCCGCAGUUUGCUUCACAAACCUCUACGGUUAGCUUCCAUAUAGUAUGUUGCAAGUUUGAGGAUAUCUUUACAUCUUAAUUUUUGCUCUCUCUGGUUGCUUCAAGUUUGUAAUUUUACGUGUUACAUUGCUACUUGAUUUGAUUAUAAAAAUGCAAAACAAAAUCCGUUUUGCUUUUAUUCAACUUAAAUGUAUCCUUUUGUUUGUUCAUAAUUGUGUUGAAUUUAUUCAACUUAAAUGUGUUUUAUUCAUCUGUUUACGCUUAAAACAACUGGUUUCCCUAGCAAUGCGCGGGCCUAAUUUCUAGUACAUAUACUAAAAGCCAGCAGAAAAUUACUGUUCAUCAUGGGAGAUAGAGCACUGUUCAUUAACCGUGAAAGGGCGAAAAUGCCCUCGGAUUCUUCUUUACUUCACGUACUGUUUACGAAUUGCUACAGUAUAAAGUCCGUUUUGUCCUUCCUGUCCACGCAUCUUUCAUCGUCCGUUUCUCUUGCUUCGACCACAUCUUUUUUGCUUUACCUUUCCUCUUCGUUUUUCGCAUUCGUUAGGCUACGAUUUUCGGAGGUGGAUUGUUUGCCCUCCCAUUUCCAUGGUCUCCCCAUGCCCUCCCAUUUCCAUGAUCUCCCCACGUCAAUAUUUUAUAAAAAUAAUAAAUAAAAGGUAAUAAGAAUAUAAAAUGUUGACGUGUCUUAACGUGACCACAUAGGCAUUGGGAGAGCAUGGAAAUGGGAGGGCACACAAUCCACCUCCGACUUUCUCCCUUUUCGCCAGCCCCUCUUUUGCUCUCAAAUCCUUGCUCUUUCUUUUGCAAAAUAGUCUCAGAAGAGAUCCUGGGUUUAUCGAAUCCUUUGUUGUUGGGCGUUUUGUUCUCAUCUUGCGAUCGUCGGGGCAGCAGCUUUAAGGUAAGUUUGUUUUUAAUGAUUUAUCCUCAUUUUACGAUGUCUGGGCUAACAAAUUUAAGAUCUUUAUUUUUCUUUUUGCUGCGGAUCUGCAGGUUUUGACAAGUUUUUUGUGAAAUUGGUGCUGUCAGUGGGUGUUAACAUCAGGUACCCAUGUUCAGUUUUUCGUUUUGAUUUGAAGGAAUUUCUUGCGCAGAAGAGCUAGGGUUUCUUGGUGAGUUCUUCGGGUUUUUCAUAUGGGUAAUUUUCUUUUCGGUUUAACCCUCUGCUUCUGCUGCUCUCUCUCUUUCUCUCAUCCCUGCCUGCUCCUCUCCAAUUGUUUGCUGUUCUUAAAUAUUGUGUUCAUUGCCUGAUACAACGAGGCAAUGGCGUGACAACAGGUGAGCUUGGAUAUCCAAAGAAAAAGAACAGUUGGUUCAUCUGCUGGAGUCUGAAGCUCAGAGAAGUGGAGGAAAAUUGCAGGUGUGCGAGAAAUUUUAUUUUGCUGAUAGGACUCCUUAUUUACGGAUGCAUUUUGAAAUAAUUGAAAAGUUGGAUUUGAGUUAACAGCUAUAAAAAUGUAGACAUGAUUGCUGAGAUUAUGCUAUGAAAGUGGAAUAAAAAAAUGGUAGUUUAUAAUAUUGCGUACCAAUUGUUUUCUCUCUUUUUUACCAAAUGAUAAGGGUGGUGGCUCAGGCCGCCCCCCUAAGCGUCCCCACUCUUCGACAAGUUGAAAUCGUGGUGAUAGUUUAUGGGCUGUGGUCUUGGGAUUCUGCAAAUAGAAUGAAAAACAGACACUUAACUAUCUUGUUAUUAAGCAUUUCUGCAUCAUUCAGUUGCUCUUGAUUUUCGUCUUUUAAGCGAUCUUAUUUCUGCGAUCUGACUUGAGGAGGGUUUUUAGACCUAUGGUUGUGGGUGUUUUCUCUGACCCCAUUAUCCGAGAUUUGUAGACUUGCGAUCGGCGGUCAAACAUUUUGUGAUUCUUGUUUUCUCUGCCUUUCGGUCGUUAAGCGCCGGCAGUCUUUAGAUCUUUGGCAAAUCAAUUUAAUACAACCGAGGUAUGUUUUAUAACUGCUGUCUUUCAAUUUUUGUUCUGUAUUUUUGUUAAUUUGGAUGAAGCUCUAAUAAUUUUGUUUUGGAUCAGUUGUGGUCCUCUGUUAGGAUUUUCCUGGCUAAGAGGGUAUUUGCGUUUUUGUUGCUUGGUUGGUCGAUCACAGAUUUACGAACAGCUGUGGUGGUCCUGUUAUUUUUUUGGUAUGUUUUUUCUCCUUUUUGGUUUUUUCCCGGUUUGAGCACCCAUUCAUGAAGAAUUAAAAUGUGUUUAUAGUUUUUCAGGAGAGAUUAGAAAAGUGAUUUCAAUUUGGGAAAAUUUAAUGUUGGUUAAAAUUUGUUUAUAAUUUUUGGGAAGGAAUGAGAGGACCCAUUGAAGUAUGUGUUGUGAUUAUUUUUUAUUCAUAUUUUUAACAAAUUGGGCAUGAAUUGGUAGGUUAACUGUGUGUGUUUAUUAUUUGAAUCGGCCAUGUUUGUCUUUCUAUGGUUCUAAAAAAUUUGUAAAGGCUGUUAACUUGGAAGAAAAUGGGAUCGAGGGUGAGGGGAAAACGGCAGAGAAAGCAUGGAAGAGAGAUUUGGGAUUAGGGGUAGGAAAACAGAUGAAAAGAAUAUGAUAGAGGAAUGGGUUCAGUUCAUUUUCACUAUUUUUUUUAACUGAUUUGGAUUUUGUUUGGGUUUGAGGCCAUCAUUGGCGUUAAGACGUUUAUUAUCAGAUCGUGUGUUUUUUGCUAACUUUUAUUGGUAAUUUUAAUGUUGUUCUUAUGAUUUUGUGUGGUAGGGUUUCUGAAUUUUAUCGUUAUUCAUUUGGUUUUGUGUGUGUGUUGGUUUGUUUAUUUUGCAGGUUGUGUUUGUGCUGGGACAACAUUUUCCACCUUCUGUUUGCACUGGGAUGAUUGCGUUUUAAAACUGUUGGGGUGAGAUUUACAUAUGGAAUCAUUCCAUUUUUUUUCUUCCAAAUAUGUGCAUUUAGUUCUCUUUUAUUUUAAAUUUUAAAAAUUAAAUCGUUAUUUGAGUAAAAUGUUUUAUCAGUUUAUGUUAUGUGUUGUGACCAGGAAUUCUGUUGGAUUUGCGAAUUUUGGUUUGAUGAGAGAAAUGAGGAGUUUUUUUUGUUUGAAUUUUUUAUUGGACCGAUUUUCAAUUGGAUUGCAUUCUGCCUUUUUGCACCAUUCUUAUGCAAGCAAUUCAUUGUUUUAAAUACAAUUUGAAGAGAGCUGGGUUGCGGGUUGGAUAUAAAAUGUUAAGGUGAGAUAAAAUCGAGAUACCAAGGGUGGAAGAAUGAUUCAGAAUUGGGGGAGGAAAACAGAGGGAAGAUAGAAGAAUAUAAGAGAAGGAUAGGGUUGACCUCAUUUAGAGUUUUUAUUUACUUAUUUUUUUUUAUAAAUUGAUUCAGGACUUGCAUAUCAUUUCUAAAUUUCUAACAUUUUUGUUUAAUUUGACUCCAGUUGAUGGAAAACAGAGCUCUUACUCCUAUCAAUCAGAUGGUCCCGUACAUAAAUGCAGAAAAAUCAAGGUUCGAGUUUGCAGAGUAUGCAGACCAAGGUUUCCCGAAACUACUGGUGCAUAUUCAGGCUUGCAUUGUAUAUUACUUACCUAUUAAAAAUUUGUUUGGAAUUUGCUUUUCCCACAGAGGAGAAGAGCUGACAGUUACGCUGUGGGCAGAUGUUGCUCGAAGUAUUGCUUCUUUAUCCAUUGAAUCAUUGUCUCUGCCGAUCAUUGUGGUUUUCACAAGUUUAAAGGUCAAGCUGUACCUAGGUAUUUGACUUAGUUAAAAACUAAUCUAUUUACUAUUAAUUUUUCUAUUAUAUUCAAACGUUAUUUAAUAUAUACUCUACUAAUAUUUUCUUAACAUGUCACACAAACAUAUUCACUUCUUUUGAUCAAUUUUUUUACAGCAUUUCAUAUAAAAGCUAACAUUUAGUUGAAAUUGAUUAGCAACUCUUUUCUUGCAUGUAUACAUACGAAUUAAACAAUAGUAUUAAACUAUUUGUUAUCAUUCUCAGUAUUUGUUUUAGAAUUAGAUUAAUAUAUUUAACCUGUUUUAGAAUUAGAAUUAUUUGGUAUCACUCUCAGUAUUUGUUUUAGAAUUAGAAUUAGAUUAAUAUACUGAGAUUAUUUAGACAAAUCUAGCAUUUUCUCAAAAUAUUUGACUUUUAAACUUAGAUUAAUAUAUUUAGCAGUUUUUUAACAUGCAAUUUUUCAUUAAUUUUUCAACACACAGACAAGAUAGUCUUGAACACCAUUGGUUCAUCACUUUUCUUCAUUGAUCUAGAUAUUCUGGAAGUAAAUUCAUACAAAUCAGUGUAAGUGUGUUUACUUUGUUUAAAAAAAUAUUAUAUGCUCUCACAAUAAAAGAAGGGCUAUUCUCACAAAAUUUAUGAACUAAUGUUCUGUUUUAACCUCUACAGCUUUUCCAAAUGCACAGAACCUCUAAAAAUACUGCCACCUUUUACAAAACAGGCCCGUGAAGCUCAAAUCUUGCAGACAGCGAAGGUCACAAUUGCAGACGCUGAAAUUUUCAUGCCAAAAUAUGAUGUGGAGGAUGAGAAAUUGUUUGCUGUUGUUCUCUUUUCAGUUUUGCAGGCGAUGAUCUUUUACCAAAUGUCGAGGAGCUUCCAUGGGACAUGCUCUAUGCUCUCGCUUCCCAGUUGCCUCUGUUGGGGUUGGAAAAGCUACAGAUCACAAUGUAAGUCAAAAACAGUAAAGUUCCCAAGAUGUUCUGUGCUGGAGCAGAUUUAAAGGUACGAAUUUUUAAUUUUUUUGUGAAGUCGAUGUUUUGUUUUAAAAGGAGUUUAUAAUGGAUUGAUUGGACAAGUACAGCGUGUUUUGCAGAUAAAGGGCCCUAGCCAAUUUUCUAUGACCUAUAAAGCAUUAACCAAAUUGGGUUUUGUUUGUUUGGUAACAGGGGUUGUUCAGGUUAGGUUGGAGAGGUUGGAGGUGAGAAAUGCAAUUGGGAAAGAUACGCUGAGAGUUUUACAGAACACCUUUGAAGCUGUCAGUGAGGAUUCUUCUGCUAAUGUUUUGUUGAUCAGCAGUAAAGUUCCCAAGAUGUACUGUGCUGUAGCAGAUUUAAAGGUAGGAAUUUUUAAUUUUUUCGUGAAAUCAAUGUUUUGUUUUAAAAGGAGUUUAUAAUGGAUUGCAUGGACAAGUACAGAGUGUUUGUUUGUUUGGUUGAAUGUAAAAAGGAAUUGGAAGAAUGAUGAAAGUACUUGCAUUUGGUUGUAGUUGGUCAGGCACUGAAGGACCGGUCAAUACGAAGUGCAUCUGUGGGACAAUAGUUGAAAGAAGGCCAGAGCAGGAAGAGAAGGCAAGGUUUGUGAAGAAAAACAGUGAUGUGUUUAAUUAGAAGAAAUGUGCAUUUUUUUUUCCCAGUCAAAUUCUGCUUUUGUUCUGACUAUUUUCCUUACUGUAUGCUGAUUUUAUUAUUUAAUUUUUGGUUUUUCCUUGAUUGGCUUGGGAAUUACAAUCAAAUGAUGAAUCUUCAGUUUACUUGGGUAAGCAUUUUUUAACAUAUAAUUUAGCUGACCAUUUUAACUGUCAGACCAUGUUGUUUUUGGUUAUCUAAUCAUUCCAAGAUGGCAAGUUAGGAUUGGAAGGGUUGCUAGAAAUAAGGAUUAUAUCUUGGGACAUUCGGUGAGUGAUUUUUCAAACUUUCAGUUUUACAAGACAAAAUAUCUAUUUUUGUGUGUAUUCUUCAAGCAUGUUAUCAUUAUUUAGGUUGUAGGAAAAAAAGAGAGUGACUUGAGGUGUUUUUAGAUAUUUUUGUGUGUAUUCUUCACAAUGUAUUAAAAGCGCGAGGCGUGGGCGAGGCGUCUGAGGGAUAGCCCACGCCUCACGCCUUACGGGACCUAAAUUUUUUAAUAUAUACACUGAGCGUACACAUAUAUUAUAUUAAAAAAAAAUUAUUAAUCAAUAAUUACCCUGAGCGCACAUAUAUAUUAUAAAUACAUAUAUACACAUAUAUAUACAUAUAUUAUGUUAUAUAUAUAUAAAAUAGAGGAUGAAAAGCACAAUGAGCACACAUAUAACAAUGCAUGCAGACGGCACACAAUAUAGUGCAAGGAAUAGGUAUGAGGUAGUUAAAACCCUACCCAAAAUCUGGGUUUGGGAGUAAAAAUAAAAAAUAAAAAAAAAAUUGCUUGAGGCGCGUCUAGGCGGCUCCGACAACGCCUUCCGGCGCCUUCCGCCCACUCCCUCAAAACAAAGGCGGCAACCCUCAAGUCCAGCCUCACAGGGUGCCUAGGCGCACCCUGAGGUGAGCCUUUUAAAACAUUGAUUCUUCAAGCAUGCUAUCAUAAUAUUUGUAACUAUAAAAAAUAAUAUACUAUUAUACCUCUGUUUCUCUUUUCUUUGUUUUCAUGAGAAAUUAAUUGCCAUUGGCAGCACUAUAGAAAGCCAUCUUUCUCCAUUAUUCUCCGCUUCAUGCAUAAUUACAUAAUUCUACUAUCACAGUUGUCAGUCCUGAACAAUCAUGCAAGUCUAGUGGCAAAAACCACCUCAAUGAACAACUCUCACACACACACAGACACUGAUCAUACAUCUCUAACUCUCUUUUUCAAAUAACACACACUCUGAUCCAAAACAGGGUAAAUAAAAUGCACAUCCUUAUACAUUUCUAACUUUGUUUUUCGAAAUCCAAAAUAGGGUAUUCUAACUCUCUUUUUCAUUCAUUUCUUACAAACCAAUCAUACAUUUAAAAUAGGCUUUGAAUAAAAAUAGGGUAUAUAAUUAUAUACCUCAAAAUGCCUAGGAACCAACUUCCCCCUCCAACGAUUCAAAUUCUUGAAAUUGCCAACACAGUAAAUCCAUUAGUACUAUAUAAAUGAAAACACAAUUGAAACCCAUCAAACAAAACAAUCCCACAAUUUAAAUGAUUCAAUCCUACUACAAUUGAAAUUCACAGAAAGAAUGAAAAACCAGAACAAAACUGCAGCACCUAAAAAGUUGUCAUACAAAAAAACAUGGAAUGUAAAAAUAUGUUAAGAAAUCUAGUUCGUUAAUUUCCAGCUGCUAAGUGGCAUUAUGUAACUUUAGUAGUAUACUAAUUAACUACUUAUCUGGUGGGUUGCACUUUUAUCCAAUUGGUAAGGAAAGGAAAAUAAAAAUCAACCCCUUGGUCUUAGUUGUGGCUGCAAAGUGCAGGCCACCACCAAGUCUCAGUGUUUGUGUUUUAGCAAAACACUUAAAUAAAUUAAAUUCUGAAAUGUAAAUUAUAUUCCUAUAACUUUAAGAUGCACAUAUAGUAUUGUUGAAGUCGAACUGAAAGCACUGACAAUUCCAAGCAACAGAGCAGCAAUUAUUAAGAGCCAAAACUCAUUCCUAGUCUCCUCAUCCUGGUACUCAACUCCGUAAUCUUUGGUCAGCAUCAUUGACUGAAAUUAGGAGAGAAAAAGAAAAGGAAUUUCAGAAAUUGUCUAUGAAGCAAAGGAUACUGCAGUUACUUCAAGACAUGUAAAUUGCAUAUGUAUAAAGUAAUUUUCUACAUAAAGUAAUGAGGCAUAACUUUCUCUCUCCUCUUCAAACCCUAAACAGAGCAAAGCAACAAACUUUACAGAGAUUAGAAUGAGAACUGGAACUAAUCGAACAAUGACUGAAAAGUAACAUACUUGAGGAGUGAAUGAUUUAGUGUUUCCAUCAUCGGAAGCCGGAGUAAGUCGCUAAGAGAGGUCGCAAACAGCCCAAAGGGACAAACCCAGAUCCCCGGCCCCGAUCCAUACCCUUCCCCCUCAAAUCCCGACGGCCCCCAUACUUUUCUCUGACUGUACCCCCUCUCCCACUCAUGAAAUCGAGGAUCUGUAGCAAUGGUACUGAGAUCCCCACUCCUCCCUCUCCCUUUCUCUCUGUCGCUCUGUCUCCCUCUCCCUCUGUCUGUCUAUCUUUAUCCCAGAGCGGCAUGGCCUCCCAUCCCUGAAACCCUCACCGAAAGGUGGCAAUUUUGUAAAUAACUUGAAAUCCACCAACAACAGGGGCAGAGAAUUGAAACAAACAUUUAGGCUCGUUCGAUAACCAUUUAGGCCAAAACUGAGCACACCUAAACCAUUCCUACCCGUGCCAAAUGUUAGUGGGGAAGCAAGAUGAAGACUUAUUUUUCAAAACCAAAAGAAAAAAAAAAGAGAAAACAAAAUAACAAAUCUAAUGGUUGUAGUGUAAAAGCUGAGAACGUAAAUAAGAGCAGUUCCAGCCUUGUAAAUAGGCCGGGGGACAGGGGAGAAGAAAAGGCCUGAGGGCCUGUCAAGUUGCUCCAGCUAUGAGGAGCCCGAGCUCGUGGAGAAGGCCCGAGCAGGGGGUCUGUCAAUUUGUGACAGCCUCGGAGCCCGAGCUCCAAGCCCAUUUUUUAUUUUUUUCUGUCAGGCGCGUGCACCCCACUCGCGCGUGGGGGCGCGUCGCCCGACAACUUUUCAGAAAAACAGACAACUUUUCAGCCUUUCACAGUUACCGUUGGGAAGCCACGUGGCUUCCCACGGUCUGUUCGAUCUCAACGGCUCCUUCAUUUGGACCGUUGGAUCUCAAUGGUAAAAAAAAUAAAAAAAAUCUGAUUUAAUAUCAACCGUUCGAUCCGAGAUCAACGGUCGAUAUUAAUAUGCUUUAUAAAUAAAGAAAAAAUAGUUUUAAAAUUAAGAAAAGUUACCGUUGUGACACGUGGCACAAUCUGGAGUGUUGGAAUUCAAAAUUUUUUAAAUCCAACGGCAGAAAUUAAUUAUUGGAAUUUUUUUUUAAAAAUGGAAAAAAUCCGAAAAAAUUGUAAAAAAUCUGAAAUUUUUUUUGUAAAAAUUUGUUUUUACUUUUCUAUAAAUACCACUUCUUCUCUAUCUACCUUACACCACAAUUUCAUAUUUUCUCAACUACUUUCAAUCAAAUUCCUAUCUUUCUCUUAAAGUUUCAAUCCAAUUUUUUUCCACAAAAUGGCUACUGAUGCAGGUUCGAAUUGGUCGCUUCUUGAAGAUGUUGCGUUGUGCACUAGCUGGGUUCAAGUUACUCAUAAUUCCGUUACGGGUAAUGAGAUGCAGUUGCGAGAAAUGUGGAGUUUAAUUCAUACCAAAUUUGUUGAGCAAAUGAGUGGGAAAAGAACCAAAGAAUCGAUAUCGAGUCGUUGGAAAAUACUUAGCCAUUCCUUUAGUACGUGGAGAGAUGCCUUGACACAAGCUAGUAAUAAUGUUCGAAGUGGGGCAAAUUAUGCGGAUGAGGUAAGAAUAUAUUAUAAUUAUUUGUUUGUAUUAUUAUUUUGUUACCUAAUUUGAUUAUAAUUAUUUGUUUGUUUCAUUUAUUUGUUACCUAAUUUCAUUAUUAUUAUUUGUUUGCAAUAUUUAUUUGUGACCUAAUUUCAUUAUUAUUAUUUGUUUGUAUUAUUUAUUUGUUACCCAAUAAUUUCAUUAUUAUUAUUUGUUUGUAUUAUUUAUUUGUUACCUAAUAAUUUCAUUAUUAUUAUUUGUUUGUAUUAUUUAUUUGUUACCCAAUAAUUUCAUAAUUAUUAUUUGUUUGUAUUAUUUAUUUGUUACCCAAUAAUUUCAUUAUUAUUAUUUGUUUGUAUUAUUUAUUUGGUACCUAAUAAUUUCAUUAUUAUUAUUUCUUUGUAUUAUUUAUUUGUUACCUAAUAAUUUCAUUAUUAUUCAUUUGUAGCAACUUCAAGCACAAGCAUGGUAUGCUGCCAAAAUCAAAUCAAGAAACAAAUCAUUCCACCGAUGGGAAUGUUGGAAUAUUGUUAAAGAUUGUCCUAAAUUCAAAGUUGUGCCUGUUGGUCCAGAAGUAUGCAUGAACAGCAUCCCUCUACACAGCACCUUUGUAUACAGCAACCCUCCACACUCUACACCUGAUGAUGGCACUCAGGUUGAUGAAGAAGAUGUAGAUUUAUUUAAUUUCGUAAUAUAUUUAUCCUAAUAAUAGAAUCUUUAUUCAUCAAAUUGUUCACGUAUAAUGAAAUAAUGAAACACACCAAAUAAAACUAAAAAACUCACCAAUUGGAAUUACAUAAACAUACCAAAUAAAAUUACACAAACAUACCAAAUAAUAAAAAACUCACUACAAAAAACACACCAAAUUAAAUUACAUAAACACACCAAAUACAAACAAAUAUAGUAAAUAAACUUAAGUAUCUUCAGCUUGUUUCAAUGCCCACUGGUGCUCUAUCAAGUCAAUUUGCCGAUCAUUGUGUAUAGAUGACCUUUGAAGUGCAGUAUAUUGUUGAAUAACCCUUUCAUUGUAACGUCCAUCCCUUUCUAAUGGCUCGUGUUGCACGGGUUCUUCGGUGGCAUCAUGCGCACAAUAUAUCCGUGUUCUUGAAUUGUUCAUCGUGUCUGGCUCUGGCUCAUAUUCAUCAACCGCAUCAUAAUCGAACUCAUCUUCCACAAUCAUGUUGUGAAGAAUGACGCACGUCAUCAUGAUGGAUCGAAGUGACUCUACAUCGAACAUUCUGGCAGCACCCCUGACAAUCGCCCAACGAGCUUGAAGGAUACCAAAACAACGCUCCACAUCCUUCCUGCAUCCCUCUUGACAGCUUGCAAAGUGUUUUUCCUUUGCACUUCUCGGACGUGGCACUGUUUUGACAAAUGUUUCCCACUGUGGGUAAAUGCCGUCAGCUAGGUAGUAUGCCCCGUCGUACCUACGUCCGUUGACGACAUACGUGACUUGUGAUGCCUUUCCUUGGAGGACGUCGUUGAACACUAGGGAUUGGGUAAGGACGUUGAGAUCAUUUUGAGCCCGGGAACCCCGAAAAAGGCGUGCCAUAUCCAUGUAUCAAAAGAUGCCACUGCCUCCAAAAUGAUAGAUUUUGCUCAUUUUCUGUCCCCAUAUGCGCCUUGCCAUGCACUUGGACAGUUUUUCCACGUCCAGUGCAUACAAUCGAUGCUUCCUAUCAUCCCAGGAAAACCUCGCAUCUCGCCCUUCUUCAGAAGCCUUUGCAAGUCCAUGUGAGUAGGUCUUCGGAGGUACUCUGCCGUGUACAAAGAUUCGACUGCUCCGCAAAACCUCAUCAGGGCCUCAAGAAUGGUUGAUUUCCCCAUCCUCGUUAUCUCAUCCACUUGGUCUGCAGAUGCUCCAUACGCAAGCAUCCGCAACGCAGCAGUGAUUUUUUGCUCUGGCAGAAGAUCCAUAACACCACAAGCAUCCUUCUUUUGCACGAAGUAAGAAUCAUGGUUGCAAACAUCAGUCAUGAUUCUGUUGAACAAAUGUCGUUCCAUUCUAAAACGGCGUCUGAAGUACGUAUCAGGAAAUGCACUGUUAUGGACGAAGUAAUCGUCCAACAGCUCUUCACCCCGUCGUUGCCUGCUUCUAUCAAGGUUUUUUGAACGGCUGGGCCUGCAUAUCUGAGCAACAGUCUGGAUGACUCGACGAGAAUGUGAGGCUCUGGCCAUUCUUGUUUCGUCAUCUCUCUUUCUACGCUCCUCAUCUUCUUCCAUCUCAUUUCUGCCUAUAUGAAGGUUGAACAUUCCUUCAGAUUGGUUAAACAAUUCUUUCUCUUGCUGAUUGAUUUCCCACAUCAUCCUUGAUGAAGAAGAAGACAUUGUAGGAUGGAUGGUGAAGAAGAAGCAAAAUCUAUGAAUAAUGAGAUUGAGAUGUUGAGAAAAUUGGUGUGAGAUUUGUGAGGAUGGAUGGUGGAUUAUAUGGACGAUUCAGAAAGGAUCGGAUUGUAGAUAAGGCCACGUGGCAUGCCGUCAUUCGUUAAAAAUCUGAUCGAAAUCUGUCCUGAAAGAUUCUGAAAAGAUAAUGACACGUGGCACGAUCGUAUUGGAUAAAAAUCUUAUCGAAAUCCAUCUCCAAUAAUUAUCAUUUUGGAUAAUGACACGUGGCGCAAUUUUGAACGAGUUAAAAUCUGAUUGAAAUCUGUCUUGAAAGAUUCUGAAAAGAUAAUGACACGUGGCACGAUCGUAUUGGAUAAAAAUCUUAUCAAAAUCCAUCUCCAAUAAUUAUCUUUUCGGAUAAUGACACGUGGCGCAAUUUUGAACGAGUUAAAAUCUGAUCAAAAUCUAUCGUCAAAGAUUCUCAAACGAUAACGACACGUGGCACGAUGACAUUUGAUAAAAAUCUUAUCGAAAUCCAUCGUUAAAUAAUUGUUUUUUUUUAUAAAAUGAUACGUGGCGCAACGAUAACGAUUUAAAAAAUCUUAUCCGAAAUUACAAAUAAUUUUAUUUUGUAUUAUUUAAACAAACAAAAAAAACUAAUAUUUUAUUGCCUAUUGCCAGGGGGAGGGCUCCAAGGGUGGAGAUGCAAAUGGCAAUUACUGUUCAUUAAUGUCAGUUACUAUUCAUUCAAGGCAGUUACUGUUCAAUAGGGUGGAUUCAAUAGUGGAUUGCCAGGGGGAAGGUCUUCAUGGGUGGAGUUGCUCUAAACAUGCAGGGAAAAAAAUGAAGAUACAAAGUAGCUGCAUCAUGAAACACAUACUCCAAUUAGACGCAAAAAGUGAUGGUGAUGAGAAGAGAGAAAAUGUUGUCGUUUUGAUUUUUCUGGCUUUUAAAGGGAGCAGCUUUCUUCGACCACCAAAAAAAGGAAGUUGCUUUUCGUGUGGUUGUGAUUUCCUGAGUGUAUGUGAGCGGGUCUAUGGCACUUGCACUGUUUGUGUCGGUUAUGGUAACCGGGCGAGCUGGACACAGUAGCGUGGGACUGAAUUCGGAGAGGUGAGAAAAAUUAAAAACACAAAAAGAAGGUGUUCAUUUUGUCACAUUUUUAUUACUAAAAAUUCAAUAAAGUACAUUCAUUAGUAUGGUAACUUAACUAUUUAAUUCCAUCUCAUUAAACUAAAAAAAACAAUUACAAAAAAAUAAGGAAAACCUUGUCCAGAGAGACCUGAGAGAAAGUGACGACUUCUCCUCUCAUUCCACUCCAUACUUGAUCUCUAAAGUCCAUUUGGCAUGUAAUUGAUGUUCAAUUUCAAAUAAAGUGGUGGCAAUUAGCAAAGCUAAUGAAAGAAUCAAAUAAAAUGAAAGAAAAAGCAUCAUGAAAUAAAUCAAGAUGAAGAAUGAAAUUUUGGCAACUCGCCAUUCUCUUCUUUUAUAUAAAAGAUACAUCCUAUUUGUAGUGAAAACAGGUCCCGACAAACCCAGUUAUCCUCAAGAAGUAUUUUGUAUGACUUUAAAAACAUAAUCCGUGAAAUUAUCUCUUGGCAGAGAACAACAACAAAUCUUCAUGCAUAGCUUGUAGAGAAAGACAUCAGGCAUACAAAAGAACAGGCAAGCAUAAAAUAAACGAUGCAUGGAAAACCAAAAAUACAAUUGAAUAUGCUGUCAAAAGAACAUGAAUAAAUGAAAAUUACAAAACAAAGAAGUGAUGGGAAACCAAAGUAUUCAUAAUCUAAUUGCUUUUUAGUUUGCUUGCCAUUUUUAGUUCUUCAAUUUAGAGAGAAACCAUAAUUCAGCACAUGAAUAAAGUGAAAACGUAAAAGAUACGUGGGAUAAGCUGACAGCCAUCCCUGAGUAAUGCAUUCACUUUUGAACCCCAAACACACCGAAACAAAAAUUCACACACAUGAACUACAGCUCCGCUAUGUAACAAGAAUUAAAAGCAUCUCAAAACAAAAUGGCAAACUAUAAGAGCAUUGUAAAAGUAAAAUUGCAUCUAAUACUUGGAGGGCAAGUACUAAUCAGACGAAAAUGAAAGAUUGAACUACCUCACGUGGAACUGUGCCUUGGUUUUUUCCCAUGCUUACAAGAAGCUUUGCACUGAGCUCUUAUAGCCCAAAUUUUCUCUGAAGGAAAAAAAACACAAUUUUGGAAUAAGAUUUUCAUAUUAUACCUUAAAGAGAAGAAUUAGACAACAAAAAAGAGAACAAUGAGUACUAUUCAUCAUAUAUUGUUAAGAGUAUGUGGUCUUCUAGUCCAAUGGUCCUGCAGUCAUAUUUACUUUAUAACUCUUUCUUUUAGUCUAAAAAAACAUCUUGGAUCUCAAAUUAUUAUGAAUACGGAUUCAUACUUUAUAACUAAAGAUCUUACUGCUCUUGAUAAGAUGAACAAUACGCCAUUUAUCGCAUGCAUUGCAUUACAAUCACAAUGCAACAUCUCAUUAGAAAUCCCCACACAAAGCAGCUCCACUCAUUGUGGUCCUUGCAAACCGAAUUGGCCCAACGAUCAGCGAGAGAAAGGAGACGGCGGCGAGAUGAGGGAUAUGAUGGAUGCGAGAUCGUCUGUAUCGUUAUCGCGGGGGGUCUGCAAGACGGACGAGGAAAGUAGGGUUUGAGAAGGCAUUGUCUUCUCGCGGGGUAUGUGUCCUUCCUAUUCCACGAUUAUCAACACGUGUGCAUCAGGAGGAGCGGCAGAGAGAGGCAUUGUUGUAAAUAAAGUGAAAUCGAAGGGUAAGGGCCCAUUCUUUAAGGUAAUGGCAUGGCCAUAAAUAGAAUGAAAUCCAGAUCAAAACACUGUCAUUUGUACAGUACAAUUUCUCCAUCUUCUUCAGACUAAAGUAAUGUAUAUGUUAUACGCACCAACACAAGUCCUUCUUAGAUAAAUCCAAGCCAAACAAUUACAAACGACAGUUAUUCACAAGAAAAUCACUUUAAAGCAAGAAUUUAAUUAAUAAUACAUUACUACACUUUCUUAACAAUUUGACGGUCACCUAGCUAACAAUGAACACGUUAGCUAUGCGUUAGAACAUAUUGGGUUCAAUCCAUAGUCUUGAAUAUCACCCCGAGUCACAACUGUCUCUUGGGGCAUACAGAAGGCCUGAGAGGCAUUUGCAGACAUUCAAUCUCUCCUCCAAGCAUUUCGACAACUUUGGAAAUCGAAAGGCGAUCACUUGGUUUCAUUUGAAUACACCACAAGGCGGUUAUAACCAUCUUUCUUAUCACUUUCUUUUCCUCCUCUGUAACAUUGUCUAUUUCCAAGUCAUUUCCCACAAUAUACUGAUCAUAUACCCACAUCGGGAAGUAGAUUUGGCUUGGAUGCUCUACCGUUGCAUUCAAAUUCUUCCUUCUGCUUGCCAUUUCCAUCAACAACAUUCCAAAACUAUAGACAUCGGCCUUGUAUGAGACACCUCCAAUAUUUUUGUAGAACAACUUAGGAGCAAUAUAUCCCAUUGUACCCGUGUUGCCGUCAAAGAGACAAUGAGAAAACUCUUGAGUUCUUCAGAAACCACGAGAAACUUAAAACUGAGAAAGCUUCGUGAUCUCCCUUCCAUCUCUGCUACGCAAUCUCUGCUUCCUCCGUGAUUUCUUCCUUCCUGAUCGACAUCUAUUCGAAUUGAAAACCUUCUGGAGCUCACUACCCCCUUUGUCAGCAGUAAUUAGGGGUGGGUUCAAAAAACCGAAAACCGAAAAAAAUCGACAACCGAACCGAACCGAGGCCGAAAAAAACCGAACCGAAAAAAAACCGAACCGAAACUGUCAAACCGAACCGAACCGAAUCUGACCGGUUCGGUUUCGGUUUUUGAGGUUCAAAAACUGAACCGAACCGAACCGAACCGAUAUAUAUAUAUUUAAUUUUUUUUUCAAUAUUAUAAAUAGUUUAGGCAUACAAUCAUAACAAAACAGAACUUGUUGCCAAGUUGGUUUAAGCGAAAUUUUUCACACUGGUGGCAAUGGGUUCGAACCCUCAUGCCUUUAGGAUUUAUGAGAUUGUUUUUUAAUUUUGUUGAGAAAUCAACAAAAUCCUUUAACCCUAACUUUUUUAUUUUUCAUUCCCCUCUUCUCUCUCUUGUUCCCUGCCUCCAGUCCAAACUCCCUCCAUGAACCCUAACCCAGUAACCCUCUCGCGCCGCCUGAGCUUCCUGUCUCUCUCGCUCGGUCUUCAAUCGCUCUGUCUCUCUCAAUCUCUCAGGCAACCCGCGACAGUGCGACCCUUCUCACUCUCAAUCUCUCACACCUCGCCCUCUCCAUCAGUCUCUCAUCUCGCCGUUUCGAGUCUCGAUAGCAAAAGGUUAGCCUCCUCUCUCUCUCUCUCGGUCUUCAACUUCAAUCACUCUCUGUCUCUCUCAAACUCUCUGUCUCUCUCGGUCUUGAAUCUCAGGCGACCCACGACGGGGCGACCCAUCUCACUCUCAAUCUCUCACACCUCGCCCUCGCCGUCAGUCCUUCAUCUCGCCGUGAGCUUCUUCUUGCCGUUUCGAGUCUCGACUGCAAAAGGUUAGUCUCGCCGUGAGCUUCUUCUUGUUCGUUCGCAGACGGAAGCUCUCUACUCCAAACUCUACGAAAAGUACACAAAAAUCAAGGUGUUCUGUGUUCUUUCCCACUUCUUUACAAUUUUUUUUGCUCAUUCAUUUUUUUUUGCUUAAUCAGUUAAUUGUAUGUUAAAUUUGCUCAGGGGAGAAAUUUGAGGUUAGGGAAAUAGAAAGUAAUUGUCUUUUUUUGUACUUUUGAAUUUUUUUUGCUCAUUCAUUUUUAAUUGCAUGCUAAAUUUGAGUUGGGAACUUUUGCUUACUUGUUACCCAGUUGGAUUUUUUUGAGCUACUUUUGCAGUUUCUUUCUUCGUCUUAAUUUGGGAACAAUUUGAUCAUGUUUGACUUAUCAUUUUGUUAUUGGAGGAAAUCAGCAGCUUUAUGGUUUGGCAAGGUGUAGUGACGAUAGAUAGCCUACUUUUAUGUAUAAUUUGAAAGAGGAUGGAGAUAAGUAUAUUUCUCUGGGAAUCAGAGCUUCCAUGAUAUGUGAUUACCUGUUAUCUUUGAAUUUCUCUUCCGACUCUUGUAUUUCCUUAAGUGAAACUAUGGCCCUGCAAAUUUGACAUGUUGUUGAAGGUUGUAAAUCAUAUGUUGUUCUUUUAGUGGUAAAAAUCUUGUUAAACAUGUAUUUUCAUUUAGGUUAUGGACUCUUGGACAUGCUAAGUCAUGAUGGAAAAGACCAAAGAUUCAUUGGUAACGUGUUCUGAAAAGUAGCAUAGGCAUUGCAAUUCUCUGAGUAGCGUUUUAUUAUGGAUAACGUUUUUGGUGCUGAAGGAAGAUUUCCAUCAAACCUAGCAUCAAUAGAGCAUAUUGUUUCUUGACUACAUUAUGUAUGAGUAUUAGAGUUUAAAUUGUAAACGGAUCUGGACAAUAUAUGAAGUUGGUAUUGAUUUCUCUCAGAGAACAAAUAGAAUUGAACAUCCAGGCUUGUUCUUGUUGACAUGAUUUAUAUAAGAUAUACUUAUAUCACUUUAGAGAAAACUGGUUAUAUGCAUCUGUAUUGUCUCAAAUUAAUUUUAGGCUUCCCUUCAAAGCGUUCUUUUUGUCCAUCCAUCUGGGUGGUGUUCAAUUUUAGAUUAUCCUUUGAAUACUAGACGUCCAGAUAAUGGCUUUGUGGUCCUUCAAAUAAAUUACUGAUAAUGUUCAUGCAGUUGAUGGUGAAACAGGUAUGGUAAUUAAACGACUUCAUGUUUAGGAAUGAUAGGCUUGUACUUUGUAUUUUAAAGAUGUGUGCAUUUUUCAUAUAAAUUUUGUUCAUUGUGUUAGAAUGCUUAUAUUAUAAUUGUGUUGGAGAUGUUAAAAUUUUAGAUUUCAAUUUUGUUUUCAUUUUUCCCAAAAAAAAAAAAAACCGAAAAAAACCGAAACCGAAAAAAACCGAAAAAAAAAAUGGACCGAACCGAACCGAACCGUUUUGAACCGAACCCAGCUCUAGCAGUAAUAAUUUGUUUUUGCAGCUUUAUGUGUCUCUGUCUCCAAAUAUGAUGAUCUCUUAAUUUGCUUCUAUAGCUUUUGUAAUAUGAUGAUCUCUUAAUUUGCUUUUGCAUAUCUUCUUUGCUUCUUCUGCUAGCUCUAUAUGAGAUUCCAUCUCCAAAUAAUUGUUCCCUAUUUCCUAUUUUUACAGGAAGCAAAUCAUUGAAUACACAUGGAAAAUUAAAAUGGUUUCAGUUUUUGGUUAGUUUAAAUUUUUUGUUGGUUAUUGCUUGUAUUGUGAAAUCUCGUUCCCGGAUUUCACUGUUAUAAUGUACGUGUUUGUAUUCUCGAGAAUUUAUAUUAAGUUAUUUGAAGUUAUACUUUAAUUAAACUAGUUACGAAGGUUAGAGUUUGGAAAUUAAUUAUUUAAAAUUCGUAAACCGUCCGAGGUCACAAUUUAUAUCUGUGGAUAGAGCUAGGGGUGGGCAAACGGGUCUAGGAACCGCGGGGCGGGUCGGGUCUAGCCGGUUCGGGGCGGGUACAAGUUUUGUAAACUCAAAACGGGGCGGGUCGAGGCGGGUCCAUGUAAUUGGCGGGGCGGGGCGGGUCUAAAUUUCUGAAAAACCGGGUACCCAGGCCCGGACCGUUUCCACCGUCCAUAUACGAAGAUUAAAUCUCUACCAUUCAUUACUACCACUCUUUCUCUUAGUCGCUGACUCUCGCCUCCUCUCUCGACUUUUCCAGGAUCCAUCCUCUCUCAAGAUGGACUCAGCGCCUACUCCACCGCUCACUCCUCCUCUCGUUGAAGCCACGGCGGUCUUCAUCGGUGCUACCCCUGCCCCAUAUUCUCUCAGAUCAGAGUCGUCACUCCCCUCUCCCACUCGAGUCGAGGCCUCUUGUGAACACCACCACCGCCGUCGAAACCUCCUCCAUGAAAGACACCUUCUCCAAAUAUUCUGAUUACCUCAACAAUCUCGUAAUCCCUAAUUUAAUCUUCACCAAUUUGCAGCUCUGUGAGCGACUCGAAGGUUUGUAGAAUGACAAGCGGGAAAGGGUUGUAAAAGCAAGUCGCGAUAUCACCAUUAAUAGCAAAAAGGUCAUCUUUAAGGUUCACAGGUAAGAAAGCUGCGACCUUUUGCUUCAAAUUUUGUUUCUGUUUUUUGGGUUUUUGAUUUUGGAUUUUGGUUUUUUUUUUUAUAAUAAUUUUAUUUAUAUCAUCAUUGAAAUGAUGUUGCUGUGGAAUUUGAACUUGAACAGAAUCAAUAAACACAACAAAGAGGAAGUUCUGCAGAAAGCUGAAAAGGAUUUAGUAGCUGUGAGUCUGCGACAGAUCAGUACAUUUCCCAGCUUGUUAGAGAGAUGCAGGCUAAGUUUUUUUCUUUUAUUACUGUUACUCUGGGAUUCUUUGAGAAAACUUGAAGCUUGAAUUGUUUUUGUUUUCUGGGUGAUUUGGAAAAUGGGCGAAAAAAAAAACAAGGACCCGUGUACCCGGCCCAAACCGGCCCGUUUGAAAAGGGUCGGGUUAGGUCCGGUUUCUAUUUUAAAAUUUGUUGCACCCGGCCCGCUCCGGCCCGUUUCUUUUACACCCGGGUCCGGUCCGGUCCCUUCAAAAUUGGGCCCGGCCCGGCCCGUGCCCAGCCCUAGAUAGAGCUCGAUCUCACGAACGCGUAGGCGCAAAUCGUUCAUGAAACAGAUCUAUAACGAAGAAGUUAUAGACGUUUUAGUUGUUGGAAAAUAAAUAAUUAAAUGUUUAGAAGCUGCCAAGUGGCAGCAAGGGAGAGGGGAGAAAGGAGAGAGUGCGGGAGAGAAAAGAGGGGGACACCCAAUAAGAAAGGAGAAAGGAGGGAAAUGAGAGAAAAGAAAAAAAAAAAGGGAAGAAAAGGGAGAAACGGGUUCGUACGACCCGUGGGUAUUGCCGGCCACCCAUCUCCAUUUGCCGACGAUUUUCCGACGAAUUUCUUCAAACAACCACUUGGAAACACUCCCUUGUCCUUCCCUCUACAUGUUUCACCCUAAAAAUAAAAGGUUUUGGACUUGAAUAGGGAGAAACCGCACUAAGGGUGUAGCGGGUGUGUGUGUCAAAUCUCCCAAAUCCAAAAUGUUUACACCCAACGACCACCAUCAAAAGACUUUCCUUAAGCCCCUGAACAAAGCCCAGGCAGUGGUGGAGACGUCGGAGCAAGUUUAGAGGUCGAAUUGGAGCACACCCAAUUCUAGGGUUCUUACGGGUUUUAGAGAAAUUGGAAUACUUCUUGAUCAAAUUAGCCUUGGUCACAGGUAUAAAGUUUACUCUACUCAUUGAGAUCUUUAUUUCUGUAAUUUUUGGUAAUUUUUAAAAAUAGUUGAAUUUUUCCGGCAAAUCGGGGCGGCCGACCGCCACCCGCUGCGGCGCGUGCGGCGGCGGCCUGGCCAGCGAGCCAACGAUGUCCUUUUAAGUUCAAUUAGAUGCCCUGAUUUCAUAACUGACAUCCUUAUGUUAUGGUUUGAUUGUUUAAACCUAAUUUCAUUACGAUAUGUGGGUAGGUCAAAAUGUGAUUCGACGAUCCGACCGUUGGAUCGUCACCAAACUUUAAUGCGUCAUAGAAUGUAAUAUUUGAGGAUGGUUGGAACUAACGGAUUGGGAAUCUGAUGUAUGGAACUUCCUGAUUUGGAUUUCUAAGUUUGUAAAUCAAACAUUGGUCACCACUUGAAAUUGUAAAAUCAAACAUUGCAUAUAAGCAUGCUAGAGCCUUUAAUUGUUAAUUACAUGUAUAUGUGUUGCUAAAAUGAACUUAGUUUAUCAAAUUUUUAUUUCAAUAUCAACUUCUAUGGCAUGCGUGGUGUCUCAUGUCAAUCACACAAAUGUUAUGUAAAAAGAAUAUACACGUUGUGUUGCAUGAUUGACAAUUAACGACACAUAGUGUUAUAACCGUGUCAAUGUUAUGAAGGUUUUUAUGCAAAGUCACUUGAUAUGCCGCAACAAUUAGUAAACAAUAUUAGAAAGACCUAGAGGAACCCACAAUUAAUUCCGAUUCAAUAAGUAGGUCAUGUGCAAGCAAGGCAUGGGCUUCCCAUGGGUAGGAGCUGGAAUUUACCCAUAUUUGGUAGUUAUGUACCAUAUGUUUACCCGCAUGACGCUGAGUGUAAUCCUUCUUAAGGUUCAACAAUAUUGUUUCUAUUAACAAAUAUAAAUAAAAAAUAAGCAAAAUACUAGAGAGAUUACACGUUUAUAUUACAUUGUUGUACCAUAUUGUGAUAUGGCUGUGUACAUACCAUGUCUUGUAAUGAGUUUAUCUCAUUAGAUGUUAGACUGUUAAUUAUAUGUAUCACUUGUCAUAUCAUACAAUACAUCAAUAUGAUAUAAAUAUGCCAUCUCUCAAACAUUACUCUUAUCAGAAACCCCAAAAAAUAGGAAAUGCUCUAUACUAAAGCGGAAUGAGAAAAACAUUGUUCAUAGGCAACAGUAUUUUUACUUUUUUGCCCUCAUUUUUAAUGUUUCUGUGUUCCUACUUUUAUGCCUCUAUACGGUGAAAUCGCCAAUUGACCUAUGGGCAUGGGUGUGUAUAAAAAUUGUUUUGCACACGUGGCGUGCUAGGGAGAUUUCUCUGCAGCACUGCUUCAUUAACUGUUUCAUUUCUCUGCACCGUUUCCUUCUAGCUCCACUCCGAAUUGAUACCGAAUACUGGUCAACCAAAUUUUCUCAUCAUUUCGUUCCGUCCUUCUCCACAUCUUCAUUCUUGCUCCACCAUGAAUCGAAACAAAAAAUUGCUCAUCCAAAUUGUUUGGUAUCAGCCGCUCCAAGGAGACAAAUUGCUGAGAAAAGUAAAGAAUUCAGAUAAAAAGUGAAAUUGUUCAUUCAUAACCUUUAGGGAAAUACAGAUGGGUUCUUUAUACCCCAUUUCAGCUACUACAGACAAAAGGUUAGGUAACCCCAAGUGCUGAGUCACCAUAUUCUAAUAUUCCAUUACAAUGCAAAGGAAAUAACUUAAGGGAAUGAGCUAAAGCAUAUCAAGGUCCUAACACAAGUCAAUUUCAGUUAACUCAAAUCCCUAAAACCCAAUUUUCUCCAGAUCGUUGGAUUUAGUUUGCUGUUGUUGUUGCUAAUCUACAGGUAAAGCUUAAAUUUACAUACAAUUUUUUAUUUUUCUUGAUUGGAAUUUGGAAAGAAUUAGUUGUUCUUGGAAAGAAUUACAGAAAAUUGGAAAAGGGAAAUGGGAAAGCGAGGAAAUGCAAGAAAAUGUGUUUGGAAAAUGGAAAAUGACUUUUCUUUGGCAUUCGCUUUGACUUUCAUCCUUUCUGCGUUUGCUUUUCCUCAUUUUUUUUCUCAAGAACCAAACAUAAAAUAAAUAAAUAAACCUAUAAAAAAAAGAAAAGGAAAAUCACAAGAUUAAGAACCUGGGAAUGCAACAAUCGAGCUUCUGUGCCGAAAUAUCAAUUGGGUCCCGUUGGAUCUUCGGUGCUUCUUCUGCAUUCAAAAAGUUGGGGUAUUUCUGCAUCAUUUUUGUGUGUAUUUUUAAAUUCCAGAAGAAAGUGGAUAGAGAGAGAGGAAUAUGCUUUGGGUCGAAAUGGGAACACAAUUCCAAAUUCGCCCUCAAUCCCAAAGUUCAGUAAUUUAUGCAAUUUUUGUCGAAAUUGAUAUUCUUUAUUGCUGAUAUUUGUUAAAAAAGAGGGGGAUAAGAGCAGUAAAAAGAAUCUACAGAAAAUAUUUGUUUUGGAAGAGUAUGUCUUGAUUGGAUAAAACUCGCACCAGAGGGCGAGCGCAUCUGCUAGUAUGCAUUUAAACUUAUAAGGCUAAAUCCUUUAGGGGCGUUUGUUUGCCCUCCUUAACUCUCAUUGGACUGGACUAGAUUAAGGGUUAGUCCAAUCCCGUGUUUGGUACCCGCUAAAACUAACUUUAAUGAGACUAAAGGGGAUUCGCUCCGACUAUCUCCCUCGCUAGGAGGUCUUAGCGAGAGCGCCCUGUGACUAUGGGACUGCUAAGCCCUUCGGCUGGUAUGUCCUCAUCUCCUCUCAUCCACUCUUCUUUCUCUGUUUUCUUGAGCACCGACAGCCACCAUCACACCACCACUCCCAACUUCAGCGAGAUACACUGCUAGCCCAACACCACUCUCUCGAGAUCCAAGGAAAGCAAGCAUCAUUUGGCAAUUUUUGGUAGAAUUGCAGGGGAAGAAGAAACGAAAUGAAAAGGCUUGAAUUUGUUACAGGCCAUUGAUGGACAAGAUUUUUUUUUUGGGAAAUCGAUGAUCAGGGAUUUUUUUUUGGAGAAAUCUGGAGAUCAUGCAGCUUAUGGAACUCUCUAGAUAGAUUAAAACUCACAUAACCAAUAUGGGCAAUAAUUCAUACCUGAGAUAGAGUUUGAGAGAGCUUAAGCUCUCUGCGUUAAUGGCAGAGCGCCCGAUGGUGCAUCGAUGAUACGUACAACGCCGUAGGUGGAUUCCCCAUGUCCCAAGGGUUCGAGGUUUAGAUUUUUUAGGGUUGAUUUGGUCAGCAUCAAGAGAAAUGGUGGGGGUUCCUUCUCGGAGAUUAGAGAGAGAAAGGUUGUAGAUUAUUGUUGAGGAGAGAGAGAGAGAGAGAGAGAGAGAAAAGUGCAGAGAAAGAAAGAGAGAAUGAAAGAGGGGUCACGGGGUGAGGGACCGUAAGAGCAAGUCCACCCAUGCCAAUCGGCCGGGGGACGGGCUACAGCAAAGGGCCCGAGGGCCAGUCAAUUCAUCUCCAGCCAUGGAGGGCCCGAGUGAGGGUGGGAGCCCGAGGGCCGGGGGGGUGGGUAAUUGACAGGCCUGUGGCCCGAGGCCCGUGACGUCAGGCCUGGGUCCAGGCUAUUUUUUUAUAUUUUUUUUGUGUCAGGCGCGUGCCCCUCACUCGCGAGUGGGGGCGCGUCGCCCGACAAGAAAUCAGACAAGUGGGGUUUUCGGCCAGUUACCGUUGGGAAGCCACGUGGCUUCCCACGGUCCGUUCGAUCCCAACGGCUCUUUAAUACGAGCCGUCCGAUUUGCAACGGUAAUAAAAAAAAAACUGAUUUUAUAUCAACCGUUCGAUCUAAGAUCAACGGUUGAUAUUAAUCUGCUUUAUAAAUUAAAAAAAAAUAGUUUUAAAAUUAAGAAAAGUUACCGUUGUGACACGUGGCACAAUCUGGAGUGUUGGAAUUCAAAUUUUUUUAAAUCCAACGGUAGAAAUUAAUUAUUGGAAAAAAAAAUUUAAAAAAAAUGGAAAAAAUCCAAAAAAAUUGUAAAAAAUCUGAAAAAAAAAAUUGUAAAAAAUUGUUUUUACUUUUCUAUAAAUACCACUUCUUCUCUAUCUAUCUUACACCACAAUUUCAUAUUUUCUCAACUACUUUCAAUCAAAUUCCUAUCUUUCUCUCAAAGUUUCAAUCCAAUUUUUUUCCACAAAAUGGCUACUGAUGCAGGUUCGAAUUGGUCGCUUCUUGAAGAUGUUGCGUUGUGCACUAGCUGGGUUGAAGUUACUCAUAAUUCCGUUACGGGUAAUGAGAUGCAGUUGCGAGAAAUGUGGAGUUUAAUUCAUACCAAAUUUGUUGAGCAAAUUGGUGGGAAAAGAACCAAAGAAUCGAUAUCGAGUCGUUGGAAAAUACUUAGCCAUUCCUUUAGUACGUGGAGAGAUGCCUUGACACAAGCUAGUAAUAAUGUUCGAAGUUGGGCAAAUUAUGCGGAUGAGGUAAGAAUAUAUUAUAAUUAUUUGUUUGUAUUAUUAUUUUGUUACCUAAUUUGAUUAUAAUUAUUUGUUUGUUUCAUUUAUUUGUUACCUAAUUUCAUUAUUAUUAUUUGUUUGCAAUAUUUAUUUGUGACCUAAUUUCAUUAUUAUUAUUUGUUUGUAUUAUUUAUUUGUUACCCAAUAAUUUCAUUAUUAUUAUUUGUUUGUAUUAUUUAUUUGUUACCUAAUAUAAUUUCAUUAUUAUUAUUAUUUGUUUGUAUUAUUUAUUGUUACCCCAAUAAUUUCAUUAUUAUUAUUUGUUUGUAUUAUUUAUUUGUUACCUAAUAAUUUCAUUAUUAUUAUUUGUGGUAGAUUAUUUGUUAUAUAAUAUUUAUUUGUUAUUAUAAUUUCAUUAUUAUUAUUUCUUUCUAUUAUUCAUUUAUUAUUAUUAAUUUUUAUUAUAUUUAUUUUUCCUUACAUAAUUUCUUAAUUUAUUAUUUUGUUAUUUCUUUAUUAUUGUUAUUCCAUAUUAUUUCAUAAUUAAUUUCAUUCAUAUUAUUUAUCUUCCUAGAUAAAUUCAAUAUUUGUCUUUUGUAUAAAUUUCAAAGAGAAUUAUGUUGCAUGAAGUAUGGCCAUGCAUGUUAGUGUCCCAAAAUUCAAGCAAUGGCAUGUUGGAAGUCAUGCCAUUGAAAGCCCGUUACACCCAGGUUGCAUUGAACAGCACCCUCCCAGCACAUUUUGUACACAGCAACCCUCUCCACACUCUACACCCUGAUGGACCUGAUGAAGAAGAUGUAAAGAAGUGCCUGAAACACCCAUUCCUGAACAAGCGUCAAGCGUCGGGGUCGACCGUUUCAUUAAUUAGGCUCAAGGUAAGAAGGCUUCAAAGAGGAAAGGGAGUGCUUCCAUGAAUUAUUUACAUGAAUUUUGAUCAUUGGCUAUUUGACGUUGAAUAAUGACGGCGGGAUUUAUAGAGAUUUGAGCAAAAGAAUUGAGGCAGAAGAAGGCAAGAAUUGCAAAUUUUGAGCAAACAGAACAGAACACAAGAUUGCUACUUAGAACAGGGAAAGGCAAGAGCUACUUAGAGAAGAAACCUUAGAAGAAGAAAAAGAUGAACAAGAGAUCGUCAAUUUGAACACGCGUUUAGGAAGGUGAAUUGACGUUGGCACGGGAUUUGGCGAAAUAUGAGGCUGAAAAGGCUAGAGAAGAGGCAAAAGCUGCAGCUACUGAACAAACAUUUCAAGUUGAACAGAGGGAAAGAGAGCUACUUAGGCAAGAAAGGGAGUUGCUUAGAGAAGAAAGAAAUGCACAACGAGAUCGUGACAUUAUGAACACGCGUUUAGAAGGGAUGUCUCCAAAUUCUAAAUAUUUUUGGAAGUCGGAGAAAGCGGAUGUGGUGCGAAGGAGGCGUGUAAGAGAAGCGAGAUCAAGACAAGAUGGUCCUAGCACAACAAGACAAGAUGAUCCUAGCACCACAAAUUGGUUAAGUGAUGAUGAAUAGGGUACUUUUUGUAAUCGGACCCCAUAGUUUUCCGAUCACUUUGGGUUGUAAUUUAUUAUUUAUGUUGUUUCCAAUUUAUUGAAGUUAGUACUUUAUUUAACGUGAGAGUACAUUUAUUUAAUUUCGUAAUAUAUUUAAAAUUAAACUACAGUCAAUGACGUGUCCAGAUGCGUGUCCAUAGGCAAGACACGAGUACAGACGUGGCAAGAGACGAGGGUUGUACAACCAUGAGCUUGUGUCCGUGGCAAGGACAACAAAGGCUUGGGGCUUAGGAUGGCAGAGGAAAUACCACGGCAAGCUAGAGCCACCGACACAUCGUCGUUGCCGCCAAACUUACGUAAAAUCGUUAGCACAAAAAGCCGCCAAGGGUUUCCGCUCACUGGGAAAAAGAUAAGAUUUGUGAACGCCAAGACCACAUGGGUCACAACAUAGCAAAAUUGAAAUCUUUGUCAUCCUCAGCAUUAUCCGACCGCUAUCCACAAAUUGAAGCAACGAAUUGGGCAAGUGUGCAACAAAUUUCCAAUGUGCUUCUAUUGUGAAUGAUUUACAGGGAUUGGGUUGAAUGAGGUUUGUAGUUAAAGUGGGAUGCAAUUUAGAACACCAACGUUUGAUUAUGUUUCUCUCAUUUUUUUCUGUUCACUUUUGCCUCAUUUGUUUUUUUUGUUGCAUCGUCUCAAAAACCUUGUGCGUCUACAUGUACAUGUAUAAGUAUAAAUUUUGGUUAAAACAAAAAGUCACAUAUUUCAUAAUUAACUAUUUAAAUUUGUUGCAAAUCACAGUAUAUCUUUGUUCAUACAUUCAAACAAGCAUGACAAAUACUGAGGAAGAAAAUGAAAAUUAUUGUCACUACAAUUGUAUAUAUUUUUUUCUUUUUGAACAAACGAUAUUAUCUACACUAAGGGGGUGAGGGAGUGGCCUAAGCCUAACAAUGAGCUAGCAAUAAUAUAGUUCAAUUUGCCUUUGAUGAGAAUCGAACAUAAGACAUUUCACUUACAAGUGAAGAGAAAUAUCCUAGACCCUAACUGGAUAUGUUAUUGUCAUGGUCAUGCAUUGGUAUAGUAACAAUAUGUUUGGAUAAGGACAAUAAACUUAUAAUUUUGCCAAAAGUCAGAAUUUUUAAAUUGACACAAUCAAUUCCUUUGUUUGGAUUCAUAAAUAUAGAAAUUUAGACUUUCCGCGUGAGAAAAAACUUGGAAUUUGGUACCUUCAAUUCUCAUGUUUAAAUUUCAUGUAAAUAUGUGUCAUUUAUAAAUUUCAGUAAGUGAGAGUUUAAAAAUAACAAACAUGUAUUCAAAUUUCAUUCAUCCUUUAGGUUAACCAAACAAGAAAAUUUAUAAAUUCUAGAAAAUAAAAUUUCGUUAUUUCAUUUCUGUUAUUUUAAAAUUUUUAGGGCAUGUUUGGUACUCUACUUGAAUCUAACUUUUUAAACUCAAAAACAAUUUUCAAGUUUUAGGCCUUAAAAACUUGUUUGGUAGAACUAUUUUAAAAAACUGAACUUAAAACUAACUAAAAAAUAUAAUCUAUUAUCUAAAAACACAAAAAAUGAGUUUUUAGAAUUUGUAAACUUAAACUCACUCCUUUCUUUUCUCUCCCUGCUCCCCUCUCACUCCAAAUCUCUCUCUCUCUUUUCUUCUUUCUCUCUCCCCCUUCUUUUUUUUUAACCUUUUUUUGUCUCUCAUCCAAUCCGCUCUCUUUAUUCUCUCGGUUCUUUCUCUCACUCCUCUUCCUCUCUAUCUCCUCCGAUUCUCUCUCUUCAUUCUUUUUCAACCAAUCAUUUCUUAUUUUCUUUCCUCCCCUCUCCUCUUUCUCCCUCGACCACCUCUUUUUGGAUCUCCUUGUUCAGUUUGAGCUAUAAGAUUUAAAAAUUUUAAAUCGCAUAUCAAACAAGUUUUUGAGUUUUAAAGAAAAUUGUUUUCAAGAAAUAUUUUGAGAAAUGAUAAAAAAUUUCAAAUAUGAUACCAAACAAGCCCUUAAUAAUCUUAAAUUUUCUCGUCCAAACAAAAAGUUUUCUUGUCAUAGAACUUUCAAUUGAAAUCAAGGAAGAUAAUCUUUUCACAACUAAUUAUUCUCACCAAAAGCAAUUUUUAUUUUAUAGCAGAUCAAUACCAAAUUGCAAAAGCAAAGUAGUAAGGCUAAAAUUCAGGUGAAGAACCUGCUUCCACUAAUUUCCUUAGGAGGGAGAGAGAGAGAGAGGGGAGAGAGAACCAAGCGACCGAGCAGAGAGAGAAAACACCAAGUAGUAUUCUAAUGUUGGUGGGGUUAAGUCACCUUCCGUGAAGUUGCAGUAAGGACUUCUAUCCCAAAGAAAAGUCAGUAAAUGAUGUUGACAUCCGUCAACGACAAGGACAGAAUUGUGUAACCAUAAUUCUCUCUCUAUCUCUUUUUUCAUUAACGGAGGACAGUGUAUAAUUACUACGUAUAUAUCUCUGCUCAAUUAUUGAAAAGAAAAAUCCAUGUGCAUUAUUUUUAUUAUUAUUAUCUCAGAAAUGCAGAAAUUGAUCAUCUCUUCCUUCUGCAUAUUGAUACUGGUUUUCUUCAAACUAGUUGAAGCAAGGCAAUAUGUGUGCGCGAAAUCCAACUGUAGCAAUGAUCAAGGCCCGGCUAUCUAUUUCCCAUUGAACACCAGGCACACACAUCAUUGUGGAAAUUCUGGGCUUGAAUGCAAUGGGAGAAAUGAGCAGCAAAUACUAAUAAAAUUAUUUGUCAAACACAUAGAUUACAAGCGUCAGGAAAUCCAAGUCUAUUCCCCAAGUAACUGCCUGCUGCUAAAGCCUGUUGAAAUCCCAAACAUGCCACCCUCUCCCUUCAUCGUGUCAGUCGGUUACCUGACGAACGUUACCUUAUUCAGUUGUCCUACUUCUGUUGCAAGUGAUCCAUAUUAUCCGUAUCAAGUCCCCUGCCUCGGCGACCGUGGCAAGAGAACUUAUGCCAUUGAUUCUGACUCUGGUUUUAGAACUCUUUUCCGGAAUCUACAAUCUUGUACAAAAAUGUAUGAUGUUUUAUCAGUUCCACUAACCUAUGAAGAUUAUGUACAUCGUUUCAAAUGGUCUAUACCAAAUUGCAGAAAAUGUGGAGAGGGAAAGAAGUGUGGAUGGCAGAACAAUGAAAUUAAAUGUAUUCAAUGGAGGAAACCAAGUAAGGAUAACAUAUGUAUUCAUUGCUAGUUUUAAACAUCUUUACAUUUAUGUCUCAGUAAUUAUUAUUUAAAACAUGUUGUCCAAUCCAUUUUUACUAUGAAUAUUAACUGACAGUCUCAUUUGAAUUUGCCUUUAUCUUUUACAGGCAACACAUGGAAAUUAGUGGUUACAGGUGGAAUCCUGGGUUCUUUGCUUCUUGUUCUACUGAUGAUUGCAGCAUAUCGGGUAUAUAGCGCUGAUAGAAAGGAAAAAGAGAGUCGAUUGCGAAUCGAAAGAUUCUUGGAGGAUUACAAAGCACUCAAACCAAGCAGGUAUUCGUACGCAGAUAUUAAGAGGAUUACAAAUCAAUUCAAGGACAAGUUGGGCGAAGGAGCCUAUGGAACUGUCUUUAAAGGAAUGCUCUCUUCUGAAUUCUUUAUUGCUGUCAAAGUCCUCAACAGUUCUAAGGGAGAUGGGGAAGAGUUCGUAAAUGAAGUGCGAACGAUGGGUCAUAUCCACCACGUCAACGUGGCUCGCUUGGUUGGAUUUUGUGCUGAUGGAUUUGUAAGAGCUCUUGUUUACGAGUUCUUCCCCAAUGGUUCCCUGCAGGAUUUCAUUUCAUCCGCAGAUAGUAAGAAUUCCUUUCUUGGUUGGGAUAAGCUGCAGGAUAUUGCCCUAGGCAUAGCCAAAGGAAUUGAAUAUCUUCACCAAGGAUGCGAUCUACGAAUCCUGCAUUUCGAUAUCAAACCCCAUAAUGUUUUGCUAGACCAAAACUUCACUCCAAAAAUUUCUGAUUUUGGUUUGGCCAAGUUAUGUUCCAAGGAUCAAAGCUUGGUGUCCAUGACUACAGCUAGGGGGACCAUGGGCUACAUUGCACCCGAAGUGUUCUCCAGGAAUUUUGGAAAUGUGUCUUACAAGGCAGAUGUCUAUAGCUUUGGAAUGCUGCUGCUUGAGAUGGUAGGAGGAAGGAAGAAUAUUGGUUCAAUCACGGAUAACACUACAAAUGAAAUUUACUAUCCACAGUGGAUUUAUAAUCUUCUAGAGGAAGGGGAUGACCUACGAAUCCAUAUUGGGGAAGAAGGAGAUGGUAAAAUUCCAAAGAAACUUGCAAUUAUAGGGCUAUGGUGUAUCCAGUGGCACCCGUCGGAUCGUCCUUCCAUGAAAAUAGCGGUUCAGAUGUUAGAAGGAGGAGGAGAAAGCUUGAGUAUGCCGCCUAAUCCCUUUGUGCCUACUGGUCCUACAACUAGAAAUGCAAGACGCCUAGAGCUAG
rnacentral:lncRNA from 1 species